CCAGGGUGGUUUGCACAUGGAAGGAGAAGAAGAGAAAGAUCAGGACAGGAACGGUGGUGAUGGUGUAGCCUCUGGAAGGAGAGUGACCAGGCGGUGGUGGUUGUCAUCAGGAGGAGAAGAAGGUGUUGGUAGUGCUGCAACCUUAGGGAAAAUAAUCAAAAGAAGAAGAAAAUGGGUCUUGGAGAGGAAGAGAGAAAGAGUCGAGAGGUUGAGGGAGAGCGUGAGUGAGUGAACGCGUGAGGGAGAGAGAGAGAGAAGAGAGUGAGAGAAAAUCCACGUCAAUUAAUGAAAGGGCCUCCGUUUGGUCAACUAACGGAGCUUAACAGAAGGGGCUGGAUCGCACGUUUUUGAAACGUUGGGGUGCCUGACCGCUACGUUUAAACACGGGGGGGCCCGAUAGCUCAUUUCUGAAACAUCAGGGGCCCAAAGUGGAAUUAAGCCUAUAUUUUAUUAGUUACUGAAAGAAUAAAAAUAACCAUAAACAUCUUCUGUUUGCAUAGGAAAUCAAAUUGAAUGAAAGCAAUCCCAGUUCCCAUGAAAUAAAAGGGGAAAGAGAUGGAAAGAGGAUGCUGAAAUCAAGUAUUACAUUUUCCUUGGACUAGUUCAGAUGUUUAGAAGGUGAAAUCUAGCAUGGGGUCAUGUUAGGUGGUACUUAACUGAUAAUACACCCUAGACAAAGCCGGUUUAGAAUCCAUCAAAAUUCUUCAAGUUUAGAGGACACUUAUAAAAUGUACAUAAAAUUGAGUAAGGGUUCUUGAAAGUAAGAAAGUUACAUGUUAAUCCCUUUAGAAAGCUCCUCAUCCCAAACAAAGGAAAAGGUUUAAUUAAAAAUUUCCCUUUCCCUCUAUUUUCCUCCCUUCUCCAUCCAAGCUUACUAUGAACAUAACAAGAAAAUACCCCUCAAAAGUGAAAUUAUCUCUCUCUAAAGUGAGCAAGUAAGAGUGUGUAUAUAAAUCCUUCAUUUUAUCUUUAUUUACUAAAACUUAAAGAUUGCACACACUCUUACUUGCUCAACUUCAAUUUAGAAGAGCUUUUUCGAAAAUGAGUGCUAUUUACAGCAGUACAUGUGCAAGCAUAAUGGAUGGACAAAGAAAAAUGUUCACUGUUGCUGCCACUCCUGAAUGGCAUUGUGUAACGCAUAAUUAGGGACCAAAUCUGUGUGUUCUAGCUUGAGGUUUGUCAUGGGGGAAGUGUCAUGACCACUGUUCAACCAUCCUUGUAUUGCCUCUGCUUCAUAUGUAAAGCCAUCUGCAGCUAUGUAAGGAUCUUCCAUGACUUCCUGCCAAACAAAAUAGUAAGAACUUUGUUGGAAAUCAACUAGAUUUGACGGAGAUUAUUAGUUAUUACAUAAGAUAAAGGUGUAAGGACAACUCAUUCUAUCAGAAGUUUAGAUGGAAAAAAACCUGGUUAUCUAGCAUUUUCCAUGCAAUAAAGGCCUAGAUUUUGAUAAAUGAAUUUGGAAAAAUGUAUGAUCUUCACCUGGACAAUGGGGCAGACAAAAUGCGAAGGAGCGCGCUGAAGCUUCUUAGAAUUCAAAUUCAGUGGCAUGUUGAUGCAAGUAGUUCUGAAUGGUUCAAGAACACUCCAGAUUUCUGAUGCAAGGUCCGGCCGUUUAAACCAAGCCUUUUCACAACACCUUAAUGCUAAACAUGCAAGCUGUUUGGUAUGAUAAAGCGGCCAUUCACCGGCUGAAAAGUCCAACACUGCUUUAAGGUUUUCUUUUUCCAAAGCACAUGUCACAUCUCUAACUAGCCCUGAAAGUGGUCUUCCAGUUAGAAGCUGCAACAACAUGAUUCCGAACGAAUACACAUCGGAUUCUGGUGUAAGUUUGCCAGUGACAAGAUACUCCGGAUCCGCAUACGCCAAGCUUUUAUCUGCAUUGUCGCAUAUUGUGCAUGUGUCAGCUGAAUUCACACUUUGCCGGACUAAACUAGGAAUACCCAAAUCACCAAGUUUCGCAACAAAGUUAGCGUCGAGGAGGACCUUGCUAGGUUUCAAAUUCCCAUGGAUAAUACAAGGCUCACUGGAGUGAAGAAAGAUUAGAGCCGAGCAUAUGUCAGUAGCAAUGGAUAUUCGAAUUUGCCAUGGAAGUGGAGUCUUGUCUUUGCAGGCAAGGUGGCUUUCGAGACUGCCGUUGUUUAGGUACUCAUACACGAGUGACCUAGACUCUUCACAGCUUCCAAUUAGUGUUAUCAGGUUUCGAUGUCUUACCCUACUCAAAACCUCUACCUGAAAAUCAGCCAAAAAUAUAGACAGGGUAGAAUAAAUAUGAGUUCCUCGUGGAAGCAGAACCCAACCUAUGACAAGUUCAUUCAUUCAAGAUUUUUUCAACCAUAGAUCCUUGAAAGAUCAGAAUAUUGGAACUUUAUAAUAUAUGUAGACACUACUAUAAUAGAAGAAUAUAACAUUACCUGACGUUGGAAUUCCAGUUGAAUUUGACAACCAUAAGAGGGUAACAUUUUUAUGGCAACAUGCAUGUUGCGAAGCAGUCCCUUGUAAACACUUCCAUACCUUCCCUCUCCAAUCUUCCAAGAUGGGUCAAAAUCAUUAGUUGCCUCAUUGAUCUCCAUGAAAGAAAAUGCAGGGAAUUCUACAACAUAAGAGAAUGUAGUAUCUGCUUCUCCUACUUUUCUGAGCAUUUUGACUUCCCUAACUGCCUUUGCAUGUUCUAUUCUUAGCUUAUCUCGUUUUUCCCUGAAACUUAUCAAAAGGUCAACAGCUGAUAUGAUCUUCUCCUCCAACUCUGCCGCCGAUCUUUGGGACUCAAUUAACUGGUUCCUAAGAACUGAAUUUUGGUCUUCAACCAUUUGCAGAUCAUACAUUAUUUCAUCGCGCUGAUUCUUCAUUUUCUGUACUUCUUGCUUUCCCCUUGACAAUUGUUCUUCAACUUCUUUUCUUCUACUUAUCUCCUUAGCACACUGGCUUUCUAUUUCUAAUGCUUCAUCCUAUCCAAAUACAAGUUGAAACAAGAUUCAGGAGCAUACAAAAUCAAUUCAGUUCAUUCAUAAUCAGGUAGCAAUUCAUAGAGCACAUAUAUUAUACAUAGACACGCAUGCUUGCUGGUGUAUGUCCAAACACAGACAUUAGCCACAUUAAACUGAUGAUCCUUUAUGGCUGACAAUCAGACUAGUGUUUCAACCUGAUGUGUCGCACACAUAACACAAUGGUGAUAGGGAUGCUGAUAAUGAAGGAAUUGUGUCUGAUGGUCAGACCUAAAUUAGAAUAAAAAUGGUAGUGCAACAGAUAUUUCUUUCUCGAAAUUCAAGUAUAAAGCUAAGAUUAAGAUAGAAAAUGAACAGGAGACAGUAGAACAGGCAAUCCACCAAUCUUACAGGCUCAGCAUUAAUGUGAACUUGAGGCAGCAUUUUAAGGAAAUUAAUAUAAAAAUUGACAUUACAAGCUACGGCUUUCUUCAAAAUGGCGCUACAUGAUUUUUUAGCCAAUCAGUGCAUGUUUAUGGGUCCAUUUGCAAAGAUAAGCGUCCUUUCACAUAUUCCAAUUCACUAAACAUAGAAAUAAAAAAAAUGUUAAAUUGGGUUGGAUGUCCAUUUGUAUUGGCUUCAACCGAGAAUCAAACAUGCUAUUAAACUAGGAAGCAGUACGGUGAUUAGGUGAAAGUUGAAACAUGCAAUUUUUCCCCACAUUUUCAAAUAGGAUAACCAGAAUAGUGGAGCAAAUUUUAAGAAACCAACCCUGCAAAACCAGUAAAAAUCAGACGACUAAUUUUUAUUAUUUAAGAAAAGACAUAAUCUGUUUUGCUUCCAACCUCCAUCGUAUUACUUUCUACUUUCCAUCUCUUCAAUGCCUCUUCAAAUCUUUUUCGUCUCAUGCUUUUAGAAUGUAUGAUGGUUUUUUCCAGGCUACCAUUUAAUUCAUUUGCUUGUUCCCUUUCAUCUUCUUCCUCCUGCAAAAUCAUGAACAAUUCUAUAUUCACCAAUGGGUCGAAAAUAAAACGAAGAUGCUAGACUAUGAAUUGAAAUGAGUAAAUAUUUUUACUAUCUGAAGUCCUUCCAAUAUACUCCGAUCUUAUUCACAAGAAAUCAUAACUUAACUGUUAAGUGCAGGCAGUCAUGGACAAAAACAGUCUCCUACUAUAAAAUAGUAGUAGAAACCAGAAAAUGCAAAUGAAUGCCUCACAAUAGCAGAAUUCAAUCACCUCUCACCUCAUAAAGCAGAAAAUCUGUUGAAUUUGACCUGUCAGUAGCACUAUUAAAGGGCCAUUUUGCAUUUAAUGAACAGUGGGAACUACCAUUUUCAAUCUCCUUCGUAUCAUCAGAAUCUGCAUAACCCUGUCACAAGUUAUUCCCAUAACAAUCCUUAUACAAUGAACAAACAAAGAGAGAAGAAAAGUAACAUUUAGCAAGAAUACCUGAAUAUUUCAAGGCAUCAGAUCUAGAUUCUGAUUUAAUGUUUUCUGAUUGCUUGAUUUCUGUAUUUGAAUUGAGCACCAACAAUGCAGGGGCAGUCUCAAUUUCAGAUGUAUGUUUAAUAUCUACCCUGUUGUAUUGUUCACAUAUCAUAGAGAGACAACAGGACUUAUUAGCUGAAUGUGCUAUUAUUGAUAUUACAGAAUAUGGUAACAGUAGAUAUGUAUGUCAAGAGAUAAAAAAAGUGUUAUACGGGCAUCUGAGAGGAAACAAAAUUAUCAGUUUGAAUUUCAGUCCUGUUGCUCUUUUCUAGCACUAAUUCAGUAUGUCUUUUAACUCAUCACUCUGAAUAUAAAACUAUUUUUGGUAAACAACUAAACAUUAACAAAACAAAAUCAAUCAUUUCUCCUUUAACUAUUUUUGUCUAUCCAUGCAUUACCUGUCAUUCUGUAUAACCACAACACUAGUUAAUUUAUACCAUGCUCUUCAACACUCUUCUACAGCAUAUAAAUUUGUUGAUUCUGGGGUAAAAUAAAAUUGAUUUUAAACCAUUGCAUAACUUUUCAGUGGAUGACUUUUCAGUAAACAAGUGGAUGAAAAGCUCAAUCAUUUCAGAAAAAUGUGGAUUAAAUUAGUAAUCAAAAACUGAAUUAUACUUCUAUCAAUAUAAGUAUCAUUCGACUCUAAUAUACUUUUAAGUGUAAGAAAAUUUCAGCUAAAUGAUACCCCCUCCUCCACCACCAUGUGGACAAACACUUGAAGCGAUAGCAUCUUCUGAACAAUAAGGAAUGAACCAUGGCCAUUGGGUCUUUCAUGAACAGUGUUAUCAAAUCACGAUCAUGGACCAUCGCGGUGAGCCAAUAAUCCGCUAUUUCGGCCGCUAUUUGGCGGCGAAUAGCGGAAAUAGCGGGCAAUAGCGGCGUCGCGAUUAGCCAAAAAUCCGUUCCGCUAUAGCGGCAUAGCCGCUAUUUGAUAACACUUUUCAUGAAUAGUCAAGAAUAAUAGAUCUUAAUGUCUGACCUUUUCAGUAAUAGUGUGAUGGUCAUCUGAUCUUAAACUUUAAGUGAUCAUUAAACUUUGCUCAUCCAUUCAUGAAAAAUUCAACGAUCAUGAUUCAGUCCACACAUCCCUCAAAAAAACUAGCUUAAGUGAAUGAAAAGCCCCACAACAGGCAGUAUUUUAUUUCCCUCCCACAAGUCCCACCCCACCCAUUGUUGGUGGAAUCUGAAACUAGGAUCUCCAAGAUGGAGUACCAGUACCCAAUCAUUGGGGCAUCCCCUCGGAUACCAUGAGAGCCAUUUUAUCUGUGCAAGUAAUAAGACCAAACCAUCUUAGAAAGUUGUCACAAAUCUUAUUCUCAAUCAGCCUCUUCCCAACUUCCUUGCCCGUAAUGUAUUCUUCUUUCCUUACCUAACAUUUCUUAUUUUCUAAUCUAGUUAAGUCAUAAAAUUUUGCAGUCAAAUAAGAUUAAAUAAAUAUACUGUUUCUUAACAGCUUAUCCUUCCACAUAAUAAACUGCUCUAAAUAUACCGAUGAGGACACUCAUGCAGUCCACUCAAUUUACAUUAGAGAUUACAAUCACAUGUUAAACUGCAAAUGACAUUUUUAUCUACAUCAUUACCUAGUACUUAUGAGGUUUCCCUUGUAGAUGAACAAAACAUUGCAGGAUAGCGAUUGCUCAGGUACAAUAAUAGCUUUCUCUGACACUUGCUCAGCCACCUUACUGCAAUUCCAAACCCUGCAGUUCAGUCAUUUAUAUUAAACAUUCAGAUUGACAGAAUACUGAGUAAGACUCAAAACAAAACUAAAGAAGUAAUUUUUCAUUUAACCAGACAGAAAUAGUUUUUUUUUCCUCUUUUUUACAUGGUAACUAAAUACUUCUUUAAAACAAGGCUAGUUCAGGUCCCUAAUCAAUAUCUCGGGCCAAUAGGUGAUUUCCAGAGAUAAACAUUUUCAAGUACCAGUAAGCCUAUAUGAAUAGCAAAGUAACAUGAGCGGAAUUAACAUAGAGUCUUCCCCAAAAAUGGAAACUUGAAAAAAAACUCAAGAAUGCAGCAAGUUGUCCAAUACCUAGACAUAUCUAAAAGGAAACUACCUACAGACAAUUAUGUACAACACUUAAGGUAGGCCAUAAACACAAUUCUUUCCCAAAGAAAGUUAAGGAGAAGAGAGACAUCAACAUGAAUAUGAAGAUUUUCUAGACGAAUUAUAUUUUCAUUUCUUAAAGCAUGUCCAGUUUAACAGUACAAGUUUCCAAUAAUUUCAAGAGGAAAAAGAUGAGAGCAUUAAAAUAAACAGCAACUGAGGUUUGGAAUUGGCACCCCAACUUAUACUUGUCUGCUGCUGCUCCCAUUACAAGCCAUCUAAUAUUGUGUUGAGCGAUAGCUUCUAUGAUCCCUUUCUCGAUGUCAUCCUUCUCAAUCAACAAUUUAUAUGCCUGUACCUACAAAUAUUUGCUAUAAUUUAAAGAAAGUCUAGAUCUCUUCAAGAAGUAGUUACUAAACAUGGCAAGGAUCUUCUAUGACUAAUAUUUUGAACUAUUUAAAUUUAAUUAACAUUAAAAGUUCACAAUUGGAGAAAGUAGUUACUGCUUUAUUGUGCUAUCUCAUAUGUAAUUGCCCUUAAAACUUUAAAUAUAAAAUGCCCAAUUGCCCCUUCCAACUUAGGCAUGUGCUCUUUGGUUCUCAAACUUUAAAUACAUGCAACAUGAUCCCUAGACUUCAAAUAAGUAUACGUUUUAAUCAUUCUGGCUGAUUUUCUAUCAGACAUUAUAUUUUUUAAGGACCAAAUUACAUGUACAAAUAUAGUUAGACUACAGAUUCAGUGCCAAUGGAAAACAGUAAACGAAUUUGUCAAUAGAAUUGAAAGAAUAAGAAAAGGAUAAUACCCCUGCUGGGACCAGAGUGGUAAUGUAUUGGUCUAGGAGCUCAUGCACUGUUUGAAUACCAUGUUCUUGGAAUGCCUUGAUGGCAUGAUCUUUUGCUUCAUAACCAGGGAGAUUUAUGUCGGCUGUACAUGAGGGAAACGGAAAAAAAAGUAGUUUGUAAAAUAUCACCAAACAGUCAGCUAAGAGUAAGACCUACUCUACCCUUCCCAGAACGAAGCCAAAAAAGGAUCAGAAUUAACUAGAGUACUAGAUCAAUCAUACUCCGCUAAUAAUUUACAUUUAUGUUGUUGGUUAGCACAUCAAUAUCAGCAGAUUUGAUGAAAAAAGAAAAGAAAAGUCUCCGACGAGACAAGCACUUAUUCUUUUUUCAAUGCCCCUGCAAUCAUCCUUAAUCAUUUAUCUACAUUUUCAUCAAACAUAAAAUGAGUUGGCAAUCCAGUGAGCUGAGUUAUUUGAGAACUAUUAGACCUUGUUAAAUGCUCAAUCCAGUUUUCAACAUUGGCUAUAAACUUUAUUGUAUAAAUGAGUUAAGCUCAAGCUUUACAUGCUCAACAUUAAAAGCUCAGUAAUAUCUUGAGUGUGUGUGUGUGUGUGAGUUAGAGAGAGGGGGGAGGGGGGGGGGGGGUGAGAAGAGAGAUAGUAAUUUCAUAUAAGAAAAAGGGAAUAAAUAAUAAUUUAUUUAUUAAAAAUACCUAAAUUUUGUAACCAAAUCUUCUUUCACUCUCUUUCUAUUUUUACUUAAUUCUUUACCCCAAAAAAAAAUGUUACUAAAUUAUUAAACUAAAAAAUACUCCAAUAAUAUAUUUGAUAAAGGAAAAUAAAAUAAUCAGGUUAUAACAAAGCUAAAUCAGUCAAGCUCAAGCUUCAUGUUUUUAAACUAAUAAAACUCAAACUUCAAAUUUGAAGCUUGGACUACAUCUUCAAUUUGCAAAUCAAGGCUGAGAUUCAUUCAUGAGCUAGGCUUCAAGCCUUCAACUCAUUUACUCUCCAAGGCUAUAUUUAAAUUGAUGGAAAUGGAUGAAAUAGAGUAAAUAAGAAUGGAAUUAAUAAAGGUUUCAUUGUUGGGAUAAUUUCAAAUAGAUUGAAAUGGAAUGGAUAUGAUGGGAUGCUAUCCCAUUCCAUCCAAUACUCCGCUUGUUGACAAAUCUAAUCCAUUCCAUCAUUAAAAUAUCCAAACAAUAGAUUGUGUUCCAUUCCAUCUCAUUCCAUUUCACUGCACUUUCCAUUAGAUAUACAAAUAUAGUCUUGUUGUUCUGUAUCUAGUAUGAAACCUCGAGAAGCUUAUCACAAGUCACAACUCGAAGUUCACUUCAAUUUAGUGAAUCACCUAAACAACAUCAUUUAACUGUUAAGAUGCAAUAUGACAUAAUCUAAUCUAAUAUGUGUCUUCUCAAGUCUCAACUACAUCCCCAACAGUUAAAUUUAAUAUCAUCACUUUUCCUUCCUUCUUCAACUAGCCUAGAGAAACAAUUCCAAGAUAUAUAGACACAUAAUCCAACCUUUCAACCCCAAAACCUGAUCCCAAAUUAGCAACCAUCCAACCCAACAAGCCAAAAAAAAAAAAAAAACCAAAAUAACUAAUUAAACCACCAACACAAUUUUCCACUAAAAAUUUACACUUUUGUCAAAUAUUUGAUGAUCAGAAAAACACCCACAUGAAAAAAAACAGUUUCAACUAGAGAAAAAGUGAAAAGAAGAAAAGCUCACCCAACGUUUGGUGAACGUGAAGAAUGCAAAUUUUUUUGGCAGAGAAAUUCUGAGAUGCCCAAUGCAACAGUUGUCGGGUCUUGUCAACGUUCUUCCCCACCGCAACAUACACAGUGUCUUCUUCAAUGCUACCCAUCAUCAGAUCCAAAAAAGCAACAGGAAUCGGUGGCACAGAAAGAAACAGCGUGGGAAGAAGCGGUUAGGGAAUCGUUCCGACUCAGCUGGUGAAGGACCGAGUCGAAUUGAGUAGAGAAGAGUGAAGAAGCAUUCAAUGGAAAAUUGUGAAGGAAAGAGUGUGGAAUUUGUGAAGUGAAGAAGAAGCAACUCAUUCUAAUGGAAAGUGAUAUUCUUUUGGGUGGGUCCCAUUGGAUUAGUGUGUGGGUAAACGGUGAAGGACUUUGGAUUUCUUUCUAGAUUAUUACCAAAUGGCUGGGCCUGUUUGGGUAAGCGUUGGAAGCACCAAACGUGCGUUCCCAACGCUGAAAUCCCACAGCUCUAAGAGAGAGCUUCCUACAGAACGUGCGUUGAAGAGCACUCUCACCGCUGAGGCAAACAGGCACAAAUUCGUAUUACUAGUAAUUUAGUGUUAGUCAAUAGUAUUGUUUUGUAUUUAUGAGAAUUACAUGGUAAUAAACGAUAGAAUCAAUGUUGGAUUUUUUAAAAUAUUAUGCCGGUCGAUUAAUUACUACUACUAUUCAAUUUGAAGCAAAAUCAGAGGAAACAAUUGAAUCAAUUUCACAGUUUAAUAUUGAAUUAAUUUAGGAAAUACUAUUCAUAUUCAUAUUGAAAAGUUGCAAAUCUUAAAAGAAAUAUAAUAGGAUAGAAUGAUGUUUCAAGUGAUAAUGUAAUGAAUAAAUCAUUAUCGUUAGAUUUAAGUUUUUUUUUUUUAAAUAGGGAAGUUCAAAAACAAUAAACAUCUUACUAAGUGCGACAAUCAUAUGAAAGCUGAUACAUCCAAUGCUAUUAAAGAGUAAGGAAUCAACAAUCUCGGGAGAGGGCAACCUUGUUGGUUUUUCUAUGGUCAUAAGUUACGUGACAAUCAGGGGCGUAGCCAUGAUUUCUAGAAACAGGGGGCCGAGGUCAAGUAGAUUAUGAGCAAGUUUAAAUAUCGGUAGAAAAUCAGGUUCGUUCAUGAUUAGAUCUAACGGUUGUGAUAUAUUCUCAUAUAAGAACAUCUUUCUCAUAUGAUACAUCUUGUGUGUGUAUGUAGUUAAAUUAUAAUCAUUUUCAAAUUCUUUAAACUUUACCCUUAUAUUGUAAGACUGGAUAUGCUUUUAGUCCAUUUAAAUUUAGGAUGAAUCAGUUUUUUUUUUUUUUUUGAAUGGGAAAGAAGGAUGAAUCAGUUUUGAUCACUGCAAUUGUUUUUAGAUAAAUUUGUAGAAUUUAGUGUACAUGCUUUUAUUUUCUUUAAGUUGGAUUUCCACUGAUGGUUAUCAAAGUUUCUAGGUUUUUCAACUAGACGACAUGAAACUCCAGUUAAGCAAUCAAUAAGUUGGAUUUCCACUGAUGGUUAUCAAAGUGCUAUCAUAGAAAAUUAUUGACCAUCUUCCUGGAGGAGAAUGUAAGAAAUUAAGACCAAUGAAAGUAACUAUUAUUAACUUGGUGGUGGUUUCACUCCAUAAUUAGAGCUCCCAUUGUAAAAUUAGGGGGUUUGGUUUCAGACAGCCUCAUUGAGAUUUGAGAUCUUAUUUCUUGACUUUAUAUCCAACCAAUAAAAGAUUAUUGUUUGUGUGACAAAGUGACUUGGACAUCAUUCAUGAACUCACUUCUAAUAAAAUUUCAGAAAAAGCAUCUGGCUCCAGGUACAUUUACAAUAAAAUUGGUCAUGUACAUAACAAAUUUUAUGAUCUGAGCAUGAAUCUCUUGUUCUUUACAUAAAGAAGACAGUUUUGCACAAGAACUAAUUAUGGAAGCAGAAGAAAACUUGGAAGGAAAGAAGCCCUAAGUGCCGCAUCUAUGUAAAGAAAGACAAAGAAUUUUGUUCUAGAGAAUUGAUUGAGAACCCUGUUAUCAUUGAGUUCCAACAGACAACAUCCAGUUUAGGAAGUUAACCAAACACUGCUUAGAAAACUCCAUUUCCACAUGCAUCUAUAAGCAAUACAAGAAACAUUUUAUGCCUCCAUUAGCAAUGCGUGAAACAUCAUAUAUACAUUCUAGUAAGAAUACCAGCCAGAGAUUCAGAGCUAAAUUACAUAAAAUUAUUAAAUUGAUUCAACAUAAUAACAUGAAAGAGUAAAAUGUUUUGAUGGGAAAGUACAUCCAAUCUAAUGAGUUGUACUUCAAAGUACAAUGUGAAGACCUCAAGGCAUCUUUGAAGUUUCUAGUUGUGUUGAUGCUGCAAGAUCAUUUGCUGUUUAUAUUUCCACUCAAUCUUCAACCCUCACAGGGCUCCUCAAGCCAGGCGCGGAAAGCUCUUCCACAACCUCAAAUUGAGUAGCAUAGAAUAAACCAGUUCUAUAAAGCUUAGGUUAAUACCUAAGACAAACACAAUCUCUGUUCUGCCAAGCCCUUCUACAGCAUUAAGCCCAUUAUGAUUAAGAGGAAGAAAACAAAGGUUAAUAGCAAGUUUGCAACAGGUCUGGAUUUGAAAGGGAGAGCAGAAACUGUGAAAAACAAAGAGAGGAUGGUGACCUGAAGUGGAAAACAAAAUCUGGACAAAAGAGAAAGGGAGGAAAAAGGAGAGAGUAACUAGAGGAGGAAAAACAAAACAGCAAAGAUAUAGAGAUAUUCACAGAAAGUGUGUCAUGAGAACUGAGAAGGCAGAGAUUCCUGUAUUUCAUGCCAUAUUAGAUUUGUCAUUUGUGCCAUUCAGCAUUUUGCAUUUAUGUGUGUGUGUGUUCUCACACAAUAAUCAAGAUACAGAACAUGAGAAGGGGCAGUAAAAAGGAGGGAAAACAUGACAUUGACACUUGACAGUAAGCAAUAAGCAGACUACCACUUCUCCAUCGGGCACAUCAUUAAACUUUCAUCAAAUCUAGUAAAGUAGACCAGGCAAACCAAAAGACAGACAGACAACAACGCAAAUAAGAAAACAUGAAAUUUGCACAGAUACCUGACUUAAGGCAUAGCAUGAAGCUGGCUGAUUAAUGCGUGACGAAAUCUACUCAUUUAUAUAAGAUGAGAUUAUCUCAAAGAUGUAUGGGAGAUGAAGGCACAAUGACAAAUAAAUGACAGAUUCGGUCACCAGAAGGUCGAUCAAGUUGCACAUCCAGACCCAGUCCAAUUGUUUUGUUCCUCCUUUUGUGAACUCAAUACCCUAUGUACACUUUCCACCUGCCCUUAGUCUCUCCAUUACUUUAAUAUCAUGUAUAAUGCAAAGGGUAGAAUCUGGUUGUAAAUAAAAUAUGUGAAGCUUGCUUCUGCUCGUAUGUUUGUACUAGAAACUUAGACGGAAAGGAAAACAAAAGUAGUUUACUAGAUUUUAAUGCUACUGACUCCAAUCUGAACUACACCAGACAAAUUUGAAAAUGCUAAAAACACUAAGACCCUGAAACCAAAAACAGCUCGCAAACUAGGAUAACAAAUGAAAACAACACAAACCCAUAAUAAAUUAAAAAUGAAGAAAUUUCAAGUUCACCUAUUAAUAGUUUGGAGUAAAUAGAGUCAACUGUUAUAAGAGAUUAAGCAUUCCCAAUAAUCAAUCAUUUAAGUUUCAGCUUGGUUUGACAGGUUUGUUAUCUGAAACACUAGCAAUGAUCACUGAUAGGAAAAUAAAUAAAUAAAGUAGAUUAUGUAGAGACAAUACAUUGGUGAGAAAAUUUACGUCAGGCUCAAAAGCACCUUACCUAGUUUUACUCUUACAAUAGACCUCUAGCAGCCAUUUCACGGAGAAGCUUCUCUGCCUUAACAUUGUCACCUUUUUGAAAGAGAGCACGAAUUAUUAUUUCAUAAGUUACAGCGUUAGGGAUGCAACCGUUGUUUUCCAUUUUUGACAUCAGUGUCAAUGCUUCAUCAAACAAGCCCUCUUUACAAAGCCCAUUAAUCAUAAUUGUAUACGACCGUACAUCUAAAUUGUAGCCUUUAAUUAAAAGAUCCUGAAAAACCUCUUGUGCAUUCUCAACUCUGCCUGCUUUGCAUAGUCCAUCCAUAAGUAUAUUGUAUGUGUGCAUCGAAGGUUGAAGACCCUGGUCUUUCAUUUUCUUGAUCAAAGAAAUUGCCCUGUCAACAUGAUGGCUUUUGCAUAAAGCAUCCAAUAAAGAAUUGUAUGUGAUUACAUCAGGUGGUUGACCUCUACAAUGCAUCUCAUCAACAAGAUCCCAAGCAUCAGAUAUUCUCCCUGAUUUGCACAAACCAUCUAUAAGAGAACUAUAAGUUACAACAUUAGGAAUUAUCUUUUCGGGAUGCAUUUGUUUAAAGAGAUACAAGGCAUCAUCAACCCUUUUAAUCUUACAUAAUCCAUUAAUCAUAAUAUUGUAGCUCUGAACAUUAGGGGUCACUUCCCUUCGGGUCAUCUCAUUGAAUAUAUCUUUGGCCUUGUUUACUUCAUUAACUAAGCAAUACCCAUCCAUCAAAGAACUAUAAGUAACAACAUCAGGUUUUUCCCCUUUUUUGAUCAUCACAGCUAACACAUUUUUGGCUUCUUUCACCUUUCCUUCCUUGCAUAAAGCAUCAACUAAUAUAUUAAAGGUAAUAACAUUUGGAUUGAUGUUUUUCAAUGCCAUUUCAUUUAACAAACCAAUUGCUGCUUCCAUUUGACCCACAAUGCAAAAGCCAGAUAUUAGAGUAGUGUAAGUGACAACAGUAGGUGCAAUUCUCUUGGCAAACAUUUCAGAGUAUAAAUCAUAGGCAUCACUUACAAGUUUAUCUUUACACAAGCUAUCAAUGAUUGUGUUGAACAUUACCACAUUAGGUUGAGCCAACUUCCCUUGGAUCUGUCUCAGCAAUUGCAGUGCAGGUCCUGUAUGUCCCAUUUUACAUAACCCUUUGAUCAAGGUCCCGUAACUAACUUGAUUCAACGAAAAUCCUUGUGCAACAACCUCAUCAUGAAAGCACAGUGCUCUCUGAACCUCACCUUGAAGACAGAGACCUAUGAUAAGUGUAGUGAAGGUGAUGGUAUCAGGCUGAUAACCCAUCUUGAAAAUCUUGCAGAGUACAGAAAAAGCAGAAGUGAGCUGAAGUAGAUGGCAGUAACAAUUGAUGAAGACGUUGAAAGUGAUUAAGUCAGGCAUAACUCUGCUGAAUUCCAUUUGUUGAGAAAAGGAAAUGGCAGUGGAGUAAUGCUUUGUCUUGACGAGGGAAGUUAAAAUCUUGUUAAACUCGAUAAUGGGUGGAGAAGGACGCAUUUGGAGCAUGCGGUUGAACAAAACGACGGCAUCAUCAACAUUGAAAUUGGAAGGAGCAUUUUGAGAGUGACAGUGAAGGGUUCUUGAGAGUGAUGGUAAAGAAAGAACCGGAGAGAUUCUGAACCUGAACAUCAACGACAACAUUGUAGCCUAGGAAUGGAGACAGGGAUACACUUCUGUUCUGUGCGAAUGGAUCGACUCAGGAGAGAGAAACCGAAGCUGUCAAGACUCAGGAGAGAGAGAAAAACACAGCUAAAGCUAUAACUCAGCACGACAAAAUCUAUUUCAGAUUUUAUUCAUUCAUUUUAAAUUCAUUAAUGUCUUUUUAGCAAAUUAUGUGUUACCUGAAAUUUUUCUGGGUACGGUACCCCGACCAGUUGAAAUUGUGAACUUGAAGGGUAGAGAAAGAGAGAAGAUUAUAGCUUUUAGCUUUUGUUGGAAUCCUAGACAUUAUGCCGAUUGUUGCAGCUCUUUUUAAGUCGGAAUCUAGUGGUGGAAGUGGAAAUGUAUGCGAUGUAAGAACAUGAGAGUUAUUGACCACAAUAAGGGUGAGAUAUGGAAAUUGGUGUAUGGCGAACGACAAGAUAAUGAGAUAAUCUACUAAAAUGCUCAUGAAUGAUGGUGCUAGAGGCUUUUAGAAAUUAAAAAAUUGAAGAUAAAAAAGUUUUACAUCAUUUAAGGUACCGUACCCUCAUUUAAAUUAAGGUACCACAGCAACCACUUUUCGUAAUAUUCCCCCGAUACCUCGUUUUCUUUUUAAUUAUUACUAUUAAUAUUUUUUAAAUGAAUGAAAUUCCUCGCGAGAUAGGCUUCCCGUGAUGGCUCUCCAAAGCGUUUGUGGCGGUUGUCACCUUCUAGGGUAGUUGAGUAUUUGUGUUGUGAUCUCCUUAGUAGUUAGCUUGCUUCAACUUUUCCUCUUGUAAAAAAAAUACAAGAAAGCAAUAAACUAAACUAGAUCAACAUAAUAAUAUCAGUCUCAAGUCAGAAAUAGAUCCCACUCAAAUGCGACAAUGACUAACUUUCGGUAUGUUUGAAUUAACAUUGGAAAUAAGAAUGAAACUAAAUACAAGAAAGCAAUAAACUAAACACGAUCAACAUAAUGACGUAAAUCUCAAGUAAGAAACGAAUUCAACUCAAAUGGGGGCAAUGACCAACUUUCGGUAUAUUUAAUAUGAAAAAAAUAUUAUAUUUAUUUAUUUUUUCGUAAAUUUUAAAUUGAAAUGAAAAAAAGUCAUGUCAGCUUCAUUAAAUGACGUGGAUUUGCCAUAUGUGCCUUGUCGGAACACAUGAACACGGUGGUCAACGCCACCACUCCAGCAGGAACCAUUUCCAACUAUUUCUCGUAGUCUGAGGGCAUUUUCCAGAAGAUUUUACGAGCGAGUUACGAAUUUUAAAUCUCACUCAAAGAUCAGGGACAAUUUUAUGAUUUAACCCUACAAAUUAAUCAUUUUCCUUUUUUUUUUCCUCUGUUUAUUUUCAUUUUACUUUCUCACUACAAAUUUCCAAAGAAAAAGGCUUAGAAGUUAGAACAGCCCCGCCAAAACAUGAAAGAUUGUCCUCCCAUGCACCCAACAUUCACCUCUGUUGUGUUGACUGGUAGUUUUGAAACUAUCUUCCUUUUCCACCUCCUCUAACUUCAUUCUCCUUCACCAAACAUCCCCAAGCACACACCAUUAUAUGCAUCAUGGAACAACCCUGCCCUGCUGACCAUGUUCUUAAUCUUGAUAAAGUUCCUUACUAUCAAUCCACUUCGGAAGGAAAAGAAGAUGGGUCGGUUGGGAAAGAAGUGGAAGAUUUGAAACAAAGAGUUGAGAGAAAUGAGUCGGUGUCAAAGGCUCUGGAAUCUCUCAUUUCAAUGAAGGAUUGCUUAUCUAGAGUAAUAGAGGGGUUAGAGGGAGAAAAGGAUGAAAAUUAUGUCACAUUAGAAGGUGAUGGGGAGAGGGUUUCUGUGGAAUCAGAGGAAUCGGUGCUGUUGGAAGAGGCAAGGUUGACCUCAAGACUUGCAGUUGAGGUGGAAACAAGAGUGAGUAAGUAUAAGGAGAUGAGGAUGAAGGAGAAGAGAGAAUUGGAGAGUAGUUUGAUCAGUUUAACUGAGGAGAAUAGGGAUAUUAAUAACUUGCUUAGGGUUUCUUUGUUGGAGAAAGAAGCAUUGGAGAAGAGAAUCAAGGGACACGACCAUAAAAGGAUGCCCCUUUUGCAGUUUGCUGAGUUUGGAUUGCAGAAAGUUGGGUUUGGGUUCAUGAUGGGAGGUGGUAAUAAUGAGCAGCCAACAGAAGGUUCUGAAGCUUGCAAAUCAGAUAGUAGUGAGUGUGAAGAGGAAGUUGUUAGUCUGGUAAGCUCUUAUUAUCUUUAGUUACAUAUUAUUGGAGAAACUAAUCUUUCUUUUUCAUGCAAAAAAAUGUGUUCUCUUGCAAUAUUCAGGACAAGUAACAAAAAGGGAAUAAGUUACAAAAAAUAUGGAAUCAUAGUAUAAUAGUUAUAUCUACUGAUAGCAUCAGCAUUGUAAGAAGCAUUGACCCUCUAUUGUAUCAGCAUCAGAUUUAUAGCAUGUUUGGAUUAACUUGUACUUUUAGAGCAAAUUAUGGCAUCCAGAAGCUACUUAGAUAAGCUUAUUUCCAUAGUUGAUUUCAAGCUACACAAUCAAUUGUAAAAUGAUUUCCAAAUAUGCUAUUAGUUACAACUUAUCUUUGCCGUGUCUUUAUAUGUUGUGUGGAAAAAGGGGGUGAAACUUUUCGUAGAUGAUAGUUGUAGUCUGCAUUUUGCAAAAGGUUAUCCUGCUCUGAGUUUAUGGUAUUUUUCCAAGGCCUCAACAGUGGAAAGGAUAAUGAAGAAUCUUCGUCUAGAAAUCACUCAAUUGAGGAGAGCUUUGGAAGAGUCUAGGUAUUUUACCAUCUAAUUAUAUUGAAUUCAUACAUUCUUCACAAUCAUAAUGAUGAUUUUCUGCUGAUACUGCAUAAUUUGCAAGAAAGAGAGUGAAUAAAGAAAAAGUUUUGAUGCAUUUUUAUUCAAAGGGGAUAGAAUCACCAUGUUGCUACAGGUCAUAAAUCUAUCAGUUCAUCUUGCUUUCUUUCAGAUUAUUUAUUGUGAACUUGAUGCCAGGUCAGACACAGAGCGCCUCCAGUGUCUCACAGAGAAACAAGCCAAGGAAAUUGUAGAAAAUAAACAUUACAUUAAGGAGUUAGAAGAUAGAGAGAGAAUCUUGACUCAAAAUGUAAUCACCUUUUUAUUAAUAAGUUGGAUAAUCAUUCCCAAAUAGAAGCUCUCUUUCUCACUAGUUUUUUCCUUUUUGUCUGACUGCUGAAAGGUAGAGGAGUUUAUGAUGGAAAUUAAAGAAGGGGAAGAAGAAGUAGCUAGAUGGAAGGAAGCUUGUGAACUGGAAGUUAAAGCUGGAAAGAAUGAGAUUGAAGAGCGUGACAAAUUGGUAAACAAAAUUCCAUCCCUUCCAUAUGUAUCGUGAGCCUUUUUAAAAAUUAAAAAUAGAAGAUCAUGUUGUUUUCUACAUUCAUAGAGCCUAUCUUGUGCAUUAUUUCUAGAUUCAUUUUCUUUCCUCAUUGGAACAUCAGAGCUCUUAAGACGUGUCUGUUGAGCAAAAGUUAGGAGUUUGCUUUGCAGUCUGCACAAAGCAUGACAUGUAAACAUAAGAAACCCAGAUGAGUUAGCAAGUUAAUUAAGAGUGCAGGUUUUGAAACUCUUCCACAAUUGGUUCCAAAGCCAGAUCAAUUCUAGGGAGAAGCUUCUGGAGUUGUUUGAGUUUCAGAAUUGAAUAUUUUGAAAGAGAAGCUGAUCCAAACUUACUAUAAAUUCUGCCUUCAUUUGGAAAGAAAGAACAGGAUAUAAAAUUUCAUAUGACAAAAUUUGCUACCAAUAUUUUUCUUAGUUGAAGUAAAUCAUGCAGUUAAAGCCACCCUUGGGAAUGUAUCAAUGAAAUCCUAGUGUCAUAGGGUCUUAAGGAUUCUGAUACUGUUUUAGAAUUCCAGUUAGGCAUAACUUUACAAUUUAUAAGAACUAUAUUUUUUUUCUUAUCUUUAGUCAAUGUAGGACCUUAACAUACAUAAGGAGUUAAUUAAACCCUUCUAACAGAUGUUACCUUCCAGAAGGUCGAUACUUAAUUAAUAUGAUUGUGUAGUCUCAAUAAGGAAUCUUUCUUUCUCUUUUGGAUGCCAAAUUAGUUUCUAGUUGCUCGUUGUUUGUAUAUAAAAACAUAGAAAAAUUGCUCUAUGUUUGUCUAUUGAUGAUGUGUGAAUGUUCCUUGAGGUGACUGCAUUGCAACAAGAACUGCAGAAAACUAAGGCUGCUUUGGACAUAUCCAAUGGAAAGUUAAGGCUUAAGGAGGAACUUGCAAGCACUGCAAUAGCUGCAUAUGAAGCAGCAGAGAGGUCUCUGCAGCUAGCUGAUAGUGGAGCAGUUGAACUUCGUAAGCGGGUUGAGGAAUUAACCAGACAACUAGAGGAAGCAGAGAAACGUGCACGGAGUAGCCAUAAAGUGAGAAGACGGAUAUGUUGGCCAUGGCAGAUUUUUAAGUUGAGCUCUGGCAAUAUUGGAAACUCUAGAGUUGGAAAUGCAAAAAGGAUGCUCCCUGAAAUGCAAGCCUUGCUUCACUGAAAUAUAUGUAACUGAGUUGGUUCAUCUCAAACUCUGAUCUUUCUAUGUAAAUCUCCUAUUUUUUGGAUCUCAUACAUGUAUUCUCCACUGAGAUAAUCUUAUUUGAGCCGGUAACAUUUACAUAUUGGUGGGGCUAGCUCUUCAUGUGAGAAUUUUUAUGUAAAUUUGCUAUUGAUCUUGUAAAAGUGGGAUAUUUUAUUGUUGAAGUAGUUUAAACAUCAUAUGCUCCAACCACCAGCACUAAAGUAACUAUUACCACUACUUGUUAAUUCAAUGUUCUAUCCACUAAUUAUGCCAGGCAUGUAGUUUAGAUUACUUAAAACAUGCAUGAAUUUAAACAUUAUGUGUAAAUUGUUGUAACUGCCAUUUGGGGCAUGUUUCAGUAAAUUUAUAAUGUUUGGUGUUUGUAGUUAAUAACAUUAUAUUAGGCAUGUAUAUUUUGGCAAGGUCGAAAUAUGUCCAAAUCUAAUUUAAUAUAUAAUGCAUUGGUCUAUAUAUGUUAAAUUUGAAUACUCAUUAAUCUAUGAUUGGUCCAAGUCUAAUUUAAUAUAUAAUGCAUUGGUCUCUAAUCUAUAUGUUAAAUUUGAGUACUCAUUCUCAAGAUAAUCUAUGAAGAUAUAUACUCACUCUUACAUUGCUCUAUAAAAUAUAAUACUUGUCUUGGAAAUUCAUACAAAAUUAUCAUUUUAUUACUCUUUAUUUAUGGUUGUUGGAUCAAAAGGAGAUUUCUUCAAUCCACAUUUUACAAUAGUGAUAAUUGGGUUUGAACAAAUGAUCUCAUGUUAACAACUCAUAUUUCAUGCUUAUAAAAAAAAACUCAUAUUUCAUUGCUAGUCCAACCAUAUUGACUUUCUUCCAUCAACAUCCAUUUGACAUGGUGAAUUAUUCACGAAUACUCUUUAUCAGCAUGUAUGAGAUCCGGUCCAUAAAAAUAAAUAUUAUGUUUGAAUACUCAUUAGAAAGUAUGAAAACAAAAAAAUAACGAAACAUUUUUUAUUUCAUAUUAAAUGUGCAUCCAUGUAAAUUACCCACAACGUGUAGGUAUUUAUCCACUAAAUGAGGUUGGUCACUUGAGUCCAAGUAAGUGUAAAAGCUCAUAAAAUUUUGUAGAUAUGAGUAUGAGAUUUUUUUUUUAUACAAAGAUAUGAGUAUGAGAUUGAUGAAUACUAUAGUAAUUCAACCAUAUUUAUACUUUUAAUAUCUUUUUAUUAUGUUUAUAUUUAGGAUAUGAAGAUGUAUUUAUAAAUACUAUAUUUAUGCAUAAAAAUAGAGGUAAAUACUAAAAAUUAGAUAAAUAAAAUGGAACGAAUAAAUAAACAAAAGAACAAAUGACACAAGAAAAAUAGCAAAUUUUCAAAAAAAAUAAAAAAUACUAUAAAGUUUAUUUAUACUUAUUAUUAUUAUUAUUAAUUUAUUAUUAUUUUCGUUACAUAUUACAAAGUCGUCUUCUUGUUCCUCAAUGUUACGUUAGGGUUUGCAGAGUUCCUCUUUGAUCUCUAACCAUUGCGUCUUUCUGUUCUGAAUUGUGACACAAACCCAAUAGGAUAUUGCAAUUCACCUCAUACCUUCGUUUCUGCAACUCCCCAAAUUCAAUUGUAUCAACUGCACCGUGCUGGGUAUCAUCACGGUACGAUUUUUGCUUGCUCAUUGCUCCCAAUUGCAAUCAAGUAGCUGAAAGAUAACAAUUUUUUUCAUUUCCACUUUGAAAAGUUGACAAAUUCACUGCACACCUCACUUCUUCACCAUUGAUAUUGAUGAAUUCUGAAAUUCAGUGAAAUUUUUGUUUAUAAAUCAUUUUUAUUUUGGUGUGAUUUUAUUUAUUUAUUUUGAUUGACCCUGAUUCUAUUUGAUCUGAAAAUGCAGAACCUUUUCAUUCUUAGUUGGAACUUAUGGAUCAGGAAGCUGAGAAUAGCAGCACUGUGAAGAAAAGGAUUUCAGCAUGUAAUAUUGAGGCUUUGAGAAAGUGCUUGGAAGAGAAUAAUGGGGAUUACUUCAAAUGUCAAUCACAUAUUGAGGCUUUUAAGGAAUCAUGCUCACUGAAGAAACCAAAUCCCUCUCUUGAUUCUGCACCACCUCUCAAGACAAGUGUUGGAAAUUAAGUUAAAUGAAAUGAAUUUUGAGCACCUCCAAAGAUGUUAUAUGUACUGAUAUACAAUGAUUCUUGAGAAAAUAUUAAUGUUCUCAAGUUGUGGCUUUAUACAAUAAUAAAUUUCAUGAGCUUAAUCAGUGAUUGUUUUGGAUGAAAAUCGACAUUAUGCAGAUUGAGUCAGAUGUUUUGGCCACACUUUUGUGGCAUUGAAGUUUCCAGCUGAUUUCUUGUGUUUGGUUUUUUUGGCCAUGGAAAUGAAAUCAUGAUGCUUUCAAUAGUUAUAAGAUGUGUGUAGUGCUGAUAUGAGAGUUCAUUGUUUUGGUUGCGCCUCCGCCUCGGGAAUUGAGUUUGGUGCCCCACCCCUUAGGCUUUGCACCCCACUUUAUUAAAUACGGAAUUUAAAGUUCCGUAUCAAUACGGAAAAUAAAAUUCCGUAUCUGUUUUAGUAUAUAAUGAGUGGUUGAAAAUGUGACACGCAUGCUUAAAUACAGUACGGAAUUUUAAGUUCCGUAUUCAAUAGGGAGAAUACGGAAUUUUAAAUUCCGUAUUUGAUAAAGUGGGGUGCCAAACCCAACUCCCUUCCCCUCCGCCUCGUUUGUUUUCUUUAUAAGUUUCUUCUUCACUUGUUUGUCUAUUCUUUUCUGCAUUUUGAAGUUGUUAGCUUGAAAUUUAUUCAUAUUUAAGUAUCUGUAAGGAUACUUAUACACCUAAACAGGGGAGACACUCCAUUUUUCUGUAUGUCUCUCUUCAUAUCACAUUCUUUCUCCAUAUCCCUCUCUCCAUUUUUCUUUAUAUUUGUUGGAUGUAUGCACUAUUGGCAUCCCUAAGAAUGUGGAUAAGAGAAACCUCCCACUCACACAUAACCUUUCUAUAACCAAGAUGCCAAGCUAGAUAUAAGCCAUGUUAGAUCUCCACCCCCAAAUCCACCAUAAAGUGUUAAAAGUAAAUUAUAUAACUAUCAUCUUUCUAAUCCAUUCCUGCAAGUUUCAUAUUGAAGAAAGAAACACCAAGCUCUUGCACCCCAAAAAAAUAUAUUCUCUUUUCCCUUCAGUUGAAUGAUACAUUAACUGAGAUUUGUGUGUCCUUACAUGUAUGAGGCUUAAGAAGAGAACCUGAUUCCCAUCAAUUUCUUGAAAAUUAUUAAACUUUUUCAUGUAACCCAUCUUCAAGCAGACACCAAAAAAUCACAAAAGAAUGAACAAAUUUUGCCUUUCGUGACAAUAAUUACAUUCUUGUUCGCAUCAAUGACAUGAUCACUCUUUCUUGAGCACAAUGUGGCCAUGCUCAUCCUUAGCAAAAUGACGCUCAAUCAAUUCAUCCCAGGUGGUUUCAUCAACUGUACUCUUAUUAGUUGAACCAAGAGAAGACUCACCCUCUGACCUUCUUGAACUCUCCUCUCCCUCCUCAUCAAAAGUCCCAUACUGUGAUGGUGGUGUGUAAGCAUGGGGAACAUCUAAUGUUUUAGCCCUUUGUAAUGCUGCUCUGUAUUCUUGACCGUGUCUAGCUAUUGUUUCCUGACGCUCCAUGAUUUGCUUUGCUGGUAUUUCCAUGGUACUAUCACUCUCCCGCAUUAACUGCACUUGACAGAAACAAAAUGGCAGAGGUUCACAAUUACUCAUUAGUCAUUAAACACAAUGCCAAGCUAGCGUGUGUUUGUUUUUCUGUUUGUAUCAAUGUCGCAAACAUGAUUCCACGUAAUGACAUAACCUAAGGCACAAACAGAAAAGUAGGACUUUAUAGUGUCAAGUUCAACGGAAACUCAAAUACACACUUAAUGGAACCUGAUUCCUUACAUCUACCCUUUCAAGAAGCUCGUAUUUGAAUAGUCAACAAAAUUUACAGAUCAAUCCCAUUCUUUAGACACUCAAACAGUACCGGUACCCUAUAUACAUCUCAUUUUUCAAUUUAUCUCUAUCUCCCUAUCACAUCAUAUCAUGUAUUACAUCUAUCACUUCUCUCUCUCUUUCUAAUAUGGGCCAUAUACAUCCAAAGUGGGUGUAUAACAAGAUGAAAAUUUAAAUGCAUAGGUGAGGGACAUGGGGAGGAAAAUGCCAAAGGCUCUUUUUAGUUCUUGCAACACAAGAGAGACUUAGGAGAUGUAUAAAAAAUGUCAUUAUAAUCAUGUUACUCUAUACUUUCUAAGCAUUUCAUAUCUUAAGGUCAUUGGCUAAUAGGAAGUUAAAAGAACAAAGAAGUGAAUCCAGGGGCCUAGUUAGUAAAUAUAGCUAAAACACACACAGAGAAAAAGAGAGUCAGAGAUCAAAACUUCAAUUCCCUCAACAAUUGAAGUAUAAAAUUACAAGGAUUGAAGACUUACAUCAAUAGCCCUUUGGGCUUCUUUCUCUAUCCAAAUAAUGGCAUGAUCUGAUGUAGCAUUACAAGAGAGGACAAUAUGCUCAAACCUUCCAUCUACAGGCACUGCUGUCCUUACAACUGGGGGAAACCUUCCGCAUCUGCAUAGAAAAGGUGUUAAUGUGAAACCAAAAGAAAAAAGCGGCACAAUAUUUACAAUUCUGCUUAACCUCUUUGUGGAAUCCUUAACAAUACCUGAAAGGCUUUCUCUCAACAAUGUGAUAAAGCCGACCUGGAGCAUAGAGUCUCCUAGGAUCUCUCAGCUUCUUCUCCUCUGGUAUACAUGUAUCCCUCAUGCACCUCAAGCACAAUAAGCAGGGCAAACUGCCAACCCAAUAAAACAUUAUCUUACCACGGAAGCACUAAAAUUAAUGUGAUAAUCAUUUCCACCAACUGUAGACAUCAAAUGUUCACAGAUUCACAGCAAGAAUGUCAAUUGCUAUUUCAUAUUUCUUCUCAUUACAAACUCCCAACUUUCCUAUGUUACAAAAUGAGAAUUUGUAUGCACAUGUCCACUAAGAUGGUAAACAUUAAUCAAAUAGCAUCUCAAAUUCAUCCAAAUACUGUUUCAAAACAUGUUUUUGAAAGAAGAGAAAAUCCUCAAAACUGAACUUGGGAGGCCAGAAACCUUAGGAAAUUGGGAAUGGAGUUCAGAAUGCCCAAAAAUCAAGUCAGGUGUGGAAAUGGUUUCGAAUUGGCUUGGUCAGCAAUUCAGUCUACUAAUUAACGGCACAAAUUUUAUCAUGCUACUCCUCUAGUCUUGUUAAAAAGACGGAUAAUAACAAAGCUACUCCUAUACUGGGAUCUUAGGACAUACCAGAAAAGAGACUUGAAAAUAUCUUCCAACGGAGUGGCAGUCCUUGGUAAGAAAUCAUCCUGAUCAAGGAAAAGAGCAUUUAACUUCAAAAUACAAGGUUCAGUGUUAUCAAAUAGUGUUAUUAGCAUUUCUCAUUAUUAAAAACUUCUCUAUCUUUAUGUAUAGAUAUCUGUAUUCUGUAACUAUCACAACAAAAUCUCUGAAAGCAGCAAAUUAAAUGUAAAUUACAGCUUGUAUUUUUCUAUGGUUGUUGGCCUCUAUAUUCAUAAUCCCUCAUUCUUUAUUCCUUUACUCUGUUUUUACUUGUUAGUAUACAUAAGUCUGGAGCAAUUCAGGAAUGAUAUACACAAAUUUCAAAUUUAGGUCCACUUAGCGAAUCGUGUGCUGUUCAUAUACAAUGGUAAGAAACAGACAUAAAAGAAAAGACAAUUUAAAGUAGACUAUGUGCAUGUUUGAAAAAUCUUUCUACAAUUGAUUAUGGAGCUAGAAUCAAUCAUGAGGUGAAACUUCUGUGAGUAGCUUAUGGUUUUAGAAUUGAUUCUGAGAAACAGAAACUGAUCCGAACAUGCUAUACCUUUUAUACCAACAAAUGCCCUGAUUUCACCAUCAUCACAUAUUACUGGAUGUAAACAAAUUAAGAAAAGAAUGUCAAGAAUUCUUCAACUAGACAAAAACGAUUCUGAUAACUCGCCUGAAGGACAACGGAGUUGAUGACAUCUGCAUAUCUGACUGCCAGAUUAAGUGACAUACACCUAGCAGGCGCAAUAGCAUAACACCUGACCCUUUUCCUUUCAAUAUUUCCAAGUUUAUGUUUAUUCUGCACCACCACCAUGCUUAACAUUGUUGCUACUCCUGAUCCAAGGGAAUGCCCUGCAAAAGUUAGAGAAUAAUUUGGAUACUUCUCUACCAAUUCCUUCAAAACUUGCCAUUCAGCAUCCAUAAUCCAUCCAGCAGCCUUCAACAGCCCAUUGUGAACAUACCCCCCAUCAAAUUUUCUCUUCCCCAGUUUAUUAUCCAACAGAAGUGCAUAGUCACUUUCCUUUGCUAAAUUUAGUCCCCUAAUGGCAAGAACUAUAUCAGCAUGGUCAUGAUCAAGAUACAGUAUAUAGGGUGGUGCCCGCCCUUGCGUAUCUUCAUAUGUCUUUUUGAGUAUUAACCAAUCAGGGUUAAUUCCAUAGCCACCAGGAGGCGCCCAAAGAGGGUGUCGAAUAUCAUCUUCAUACACGGACAAAAUAUAACGACAAAGGCGAGGGACAGGCUCAAAUUCUUCUGCUGUGGCAAGGCCCCAAGUUUCGCUGUCAUGGCCUGCAGUAUGAAGACAUCUUUUCCAAGCCCAACGAGCACAAGCUAGACAAUACACACAUUCAACAAGAGGCAAGCCACACAGUAUUGACAUGAUACCAAGUACAAUAUAGGAACAAAUAAGAACUUCAAAUGUGAAACUUGGAAGUGUAUACUAAAAUGGUACAAAGAGUAUUUUAUUUCAGGUACAAUAAGUACAACAUGGCUUUACAAAAAUUGUAGUUUCAAUAGUGAUGAUGAUUGAUGACCCAUCAGAAACUGUAACUUCAGGUAGCAAAUGUACCAACAAAAAAAACUAUUUGAGAAGUAUUGGAUGAAAGUUCAUGUGGGUAGAUAGAAGCAGUAUACAAUUCAUUCAGCAACAGAAAAUUGUGCAGGAUGACCAAGACCAAACUUGGACCACUUCUGAGUUCAAACAACAAAACAGUGGCGAUAAUCAGCAAGGAAACUAGGUAGUAGACAAAAAUCUUAACUUCUUGGCUAUAAAACUCGCCACAAAUUCAAAGGGGUUUGAUGAGUAUCAAAAUUGGAAACAGAGAUGCAUUCCAGAAAACUCUAAAGGACUCAAAUUUAAUAACUUCAGCCAAUAAGAACCAAUAAGGAAAUUGGGUAAUAAGAAAAAAAAAACAAGCAACAACGAAGAGAGGGGAGAACAGGAAGGACACCUUGUACCAAGUUUCAAAGUUGACCAACAAACUCAGGACACCAAAGCUUCAAAGGAAGAAAUUUUGGUAGGAGACAGUGAAAAUUUAAUCGUAUCAUAGGCUUUAAUGAUCAGAAAAUUUGGUAGGAGCUUCUGAUGAGUUAUGAUAGAGAACAGAAUUGGGUUUACCUUGUGCUGAGUUGAAACUUGCAUAUAGUAUAUAGUAAUGAAUAAUUAAUUUUCAAAAUUAAGGUGUAUUCCACCUGCAAGUCAAAGUCUGUCUUUGUUUAUGGGGUUUCCAUGGUUGAAAAGUUGGGUUGGGAAGACAUGUUGAAUGAUGAUGUGUGUAACAUAAAUAAGCAGUAUCAUUCAUUAUUGGGUUUCACAUUCGAGGCGUGUCAGAGUAAAUAAUUGUUGAUUCUAGAUCUAAUUGUGACAUUUAUUGUUGCAGUGGUGAAUCUGUCAUGUGCCCUUGAUAUUCCAUGUGUGAAGAUUUUCUAAUAUGAGCUGCCCUUUGACAAAGUUGCUGCAAGUUUAUAUGGCACGUGAUUUUGUAAGAGAAUAGCUUCCAAAACUUAUAAGGUAAAAUCAAUCAUUUUCACUACCUUGCCUUGUCACUAUUAGUAAUUUCACUAGUGUAUAGUCGAAUAUUACAUGUGUUGUGGAAUAUUCUAUCCUACUUUUUUUUUGUUUUGAAAUUUAUGCUACUUUGAUUGACUACAUUUUUAGGGUAAAUCAUAAAAUAAAUGCCAAUUAAAGCACCUAAAAGCAUAGUUAGUUUGCGUCACUUAAUUCAUUCAUGUUGAAAGACAGGAUUCAGACAAGGAACAAUCUCCGUAUGCGUCAGGUGAUCACGAAUGAGGAUGUCUUAUGUUCUUUGUGCGGGUUGGUAGAGGAGUCUACAACACAUCUUUUCUACCUAUGUCAUGCCACAAACCCGAUUUGGUAUGCAUGCGCUAAUUGGCUGGGAGUUCCAUCAUCAUUGGUGCCUUCUCCACGUGAACACCUGCUUCAGUUCCACUAAAGCACAAAGAGUGGGGAGUGUGUUAUUUGGAUGGCAAUUGUGUGGAAUGUAUGGCUACUCCAUAACAAAUUUGUUUUUAAUGGGGGAAAGAAUUUGACAGGAAUCAAGCACUAGGCUAGCACAAUUGAAAGCUUGGCAGUGGCUACGUAUAAAAACGAAUGGAUUCACCUACUCUUGGUUCGAAUGGUUGAGGAAUCCAAGCUCUUGUAUUCAAGCGUUAUGAGGGGAUGGGCAAUAACAGGAUUGCAAUUCAAGCUUACUUAAGGAUGCUCACAAUACAGUUGCAAACACUACAUGGUGUAUUGUAUUGUAGCAGGGAGUAAUAUAUAGUGAGGCUUAGCAGGUCAUUCCCAUUUUGGGUUGACAUUGAUUAGAGCUGGGUACGCGGGUGGCCCGCCCCGCGUAGGCCCGCAUUUUAGCGAUCCUCUAUUUUCCGGGCUAUAGCCCGCACUAGUCCGCGGUUUCGCGGGUCGAUCCGCGGGCUUUGGCCUCUCUCACCCCCUUUUUUGCCCUCGUAGGCCCGCCCCGCAUUGACCCGCCCCGCGCUGGCCCGCUCCACAUAGGCCUGCAUUUUAGCGGUCCUCUAUUUUCCGGGCUAUAGCCCGCACUAGUCCGCGGUCUCGCGGGCCGGUCCGCGGACUUCGACCCGCUUACCCAGCUCUAACAUUGAUUUUAUAUUUUUGCUUCUGUUUUGUCAUGUAUUUCAUGUUCUCUUACUUUCUUGAUGGUUCUAGUUUCUUCUAGUCCAUUUCUCAUUGUAUUUGGGUUAGCAUCCCUUGUGCUAAAUUGAAUGCAAAAUUUUGGCUUAUAAAAAAAAACCAACUCCUCCAUUCAUUCAUGUGAAUAAUUUUUAUUUUUAAGUUUAUUAUACUCACCAACUUUAAAAUGGUACCUCAAAAAAAAUUAAAAAGGUACCAGAUGUAGAUAAAUGUGUUCACUUUUUUAAAAUUUAAAUUAAAUUAAUGGCAUGAAACGGGUUAAAAAUAAUGCAUGGCCAACAUUUCUUAUAAACUAACUUUUUUUUUUGUGCUUUACAAGUAUCCUUCACCGGAGAUAAUCAUAUUUGAGCUGAAAAUAUUCACAUCAUAGUGAGGCAAUCUCUCAAUUAGGUUUCUCUUAAAAUAACUAAAUGCAUUUGAUUUUAUUAUUUAAAUAUUAUAUAUUAUAUUCUCAAUGAAAGUUUAAAUAAUUGUAGAAAAAUAAUUUAUUUUAUUGAAAUUUAAAUUUUCAAAAUCCUAAGGGUGGCAGCAGAUGAGGCAGCUCCCACGUGCUUCACCGAGUAUGAAAGAAACUACCUUUGACCUCUCAACACAUGAGCAUAACCCAUUUUCUAAAGUCUGCUAUUGGCAUAAUUGAAGGCAUUUUAAAUUUUAAAUUUUGAGCCUAAUUUAGUUUUUCUAAAAGACUAGUUUGGCCUUUAAGCUAACUUCACAAUAACAUAAUUAAAUAAAUAGUAAAUCACCUUUAAAAAAUAGUAAAUCAAGUGGAUUGGUGUAGUGAUUAAAUAUCCUUUAAUAAGCGAUUGAGGUUUUAAUUUUCAACUCAUGUGAGUGGAAAAAAAACUCAUUAAUUGGACUCCUAUAACUUAGUAUGCUGACAAUGUGACAAUGCAUAAUUUCAUAACUACUGCCCGUGAGAUACCUCAAUCAAGACAAAUAAAUAAAUAAAUCCGUCAAGUGGGUCAUCCAUGAUUAGAUUUAAUAAUUUUCUUACGUGAUAACCAUUUUAUCUAAAUAAAUGGUCAAGAAUCCCAAGAUUAUAAUAUUAGGCCAUGUAACUUUUUGAAUAAGACACGUAACAUUUUAAAGUUAGCAUGUGACUAUUAAAUAACUUUUAAACUUCACAAUUUAUGAUUACAUAUAAUAGUUAGUUUUAUUUCUAUUUGUUCAAGUCAAUUACUAAAUCAAAAGGUCCAAACAUCAUCUCAGCCGAUUUAAAGGACUUACACUUAAGCAAAUGUAAUUCUAAUUAGUGUUUGAGUAGUUGCACGAUGACCGAGAUACAACGACUAAAACAAGGCGGCCCAGAGCCAACCUUGUGCUCAAAAGCACCAUUCGCAAAUGAUAAAUCUCAUAUGCAUGCCGAUAACGACAAAAAAAUAAAAAGUUAAAAAUGUAACUCAAAGUAAAAAUAAAUAUUAACAACAUAUUUUUUUUUAUUUAACACGGUUCAUGUAUUUUUUUUAAUACUCAACAUAUUUAUUUAAAAAAGAUUCAAUUUUAUUGAGAUGUGUUCAAAAGAUAUAUUGCUCGUAUUUCUCCAAGCAAAACAAUUAUUUUCCAAAAAACAAUAUUGAAAUUUAUAAAAAAAGCAACUAUACAACUAUUGGGCCGGGCCUAGUUGUUUACUCUGAAAAUGGAUUAACGACCCGACUCAAUUCCGUGUAAUAAAAGAAGAACCCUAACUCCUUCUCUCCCAUUCCCAGCGCACACAUUGGAAUUAGGGUUUCUGUUCUCACAAGCGCGAGAGGUAAACUUUCACAUUUCCACCUUCUUCUCACGCUUCAAACCCAUGAUCUCGUUUCGAUUGUAAUCUCAGCUUCUUCCAUUGACAAUUCUUAACCGUGUAUGCGUUUUUCGUUCUAUUGGUGCAGGGAAAUGGCUCCUAAACAGCCUAGUACUGGCUUGUUCGUUGGUUUGAACAAGGGUCACGUUGUCACCAAGAAGGAAUUGGCUCCACGCCCUUCAGAUCGCAAAGGAGUAAGCUCGUUUUUCCCCUUUGAUUUAGGUUAUAAGUGUCUUAUUUGCACUAUUUGAAAUUGCAAGUUCUGUUGUUGGAAUCACUUUAUCUUUCAAUGUACUAGCUGUGUGUUUAGCAUCUGUAGUGAUUGUAAUUUGUAAUUAGAUGACUGUUUUUGUUAUUUAGGUUUUCCAAUGUUUAGCUACUUUGUCUCAGUGACUGGUUUUUUAGAUCCUAGGGAGGGAGAGAUUUUUCUGUUUACUUUGUGGAAUUAUUUCAUGAAUUUAGCUUGUGAAGCCUGAUUUCUCAUAUUCUGUUAUUUGAAUUUUUCAUCUUGACUUAAAAAAAGGAUGCUGGGUGCCAUUUAGAGAAAUGAUGUAUUGUAUUAUUUUGAUUUCAGCUUAAGUUUGUUGUUAUCUUUUUGUGAGGGGAACUUCAUUGUAUUGUCUUGUCUAUACAUUAGUGAAAAUCAUAAAACUGCAGCUAAGCCUUUACUUGUUACUUUGAGUUCUUACUAUAGGCAUUUUUAGUUUGUUGUGACCUGAGAUCUUGAAUCCCAUAUUUUCAGAAUUUCAGUCAUUUUUUGUUCCUGAGCUGAAUCUUUUUGGGGAACUGUUUUUUGUUCUUCUAGUCCAUCAUAAACUGUAAUCUUGAGUUUGCAAGUUCAAUAUAUAUGCUGCUACCAUCUGUAGGAUGUACAAAUAAGCGUAAGGUAACGAAAUAUUAGAUGCAUCUUCUGAUGGCUCAUCUUGGGUCAGCUCAUGUGUAAAAGAUAUAAGUUAGUAGACGAAUAUGGGAUGGGAGGGUAAACCAUCUCUCUACCAUUUACCUUAUAUAAAAAUGACUAAAUUUUGUAUUUAUUGUUCUUGACUUGCUUACCUUGACUGUGGUACUAAGAAAUGUUUUGACUUGAACAGAAAACCAGCAAGAGGGUGCACUUUGUGAGAAGCCUCAUCCGUGAGGUUGCUGGGUUUGCUCCUUAUGAGAAGCGUAUCACUGAGUUGCUCAAGGUUGGAAAAGACAAGAGGGCACUCAAGGUUGCAAAGCGAAAGCUAGGAACCCACAAGCGUGCAAAGCGAAAGCGUGAGGAGAUGUCCAAUGUUCUCCGAAAGAUGAGGUGGGGCACCAUUCUUUUGUCAAUGUUACACAUUCUUGAAUGUAUAUUUCUUUGUCGUUCCUUUUGCUUAUGCUACUUCCCUAUUUGUGUGCAGGUCUGGUGGUGGAGCUGGAGACAAGAAGAAAUAAGUCUUAUUUACUUCGUUCUAGUUUUCCUAGAUGGUUUGAUGUUUUGAUAGACAAGUGCUGUCUUAUUACUUUUAUUUUGACUCAGUUUAUUCAGUUCUGUUUCAUGUGUUAAGAAAUGCUUUAUUUAACUAAGACGUGAUUUUGGGCAUGUGAAGUGCAAUCGGCAUAUUUUGUUUACCAGAAAGGUGAGCCAAAAUGUUUUUAUGAGUAAACCUCGCGUAUUGGAAUUUGUUUUUGCUUUUAUUUGUAAAAUCAUUGAUUUGUUAAUUUGGAUCGUUAACAUUGUAGCCUAUGUUUUAUUUUAAAGGAGUCAAAGCUAUGAUAAAAAUAUUAUGCUUUUAAAUAUAUAAAAAACAUAUAUUGAUUUUAUGAGCAUUUGAGAAUAAAAAUGAAAGAAAUAUUCUUUUAAAUCUAGCAUAGUUUUACAUGGGUUCUCCCUUGAGUGAUGAUGUUUGUCUCAACCAUGGACCUGUUGCCAGGUGCCAACUCGGGAACUAAGCUUUCCUCACUGCGGAUUACUUGUGCUCUUAAUAUUGGUGGGAAAUAUUUAAUUGAAAUAAAAUAUGAUUCAAUGGAGUAAAAUGGUACACAAUUUUUGUUUGGAUAUACAUUUAUAUUUUAUUUUGAUAUCUUACAUUGAGUUUAUCUAUGGCCAAAUCCCUCAAACUUUAGAAUGGAGUCAAAUAGUAUUACAUGAGUUUUAGCCCCUGUGGUCGCUUUCAUGUAAUUGGACCCUAUACCUUCAAAAUAUGGACUUGGAAGCACGCAAUGAAGCAAAAAGUAAGAAUGACUAAGGAAUUAUAAUGAACAAACCGGAGAGGUAUUUGCAAAGCUUGGGCAGUAGCUGAGCAAGGAUCUAGCUGGGAAAUUGGUAAUGGUGGGAAAACUCUCUUCUGGAAAGAUGACUGGUUACCUACUGGUGAGAGACUCCUCGAUUAUCUCCCAGAAAAUGUCCAUACUUGGGAAGCUGAUCUCCCUGUCUGCACGGAUGCUGCCUCAGACAAUCUGCGAUCUGAUUGCUCUAGUUAGACCUCCUGAAUCUUCUAGAGAAGGGGACAGAAGGUACUGGAAGCCCUCCCUAGAUGACUUUUUCACCCUGAAGUCGGUCUACCCUCUCCUAGCCUCUGAGACAGGGAGCAACCGCUCCCCCACUUUUGAUCAGGUUUGGAAGUACAAAGGUCCCCCCCAGAAUCCAGUGUUUCAUCUGGAAGUUGGCUCAUAACAGACUCCUGACAAACCAGGAACGCAUGAAACGGUGCAUGACAACCUCUGCCUCUUGUCCUAGAUGCAAUGAUGCAAAUGAAACCGUGAUAUAUGCUAUUCGUGAUUGCCCCUACAUCCAAGAGGUCUGGAAUUAUUUUAUCCCAAGUACUAAAUGGAAUAAAUUCUUCAGCCAAGGUAUGUCCCAAUGGCUUCACCAUAAUCUCAGGAAAAAUUGGGUCCAUAAAUCUGGUUUCAAUUGGGCCAUUCUGUUUGGGGUGAUUGCGUGGCACAUUUUGGAAAGACAGAUGUGAUCUCAUCCCCCUACUAUACAAUGCAGGAGCCCUUCAAAAGAACCCAUUGCAUACGUGUCUGCACCGCGCCCCUUCUCAAGUCCCUUUGUCCACGUGUCAGUGCUACGGAGAUUCACUAUUUUUGGUCCUUUAUAUUGGUUCUUUAUAUACCAUUCCCACUUGCUUUGAUUUACAAGUAUCCCGCUCAAAUUGAAAUUGGAAUUUCAACUCAAUCAUCAAUAUUAUGUCUGACUCACUGAGAUACAUGAGGCAUGGUACAGGUGCUAAGUUUGUCCCCUAAUAACUCACCUUUAAUUAUUCUGCUUAAAAAAUUCCUUAUUCCCAUCAUCCAUGUUCCACAUACCUCUCUAUAAAUACACUUGCUUCCACAUAUCAGUUCUCCACCAACCAUCUGUUUUCCAAUUAACAACUUAGUUGCUAUCAUGGCUUCUCAAUUCGAUGAUGUGAUUAAUCUUCGACCUGGGAAGGAGACAUGGAGGAUGCUGGUCAAGAUCAUACGCAUCUGGUAUAGCCAGGGCUAUACUAAUUCCAAAUUACCAUUAUCUCUGGAAAUGGUUGUAAUGGAUGCCAAGGUAAUUUAGCUUUGACAUAUUUUUUUUGGCUUUGACAUUUUUUUUUGAAAGAAAAGUAAUUCGUUUCAUUUCUAUGUAAAGAAGAUACCCUCCACACAUGUGUCCAAGUCCAUCUGUAAUGUUUGGCAGUACAGAGAUUAUUGCACCGUUACUUGACACAAGGCAAAAAAGAAUUUGCAACUAUAUAUUGGUUGCCCAUAUACAAAAUUGAAAAAAGCAACAUGAACUGAAGCACCAUAAUAAUAUCUUUUGUGUUUAACCAUAAUUACUGAAUCUAUUUGGCAGGGGGAUAAAAUACAUGUCAUCAUUAGGAAGACAAUCAUGUAUAAAUUUGAGACGACUCUUAUUGACGGAAACGUCUAUAGCAUGUCCUAUUUUGAGGUUGCUGACAAUAUUGGGUUGUUCAAACCAACUAAACACCCCUACAAAGUUAAUUUCCAGUUUAACACUGAAGUCCGCCCAAUGAACCAAAAUCCCAUUUCUGUUGAUCCUUAUUCGUUCGUCCCUCUUGCUGACGUGAUGUCUAUCACUUAUGAUACAAAUUUUUUAAUUGGUAAGAGUAAUACAAUUAAUUUCCCAAAAAUUUUAGGACAUAUCGGGUUAAAUAAUUUAUAUUAAUAAGUGCUUUGUUUCAUUAUCUUAGACGUCAUUGGAAUCCUCACUGUUGUUGGAACUGAGAGGGUGAUUGAAAGUCAUGGAAAGAAAACAAAGAUGAAUGUCAUUGAAAUUGACUCUUAUGGGUAUUUUUGGCUUAAUCACACAUACUUUAAAUAUCUAUUUAACACACUAAUUAUAAUUUAAAAAGUAAAACCACUUACCAUAUAUGUAGGGUCAAGAUGGAGUGUGCCUUAUUUGGACCCUAUGUCGAAGAUCUCAAUCUGUUCCUUAAUGGUGGUGAAAUGGUGAACGUAGUUAUUCUUCUCCAAUUUGUCAAAGUCAAGACAUGGCAAGGGAAUUUGUCUUUGCAAAAUGUGCAUGGGGCUACAAAAAUGUUGUUUAACCCCGCAGUCGACAUAGCUGUGGCUGUCAUGGAAAGGUAUACUCAUUAAAUCCGGAUUUUUUUACUAUGGGUAACAAUAUUGUGACAUAAUUUUUUUUCAUUGUGUUAUUAGGUUUUCAGCAAGUAAUGAUACAGGAUCGCAAUCUCUAAGUCAGCUUCAAGAUUCAAGCAAGGUUGUAGAUGAAGAGGACUUCUUAAUCUUAACCCCUCGAAAGACCAUUGCGCAAGUCCAUGACAUGAAGGAGGUAUCAUUCUUUAAUUUGUGAGGGAUUAUUGUUCGAAAAUCAUAUCGUUGAAUCUUUACAUUUACCCUGCAGAAUUCGGUGUGCAUUGUAUAUGCCACUAUCAGCUAUGUAGAAGAGGGUAUGGACUGGUUGUACACUGCAUGUAAAUGCAAUAAAAAAGUUUAUCCAGAUGAAAAGAUGUAUUUCUGUGAGGUCUGCAACCGCCACGUUGUCCACGUUAUCCCAAUGUGAUAGAUUGUAAUAUCGUCCAUUCCUUUGAUAUGGAUUAUUUCCAUUAAGGUUAGACCAAACGACUUCCAACUUCACUAAGAAUGUUGUGUACACUGAGGUUUUUGAUAAUAUAUGAGCAGGAUAGUAUUGUAGUCCAUUGGACGUAUCUUUCAAUUAUUUAAUUUGAAAUCUCCCACAUGGUUGACUUUGUUUUGAACUAAUAUCCUACAAAAGUAGUUAUGAUUUUAUUCAUACCAUUAAUUCUUCACUGCAUGCAUGAAUCACGCAUGCUGCAUCUGACACUCUUGCUCCCUUUUUUCUUUUUCUAGCAAAAUAAUUGUACAUGUCUUUUGAGCAAAAGUUCUCCUUUUUGUCUAUAUGGUGUUGUUUAAGUUUUAAGUCAAUAUAAACACUAAUUUUAUUUUCGUAUCCCAUUAGUCUAAUUUUUUUUUUGGACGGAUCUAAUGUAACACGUAAAUCCAAGUAGCUAUUUUUUUUUUUAAUUUAAUUGUGGUUUGAACGGCUAAAUAGGGAAAUAGUGGAAUUUGGUUAAUUGAUAUAUUUUUAUGCCCAUCUAAUGGAUACAGUAUUGUGUAAUGGGAAUCAUAAGAAUGAUAGAAUGGAGAAUGAGAAAAUAAAGCUAAAAGAGGACAGUUUAGACAUGUAAUAUGAAUUAGUUUAGAAAAGGUCUUUAAAUGCAACCUACUGGUUAGACAUUCAUUACUUACAUUCUUACUAAAUAUCAACUCAAUAAUAGGACUAUGCUGUAAAAGUCCACAGUUGUGAGUCUAUAUAUACCCUCCAUACCCCCUACAUCCCACACUUUGGCUGGAUUGCCCUCCCAUUUCCUAAACAAUGGACCACAUUCUGUCGGCGAAUUUUGAAGCGUAUGAGUCUGCAUUUGCUGUUGUCAGUCGUCCUUACGAGGUUUGUUUGAUCAUCUAAUGUUCAUAUCCAUAUCAUAUAUAUCACCAACUUAUUAAAUAUUCAAAAAUAUUUUAAGUUGCAGAUGACUGCUUCUGUGGCAGAAUUUUUCGCAACAAGGUUUGAUGUUGAACUUAGUAACAGGUGGUUGUUAUUUGACCCUGUUGGUAAUAGGCAUUCUGUCCAAUUUAUUAAGUGUCCUGUUAAGCCACAAAUUUCAACUGGGUGGUUUGAAAUCCGUCAUUUUUAUGGAUUGGAGGGGGUGAGAUGGUGUAUUUUGAGAUAUAAAGGAGGGUCUAUGUUCGAUCUAUUUGUUUACGGUAGAAAUUCACAAGAGAUAGACUACCACAGAGGGCCUCGAUCCAAACACUUAGAGUAUCCCCCUAUGUUAGAGCCCAUUGUAACAAAUGUGCCAGAAUGGAGAUUUUAUCCAUGUUAUUUCACAGUGCAACUUACGGAAAGCCAGUCAAAAGGAAGCCAGUUGGUAAUGUUUUAAAUUGUAGGUUCCAUUCUUAAAGUCAUAUAAUUAUUUUGAAUAUCUAAUAUCUAUCCUUGGUUUCAUAUGCAGAAUGUUCCUAAGCACAUUGCUUACUACCUUCGUAACUCUGAUGUUUUCCACUGGAUUCUAAGAGGGCCAUCUGGCAUUCAAGUGUUAUGUAGCAUACUUGCACCAGAACGAUUCAACUACGCUAAGAUCGGUAGAGGUUGGAAACUCUUCUGUGAACUGCAUUCUAUACAUACUGGACAAGUGGUAUCUCUUCUUUUUUCAACCGAAGAUAUCAAACUGGUGGAUGUUAUUAUCCACCCAUAUCAAGUGUAACAGCAUUUGCCUUUAUUUCGUUGCCACUUAUGUAUGAUGUAUCCAUAUAUAUGUAUGGUAACAAGCUUCCAUCUGAUGUAUAAUCCAUUAGGAUUAUUUUUUUUUAUUGCAAACUUCCUGGUAACCAACGUAUGCCUGCAUAUAAUUGACUUAUGCCUGCAUAUAAUUGACUUAGGCAUGUGCAUUUGUUAACAUGAUGUUAUCAAAGAUUUAAUUCAGGAGACAAAAAACAAAAUAAAAAUUACCAUAUAUGAAACACCGUGCAUAGCACGGGCCUAUAUACUAGUAUUUAACAAUCACAUUACCUUGCCAUGUAAUAUGGCCAUUAACAUCACCAUAUUUACUACUGAAAUUACCAGAUUUCUGAGUAAGCCAACUGAGGAAGAGAGCCUACACCUGCCUAAUAUCCAUGUUGUCUGGAAACCUCCUGACCAAGGCAUCUGGAAACUGAACUGUGAUGGCUCUUACCUCCCUAGCAAUGGUUCUGCUGCCUGUGGCGGGAUAAUUUGAAACCAUGGAGGAAGAAUCAUCUAUCAUCGAGGUUUCGCUAGCAAACUUCACUAUGGGAAUCCCCUUAGAGCUGAACUAUGGGGAGUAAUUAAAGGCAUCCAGCAAGCUCUUGAGUUGCGACCCAAAGAACUGAUGGUGGAAAUUGGCUCAAGAAGCCUUUGAUCUGAUCACGCUAUAUUGCCAUGGCUCUCAUCCCUGUGCUUAUUUGAUAACAGAGAUAUCCAAGUUGGCCUCUCAAGAAGCGGUUAUAUCUUUCCACCUCAUCAAUCGCGCUGCUAAUGGAUGUGCAGAUAGAUUAGCUAAGCAUGGUCAUGGAGUUGAUUUUUUUCAGUUUAAUAGUGAGGUUGUGCCCUCCUUCCUAAUUUCAGCUCUAAGGAAUGAUGUAAUGGGAUCUGUGAUCCCGUAGCCUUUGUUUUCCCGGGCUUCGGCCCGUCAAAUUAUCAAAAAAAAAAUAUAAUGAACAAAUAGUAAGAAACCAUUUUGAGAGCUUGAGUGUUCUUGAUGUUAAGAUUUGUACUCAGCGUGCUUCAGCCUUCAAGACAAUCUUGAAACUGGUUUUAUUUGUUUGUCUUAAAAUAAAGGAGAUGAAACUGAAGGCUUGUUGGAGCCAUUAAGGCAAUAUUUUGAAUCACAUGCGGUUAUCCCUACACAAAAAUGACAUGAUUUCCAUGAAUAUGUUUUAGUCUUCUUGAGUUCCUUGUAGAUGGAAAAGUCCCUGAAAAAGGGAAAGAUCAGGUCUUGAACUUCUGAGUGAGCUUCUCAACUCCUCCUCUACAAUCAUCUGCAACUCGCUUUACCCUUUCUUUCAUGACAGACCCAAACUCAAGGGCACUUUGCUGCACAUCAUGAUAAUAUGAAUGUAAAACCUUUUAAUCAAUCUCCAUAUUUAGUCCAUUUAUAAAUCAACAAAAUAAUAAUAUCUACUAUAUACAAAAUUAGAAAAAUGAAAUAUUGAAUAUUAAAAUAAUUUAAUUGCAAUUAUUAUUAUUAUUUUUUGACAACAGAAAAGAUAUUUUAUUGAAAAGAAUUCUUCAUGAGAACAACACGCUCAAGAAGACAAAAAAUCAAAGACAGUUAAUACUCAUAUUACUAGAGAAUGAACCUCAUUAAAACCUUAUUAGGAAAAACCUAAUUGGGAUAAAAACCUAAUGAAGGAAAAAUAGUACACCAUACUCUAAGUAAAUUACAAACAAAAACCCAUCAAAACCAUAAGUAGCUAAAACAUGCCACUUUGCCAAACCACACCAAUACAUUCUAAACAUAACCAGAAACUAGACUCCCAAAACGCCAAUAGGAAUCUCAUUCUACCAAACGAGAUUAUCUCAAGACCAAAACUACCAAGAGCCAUCUCAUUGUGCCAAACCCAAAAGAAUCUCCAUCCCACGUUCCUCAACUCCUCAUCAACUCACAGUUCCAACAUCUGCCAAAACACCUCGCAUUCACAAUGUUAACAUAAAGCACUCAUACCAACCAAAUAUUAACCAUUUGCACAUAACCCACCAUGACAAAAAGAACUCGUGGUUUUUGCUGUCUUUUCCAUAAACCCCAACACAACUAAAAACACUUGCAAGAUAUAUCCCAAAGAUACAAAACACCUGUACAUGCCACAUACAACACACUUGCAGAAGAACUAACAACACAUGAGUUGGCAAAAUGCAACCUGAGAAUGCCAACCAUGACAAGCACAGCACGGGCCCAUCAUACCACAACACAACACCACUUACACAUACCAGCCCGAAGACGAUAGAACCUGCCUUUGACUGCUUUUCCUCAACCCCACAUCUAGGCACACACCUUCAUACCCCCACAAGACACAACACCAACGAUCUGAGACAUCCAAAAAAUCUUCAACUCCACUCCUUCCAACCCACCCAUAAACGUCAUUGCAACUCAGGGUGAUUUAAUUUAAUCUGAUUCUUAAGUCUUUGAAUCAUCAUCUCUUCAUCACCAUUGUAAACCACUCCCACCUCUUUCCCAACCUUCCAUGUCUGUCGUGCCCUUGAAUCCAGGUCCAUACCACCAAACUCAUCGUCCGAACAAAUAAAGUCUGCCGCCGCCUGUUGUAUCAACUUGUUCUUGCUUCCCCUCGGUCUUCCUCUCUUUGCUUUAGGCUUGACCCCUAUUCGACCUCCUCUAGCAGCACCAGGCCCUCCUCCCCUUUUUUGUCCUCUUCGUUGUUUUAUUUUAGCCAAAAUUUCAUCAUCUGAAUACAGUGCCUCAAGUGUUGCUUUAUUUGUCUCACCCUCUUCAACAUCCACACUCUCAUCACAAUUAAUUUCUCUUAAUUUUGCUAUAUGGCAUAGCCCCAUUCGAAAUCCUGGUUGGUGCUUUGAUCUCAUGGAAUAAUUCUCCCUCUGUCAACAAACCAAAAACGGCCUUGGAUCUCGCUGGCAUAUUUAUAUCCCUCGCCGAUGUCCGUUUUUCUUCACUUGUUAUUUGAACCGGUGAAUCACAAAAUGUCACCUCCUUCCUUAACACGUGCUCCAAUUGAAUACCAUCCUCCAAUUUAAUUGCAAUUAUAAUUAUUAAUAAUUAUUCAAUAAUAAUAUAUCAAUAAUAUGUAAUUUAUUUUUACAUAUAUUUAUCAUAUUUAUAAAUAAUAAUUCAAAAUAUUUAGACACUUCUAGAUUAUUUCAUAGAGUCUAGGUACUUUAAUUCAAGAAUGAUAUAAUGCAUGUUUACAUAACACACUUAAAAUGUAUGUUUGCAUAACAAACAUAUAAUACAUGUUUACUAUCUAUAUAUGUGUUUAUCUUAUAAUCUACAAAUAUUCAUAACAUUUUAUGAAUGAAAUGUAUUUUUUUUUGUAUAUUUUUAGUAAAAUUAAUAAUAUGAAAAAAUUACAUUAUAUUUUUUAUUUCUAAAAAUUAUUACUAAUGAAUAAAAGUUUUUUUUGUGUGUAUAUAUUUAUUUCUUUAAUACACUGCAACACACAAGAAAAAACAACCCAUAAAAUCAUUCCCCACAGACGCGGUUAUUUGCCCUCUCAAUGGCUUCUACCGUUUGCCCUGCAAAAAUAAGGGAUUACUAUUAAGCUUUCAAUGUGCUCAUGGGGUUAUAUGCAAUUGGUAAAAUAUGGAACAAUUUAAAGAAAGAAGAUUUGACUUUCGCCAACACAAAAUGCAUCAGACCUCCCCCCAAAAUACAUAGUCGUGUCCAGUCCUUUUCAUUUUUCUUUUUGGUGAUUCAUUUUAUUAUUUUAAUCCUCAUGUUUUCUAACACCAGUUGCAUCCCUCCUUCUAUUUCCGUUAAAUAAAAAAAACCAAACCAAACCACCUAAUAAUCCUUUCAUUUUCUCUUUUUUUUCCUUUCUUUCAUAUCCUUUCUAUUCAUUUUCUUUUCUCUUAUUUUCACUUCCCACCCAAACAGAGCAAAAAGUGAAUUUUCAUAUGAAUUAAAGAAAUGAAAUAAAUAAAUAAAUUACCGUGAAAACCACAAUAGGGGUCACCACCAGGAGCACACAGGCGCACACAUCACAAUGUUGUCAGAUGAAUAAAUGUGCAACAUUGAAUACCUUGCAUUAAAAAUAGGAUUAAAAAAGAAACUUCACAUAAAAUUAAAGAAAAAAAAAAGUUACCAUGGUAAUCACACAGACCACCAGCAACAGCACGACGUGCACACCGCACAGACCUAUAGGGAUGAACGAAUCUGCAUGCUGCAGAAAAAAAAUAUAUUUAACAUAAGAUUUUCAUAUUAAAUUAAACAAAAUUCAAUAGAUAAAGAAUAAUUUGCAGGUGCCUUAAACAUGAGAGGUAAGGUAUGUGGCUUGAAGCAUGGUAUCAUGGAUUCAUUUUUUACUGGAGGAAUUAUUUCAAGCUUGAGAUACACUGAUUGAAGGCAUGGUGGCGCUUCAAAUGAGGAAUUUCGUGCAAUUCGAGCUACUGAAAGCUAAUCGAAUCUGAAGAGAGCUCGGAGAGCAUGUGGUAGUGAUCAUGGCCAUAAAAGUUUUCACCUUUGCAAAAUAGUGUUUGCAUAGAGAAAUAAAAAAAAUAGUCUUUGUAAAAAAAUGUAAUAUGAAUAUGAAUGAAAAAGUGAAAUGAUUGUCUAUUUUUUUUUUACAUGAAAUUAUUUUCUAUUAACUACGAGAAAUAAAAUAUUUAACAUUUUUUUUAGGUAUUCCAUCGCCGACUUUCAUGACACUAAUUCCUCGUGGUUCGGAGAUCAUGUUAAAUCGUUAGGUUUCUCCCAACAAAUUUUUCUUCAUACGCACCGCUCAGAAAUCGAACCAUUAACUAGAUGUUUAAAGAAUUGAACUAUCUACUAAUUGUAUUAUAGAUUGUUGUUAUAAAAUAUUUAACAUGAUAAUUUAAUUUUUUUCAUACUUUAUUUAAUCAUUAAUUGACAAAUUUUCUAGGCAGUUGGCAUGUUUUGCGUUUGGCAAGUGAAUAUACAAAGGGAGAAGAAAAAAAAUGGAAUGGAGGUUGGUCAAUCUUAUGUGAAUGAGAAUAAUUGGAUCAUAGGAAUCAUUAUGAUUAUUUUAAUAUUUGCUGAUCAUUUUACGUGUUACAUAUCAUAUUUUUGUUAGUGAAACAAGUAAUUUUAUAGAAUACAAUCCUUCAUUUCUUAACAAGUCUAGCUAGGCAUACCCCAAAAGAUAAUUAAAAUAAGGAGAGCAGUGGAUAUACACAGGCCCUUCACCUUCUUUUCACUACUGGAUAAGGCACUCAAUUUUCUAGAAAUGGAAGCAUUGCUGAGUGUUGUCUUUUUCAAUGAAACAUAUAUAAAAAUAAUGUUCACUUUUAGGCUUUAGCCUUACUGUUAGUGGAUGGCAAAUUUAAUUUUGUUUGAUCAAUUUGGCAUUACUCUCGUGACUGUUAAGGAAACAUGUAGAAGUGUGUGACCAUUAAGGUGGUCUAGGGUUUAUCCAACAUGUGAACUGAAAAUUUAUUACUAUAUCUAAUAUGCAAACCGACAAAAAGUGAACAUAACUCUCUUUUUAUGAGUUGCCUUGAAGGUUUGUUCUUGUUGCACUUUACCGACAUCAAACACACUAAAUUUCAGUAUCAAUAUUUGAUCCUAAAAGUUGACCACAUAAUGAAUCAGCAAAAUAUCCUAGUUUUUUCUCAUCAUAAAUUACGUUUGAGUGAUACAAAAGAUUCAAGAGUGGUAAUCCUUUGAUCUAAUAAUAAUCUUCAGUUUCUUACAACUUGAACAGAUCUUAACCAAAAUCUAUUUUUUCCCUAUUGUCCUAAAGAUCACAAGAAUCUACAUAAUUAAGUACAAACUUAACCUAUAUAUACAGCCAUUUCUCACUCCCCUGAGCUCUCACAUGAGCUUCCCAGAUUGGAAGUGAUAUCAUGCACCAAAACCCUGAUUAUGUGGCUUGCUGAUGAUCUCGAAACAUCAAUACACUCCUGCAGGUCGGCAUCACAGGCUAUCAAAACCCACUCUUGAUCAUCAUCCAGGUACUUUAUAUCAAAUGUACCCACCUCUAGUUUCAACCUUUUGGAAACUUCUUCUUUCAAUUCCACAAUGCCACAUGUCAAGGAGACCCGAAACCUUAUGAUGUCUUCUCUGUAUGUCGCCUUAAUAGUCACUGUUUUCAUUUCUUUCUUAGCCGCGAAAGGUGUCACUGUUUUGCCAAGUGUAUCCACAGGUCGCUUAGGAGCCAAACUAGAACAACCUGGAGGAUUAUUAGUUGGACAAGCUUCUGGAACCUGAUCCUCCAAAAUGGCCUCUGCUGCUGAAGGACACAAAUUUCUCAAGUCUUUAGAACUUCCAGCAUCCUCUAUUAGCAUUCCUCCAAAUGGCUCUUGAAGUUCUGUUAACACAAUGUCAGGUAUAGGGAUAGGACUUGGUGAGUUCAACGUAUUAAUCGGCUGCAGCGGCGACGACUCCGGUGAUCCCCUCGGCACAACACAUCGCUCAUUGUUGGAUGUGAUGGAUAUGUCUUUUACAUGUGAACUUUCAAUUGGGGGACUACCGUAGCAUGAACCAUGAGAAGUAGGAUUUGUGCUAUCUUCACUAGAGCCACUCCCAGUUCUAAUCCUUCUUGGACCUUUAUCAUUAAACACUUUCUCAAGAUUUUGUGUCAUUCCUCCUAGCAAUGGAUCUUCAAUUUCUAAUAUUUUAGAGGCAUCAAUUUCAUUCUCUUUCAUCUGAGACUCUAAUGGCCUCAUGCUUGCUUGCUGGCUGAACUUAUUUGGAGUAGAAGGCUCAGGAAAGGAACCAACAACUGGAAGUGGACUUGUGCUGAGAGAAUUCAAACCGAAUGCUCCUUCAGCACCUUGGACGGAUUCAAUAACACGCUUGAGCUUGGACAAGGACCGGUUAACCUUGUUGAUCUUCCGAGAUGGCCAGCGGGAUAUACCGUGCUGCCUACAGAUGCGCUUCAUUGUAGUGGGGCAAACUGCAAAAUCAGAAUACAUCUAAGAACAAUAUGUUUGACUUAGAGAUAAAAUAACCACAGGAUGAACUUCAUUCUAGUAUAGCAAACGUUUGUAAUAGAUUCAUAAAUGUAAAUAUAAAUGUUAUGUAUUUCCAGCUAGCAGAAGAAGCAUAAAGAUAACAAAUGAAGUAUUGCUUAUCACUAUAUGUCAGAGUAUGAACAUACCACCAAGGCUCUUUGCAGCAUCUUUAAGACUCCCAGCGAAAUAACGUUGUAGAACUUCAAGACUAAUUGAUUUCUCAGUUUUUCCACGUUUCCUUUCUGAGGGUUUCUUCAUGGUUUUAGUCUCUAAGGAGGACAUUUGAUCAAUGUUUCCACCUGCAUUAUCACCAUGAGCCCCUCCUUCAUUCAUGUCAUUGCAGUUCAUCAUUGUUUGUUGUUCUGAUGGAUCCUUUGGCACUUCCUCCACCAUAUUCGGCGAGCCACCAGGUCCAGGUGGUGAUUGAACAGAUUGAGCAAUUGGAAUAGAUUCAAGCCUCAACGUAACUCUUUCAUUUGUUGCUUCAAUAAUUUCAACUGAACCACCAUCCUCAAGUUCAACACCAGCAGCAAUCUUAAGACUCUGAAAGUGCUGUUUCAUUGUUGCCAAUAUGGAUCCCACAAGUGUCUUCUGUUCACUAAAGUGUGUGAUCCUAGGAGGCAGAAAAAAUUCUAACACAUAAUCAUCAUCUCCUGUAUGAGAGCUCCGUAAACAGAUUGCAAAACAACUUGUUAACCCAAACAUGAGAGCAUAAUGAACUAGGGGGUAAUCAGUUUUGCAGAAUUGGGUAAUGUUUGGGCAGAAGCACAUGCUGUGGGACGAAAAAGCCCUCCCAGCAACCCCUUGACCUUGUUGUAAGUGAUGCUCAACACAGGCCUCGCGGAAGCCCCAUAGAUGAGGAUCUAUGAUGUACGACGCUACAUCAGUUAUAGACAUGCAAACUUGCCCCAUGCAACUACCAUCAAAACUAGAACAAAUUUUCUUUAAACCACCACCGUGUGCCAAAACGCUCCGGUGCCGACAGGGAACCCAUGUUUGGGCCAGAGGUAAAUUAUGAGUUUCACACACCACUGUCAAUAUCUCCAAAAUCUCUGAUAACGCAUUCUGACGCCCUUCAUUGCAAAUCUGAUUUAAAAGCAUUGCCAAGUUAUAUCUGUGGGAAUCAAGGGGUAAGGUAUAAAACAACAGUAAUGUUAUACAGAUAUAACAGAUAGGGAUGCGUCAUGCAUGAUUGUUAAGAUCACCUGAGUGUAUGGAGGCUCCAAAAUUUCUGAACUCUUCAAGUUUACUGCCUAAAAAGAAACCAACAGCAGGUGAUUGAAGAAUCUAAAUAUGAUUUUAACUAUAUAAAACUUCUACCAUGAAUCUUGAUAUACUAUAACUUAUUAUCAUCACAUGGUACACAUCUGCCUAUCAAAAAAAAAAAUCACAUGGUACACAUCAAACAUAAGCAUACUACAAAACUUAGUAUAAAUAGAAAAGUUGGAAGAAACCCAACCUCAAGGGCUUUGCAGAUUUUUUCAACCUCAGGACCAUAGUUAAUCUUCUGUGAAGUCAUUAUCAACUCCAGCACACCAACACAUGACUGCAAUGCAGGUUCAAACACAGGCAAAGCCAAGGUUCCACGAACAUUGUAAUGUUCAGCAUGAUCACGUCGUGGAUACUCUUUAUUGGAAUAGUACAGAACAUUGGGAGUCCACUCUGGUAAUUUAUGCUGAAAAACGCGACCAGGAAGUCCCAGAGUUCCAUCAUUCUCUCCAUCAGCAGAAAACAUGUACAUCAGGGAGGCUGUUCUAUACUGAUGAAGUCCAUUACUAUGCGGGUCAAGAACAAAGGGUUGACCAGAAGUUGUAAGCACAUACCGAUUACCAUUCCUCACAGGUGCCCAAACCUGAGCCAGAACAUUCAGUUCAGUCAACUCUUUGAAGUGGCGAAGCGCUUGUGUCAUCCUUUCCUUGAUUACACAAAAGCGAUCCAAAUUUUCUAUAGGUGGCUGAGGCACAACGGGUGGCAAAAGCUUAUUGUUGUCAUCAUUUUCCAUUGGCUUCUCAGUUACUGAAUUUGAAUCACCUGAAAAUAGUAGCUUUAGUUGGCAAAAAUGCAGCUCCCAGCAAAAACUACAAUUUAUGCUAAGCACCUAAUGACAUUUGAGAAAAGGAUGAAAAACUUCACAGUUAUGGCAAGAAAAUAUUUGAUCUCAACUUCAUAAUAUGUCUAGAACUUCUGAACCUUACAAAUGCUCCAAGAAUCAUAAACAGUGUAGCAUAACAGAGGCAAAAGGUAAAAGCCCAAGAAAGCAAUUACCAGCCACAAGUCUAGGCUUUAGAUAUUAUCUUGCUUGGAUACCAUUGAAAGGAGUACAGAGAUGUGAAGCCAUGGAGCAUUGAAGCUUCAGCUGUUGAGUUUAGAAGAGGGAGAUAAAAGAAAUUCAACUUCAAACCCAUAUAUAUCAUCUAUACCUUAUAGUCAAGUUCCAAAGCAAUCAAAUGGAGCUUCAAGCACUAUAAUAGGCUGUUUUUCUUAAAAAAAAAUUGAUUCUUCAUUAUACAUAAACACAUAGGUAAACUAGGCUAUGUGCAUACCAAUAAAAUCAAUUCUGGACUAUAUUGCAUAUUCAGAUCAAUCAAAGCAAAACUAGUUGCAUCAAUUAAAGUUACAGUCAAGUGGAUAUUAACUAUUAAGCAAGUACAGAAGAUGGGUGAAAAAUCCAAAAUUCAACUCAAUAGAAAACCAAUCUGAAAGGAAGCAAUACAUACAGGGAAAGAUCUUGUGGCAAUCUGAGAAAGCUGGAGCUGCAAGGCUAGUGUGCCUAUCAUCUUCUCCAUCAGAGAAAGCCCAGAGAGGAGAGCAAGGUUGGUCAGACAUGGUGGAGAACAGAAAAGGUGACAUGGGGUUGGAGACAAAGGACAUGUGAUCCAUAGGCCAUGAACUUUCCAAAUCCAGAUCAAAAUCCAUGGCAAAUCCAGGUUCCUCUGUUGGUCUAGCCUUUUGUGGAAAGUCUGGCUUUUCUUCAUCAGAUUCUGACAUUUUUCUCUCUCAGGGUGCUAACUUUGGAAGGAGAAGUUUGUGGGUUUAGACUGUGAAGAGGAAUGUGAGAACAGCAUAGAAUAGAUGGAGAUGAUGAUGACCACAAUGGGUAAAAUUGAAGAAUGCAUAAGAGUCAGAUUCCAUGUGAAUUUUUUUACAAUGGCUUAGCCACUUGUGAAUAAAUUAUUCAACAAAAUUAUUUAGAAAAAAAGAAGCAAACUUUUAUUUUCUUGUUGUGGCAUCAACUACCAAAAGAAGUGCACUUGCACUUGCACUUGUCUCUGUCUUUUGUUUAUUUUAUUUGUAACAACACUUUCAACCACUGGUACAUAUCUGGGGGAGGUAACACAAUCAAAGGAGAUUUGGUGGUUAAGUUAACUUGUACUUGUUUGAUGGGAAAAAAAAAAACUCUUGUUGGAAGAGCUAGUUAGAUCUAUCGAAAUACGAAUGUUAUCUGCUCGAAUCAGAAUUUAUCUCAUCCCGAGCUGAAUACUUGUGUUAGAGAAAAACAAGGAAAUUUGGCCUAUAGGAUGGAAGAAAUUGAUAUUUUUGUCUUAUGUGGGUUCUAACAACACAGAAGUAGCUGUCUUAUGCGGGAGAGGAUGAUUGAAAUUUAAUAUGCAUUUACUUAAAUUUCGUAGUAAUGAUUAUUACCUUUUUAGUUGUUUUUAUUACUUUAUUUUUUUAUAUUCACUUUGUAUGUUAGAAUUUAGAUACAUUUUUUGACAGCAAAAAAAUAACAUGUAUUACCUCAUUUUGUUAUAUGUUUAUGUUUAUUGUCUAUUUAACUUAGAAAUGCUACAUACUUUUAUUUUUUUCAAUUUGUAAUAAAAUAUUAAAAAUAGGUAAACACUCUUAUAAAUAGUAAAAUAAAUAUUACAUUUUUAAUAUCAUAUUAGAGAUAUAUCAAAUAUACUAAAUUUUUUAAAAUGACAAAAAAAAAAAACCAGUGCAUUGCAAUGCUACAUAGCUACUAGGUCUUUCAUAAAAGUGAUAAUGAGGUUUGAUUAUAUAUAUCUCUCAUCGCAUAUUAUCUCUCAUACAUGAUCAAAACUAGCAGUUUUGAAUUGAAUAUUUUCAAUUCGCUGCCCUUAAUUAAGGAAUGGGUUAUUGGGGAAGGUUUUUAGAAACUGUCGCUCUCAACAUUGAAAUUAAUUACUUCGGCAGCACUAGCAUUGGAGCUUUCCUCAUUACACCCUCUUUCAUUAUUCACGUUCUUUGCAUCCUUAUUCUUAAAGAUGCGGUAAACAGCCCAAUUUGUCACCUGCAUUUUUGAGUAAUAAAAUUAUUGACUAAUGAUGAAUAAGACAAAAGGAAACAACUUUGAUAAUGACAUAUCAUACCUACCAACCAACCGUUCUAAUGAUAAUUUAAAAUGUAGUACUUUAAAUUUGUACUCAGUUUCGGUGUUAAUUAAAAUAGGUAGUUUAAGAAUUUGCGUUAGGUCUAAUUCUACUCCAAAAAAUAUUUUAUAGGUGAUGAUUUCUCUACCUUUAUAAAGAAUUAUUUGGUUGUAUCUCUAAUCAAUCCGGAACUAUAACCAUUAGUAAGGCACUAUUUUAUUCUUUACCUUAGAUGAGUUAGAAAUUAACGUAAGACGAAACUCAUGCAUCACCCAUUUGGUCCUCCUAGCAUUGGUUCCUUGAAAUUCCCAAAAAUUCAAGGUGUUCCUCCUCCCAAUCACCUGAUUGUUUUGGGGGAUAAGAACAUCUUUGCCUUUUUCUAUAACUCUCCACUGGCCACUCCCAGCAACUCUAAUGUCAAUGUUCUCAAAAUCACGACCCAUGGUGUUGAAGAAGAAACACUUACGUUCAUUGAAAAUCUUUCCAUCUGCAAACACAAAUUAAAUCCAAAACACCACCUUAGAUCAAUUUUCACUUGAAAUUAAACAACAUAUAAAACAUUCAUAUUUUAUGGGACUUGAAAAUUUUGUGAUAGGACACAAUGCCCAUUCUCUGGGUUAGGGUUAGAGCAAGGGCCGUAAAAGAUUAAAAGCUCAUGGAAUAGUAAGAAAAUGGUUCCAUUUCCAAUUUUUAGAACUCACUUGAAUUUCAAUCAACAAAAAGGACUAUUUAGAAAAGAGUGUUAAAGUGAGGGUUGAUAACACUUCUCGACUCAUAGAAUAGUAAAAAGGAGAUAUUUCAUAUUUAAAAAAAAUUGUGUCACCAACCUCCUCCUGGAAGGUCCCAAGCUCAAUUUGAAACACAUCAAAAUCUGGGAUGAUGUGAAAAGGAAGAGGCUGAGCAAAUACCCUUCUCUUCAGGUAGAAAUCCACAAGAACCUCAUCAGUGGGAUCAAACUUGUACCCAGGUAGCAACCUAACACUCCCAUCAUCAUCAACAUAAGUCAUGAGAUCCUCCAUCUCAAAGGAUCGAUGUCACAACAAGUGAAGAAGAGACUUGUUUAAACUCUUAUAGUGAGUGUUGAAAAUUCAUGUGGAUUGGACGUCAAUUUAUAACUUGAAAUGCAGUGUCAUCCAUUUUGGGGAGGGAGGAGGGAGAGAGAGAGAGAGAGAGCAAAAAGUGAACGUACCAUUAUUUCUAAACAUAUUUAUUUUCAAUUAUUAUUUUUGUUUAGCCUUAAAUUAAUUAUUUAUAAAAUUUCAAAUAAAUUACUUUCCAAAUAUAUAUAUAUCAAUUAUGUUAAUUCUAAUUUUAUAAAUUAAUUUUUUUUAUCUUAGGCCCACCUUAUUCACCAAAAAUUUUUAUUCCAAAAUAAUAUAAUUACUUACAUUUAAAUGAAUUAAUGGAUUUAAUUUCAUUUAAAAAUAAAUUGAGUCAUCUACCAAAAAAAAAGGAAUUGAGUGUAUUAUAAAUGUAAAUAGCCAAAUAAGUAUAACUUUUUAAUUGUAUCUAUUCUUUUUUUUAUUCCGAAAACAAUGACUGUAUCCAUUCUUACCUCUAAAAGGAUUUUAAUUUUCAUUAAAUAUAUAUUUAUCAAUUUACAAGUUAAUUUAUUUUCUAAUUAAAUUUAUUAAUGAUGAUAUUAGUUUAUAAAUUUCCAAAUUUACUUAUUUCCAAAUAUAUUAAUUUACUUUGGAAAAAAAUUGAGUUUGUAGAAAUUUAAAUCAAUUUGAAUUUGAUUCUUUUUUUUGAAAGUCAAAAUAUUAUUAUAUUUAAUAUUAUAUAUAUAUAUAAAUAAGCUAUAAUUCUGAGUAGAAAAAAUUAACUAAGAAUCAGCAUUUUCUUAUAUGUUAUAUGAUUUAUAAAAUUAUAAAUAAUUAAUAGAAUUGUUAGUUUUUUUCAAGUCUAUUUUACUGAUAAAUAUAAUAUUAAAAUAAAUAUUAUGGUGUCUACGUGAGAGAUUUAAGAUGAGAGAGAGAGAGAGAGAGAGCAAAAAGUGAAUGUAACAUUAUUUCUAAACAUAUUUAUUUUAAAUUAUAAUUUUUGUUUAGCCAAAAUUAAUUAUUUCUAAAUAUGAAAAUUAAUUAAUUUCCAAAUAUAUAUAUAUAUAUCAAUUAAUUUUUUAUAAUUUUCCAAAUUAAAUAUUUUUUUUGCUUAGGCCCACCCUAUUCACCAAAAAACAUUAUUUUUAUCCUAAAAUAAUAUAAUUAUUUAAAAUUUAAAUGAAUUAACAGAUUUAACUUCAUUUGAAAAUAAAUUGAGUCUAUUAUAAAUGUAAAUAACUUUAAAUACCCAAAUAAGUAUAAUUUCCUUUUUUUUCUUCCGAAAACAAUAAUUGUAUCCAUUCUAAACUCUAAAAUGAAUUUAAUUUUCAUUAUAUAUAUUUAUCAAUUUAAAAAUUAAUUUAUUUGUAAAUUAAAUUUAUUAAUGACAUUAGUUUAUAAUUUUCCAAAUUUACUUAUUGCCAAAUAUAUUUAAUUUACACUGGAAGCAAUUUGAGUUUCUUUAGAAAUAUAAAUAAAUUUGAAUUUCAAAAUAAUAUUAUAUAUAAGAUUAUUUCUAUAUAUAUAUAUAAAGUAAUUUAUAAUAAUGAGUUAAAUUAAUUAAUUAAUUAAGAAUCAACCUUAAUUUUAUAUAUAAUAUAAUUUAUGAUAUUAUAAAUAAUUAAUAGAAUUUUUAAAGUGUAUUUUACUGAUAAAUAUAAUAUUAAAAUUACUAAUAUAUACUAGAGAUUUUGCACGUGAUAUGCACAUGUGUGUUUAUUUAUUAUUCAUAAACUUUCAUAAUAAAUUUAAACAUAUGUAGAUAUUUUUAUUUUUUAAUAUAUAAAAAACAUGAAAGAAAUAGAUUUUAUUAAUUAUGAAGUAAUUUUUUUUCGGAAACUAAAUAUACUAUUGAAAGGAAGAAUUACAUGAGAACAAGCUGAAUUCCUCUUGUAACAAAAAAAAAUGAGAACAAGCCCUCUCAUGAAAUGGGUUAAUUCCAAACCAAGAACAACUAAAUAGACAUGAUGUCUCAUCCUUUAUAGUACCUAAUACUUAGGGAUGAACCUCAGUAAAACCUUAGAAGAAAUCCAUUAGGAAAAACCCUAGUGAAGGAAAAAAUAGUACUCAAUCCCAAGUAAGCAACUCUAAAAAAAAAAAAAAAAAAAAAGGCCAACUUAACAAUUAUACAUUUAUACCUGCUGCUACAAAUUACAGAGCACACAAACUACCAACUGUUAAAAACAACAAAAGCACAGCACUCCAAAUGCAAUGUCUGCAUUGAACAAUUGCCUUCUCUUAAAAUCCUUGAAGGUGCCUUCCACAUCUUGGUAUAUUUAUUAAAAAAGCACUCUCCUGCAACCUGCAAUAAAAACAUAAUUCCCAAAAACAUAGGAAUACAACCCAAAUGAAAGUUUAUAUCGAAAUGUUUUAUUCAAUAAUUAAUGUUUGAUAAAUUUUUUAGGUCAUUUAAUGCAUUUUCAUAUAUAAUAAACAUUAAUAAUAUUAUUAGUUAUUUCGUAAAGAAAUUAUUAAAAAAUGUAAUUUAAUAGAUACAAGUAUACAACUAUGCUAAAUAAAACUGUUCAAAAAAAAAAUUGGUGUAGCGAUGGAACUUUUGAGAGGGAAAUAUUCCGUCAAAAAUUAGCAAAAUACUAUCAUCAAGCCGUUUCUUGUAGCGACAAAUUGAUUUCCCUCUCUAAACUAUUAGAACUAGCGACAGAAAAUGAGAGGAAACUAAUCCGUCGCUAAUGAAGACGGAUUUACGCACCAUUUGUUGGUCUUAUGUGAAUCUGUGACGGAAAAAUGCCCUUUCUAAACUGCGGUCGCUAACUCCACCUCUUUCUACGAGUAGUUUACUUUUAUCCUUUGUUUGAAUCUUAUGAUUCAAAUCCAAUACUAUCACUCAGUAAUCAAGGAGUACGAUGGAAACUUGUUAUCCAAACCCCAUUGUUCCAACCAAAACCCGCAUCGGUUGGAUUGGCAUCGGCGUAAUGGGCGGAGCCAUGGCCUCUUGCCUCCUCAACGCUGGCUACUUCGUCACCAUCUACGCUCGCAACCCAUCAAAACGUCUUCCCUUACAAUCCCAAGGUGCCCAUGUUGCCAAUUCCCCAGCACAAGUUGCACACUCCAGCGAUGUCGUUUUCACCAUGUUGGGUCACCCACCAGAUGUUCGAUCCGUGGUCUUAGAGAACACCGACAGUGUUCUUUCUGGGUUAGCUCCUGAUCGUGUCCCAGCAGCCACCGUGUUCUUGCCAGGGAGAUAUUCACAGCAGCGCGUGCCAGAGGUUGUUGGUCUGUGGAUGCUCCUGUUUCUAGUGGUGAUCACGGUGCUAGAGAUGGAAAGUUGGCAAUAUUUGGAGCUGGGGAGUGUGCAGUGGUGAAAUGGUUACAGCCCUUGUUUGAGAUUCUGGGGAAGGUUACCUACAUGGGUCAAGCUGGUUGUGGGCAGAGCUGCAAAAUUGCGAAUCAGAUCACCGUCGCUUCGAAUUUGGUUGGUUUGAGUGAAGGUUUGGUGUUUGCAGACAAGGCUGUAGAGAUGGCAGGAAAACCCAAACCCGCGGGGCCCAACCCGAACCCGACCCGAAAUUAUGGGCGAAACCCGAUUUCUUGGGGUUUGGGUUUCACCCAAAUUUUAAAACAUGUUUGGAUUUGGGUGUGGGAUUGAUUAAACUCGCACCCAAACCCAAACCCAAACCCGAAGUCUUAUGCAUGUAAUUACCAACCCUUAUAUAUAUUAUUAAAGCUACUAAGUGGAGUUUUUUUAAAGUUACUAAGUAGGCUUAUGUUCAUGAACUAUAUUUUUUCCUUUGUAUUGGAAUGAUAAUGAGGUUUAAUCAGCUUAUUUUCAUGUUGUUCUCUUAUGUACAUGUUGUUUCCGGAUUGAUAUUUUUGAAUUUUUGUCGGUUCGGUGCUCACAUUGAGUUUUGGGUUUGGGUUCGGGUAACCCGAAACCCAGGGGUUUGGGUUUGGGUUUAACUUUUACACCCAUAUUGAAUUUGGGUUUGGGUUUGGAUUUGGGUGUUAAGUUUGGGUUUGGGUGUGGGAAUGGCCAAACCCGCACCCACGGGGCCUAUUGCCAACCCUAAAGGCUGGGCUUGAUUUGAAGCAGUUUAUGGGAGCAAUCAGAGGUGGGGCUGCAAGGUCUAAAGCUCUGGAUUUGUUUGGGGAGAGGAUGAUUGAGAAGAAAUUGAUGAUUCACAUGCCAUUAGAAUAUGCCCUGCCAAAAUGUGCAGUUUUUUUUUUGCUACAUUGAUGAAAUGAUGUUCACAUCUGAUCUUCUUAAUCAUAAGUGUGGUUGCUAUCCCUCCAAAAAAAUGCUUGAUGUUAGCACAUUUGGUUUUUUCUUCCACAAAUCGGACUUGAUUUUGUGGCCUGAUUUUGUCUAUUGAGUUUGUGUAAGUAUCCUAAAUGAUAAGAAAAUCGAUUGUUGUAUAGAGUUUUUUUUCCUUUCUUAUCAAAUAUGAAAAAACUAAAAUUACUUUUAUAUACAAGGGCAACCCUUUUUAUAAAUUGGGAUGAAAAUCGGUUUACAUCUCACUCUAGUGGCACCUUGAGCUGUUGAUUCAGCUAGGAAAGGAGAAAAUUUCUCACUGUUUCUAGGAAUGCGACAAUGAAAAAAAGAAAAGAAAAGAUGGCAGUUAGUGGAGAUUAGAUUAAAACUUAAAAAGUUUCUUUGUUGACCAAUUACAUUAAUAUAAAUAUAAUUAGCUGGCUAGCCUCGAUCCCACACCAACAAUUAUUAUGAUACCUAAUCUUACGUGCUGAUCUGAUUAAUUAGUUUUUUACCCUUGCUCAUCACAUGGAUGUACUCAUAUUAUUAUGUCUAUAUUAGAUUAAAUUGAUCUUAAAAAUAAAUUUUUUAUCUUACUUAGCUUUAUUAAUAUUCAUAUUUUGUUUAUUAUAAUUUUAAAUUUGUCUACUUUCAAAAAAAAAUUAAAAGUUGUCCAAUACAACUUAAUAUUUAUAAACCAAUCUGGUCAUCAGAUCACGUUUUUUUUUUCUCUUUUACUGCUUACUCUAAAAUAUUUUGUACAAAAACAAAAUAAUGAUUUGGAGAAAAAUGUACAAAUAUAAGAGAUGGAGAAAAAUAAAAAUGAUUGUAAGAGAAAAUUAGAAAAGGUACAAGAAUUUAUUUAGAAUUAAAUAUAUUCACACAUGAAAGUUAUAAUUAAAUUAUUUAUACCAACAGACAUUGUCCUUUAUAUUGCUCGGUUGCUCCCACAUGCCAAAUUAAAAGCAUUGUAAAUUUGCCACCUAGUGCUGUAGGGACUAUGGAAACCAAUUUUCCAAUGUACUAUAGCCUUUUAGUGACCAAAUAAGUGGGAAUCGACAUAUAAAAUUAUAGUAUUAAAAUGCACGAAGGUCAAUGUACAACUAAAUCCUCAAUACACCAAUAAGACACUAUAAUGUUUGCUUCUAAUUAGUUGCCGCAUAUUGAUUAUUUUGUUUUGAAAAUUCAAAGGGUGAUUAUAAAAAGAAAAUGAAAGAGACAUCAUGUUUUGUAUACUCUGAAAAAAAAUGAUUGCUUGUACUGUAUGGUCUUGAUUAAUAUCUUUCUCGGCAAAAUUUUAAUGCAGUUGCAUAUACACUUGAAUUCAAAAUCACUAGUUAAUUAAGUUGGACUAUGAGUGGGAGAGCCACUUGCAAUUUAAUUAGAAACAUACAACGUUUUUCAUUUAGUGACCCUUUCUUUAAAACCGAAAGAUUAUUAGCCAAAGAUAGUGACUAGAAACAGAGAACAAUGAGAAAGCAUACCAUAGAGAAAAUGCACCAUGCACCAUGCACGAACAUGAAGCUAGUGGUAGUGGUAGCUAGCAGACAAGUGAGACGUACCAAAUUAAAAAAACAGAAACAGGAUUCAGGAAAGGAGCUAGCACUUAAAAUUUUACCAGUUUAGAAAUUUUAAUUUUGUUAUAUGGAUUAUAUAUUCUUAAUUGCAUCAAAUAUCAAUACACUGUCAAGAUAAUUAAGCAAAUUGACUUGAUAUAUAUCAUUGUCUCUAGCUUUAAUCCAAAUGAAUAAAAAUAAUAUAGCGUGUAUAAUCUUCUAAGAACAAUGUUAUAAUUAGUUAAAAUAAUAAUCAAAUUAAAUUAUGGUCGACCAAAUUAUAAUUUAACUAAUUAGUAGACUUUGUAUUAUAUGAGCAUUUUAAACAAUUUAGAAAUUAAAAAUACAUAAAUUACAAGGAAAAACUUCAAAAUCAUAAAAUAUGCAUACACAAAUAUUUUAAAUUUUGAAUUAAACUUGGAAGAAUUAACAAAACUGAAAAUGGCACGUGUAUGAGUAGACUGAUAUAAUUUUUAAUUAAUUUUUGUAUUAUAGUGUAAUUAUAAUGAUAAAAAGUUUGAUUUUUCAAGGUUAAAGAAAAUAUGAGUUCACUCAUGUAACCCAAAAAAAUAUAUAUGAUCUCACUCAAAGCUUAGAUUAAGAUAAAAAUUCACCCGUACGAAAAGUCUAUAUCAUGUACUGAAAUUAAAAGAAAGAAUUUGAAGACAAGUGUCACUCAUCCAUGCAUAAGCAAUAUUGACUACGACUAUAUAGUAUGCAGGAGAACAAAAAUAUCAUGCACUAGCACUACUAUAUAGUAUGCAGGUGAACAAAAAUACUAAAUAGUUUGGAGACAACGAUUUUAAUUGCAAAUUGGCAAUGGCAACUUGCCGUUGAUUUAAGCACUAGUCAAAUUUCUUUUAUGGAUCAUAUAGCUCAUGCUAAUGUAGUACAUUAUAUCAUUCCUAUUUAGUCAACCGCAGUUAUAAUACAGUGUUCUCAUAUCUUCUAAUCUCAACAGUAAUGCAAGGUUGGCCGUUCAAGACAUUUUCAUAUCUCAUAAUAAGAAUUGCUCACCCUUGACAUGUCCUCAUCAGAUAGAUUAAUGAUGCAGUGUUGAUGUUAACAUUCUUUUAUUUUCCCUUAAUUAGUUGAAGUCAUGCAAGUCAGUUUGAAACAAAAUGUGAAUACAACUCUUCGAUGAAAGUUCAUUAACGAUGCACUUAACUGAUAUCCAAAAACACAGUUAGUCUAACCAUGCUUACCAUAGUUACACGUUACAAUAUAACAAGGGUAACUUUUAAUAAUAACUCUUAUAGUAAUUUGAAUUUCUUCUUUAGAACUUGGAACACCGGAAGGCAAACAAAAAUGCUUCAAAAGCUGGCCUGUAAUAUUCUAGGCAGUAUACCCUAGUCAUGGCUGAAUGUGGUUGUGCUAGGUCAUAUCAUUAUCCCUAAGUUUUUUAGCAUAUUGAAGGCUAUUGAUUCUAUACCAAUACCUUUUUGUGGUAACGGUAAAUGCUUAUUCAUGCACAAUAAUUUUACCUUAACCGACCAUUAUCCCCUAAUCUUUCUGAAUUGUUAACUUCUUUCCUUAAUUUAUGAAUGUUGUAUUAGAUAGAAACAUCAAGAUAUAAAGACAUGAAUAUUUAAUGUAACUUUUCAUGGUGAGUCUCACGGUUAAAGAUUCUCAAUGAAUUUACAACUUUCUGUUCGGGUAUUUAACCACCGGUUAAUAGACUAAACUUCUAUUUCGCGAUCCUUAUCAUUGAGAUUUGGCAUGUCUCCUUCCCACAACUCAAGUAGCUCCUUUUUUAUCCAAGAGAUCACAAUUACAGGUCCCAAAGUAGAAGGCACCUACACAAACCAAGCACAUGAAACAUUAUUACAGGUAAAAAAAUCAGUUAUGUUUUGGAACCUAGCUGUACCAGAAUUUAUUAGAGUAACAUUAAAUCUAUAUUCAUUAUAUGCACAAACUUGAACUUAGGCCAACUUAUAGGUUUUUUCCCUUUAUUUGUACGUAUAUAACCCUGGGAUUUCCUGCUAUAAAUCAAACAAGAUACUAAUGUUUAUGCCAUGGCAUUGAUCAAGGGAAACAAGCAUACCAAAUGAGACGGGUUCCUGUGUAAAUAUCAAUAUAAGAACAUAAAUUGAAUGAGUAAACGGAGCAUGUUCUUAAGAACAGAGCAAGAUUAACAAUCAUGGGAUUCAGAACAAUCAACAAUGGAUUGAGUAUUGCAUGGUUUAAAAUUCAACCAAACAAUAACUUAGAGAAAUAAUUGGCUAUGUGAAUGUAAUGUAGCGUGUAGUUUAUGCACUGGACCAAUAGAAAGUGACAUUUUCUGAUUUGGGUUCUACAAAAUCGAUUUUGACAAACUAACUGCAAGUAUCAAAUGGCUCAGUGAACAAACUCACCAUACAACAUAUUUAUCCAAGAAUCUCUUCCUACUGAAUCAGAAAUUGGUAGUAAAAAAUGUUCAACAAUUUCAAUUAAUUGCUCCAAUGCAAAUUGGCCAAAUACCAGUCAUACGGGUAUGGCAUACCCACAAUUUUAUUGCUAAUACACCUAGAACUCUAGAAGGGAUACAAACCCCACUGACAUGAGAGGAGCAGGAAUUGUACACAAGGGUCAUCAACAUCAUAACUAUAUGUACUAGUAAGAAAAGCAAGGGGAGAGAAGCUAAGGAAUCAGCUUCUAGGCCAAUGACCACUUCAAAUAGAUAAUGGAUGGACGAAGUAAUCUAUAGGCCUCAUACAACAAGAAUAGGAAGUUGAUUUAUUUAGACCAAUAGAAUCAUAUACCCAAGCAGGACUCAGUAAGUUCAGUUUUGAAUAGAUAGAUGGAAAUUCUUCAAGUUGGUAUACUGUAAAUAUAAACUGGAAAGAGAAAUAAACUAGUCAAUAUUACGUAGUUUAAGCAAUCACUGUGACUAUGUUUAUUAAUCUGUCAUACAAACUAAAGUUUCCAAAUGUAUAAAUAAAAUAUGACAGUGAGAACAUAGGUCCAAAUACAAGACACUGUGUUGUCAAGAACAAGUACAGUUGAGAACCUGAUAUGGUGACAAGAAAUGGAAAAAAAGAUUUACCAGAUAAAGAAGUGCAGGUUGAGGUGAGUGGGUCAAGACACCAGCUGCCAAAGCAGUUACCAGGCCGAUGGCAUACCCAGGUAGCGCAUACCAUAUGUAUUUGUGCCCCUUUGAAGAAUAUAACUCAAAGAGAUUUACUGUAUCCCUGCUCUUGCGAUAAUCAAAGCAUAAGACUAAAGCCAGGAGCAUGCCUGGGAUGGCCUACAAGAGAUUAGUAAAAAUUAUGAAAGACCAACAAAUAAAAAUGAAAUCAUGGCUAGCUUUAGGUUGAAAGAGAAAUCCAACGAUAUUUGAUAAUCAAUACAGUGUAUCCACACAUGAUACACAAGGAGCACACCGUAACUAUUGCAUAACUCACACAACCUAAAUUUCAAUCCAAAUCAAACCAUCUUGCAGCAUCACAAACCUUUAAAAAAAGAACUGAUGAGCGAAAAUUUGGAAAAAAAAGGGGCAAAGGGAGGAAGAGGAGAAGGUUACAGUAAUAGUUAUAAAGAGUGAAGAAUAACCUUCUAUUCUUCUUUUUCUUUCUAAUUGUUUUAGAAUAAAAUAUGGCAGAAUAUUUCAUCACAAAGGUAUUUGUAAAAUCAUAAUAAUGAAGAUGAACAUAACCACAUAAUAAACAAAACACGGUCAAAGAAGUGCACAAUGUGUGAAUAAAUAGCGCUUGACAAAUGUAGUUUUGAAUAUACUUGAUUUUGUGAAAGUGGUUUCGCUACAUGUGAUUAGAAAUGAAGUUGACGCUACAUGUGAUUAGAAAUUAAGUUGAUCAUAUUUGGAUUUCAUCCACUUGAAUGCAAAAGCCAUAUGUCAGUCCCGAAUCACUUUGGAAAAUUUUGAAAACGUGUUUCCUGACAUCUUCAAAAAUCACAUAUCACGUUUUGAAUAUUGGAAAUGUGGUUUGUGUGCUGCAAAUGUGCAACCAAACAUGCUAUUAAUAUCGGCACAGCCAAUGUUAAUCAAGCAACAGGCAGCCUUCCAUAAUUCCAAUGAUAUCGCAAACAGUAAACACAAUACAACAUUCUCUUCACGUUAUAGUAACCAAAUGACCAAAUGAAAGGAGAAAAGUUAAGGAUAUGCAAUCGUACAGUAACACAUAUCAGAGAGUAAGAAUGGCAUACCAUGUCACCUAAACCAAGCAUCAUAAAGUCUGUUGCACUCUCUCCAGGUACAACACCACCCAACAAAUUUCUUGGAAAAACAAUCUUUACAGGCAACUCCAAUUUCUUUGUUAUCAAUUGCAACCCUGGAAGACUUAAACUAUUAGCAACUGUGUGCACAGGAUUUGAUGCUUGCUGCGUUGCCACUGUUACCAUGACAUUUGCCCCAAAAAAUCUUUCGGAGAAGAAAACCCAGAAAAUGUCAUACACGAAUAGACAAAGAAGGAGCAUUGCACAAAUCUUGAUGUUCGGAAGACGCACAUGGCUUACAAAUGCAAUGCAUAUAGAUAUGCCUAACAAAUUGUUCAGUAUCCAAUGACCAGAAACAAGCCAAGCAGCCACUAUAAAAGAGCACGUUAACAACAGCAUUCCUUGGGUUCGAGUGAAAGAUUUUGAGCAACACCGUGAAACAUAUGGAUCCGCUAAACCAAACUGUGACUUCAGAUAGGCAACAUAAGGAGAUAAGCAGAAGAAAAGGGAUGACGCAGAAGCAACUGCAGUGAAUGCCGUGAGAAGCUGCGAGACCGAUGAGAACAAGUAGAACAUCAAAAGCAAGCUAACAGAGCUCAUCACCGGGAUCAUCAACGCUUGGGACCUAUCCAACGUAAUGGACGCUUCAGAGAAGUCACGAUUGCGCUCCAUUUCUUUCCCAUAGUUUAGAGCUCGAAACGCAGACCCAAACGUCACAGCUACAGCCGUUGUGAUAAGUGUGACAGGUGCAGGCUCUAGCAAAUACAAAAGUUUCCAAAGGGAUUCCAUCUUACAAAAGGCACACACAACUAUCUCAACUCAAACCCAGCUUUCAUACAUAGAAACACAACUCAACAAUUGACUUUGCAACCAAAGUUGCAAAGUUUUAUCCUUCUGCGGAUGCGAAAAACUAAGCAGUUAAAACCAUACAACCUGCAUAUUAGCAAAGGAAGCUUGUAAGUAAGCACAUUAGUUGCAAAACAAAUAACAACCAACCCUAAUAGAAUCCUGUCAUUCUAUUUUAAUUUUUAAUCCUACCCAUUAAAAAAAAAAAUCAAACUUUUUCACUCAAGAUGCAUCAUCUAUCUGAAGCAAACAAAGCCAGCACAAGAAUUUGAUACUAUUAAUUUUGCCCUAAAUUUUCAAACUACAUAGCAAAUUGAACCUAGCAUUGCACUUGCACCCAAAAUUUCAAUCACCAUUCAUCUUCUUUGUCACAAUUACAUUGAUUAACAGAAGAAACAACGCCCACUGACACCGACAUAUGAUGUAAAUGUUGAAAAAUUUGAAUCGGUGAGUGAAACUUUUUUCUGAAAACCGAUCAAGAAGAUGAAAUGAAAAUACGAUCUGGAAGAAGAAAGAAGUGGAAUUUGGGGGAUUAGGGUUUUGGGGAAGGACUAACCUUGGACUAUUGGCAGAGAUUUCAGAGACCCCUUUGCUUUCUCUCAGUGUUGAAGAUGAAGAAACCCACUCCACCUUUCUCAAUGUGAAGUGAAGUGAAGUGAAGUGAAUGUCAAUCUAUCUAGAUUUUCAUUUUCGCCCCAAUAUUUCUUUUUCUUUCCAAAACUCCCCCUUUAAGAACGCGCUUGCGUGAUGCUUGCAUCUUUGGAAAUCACUAAAAACAUUAUUAAAAAAAUGGUAAAAUAUAUUUAUUCACCAUGAAAAAUGGUUUGUGCAUUUAAGGGAUGGUCUGGACUCGUUACAGGUUUGGAGUGUGAUCGAUUUUGUGUUCCCGACAACCUUCUUCACGCUCCAAGAUGUUUCGGAGGUAUUGCGCGGAUUUGAGGGGCUCAGCUUGCUGCUGAUUUUAUCGACGACUUGAACGAUUUGGCAAGCUAGGUAUAGAGCUUUGUUUGCUGGUUCUAACCAUGAGGCAUUUCAGGUGGUGCGUGAAGCUCGAUCCCUUUAGGUGUUGGUGGCUCGUGCUCUUCAUCGCUCGGCGGCUCCUGCGACAGAGCGUUGGGUUUGAUGGAUUCCGUCUAGGACGGGUUUCGUUUCGCUCAAUAUCGAUGGCUGCUCUGUUGGGAACCUAGGUCCCUCUGAGUUUGAAGACGCGGUGCGCUCUUCUUAAGGUAAUUGGAUUUUUGGAUUUUCUGGGUAUGCGGGUGUUGGUGAUAGCCUUCAAGCGGAGCUUUUGGCAAUCCAACGAUGUUUGAGUUUGUUUGGGGAGCAUGGCUUUAAGAGUGUGGAGUUAUUUACUGAUUCAAUGCUUGUGUUGAGGCUUCUAACUUCUGAUCAUCCUCUGUUUCAUCAGUAUGCUUGUAUAAUUAGUGGCAUUAAGAGCCUUCUUCGUCGGAGUUUGGUGGUCUACUGCCACCGUUUGUUUGUGAAGAAAAUGUUGUUGCUGAUUACUUGGCCAAGCCUGGAGCUUCUACUAUGAGCACUGCUUGUUUUUGGGAUUCUCCCUUGGCGGGUGUCACGUCUUCUAUACACGAGAAUGUCCUUGGUGUUGCCUUCUUGAGGCAAUAGUUUUCUCUUAUGUUUUUUUUUUCUUCUUUCUUUUGCUCCUCCUAUCAAAAAAUAUUUACUCUAUUUUUUACAUAUUUGUAUCUACUCAACUUUUUCCCUUUUUACUCUCUCUUCUUUACCAAACGAAGUGUUAGAAAUGAGGGAAUAAAACAUAAAUAAAUGAGUGAUAUGAUAGAAAGAAAGAAAAAUAUAGUGAAAAAAUCAAUAAAAAUGAGAUAUAAUUGAAACUAGAGUGUGAAUAUGUCGAAGUUAUUAUUGGAGAAUGGAGAUAACUCACUCUGAGUUAUUAUUCAAAUACAUAUUUCAAGAAGUGUUCAAAGAAAAAAGGAAGCAAAAGUUUUAAGAUGUCGAUGUAUGAGCAAAGCAUAGGCAAGGUGAAUGUGUUUGGACUUGCAAUAAUUAAGAUUUGUUCUCCAAAGUGAUAUGGAACUUAUCAAUUUUGUGCAGCCCAACCCAAAAGAAGUUAACAGCAACGAAAAAUAACAAAAAGUUCAGUCGCUUGCUCACUGGGCUGAUUGACAAUGGAAGAACGAUAGGACUGCUUUCUAUAUACAUAAGAUUAAAACUUUCUUGACCAAAAUAAAGAUUAAAACUUUCAUUGACCAAAAAAAAAAAGAUUAAAACUUUCAGAAAUGUAAAAAAGAAAAAUCAAUUAUGAAACUUAGAAUUCCAGAAUUCAAAAAAAAAGUACCAGAUUUAGUUUUUAAAAAAAAUCAGUUUAUGGAAAAGCAAUUACACAUAUGAAACUUUUUUUUGGGUUACAAGAGGAAAAACACAUAUGAAACUUUAGCUUGUAGUUUUAGAUUUUUGUUUUAAUUUCAAAACUUUCGGAAGUGUAAUUAUAUUUUAGAAAGUUCAAAUUUUGGAAUUAAUGAAGUAUAUUUGAAAAGAGGAGAUGAUUUUAGAUAUUUUAUAAACAUAUUAUAUUUUAGAAAUUCAAAAUGGUCGUGGAACCAUGUUUUUACAAGUAUGAUUCAGUACAUGUUUUUGUCAGCAUCUCAUCACAUUGAUUCAUCGUAGGAAGAAGAAGUAAAGAUCAGACAUAUACUCACUCACAUUAUCUGCAAUAUUUUUUUUAGCUACAAUAUUAUCUUCAACCAAAAUAUUAUUCAUGCCUAUCAACUAUCAUGAUCUAACCUCUCAUCCUACAGUUGGCCAACAAAAUGGACCUACCAUGAUUAGAUUCCUGAACUAUAAAGUUCACAACCUCUUCCCCUGCUUUCCCACACCCUUUUCUCAACAAAGACCAUUUAGAGAAAGUGGUUAAGUACCUAAAUCUAACUCGUGCUAAAUUUCAAAUCUCCAAUUGACAAUCACAUUCUCCUAAACCACGCGAUAAUUUAAUUCAAGAUUCUCACAUUUCACCUAAAUUAGGAAAUCAAAUGAACCAAAAAUAAUAACAAAAGACUAUCGAGGGUUUGGCAUUAUUCUUUGGUGGCUUUGGUGUUGGCACAACAUGUUUAUUUUUUAUGAUAUGUCGUGGACUGUGGAGUAUAUUAUACAACAAGCGUCUUCAAUUGCGGAAUGUGAUGAGUUAUUGAGCCUUCCUAGUUCCUACCAUCUCAGCUUCUCCUCACUCCCACAAGUUACUUUGGUCUUUUUCAAGUGGUUCUCUAGUUAAGCUUAACACAUAUGAGAACUAUAAUUUAGCAAGCAUCUUCUUGAUUUUGGUGGCCUUCUUCGCAAUGUUUCUACUUCUUAGCUUAGGUGGCUUUUCAGGCUCCUUCAACUGGUCUUGUCCUCUCUCAGCUGAGCUAUUGCCAUCAAACAUAUGCUUGUUCUAUCUUGAGAGUUGGGUUUUCGACACACAGUUGUGAGAGUGACUCGCUUGAUACUAUUAGGAUAUGUUGGAGUCUUAUAGUUUGACUUCGCAUUUGAGAGCCUAGCUUAUUAGUGUUGAUAUUUGUACUCGUCUGCUUUCGGCAUGUUGUGUGAAAGGCUAAAUAUGUGUACAUAUAUACUGGUUUCAUGGUCUUCGAAAUUGAUCUUUACCCCUGACAGAACAGACAUCGCUCUUGCUUCACUUGCUUCAAACUGAUGUUGUUGUGUUGUUGUUGUUGUUGUUUAGUUGUGUUUCCUUGACUAUAAUAAAAUCAUUAAGCCACUCCAUGUUACCAAAAUUAAUGAUCUCAUAUUAUUAAAAUAUUAAGAAAAGUUAUGAACUCUCUAACUAACAAAAAAAAAACAAGAGAAAAAUUAAUAGUAGUUAGCCAUAGAUAGCUUAAAGAAUGAACGACAAGACAACAAAAGCACCAAAACCACUCUGCUUUUAUUGGAACAGCUUCCACCCAUUCAAUCUUUUAACAAGUUUCUUUGGUGUUUAUAAACAUGUUGGUAUUUUUUCAGGAGAACUAAUGUAGUUUAUAAACUUGAUAGAAUUUGAAUUGUGAAAAUGGAUGCCUUUUUAUUUGUUACACUCUAUUAACAAGGGAGUAUACGUUUAUACUAGGAUUAAAAAAAUCCUUUCCUCAACUAGUUGAUACUAUUCCAGGUAAGAAAUAGCAAAUUAUAUGAAGUAAUUACAAAUCGAAAGAGAUGAUUUUGAGUGAAGAUUUGCUCAGAUUGGCAAGACACGUUUCAUGUUAUAGUGAGGAUUUGAUGCAAUGAAAUCUCCUCAGAUUUUUACUCCAUACAUAUGAUCACAAUUCAUCCUUCUUGUUGUAAAUAAGACCGAUUUUCCUCCCUUACUGCAUGUUUAUCAGGUUUUAGGCUCCACAUGCUUGCAGCUUUGAGACCAUUCACUAUAUACUCAGCAAGAGGGGGUAUGUUCAUAAAUUCAUGUUUUGCUCAUUGCCAAAGUGAAUCGCAAGAUACAUGGUUUGGGGAUGAUUCACCAAGAGUAAACAACAAGGUACCCAUUUAUAGUAUGUGGAAUGUUUAUGAUUUCAAUCUUGCUCAAUAAAAUCAAUGAAAUAAGAAAAGUGACUUCAGAUAAUUAAUAAAAUCUAUAAGAUAAGAAAAGGAGUUUGUUUGAAUUAUAAAAAAAAAAAUAACACUCUAAGAUCUAUGAACUGUGUCAAUGUGCUAGUCUUAUAUUGUUUGAUUUUCAUCCUAGCCUAGCAAUUUUCCUAGUAGCUACAUGGUUAAACUGCUCUAUCUUUUACAGACUAUUGCAAAAGCAGUUGGUGAUUGGUAUUUCAGCAGAAACAAAACCAAGGAAAUAGAUUGUGCAUAUCCAUGCGAUACAACUUGUCAUAAUCUUAUACCAUGACCUCAGGUAAUGCCUUAAAAACGAUUCUUAGUGUCUGGGAUAUCAUGGUGAAUUUAUAGCCUAUUGGUCUGACUCAAUAUGAAAUGCAGGUAAAGAUUCACAGGGAUUUUUCAUACAAAGCAAUAUCAAUACACAAUGAAUACUAGGCAGAUAGAAAAUUCUUUAUAGGAGCAAGAAAGGGUGUAAAAGGAACCAAAAGAGAAAAUGUGAUUGAAUGGUUGUUUUUCAAUUAUUUCUUAUUAAUUACUAGUUUUUUUUUACCACUUAAUAAAAAUAAUUACAUUUGUUAUCAUGCAUUAUUUCUUGACUCUCUCUCCCAAGUCUCAACCCACCUCGGGUUGGUGGAUUAGCUGGGUGACUCACCUGAUUAAAAAAUUAGAGAAAAAUAUACCAAAACUUUAUAAAGCAUUGUCAAACUUACGUUUUUUUAUUUGAUUUUAGAACUUAGGCUUAAAUAACUUUUUGUCCUUAUGAUAUACCUCAGUUAUGAAUUUAGUCUUUGUAAAGAAAUUUGUUUUAAGUAUCUCCAAAAUUACAACUUUCAGGUCUGUUUGAUUAUGUUCUUGUUUUUUGUUUUUGAAAACUAUCUUAUAAAAUAAUUUUGAAAACGUUUUUCCCAAACAGGAAAUUUAAUAAAUCUGUUUGGUGCUAUUAACUUAAAAAUAAUUUUAGAAAUCAGGCAAAAAGAAUUGAGGGGGACGGGCGUGGGAUAAUGCAUAGUUGCAUGGAGUGAUAUAUAAGGGGGAAGGCAUGUCAUUUUCAUUCCGGUUUGACAUUGAAUUCCUAUUUGCUUCAUGUAUUUCCUGUUUUCUUACUUUUUUUAUGGUUCUAGUAUUUUCUAGUCCAUUGUUCAUUGUAUUUGGGUUAGCACCCCUUAUGCUAAAUUGAAUGCAAUAUUUUGGCUUAUAAAAAAAAAGGCAAAAAGAAUUGAGUUGUUCGGGUUGUGAAAAUUAAAAAUUAGCUAAUAUCAGGAUUUUGUCAAAUCCUAUUGCAAUUAGCAUCAUCGCUCUUCUAUUUUCUUCAACAAAUUCUAAGAGCUUUGUUACAGUCUUCUGCACAUCAUCAAAACUCCUUCGUUCCAGAUAAACUUGCAUGGAUGUCAAUAGCAAUCCAGAAUAUAACCACCCCCAAUAAAUACAUUGUCGGUACCGCAACAGAAAUUCCCAAUAAAUACAUUGAUCGUGUUUUGUAUUUGGAUUUUUAUUAAAUUCUUACAAUACAGUAAUACUACAUACUACUUACCUUCUCAAGAAUGUUUCAAAAAAAAACCUUCUCAAGAAAACAACAUACUCGAUGCCAUCAAGUCUAAUUCGUAAACAUAUUAUAACAAUUUUUUUCGUAUUUGAAUGAAUAAACUACAUCAUGCUUGAGAGUUGAGAUGACAAAAUAAUUUGACAAAAAAAGAGAGAUGGCAAUAUAACAAAAUCAGGCAUUUAGGAAGAAACGCUAUAUAUAAGGGGGGAAAGAAAUGUUUAGUUGUUUAUAAUUUUUAAAUCCCAAUUCUUUGCUCCUCCAAUCAAUGAAGCAUUUGUUGUGUUUUGAAUUUGGAUUCUCUGUAGUUGCUGGAUGGUGCAGCAAGCAUAAAUGUAAGAGGAACAUAAUUUACAUUUACUUUUUAGUUAAACUAAUUCAUUGAGGUAGUGUCAACAUUACUCUCGCUUCCUAGGUUCGUUGUGCUAUAAGGUUAUCCCCUGAAUCCUUUAGGUCAAAUGUUCUUCUUGUAAAUGAAUGGAUGGUGAAUUUUAGCUUUGCUUAUCCUCAUACGAAGUUUCCAACAUUGGGCUAAAGUUACAUCAGCGUUUGUAGUCAUAUAUAAGUCAACCCGGUCAAUUGAGGUAACUUGGCCUAGUGUAAGUCGGUUUGCAUGAAGGUCGUAACUCAGACUAGUAUAAGUCAGCAUGGAUGCAGGUUGUGACUCGACCUAGUACAAUCUUUCAAGAUGUAUGAGGUAACUCAACUAGUGUGUAAGUUGGUCAAGAUUUAUAGGGUAAUCUGACCACUGUGUAAGUAGGUUUGGAUAUAUGAGGUGACUCGACCACGGGAAGUCGGCCAAUAAGUACGUGCUAAGUUGCACACUAGAAACUAGCUCCUAACUCUGAGUUUCAUUAUGAAUGAUGGUCUAAUGUACAAAGUAUGUUGGGUGAGGUCAAAGUGUUGAAUCGCACACUAAAAUACCAAUAUUUAUGUUUAAAGAAAACAUUGAAAAACUAAUUUUAACAAAAAAAUUGAUCUGCGAAAACUAGUAGUAGGAGUUUGAGAGUUGAUUUAUGCAAAUGAAAAAAUUAAUGAAUAAAUUUCAUAAUACCCUCAACAUAUUUGUAGUCUGCGGGGGAGUGUGAUGACGUUGAUCGGGUUGCUGACUCAGGAGGCUACGUGAAGUCGUGCAUCACCUUGUUCGUCGACGGGAUCCCGGAGGUGGCUGACUAUUUUUUGAUUCGUGGACUCUUUGGCCAGGUGGGGAGAUUACUGAAUGUCUUUGUGCAGCGCCAUUGUCGGUGGGGGAGGGCUUCACGCUUCGGGUUUGUGAGGUACCCGUCGAUGGAGCUCGCUGCUCUCUCUAUCCAUAUGUUCAAUGGAGCUCUGCUGGGUGGUUCCUCUCUUUCAGUGGCCUUGGCCAGGUUUCCUAAAGAUUUGGGGUCUGGGCAGCGUUCUGGUUCUUCACAAUCCUCGCCGGCUUUGCCUGAAGAGUUUCGUUCCGGCGAGAGCGUAGCGAAGCUUCGGCGGGUUGAGGCUUUUUCAGAGGGUGAAAUCUCUUUGCUUUUUGGCUUGGCUCGGACUCCUCCCUGCUUUUGUUGCCCGCCGGAGCUUCUUUUCCCCGAGGCUUUUGGCUCUAGUUGCAGGGGCGGCGAGGCUUCCUCUAUGGUGGAAGAGGGGCGUUGCUCCAUCGUGGCCCUUUGUCCCGAUUUGGGCACCCCUGUUUCUGUUGCAGAGGUUGUUUUGGGGGAUCCCUGCCCUUCUCCUCCUCUAGCCUGCGUUGGAGAUGAUGUGGUUUUGACGGGUGCGGAGGAGCCUGCGUUGACGGUGCCGCGGAAUAGAGGAAGACCAAGGAAGGGUUCUACUGCUGUCAAGCAGGUGGGUCGAGGAGCUCCUCAGGAUGUGGUCGCCAUUACUCCGGCGGCCCAGGUUUCGCCUAUCUCGUCUCUGAUUCUUCCCCAAGCCCGUGGUGCCGUUGGGGCUUUGACAAGAGCUCGUAAGGAUUUUUUGCUUGCCAAAUCGAUUGGAGUCGUCGCCAUUGGUUCAGAGGAAAAUGUCAUUCAGAGCUAUGCUGAUCAUCUUUUAGCUAACCAUCCGCGGCUCUUUGGAGUUACUUAGUUGCUGAGGGGUUGGCAUGGUUUUUCUAGCGGGUUGUAUUUGGGUUGUUUCUAUUUUUGGCUGUGCUUUCUUUGUAGGCUUUUCCUGGCUUUUUGUCUUGGGUUUCCUUUGCUGAGUUUUUGGUUGUUUUAGGUCUUUGCGGUGUUUUUGCUGGGCGCUUUGGGUCUCCUUGCGGUUUUUUGUAGUCUUGCGGUUACCGCCGGCGCUGGUUGGAUUGUAGUCCCUGCUUGAGAGUCCUGCUCUCAAUCUUUUAAUUAAUACACCUUUUGUUUUCUAAAAAAAAAAAAUUGUUGUGCAACUUUAAUAAUAUUGAAAAUAUUUAUUUUAUUUCCUAGCUAAAAGGAAGAUUAAUAUUUAAUUUGUCUAUGAUUGUUACGUUCAUUUUAUAUUCAAAUUUUAUGAAUUCAAUGUGAAUUUAUUUAUGAAGAGAAUUAAUUUUUUUUAUUUAAUAGAUAAGGGGAGAAUUAUGGUGUUUGUUGUGGUGUCUUUAUUAUGGUGUUUAUGAUUGUUCAAAAGAUGGCAGUAGCAUUUGAGGAAAAAAAAUAAUGAGUAAUGAUUUAUUUAGACUUUUUUUUUGUCUCAUUCCUUUUAUUUUAUUUUUCUGCGUUUUUAUUGCAGUAUCUAUUAUAUCACAUGUUUUUUAUUCUUAUUUCACUAAUAUGUAAGUAGAAAUGAAAUGAACAAAAUUAGGAAAAAAAAGAAAUGUGAAAAAAGUAGAAUUCAAAAAUGACUGAUCGAUGGGAUUCUUUUGUUUUUUCUUUUCACCGAAACAAAAAUUCUUGUUGAUCGUUGCUUUGUGCGUGUAAGGACGUGAGAGACUAGGGAUUAAGGUUGUGACCAUCAUAUGAGUGUUCUUUUUGUCUUUUACUAAGUCAAAUCCUCACCAUUCUCAUGCCAAGUGUUAUUCCAAUCCUCGCCUUCAUGGUGUUUUGUCUCUUAAUUUACUAUUGCCUCAUUCUUUGCUUAUGCAUUUUUCUAUUUACUAAUGAACACCACUUGUGAUCUCUUUUGAUUAGUACCUAAGGUGUAGGUAAGUAAGAAGAAUCUUCCUUCUUCUAUAUGGGUAAAUAAAAUUUACACUAAUAAUGCAUGGAUUUUUCUUUUAAUCUAAAACCCCCACUAAACAUAAAAAAAAACCCGCAAAACAGAAAAUUUCUUGUAAUGUUCGUCCAGAAACAGAACUAUCGUGCCCUAAACAAGAGCUACCGUGGCAAGAGUCCAUUGUUGCUACCCGACAUCCAGACGUGUCGAGUAUAACAUGAGCGGUUUUUAAACCUUGCUAAAUGACUCGCAGGGUCAUAAACCCCCACUAAACAAAAAAAACCCGCAAAACAGAAAAUUUCUUGUAGUGUUCGUCCAGAAACACAACUAUCGUGCCCUAAACAAGAGCUACCGUGGCAAGAGUCCAUUGUUGCUACCCGACAUCCAGACGUGUCGAGUCUAACAUGAGCGGUUUUUAAACCUUGCUAAAUGACCCGCAGGGUCAUAAACCCCCACUAAACAAAAAAAAACCCGCAAAACAGAAAAUUUCUUGUAGUGUUCGUCCAGAAACACAGCUAUCGUGCCCUAAACAAGAGCUACCGUGGCAAGAGUCCAUUGUUGCUGCCCGACAUCCAGACGUGUCGAGUCUAACAUGAGCGGUUUUUAAACCCUGCUAAACGACCCGCGGGGUAAAAAACCCCCACUAAACAUAAAAAAACCCGCGAAACAGAAAAUUUCUUGUAGUGUUCGUCCAGAAACAGAAACAAGUGCUACCAUGGCAAGAAUUCAUUGUUGCUGCCCGACAUCCAGACGAAGGGAGAAUUGUGAGGGUUUCAAGCGAGAACGGUGACAGUUUAGGGUGCGAGAUGUGCGAUUGAGAACGAUGAGGGUUGGAUUUGGGUGCGAGAGUGUGAGAACAAUGUAGAAAGGGGAAGGGAAAUAACAUUGAUGCAAAAAAAAAGAUAGAGUUUUUGAGUGAAAAAAUAAAUAAAUUGGGCAAUGGUUCCUUAACCGGUGCCUAACACUGAAAUUUUAAGUUGAGUAGCGUUUCUUUUAGCAUAUACUUAUUUUUCGUAACUUCUGCAAUUUUCAAAAACCAACCAUUCACUUUUGUGCUUUGGCGCUAUAGAGAAGGGCAUAUGGGUAAAUUGCUGCAAAAGAAUCAUAGUAAUCAUUACUCUUCAUCCUCGUCCCCUGCGUGACUUGCCGCAUUGUUCGUUUGCGUGACUUGCCGCAUUGUUCGUUUGCACAUUUCUUUGCUCCUCAGCGUAACAGAAUUUCUUUCGUGUUAUUCACUUAUUCCAUUGUGUUUUGAGCGUUUUGAGCUCGUUCCAUCCAUUUUUUCAUCGCUGGUUUCUGUUGCAGAUGCAUCCAGAAGCUUCAGAUUCUCUUACAAUGGAGGAAGAUCCUGAAAUUUCUCUUCCUCCUUAGGUAUCUCCCUUGUCUAUCUCCCUUCUCCUUCAGAUUCUCAUUACUACACUAUAUAUAGAUUGUAAUUGAAAUCAUGUAGUAAUAUUAUGUCUCUUGUCUAUUGAAGCAUUCCUCUUGAAUAGUUUUGUAAUAACGUUUGCUGCUUAUGGGGUAUUGCUCUGUUUGUUUCUGCGGCAGAUGAAUGUCAUUGCUGCUCCUCCUCCUCAGAACACUGAAGAUCCGGAUGUUCCACAUGAGCAAUUCUUUUUAGUGCAAAUAUUUUAUGAUUUUAAUAUUUUCCUCGUUUCUCACUCGGGUAUUGAAGGAACUAAGAUUUCCUGGAUUGUAUAUAAACAUGUGACCAUAUAUAAACCCAUAAACAAGAGAAUUUCUGGAUUGUAUAAACACGUGACCAUAUAUAUACCCUUCUGAAACUAGAGUUUAAUAAUAACAUGAACAACACUUGUUUAUACAAAACGAUAUCUCUUGAAUUAAUAUAACAAAAAAUGUCAAUAAUGAGCAAGCACUUAUCUAUGUUUUUGUUGUUCCUAUCUUCACUUUUCCUACAUACUUUGUUUUUCUUGUUCGUAUUUAUUCUACUUCACUUUACUGUUUUAGAUCUUACAAGUUUGGGAGCUAGUUAACCGGCUUUGGCACAAUUUCAGAUUCAUACUAACUAAAUUGUUAACAAAUUAGUUGUAAGGAAACUGACCGACAUGUCAUUCACCAAACCGCUUUGGCACAAUUUCACAUACAAACGGUUAGGAAACUGGCUGACAUAACCAUUUUUUGGAACCAACAAAAAAAACUACAAUUUAGAUUAAAUAAAUUAUACAUCAAAGCUAAAUGAAAAUGUCUUACAGCCAAAAUAACACCGCAUAGUAAGAAGAUAGAAGCCUCUACAUUCCUCUACAUUACACCACUCCAUUCCCAAAUUACAGUUAAAGUAUGACCUAAAAUCAUCAUCGUUUCUUCACUUUCCGUGAACAAACUCAUGAAGAUACAUGAUAAGAUUCGGGAAGCAUUUUGUGAAGUAUGCAUCUAACUUAACUUGAGUCGAUCCAUCAUACCCAUGAAACUUCCCCAACAAGAACUUAUCUUCGUGUUGAAUGGUGUUUCGAAUAUAUCUCACUAGAUCUCUAACCAGACUUAAGUCAUAGAUUGCUCCCGUCUUCCCACCCUCCUCUUUCUUGACAGAAUUCUUCUCCUUCUCUUUCUUGACGAAAUUGAAGAGGUAAGUACAAUUCCGGUUCGAGUUGAUAAUGCCACCAUGUCUCAAUUACACAAUCACGUUUUAUCGCCUCUACAUCAUAGUUGUGGGGAAUUGUGUUCAACUUGUUUCCAACUUGUGUAAGAAAACCUAGUCUCAUCUCUAUAUUCCAGAAGAAAGGAUGAGAGACAACAAAUGAUAUAUCCGGCCUUUGUAGCGGAGAAUCCUUACCAAAAAAAAGCUAGACUCGACAUGAACCUAUUCGCUUUUCAUGUUACGCAAGACUCUAGAAAUGCAACACUCUUAGACUUAAAUUGAUUUUCCCUUGCCUAAUAAAAUGAUUACGGUUAAAUUAAAAUUCCACUGAUUAACAAUUAUAUUAAAUUAAAAUUACUAACUAAAAUUAUUAAUUAGAAACUAACAUAAAAAAUUCAAAAUUUAUAAUUAAUCUAAUUAACUCAUCUCCCUCAACUUCAUCAAUCUUCAACAUCAACAUCACCAUGACUAGACCCGUGAAAACUUUUCUUUUAAGGCUUCUUUUUACUAUCUUAAUUUUUUCUUCUUUUACCAACUUUUGUUAGGGAAAUUUAUUCGCCUUUAUACUUCUAAAGGGUAGUUGAUGUCACAAUAUAUAGAAUUAUCUCAUCUAUUCUUAUCUCUCAAUGGCUUAUCUUUCUCAUCACCAUUGUUUGCCUUUGUCUUUGGGACUUAAAUGGAAUAUAAUAUUAUAUAGACAAAAAAAUCCGAACCACUCUAAAAUAAAAUUAGGCACGGAAAAUUAAAGCAUUUGAAGGAAUAAACGGAGUUAGAGAAUUUACUGUGAUCAUUAUCUAGAACAUCUCAAUCUUCAGUGUAGAGAAUCUCAAUUUCAAGGUGGGUUAAGGCAAAAUGUGUCGGUAGUGAACACUUGUUUAUGGAUUUUAAAAACACGUGGCCAGAAAAUUUCUAGCCUCUAUGGAUUGUAUAAACACGUGACCAUAUCUAAACUCAUAAACAUGUGACUAUAUAUAAAACUAUGUGAAACUAGAGUUUAAUAAUAACAUGGAGAAUGUACAGUUGUUUAUAAAAAAACACUUGUUUAUACAAAAAAAUAUCUUUAGUUAAUAUAUCAAAAGAUGUCAAUAAUGACAAACACUUAUCUAUGUUUAGUUGUUUCUAUCUACAGUUUUCUCUGGUUCGUAUAUAUUUUGCUUCAUUUUCAGAUCUUACAAGUCUGAGAGCUCAUUAGUAGCAAGAAGAAUCGAGCAACAAGGUACAUGUAUUUGUUCAUUAAUUACUGUAGAUCAAUAGAAAUAUGCUUAGCUUAUAACAGAAUUUUCUAUGAUGCACUUGAUUUGUAACAAUAAAUGCUAUGAGAAUUUUCUAUUUCAACAAAUUAGUUUAGAAACGUUAUCAUAGCAACGCAUUUUAAGGAUGAUGGAAGAGUCCAUUAUAUGUUCCACAAUUUAAGACAUUGCUCCGCGUGACCUAUUUUAAGACAUUGUUCCGCAUUUUAAAUUUGUGACAUUGCUCCCCAUUUUAAGACAUUGCUCCGCAUCUUAAGGAAUUUGUCAUGUCUGGUUUGCCAUAUGCAUUUCCAAUUCCACGUGACCCAAUGAUAAACCAAGCAGAAAAGUAGAAAAUUGCUUGCUGAAAAGUUGCUGAGACACUUGGCAGUAGCUCCAUUGAACAUAGCAUGCAGCUUACAUUUGUUUGCCAAAUGCAUUUCCAAUUCCACGUGACCCAAUGAUAAACCAAGGUGAGUGCACUCCAAUUGAGUGUUGAAUUUUAUGACAAUUUCAUAGCUAAACUUAACUCCUGUGCUAAUACCAAAACAGUCUAAGUUGGAGGGGAUUGCACUAUUAUGGUCAGCAUGAAAAGUAGAGAGGUUGAUGUCUGGUUUAGUCUUCUUCUCAGUAAUAGUCAUAUCCGCCAAUUUCCAAAAAAUUUGGAUGUGAAAUUCUUCCAUAGUCUUUUACGAUUGACCCAAAUUUCUGACUUAUUAUCCCAGAUUAUUUCUUUUAACAUUUAAAAUCAUAAGAACUUAGUUACUCAGUUAGCCUUAUAACUAAAUUUCUAAGUAGUUUUAUUCAGUCAAGUAUUGUUACAAACAUAUAAAAAUCAAUAUCAAAUGUAUUUUUCAUUUUUCUGAGUAAGCCAAUUGUGUAUAUAUAUAAAAGCACAAGCAAUGCCAUCAAUGAACAAGAGACAGACCAAAGGGCCAAAAGGCAAAAAAAAAACAAAACAAAAAAAUAGAGGUACAGGGACAUAACAAAAAUAGGGGAAAAUAAACUAGGGAAGAAAACAACAAAUACCAAGACCACGUUAUAGCAGUAGCAUGACCAACAAUUACAACACUAGACAUUUCCCUGAAUAAACUAGGCUACAAAGACUACAUAAUUCCCCGGGAUCAAGAGCCUCAAGUCACCAACAAUUUCUUCUCAUUCAGUGAGUGCCCGGACCAUCAUUUUCUGCCCAAACCAGUGAAUUCGCUACAAUAUCCAUGAGAAUAUAUCAAAUGCAUUUUAUCAUAACUUUUAUAAACUAAAUUGCUCAAACAGAAAAUUCUCAUUCAUUGUCAGCUACACAUUAUUGCUUCAAUUUACAAAUCAGGCGCAUCAAAGUUGAUUUGAACUAAACAUAUUUCUACUAGAGUAAUUAAUGAUGCAGUGAAUAGGAAACUAUGCUUUAAUUCGUUGUUUCAGAUGCAUCGUACUAACUAAUUCAUGUACUUGUUGCUUGAUUAUACUACUGAGCUCUCAAAUAGUUAGCAUCUGAAAACACAGGGGUGAGGUAUAAUGAUUGAUGAUGUAGAAAACAGCAAAUUGUGCUCUAAUUCAUUGUUUCAAAUGUAUCAUAGUAACUAAUUCAUAUACCUCGUUGCUGGUUCUUCGUGAUACUACUGAGCUUUCAAAUGGUUAGAUCUGAAAACGAGAAGUGUGUUAGAAUAUAAAUCAACCAUGGAACAAAUUGCAGAGGAGAUCAAGUUGAGAAGGAUAUGAAUGCAAGCUUUAAACAUGAGCUUUCUGUUAGAGUCCCACAUUAGCUAGAGACUUUCCAUAGAGAGGGAAAAGAUAAUUACUGAUACUCCCCUUCUCCCCUACAUGACUUCAAAACCGCUCUGCACAUUCGGUUCUGCAAAUUUCGUUUGCACACAUUUUGCCUCAAACAGACUUGCUCUCUCUUACUAGGUAUGAAAGAAACACACAACAACAAUUACAUUAUACAACAACUACAUUAUACACUCACCGUCUUCAACAUUUUUGAAGCUUUGCUUGUUUCUUGAUGGAUCAAAAAGCCGAUUCUGCUCCUCCUCCUUAGGUAUCUGCGGUAAUUAAUGAACAAAUACAUGUACCUUGUUGCUCGAUUCUUGCUGCUACUAUUGAGCUCUCAAACUUUUAAGAUCCUAAAACAUAAAAGUGAAGUAGAAUAGAUACGAACAAGAAAAAACAAAGUACAUAGGAAAAUUGAAGAUAUAAACAACUAAAACAUAGAUAAGUGAUUGCUCAUUAUUGACAUUCUUUAUUAUAUUAAUUCAAGGUAUCCUUUUGUAUAAACGAGUGUUCAUUGUCCAUGUUAUUAUCAAACUCUAGUUUCACAAGGGUGUAUAUAUGAUCACGUGUUUAGACAAUCCAUAAACUCUCUUGUUUAUACAAUCCAGUGGGUUUGUAUAUAGUCACAUGUUUAUAAAAUCUAGAGAGGCUAGAAACUCUCUGGUCACAUGUUUAUACAACUCAUAAACAAGUGUUCAUUGGCCAUGCUUUGACGUUAAAUUUGUGAUAGAAAUAUAAAGAAAGCAAGUCUCUUAACAUAAAUUUAAGAAAAAAAUUGAAAAAAGUUAUAUCUACUACAUCUUAUUCUCCAGUUACUAUUCAUAAGAAACCUCCAAUGGCGUUGCGACAUCUGUCCUUCUUUUCUUUCUCUUUUUUCUUUUCUUUUCUGAAACGUGGGAAACGACAUCGUUCUCUCCAUCACUCUUUCUCUCCAAGCAACCCUAGCUGGCUAUUGUGUGUUUGCUCUCCCUUUCUACCCACUCUGCUGUACCUUCAUCACCUUCUGUCAUCGCAGCUGUUCGUUUCCGGAAAAGGUGGGAAAGAGAUUGAUGUUGUGAGGACACAGAGCAUGCUUUUCCUUUUCCUUCUCCUCCAAUUUUGAGGAUUGGUCAAGUACUUCGCCCUCAAAGCUUGCUUUUCCAGAUUUUCCGCAAUCUUUCACCAUCUCCGCUCUCCAUGCUUUGUUCGUACGAGUAGGUGUUGUCAAGUCUUUGAUGAUGUGAAGUUUGGAGCUGAAUUUGAAAUUCAAAUUGCAAAGGUAUGGGCUUCAAUGUGUUUCUUAAGAUUUGAUUGUCUAUAAAUACUGGUGUUCAUUCUUGCCUCAGAGGUGGAAGAGCCAAUAGCAACAAGCUCUGGACCCCUUCCCUGUCACACUAAAUGAUGUUAUUUUCGCUACACUCAGACCAUGGCUUCUCCCCUAAAGAGUGUGCUUGAUACAACUAAUAGAUGGUACAUUUUCUAUGGAAACAAACAUCUUGCUCUUUCCAUUGUAUAUAUCCAAUGUCAUCAAUUCUUGCUAAUGUAAUUGUUUGAAACACCAUAGAGUUCCUGGAUAACCAGUUUUAUUGUUUGUUCAUCAUGUUCAUGUUUAUUUUUAACUUCUUAUUAUCAUGAGAAAAGCUAAAGUCUUCUCAUUGUCUAAUGGCCUAUGAUAUUAAUAACCAACAUACCAAAUAUAAUCAAGAUUCACUGUUGCUGCUUUUGGAGUUUAGAAGGAAGGUUUCAUACAAUUGAUGGACCUCUCCAUCAUAUUCAACUAGUAGGAUAAGAUGAAAUUGUGAUUAUUUCUCUAUUUUGAGGAUGGGUACUUUGUUCCUCAUUUUAUUGAACAGUUUGGAAUGAAUUUUUAAUGUUUUGUGAUUUUGUAAACAUCUACAAAAUGGUAUUUUGUUUUAAAGCUUUGAUUUACAAAGUAUGCCUUUGACAAUAUGUGAACCUUUUCAUUUUGCAGGUUAUAAAGAUUAGAAAAAUUGUGAGGCUUAAAGUCAAAACAGAAAAAAAAGAUUAUGUGGUAACUAAUUAUACAUGUGAGUAUCAAUCUUGGCUUAAAGCUUGAGAAAAUAUACUUACUGCUAUUUCAUUUCUCAUUCAUCACCAGCAAGUAAAUCUUGGCUUUCAGAUUAGAAACAAUCACUAUUUUUCGUCUCAUUUUGAUAUAUUUAUUGGUCACACAGGUGCAAGUUUAAAGCUGUAGUGGAGGAGGUUGAUAGGAUGCUCAUAGGCUUGAGGGAAAAGUUAUUAUCCAGGACAUUUUGAGAUCAUCAACGAGCUUCAGAGCUUGGUCAAGUCUAUUCAGUGGGAGGUUCAUAAUAGGAUUGGAUGAAGUAAUAAUGGCAAGUGACAUUCUUACUUCCCCUCAAGGCUUGCUACCCUUUUACCCUGAGCUCUGUAUUUUCUUUUUACUGUACUCACUAUAGGAUAUGUAGUUCACAGUGCUGGAGGUUACAGCUUGCUAGAGAUUAGAGAAUUAAAAGGGUAGAACAUUAGUCCCAAGAUAAAGGCAUAGAUGUAGGGUUUUCAUUGAGAACCCUUUUAUCCCAUGAAUUUACAAGAUACUGUUAAAACAUUUUUUUUGGAGAUCUGGCAAUCAAAACAGUAGAGUAGUGAAGGCUGAUCUGGUUUUAGACAUUAUCGAUGCUUACUUUGUUUAUCAUAUGCUUUUAUGCUUAUAUCUCAGCCUCAUUCUAAAGUUUGAUGUAUUUUCAAUUGUACUAUUUGCAACCUUUUUCCUUUCUUGCUCUUUGUUUUAAUCCUAUCAAAAAAAUUCUUUGGAUGAUGCACUCAACGUGGUUAGUUAUAUGUUUAAAUUGAGUUUCCAUACUUCAAUUUCAUGGCUACAAUUGUUCUAUUUUUUUCUCUAAUGAAUGUUUGUUUUGAUGUGUUGCACUUCUGGUGACAGAUUACUUUUUAACUUCUAAUAACAACUUCUACCUAAUAUCCAGCUCUACCUUCUUGACCUAUUAGGUGUUUGUGGAAUAAAGAGAGAAGAAAAUUGUGUAAGGUUACGGAUUGAAUGUUAUAACUUUCACUUAAUGCCAAAAUUGAUUAUAAAAUUAUUUUCUUUAGCUAACCUUUAAAUCAUUCACUCAAACCCAAAACUGAAACACCUUAAAGCCCUCAUUUUUUCCCCUCCCAAUGAGGAGGAUCUUGGCAAUGGAAAUAAAAACCUAAAGUUCUGCAUUAUUUGUUUUUUUUUUGUCUUUGCAAUCCUUUAAUACUAACUAUGGCUAAGAAUCUUGGAGACAAAAAUAGCUCUCUUGAUAUGGCUGUUUUGGUACAACAGAAAGCUGUGGAAAAUAUUUUGAAUUUGGCUGCAUAUCAAAAGAAUUGUGUAACCUGAUUCUAUGCUAUGUUAUUAUGAAAGGUGUAGUGUUAGCAUGAGAACAACAUGUUUUUAAUUCUUUGACUAUCUAUCUAUAUAUCCAGUAGCUAAAAGAACAAUUCCAUGCUUAAAUAAUCCAGUUUGAGAGGUCUUUGUGGAUUUUGAUGAUGAGUUAUUCACAAGUGAGCUUUAAAAAGUAAUGAAGGAAGGACAUGUCUGCAAAUGUAAGUUUGUAUCUGCCAAAUCCUAUAUCUCUUUAGUUUACAAAUUUCAAUAUAAUGUUAUGUAUUUUCUCACUAACAUUUAAUAUCAGAAAGAUUAAAUGUAUCUUUUCCCCAAGUGAACUCAUUUAUUUGUCUAGAAAUCUGUUUUCUUUACCUAUAGAUGGUUGCCGAUGUAAUUUGGUGAUUUUAUUGUUAUUUUCUGAGAAAACUCAUUUGCUGCAUUAUUCUGCUGUUUAAUCUGAUUGUAUGAUUUUUUCUUUUCAUUUGGAGAAGUGUGGUGAGUUUUAUUGACAUAAGUUAGAGUAGUUACUGAUAAUUAUAACCCUAUCCUCUUUAUCAGGUAACUCUAUUACUAAGGGUAGAUUAAGAAGAAGUAUUAUGAAGAACAAUUUAAACUUACCUGUCCUGUUCAAAGUAGUAAUUCUGAUGUAGAUGUUUUUAGAGGAGCAUCCAUAAGGGAAAGUUUAAAUUGAAUUUAUAGUUUUAUACAUACCUAUCAUCAUUUUUAUUUUGCUUUACUAUCUCAAUAGUAGAAGAUUUUUUUAAUUAGUUCAUGGGAAUCACUCAUUCACCUAUAAAAUGAUAUAAUGGAAUUUUCUUCGGAAAAUGAAUUAGUUCUUUGACUCUUUUAUUCCAUUACAGAGAUUGUCUUUGAUGUCCUUGAUGGUCUUGCAGUUUUUUUGUGCCUAGGUGUGGAUUCUUCUUUCUCUUCAUAUUGAUGUCAAUCUGUUAUUAGUUAUGUUGUUUGCCAUUAAACAACUAAUAUUAGCAGGACUGGUAAUUAGUAAAUCAAUAUUGAGAGUAGGUUUAUUACAAGAAUCUCAUUCCCCUUUGAUUUUGGGAUGAAUCCUAACUGCUAAGAAUGUUAAACUUAUUGAUUUUCGCCGCUGCAACCGUUGAUUCUACUUUCAAGCCAAUCAACCAAGAAGUCUUAUGUUGUUCCGUUCAGGAUUUUUGCACAGUAUCAGAAUAUUUUUUUUCAUUGGUUUUGUGAAAUUGUCCUGGAUAAAGAUAACAUCGCUUGAAUUGAACUGAGGGUGUUUACGCUACAGAUUAUCAAGGAACUGGAGUUGAAUUAGAGGAUAAAGUGAUUGAAGUUAGUAAAGUUAUGGAAGUGGUGAAGAGAAAAGACAUUGAGGAUUAUGAGACUUGGAAACAUGGUGUUGAAGAUCAACAUGACUUCGGACAUUGUUGGGCCUUUACUCACUGGAAUUGCUGCAUGAAGUAAGAUUCUAUAUUUUGAGUAAUUAAUUGAUCACUUUUUAAGUAAUACACCUGACAUGUUAUGAUGUAGCAAGGAGCUCAAGGAAAAGCUCCUCGCUUCUUCUGAUGCUGCCAUGUAGUUUAUUCCUUUCCUCGGUGGCGAUGGUAGACCUAAUGUCGUUCUCUUGAGGUUUAUCAGAGCAAGGGACUUUAGGAUUGUUGAAGCUCACAACAUGCUUCUCAAGUGCUUGCCUUGGAGGAAAGAGUUUGGUGUUGAAAGCCUGACAACAUCUAAGAUUUUGGGGUUGAAUGAGCUGUAAGGAAUAUUUUGUAACAUUGAUGAAGUUAAUUUAAUAAAGUGUAAAACAGUGGAUUUCACCACCAACCAAACAUUCGUCAUGCUUUCGCCUCAGUAGACAAAGUUUUGGGUUCGAAUGCAUCUUCAAAGGUUGAUCUGUGAUCAAAUGGUUAGUAUCUAUCCAAAUCUCAAUUAAUUUUCGUACUACUUUUACACUUAUGUAUUCUGAUUACCUACAUGUGCUACUGGUAUGGUUCUGUCAGUAGUUUAUAAUUUUUGCUAUAAAUACCUCCUUGCUGUGAACUUCCAGUCAACACAUUUCCCCUCUCAUUCUGUAUGAAAAAUCCCCUUGAUUUCCACUGAAUUCACUGAUCUCUCUGUUUUCUUUGCACCAGUUUCUGGACACAUGAGUUCGAUUCGAAGCUUAUACUCUGGUAGAGAAGCCUGGAAGAUAAGAGCAAGAGUUAUUAGGAAAUGGUUAGCGAAAAUUAGAUUGUGUGUCUUAUUAAAUGUUAUAAUUAUCAUAUGUCAAAACUGUUCUGCAGACCUUUUGUGACUGAGUUUGUGUGUGCUUACAUGUUGUUUUAGGGUAAGUUCUCCUUUGAAUACCCCCCUGUGAUUAUGGACUUAGUUGGUAGGGAGUUGUUAUUGAAGGUUGAGGAGGCAGCUGAUCAUGCUGUACGAUUUGAUGAUUCUUUCGGCGUCAAGAAAAUAUGUGAUGAUUUUAGCAUUAUUGGAGCAUUUAAGGACAAGGCCAAGAUUCAGACUCCAGAAAAGGUUUGCAAUAUCUACAUUGUAUAAUUCUCAUAUGUUAAUUUUAUCUAAUGUGCCUACUUUUUUUUCAGCUUAAUUUUAUCCAAUGUCUUAUUUAAAUUGUGAAUGUUCUGUCAACCUUUAUGAAAUGGGCCCAAGUGUUCCAUCCCUAGAUGAUAUUUCACCACAUGAACCCUCCAUUAUUUUCUCAUCGGUUUUGGUAGUAUUAGCAGUGGAGAAACUAUCAGUAGCUCAAGGACUUCAAAGAGGCUGAAAAUAAGAAGUGUUAAAUUAGAUAGGUAGUCUUUGCAUAUUUGUACUGAAAUGAAUGGGACCUGGUCUGAUUUUAUCACAGGCUUUAUAUAAGUUGUGAAUUUUGUUGUGCUAUUGUUGUCAUGUUAAGUAAUUAUUGGGAUAUCUUGGCUAUGGUCAGUGCUACUAGAUUCAAGACCUUAUUUUCCUUUUGCUUAUGUGGGUUGUCAUGCCCUUUAUGUUGGAGUCUAUUUUAAAUCUACUCUAUGUUUGCCUCAAUGUUGUGUUACAUUACAUAUAUUUGUCUUAAAUUAUGAGCAUGUCUUUUGGGCAGACAUUUCAAAUUAUGAGAAUUUUCUUUUUCAUCCUAAUACACUGUCAGCUCUUGUCAUCAUGUUCACGAAUUCCUUCUUUUAUCCAAAAGUAAAAUGUGUGGGGGCUGAUAUCAUGAGUGGGGAUACAUGUGCUUCAGAAACAGUAACAGUUUGAACAAUGAAGACUAUGAGUUGUCUGAGUACUUUUGAUUUUUGCAUAAAUAAGCGUAUAGAAAAAGGCCUUUAUACUUCUACUUCUUUUAUGUUUGAAAUAUCAAUAUUGUGGUUGUAGUUGUGAUAGUAGCAUAAUAACUGAGAAAGACUAUUUGAUUUUGUAUAUAAUCUGAGAUAGUUUUAUGGAGUAAGAACUUUUAAUGCUCAACCAAAUUUAAGUUCCUUAAUGAAUCACAUUAAAUUAUGAAUUACUAAAAGGAAGCAUCCAGAUUAGUUCUCUGGAACUAUGUUUUUCAGGUACUAGUCACACUGUUUGACAUGCUUAUCUUUUAGAUGUAUUUUGAUCUUUGGAAGGGGUAAUCUAGGAUGAGGAUAAUCAAAAUGAUUUGUAGUCAUCUUGAUACUUAGUGCAUGUUCUGAUUUUACUGGACAACUUGAAACUUAUACUUCUAACUGCACAAAUCCUAUGGGUUAUUUCCUACUUCAUAUUUUAUAUGCAUAAGAUUAUUUUUUUCAAUUUACUAGAUGCUUCAUUUUCUAUGAUGACUUCAGAAGUGAAUAUAUAUGAUUAAUUGCAUUAAUUUAUGUAGAUUCUAAGGUUGGAGUUUGCUCAUUAUGACUACAAAGCUCGCAAAACCAUAUCAGCUAAGGACUUUGCACUUUCCAUGGUUGCUUCUGCAGACAUGAGUCAUAUAGGCAAGUAGCUUGAAUGGGUUGAUGAGUUGGGCAAUCCACGCUUUAAGGACUUCAAAAGCUUUGCAGAGCUAAGAAAGAAGUUAUCUCCACUGUCAUUGGCCCUUUUCAGUUUUGGAAAAUUAAAUGGCCUGCUGACGAGAGAUGAUUUUCAGAGAGCAGCAUCACAUGUAUGACAUCUCUCUUGAUUUCUUGCUUAACUUAAUAGUGAUGGUUAGGGGCAGUUACUACAUUUCCAUGAUGGUAGAGGUUUUGCAUCAAUACAAAGGCAGAGCAUGUGAAACAGGAAUGGAAUGGAUGUUUCUAUUAGUGAGGAUUCUGUUAGAAGGUCUGCAUCAAUACAAAGGCAGAGCAUGUGAAACAGGAAUGGAAUGGAUGCCUAUAUUAGUGAGGACUCUGUUAGAAGGUUUGUAGUUUGUACAAUUUGCAAGUGAAAGUCGCAUACAUGAAUUAUAGGCAGAUUUAGACACAUACAAACUUACAAAGGAAUUAUUUGAUGUUUGCUUUUAUACUUUUGUUGAUUUUAGGAGUGGACCAUGUUUAUCAUUUAGUUCCAAACCUUUCAAUUCCUCAUUUAAGCUAUUUUUCCUCAAGGUUAAUAGCUUUCUGCUGUCUAUCUUUGGUUUCGUAGAUAAGUUACAGAGGCAUGGACAAUAACUUUGCCCAAAAUCUCAAGGCCUACAUAUCACUGUUUUCAGCAUCAGGUAACUGCGUUUUUUAUCGAUAAGACCAAUUCAAAGUAAUAAUGUGAUUUUUCAAUGUUCACAACUUGAUAGGAAGAGAAAUAGGAUUUUGAUUCAUGCUUUUGUGCCACUCAAGGCACUGUGUACAGAGAUUCUUUUUCUAAAAACAUGAAAAGAUAUAUGUGGUUAAACAAUUAUUUUUUGUUAUGAGUCAAAUAUAAUUAUCUUCCAUUCAUAUGUUGGUCAUGAAUGUAAGUUAAUAGGUGACUAAGCAUGCUCAAAUUCAAAUUUAAAACAUUCAUGUAAUCACAAAGUUUAAUGUUUUUUCUUGAGGGAAAAAUAGCACUGUUUUAAAUUUAAGCUAAUAUGUUGGUCAUGAAUGUAAGCUAAUAGGUGACUAAUAUGUUUUUUCUUUAUUAAAGUUUUUUCCCUUAUUAAUCUAUUAUCUAAGUUUCUUGAUGAGCACUUGCUUAGAUUUGCCAUUACCAUUUUUUAUAUCUUAUCAACCUGCUGGUAAAUUUUGAUGCAUAAUUAACGUCAGCUAGCACUGUUUUAACCCAUGGUAUUGAAAUUGAGUGGUUUAGUCUAAUUAAACAGUAUUUCAACACAAUCAUUUUGAUAUUUUUCUUCGUUCCAGCACAGUUUUAAACCCAUAACCGUUGUUGAUUCAAAAAGCACUUUAAGAUCAACGGUUGAAAAUUAAAGAUAGAUAGUAACAGUAAAAUACACAAUCACACACAGGAGAUAAGCAUAUCUACACGCAAUCAUAACAGACUGUCACACGGGCACAAGGAAUUAUGCAUCAGAAAUUCUGACACACGUGUUGUUGUCUCAGCUUCAGAGUCAGUAUCAGUGGGCACACACACUCUGAUUGAGUUACCUUCUGGACUAGACAUCUUCUGAUCAAGAAGUAUCAUAGUCAGAGGUUCUGAUCCAUCUUCACUCUGGACAAAAGUCCAUGUUUAGAUUUUUCAGAAUAAAAUUAAAUCUAUCCUCUGCUAAGGGCUUUGUAAAGAUAUCUGCCCAUUGAUGGUCAGUAUCAACAAACUUCAGAAGAAGUACGCCCUUCUGUACAUAAUCUCUAAUGAAGUGAUACUUUACCUCAAUGUGCUUUGCCCUUGAAUGCAAGAUAGGAUUCUUACUCAAUGAGAUUGCAGCAGUGUUAUCACAAUAGAUUGGGAUAUUGCUCUCAAGGAUCUGAUAAUCCUCCAGCUGAUGUUUCAUCCAGAGCAUCUGAGUGCUGCAUAUUGCUGCUGAGAUAUAUUCUGCCUCUGCAGUUGAUAGUGCAAUGGUUGAUUGCCUCUUGCUUGCCCAUGAGACUAGAUUGCUUCCCAGAAAUUGACAAUUUCCAGAAGUACUUUUUCUCUCUGUUCUAUCUCCAGCAUAAUCAGCAUCACAAUAACCUGAAAGCUUAUACUCUGAUGUUUUCUUAUACAUCAAGCCAAGGUUAGUGGUGUCUUUCAGAUACCUUAGGAUCCUCUUAACAGCAGUUAAGUGGGUUUCCCUUGGAUCUGAUUGGAAUCGAGCACAUAAAUGAACACUAAAUAAUAUGUCUGGCCUAGAUGCAGUUAAGUAUAGAAGUGAACCUAUCAUUCCACGAUAGAGCUUCUGACAUACUUUACCACUUUUAUCUUCUUUCUCCAAAAUGCAUGUAGGAUGCAUUGGAGUCUUGGCCACUGUAGAUUCCAGCAUAUUGAGCUUCUUCAGAAGUUCUUUAGUGUACUUGCUCUGAUGGAUAUAUGUUCCUUCUGGUGUUUGAUCAACUUGUAUUCCCAGAAAGUACUUUAAUUCUCCCAUCAUACUCAUCUCAAAUUCAGCCUGCAUCAUCUCAGAAAAUUCUUUGCAUAGAGAUUGAUUAGCAGAACCAAAUAUAAUAUCAUCAACAUAAAUUUGCACAAUUAAGAUAUCAUCUUUAUAAGUCUUGCAAAAAAGAGUUGUAUCUACUUUACCCCUUACAAACUUAUUCUCCAGAAGGAAUGAGCUAAGUCUCUCAUACCAUGCUCUGGGAGCUUGCUUCAGACCGUAGAGUGAUUUCUUCAAUUUGAACACAUGGUCUGGUUUCUUUUCAUCUUCAAAACCUGGGGGUUGAUGAACAUAGACUUCCUCUGAGAUAUAACCAUUUAGGAAGACACUCUUUACGUCCAUCUGAUGUAGAACUAUGUUGUGAUUUACUGAGAAGGAGAUCAACAGUCUGAUUGCCUCCAGUCUUGCUACCGGAGCAAAUGUUUCAGUGUAGUCUAUUCCUUCCUGCUGGCUGUAGCCUUGAGCAACUAGCCUUGCCUUGUUUCUGACUACAUCUCCUUUCUCAUUCAGCUUGUUUCUGAAUACCCAUUUCGUUCCAAUAACAUGGACACUCUCAGGCUUCUUCACUAAGCUCCAAACAUCGUUCUUGGAGAAUUAAUUUAAUUCUUCUUCCAUGGCCAGAAUCCAAUCCUUGUCCUGAAGAGCUUCAUCUAUGAACUUGGGUUCAAUUAAGGACACCAAUCCUUUCAGACUCAGCAAGGUCUCUUCAGAGGGUCUGAAGGCAGAUCUGGUUCUGACUGGUUCAUCUUUGUUGCCCAGAAUCAAUUCCUUAGGGUGAGCUGCAGUGAUUCUGCUCUUCUUCAGAGUUUGUAAGUUAGAGGGACCAGCUUCUUCCUCUGGUUCAUCUUCCUCUGGCUCAACUUCCUCUGGAGCUUUGCCUUUGUCAGAAACAUUAAUGCUUAAAUCUGCAAACUUUUCAACUAGCUUUGACUGGUCAGAGUCAAGCUUAUCAUCAAAUCUAACAUGAAUAGAUUCUUCAAUAGUCUUAGCAUCAGUAUUAUAAAAUCUAAAACCUUUAGAUCNNNNNNNNNNNNNNNNNNNNNNNNNNNNNNNNNNNNNNNNNNNNNNNNNNNNNNNNNNNNNNNNNNNNNNNNNNNNNNNNNNNNNNNNNNNNNNNNNNNNNNNNNNNNNNNNNNNNNNNNNNNNNNNNNNNNNNNNNNNNNNNNNNNNNNNNNNNNNNNNNNNNNNNNNNNNNNNNNNNNNNNNNNNNNNNNNNNNNNNNNNNNNNNNNNNNNNNNNNNNNNNNNNNNNNNNNNNNNNNNNNNNNNNNNNNNNNNNNNNNNNNNNNNNNNNNNNNNNNNNNNNNNNNNNNNNNNNNNNNNNNNNNNNNNNNNNNNNNNNNNNNNNNNNNNNNNNNNNNNNNNNNNNNNNNNNNNNNNNNNNNNNNNNNNNNNNNNNNNNNNNNNNNNNNNNNNNNNNNNNNNNNNNNNNNNNNNNNNNNNNNNNNNNNNNNNNNNNNNNNNNNNNNNNNNNNNNNNNNNNNNNNNNNNNNNNNNNNNNNNNNNNNNNNNNNNNNNNNNNNNNNNNNNNNNNNNNNNNNNNNNNNNNNNNNNNNNNNNNNNNNNNNNNNNNNNNNNNNNNNNNNNNNNNNNNNNNNNNNNNNNNNNNNNNNNNNNNNNNNNNNNNNNNNNNNNNNNNNNNNNNNNNNNNNNNNNNNNNNNNNNNNNNNNNNNNNNNNNNNNNNNNNNNNNNNNNNNNNNNNNNNNNNNNNNNNNNNNNNNNNNNNNNNNNNNNNNNNNNNNNNNNNNNNNNNNNNNNNNNNNNNNNNNNNNNNNNNNNNNNNNNNNNNNNNNNNNNNNNNNNNNNNNNNNNNNNNNNNNNNNNNNNNNNNNNNNNNNNNNNNNNNNNNNNNNNNNNNNNNNNNNNNNNNNNNNNNNNNNNNNNNNNNNNNNNNNNNNNNNNNNNNNNNNNNNNNNNNNNNNNNNNNNNNNNNNNNNNNNNNNNNNNNNNNNNNNNNNNNNNNNNNNNNNNNNNNNNNNNNNNNNNNNNNNNNNNNNNNNNNNNNNNNNNNNNNNNNNNNNNAGGCAAAAAGAAUUGAGUUGUUCGGGUUGUGAAAAUUAAAAAUUAGCUAAUAUCAGGAUUUUGUCAAAUCCUAUUGCAAUUAGCAUCAUCGCUCUUCUAUUUUCUUCAACAAAUUCUAAGAGCUUUGUUACAGUCUUCUGCACAUCAUCAAAACUCCUUCGUUCCAGAUAAACUUGCAUGGAUGUCAAUAGCAAUCCAGAAUAUAACCACCCCCAAUAAAUACAUUGUCGGUACCGCAACAGAAAUUCCCAAUAAAUACAUUGAUCGUGUUUUGUAUUUGGAUUUUUAUUAAAUUCUUACAAUACAGUAAUACUACAUACUACUUACCUUCUCAAGAAUGUUUCAAAAAAAAACCUUCUCAAGAAAACAACAUACUCGAUGCCAUCAAGUCUAAUUCGUAAACAUAUUAUAACAAUUUUUUUCGUAUUUGAAUGAAUAAACUACAUCAUGCUUGAGAGUUGAGAUGACAAAAUAAUUUGACAAAAAAAGAGAGAUGGCAAUAUAACAAAAUCAGGCAUUUAGGAAGAAACGCUAUAUAUAAGGGGGGAAAGAAAUGUUUAGUUGUUUAUAAUUUUUAAAUCCCAAUUCUUUGCUCCUCCAAUCAAUGAAGCAUUUGUUGUGUUUUGAAUUUGGAUUCUCUGUAGUUGCUGGAUGGUGCAGCAAGCAUAAAUGUAAGAGGAACAUAAUUUACAUUUACUUUUUAGUUAAACUAAUUCAUUGAGGUAGUGUCAACAUUACUCUCGCUUCCUAGGUUCGUUGUGCUAUAAGGUUAUCCCCUGAAUCCUUUAGGUCAAAUGUUCUUCUUGUAAAUGAAUGGAUGGUGAAUUUUAGCUUUGCUUAUCCUCAUACGAAGUUUCCAACAUUGGGCUAAAGUUACAUCAGCGUUUGUAGUCAUAUAUAAGUCAACCCGGUCAAUUGAGGUAACUUGGCCUAGUGUAAGUCGGUUUGCAUGAAGGUCGUAACUCAGACUAGUAUAAGUCAGCAUGGAUGCAGGUUGUGACUCGACCUAGUACAAUCUUUCAAGAUGUAUGAGGUAACUCAACUAGUGUGUAAGUUGGUCAAGAUUUAUAGGGUAAUCUGACCACUGUGUAAGUAGGUUUGGAUAUAUGAGGUGACUCGACCACGGGAAGUCGGCCAAUAAGUACGUGCUAAGUUGCACACUAGAAACUAGCUCCUAACUCUGAGUUUCAUUAUGAAUGAUGGUCUAAUGUACAAAGUAUGUUGGGUGAGGUCAAAGUGUUGAAUCGCACACUAAAAUACCAAUAUUUAUGUUUAAAGAAAACAUUGAAAAACUAAUUUUAACAAAAAAAUUGAUCUGCGAAAACUAGUAGUAGGAGUUUGAGAGUUGAUUUAUGCAAAUGAAAAAAUUAAUGAAUAAAUUUCAUAAUACCCUCAACAUAUUUGUAGUCUGCGGGGGAGUGUGAUGACGCUGAUCGGGUUGCUGACUCAGGAGGCUACGUGAAGUCGUGCAUCACCUUGUUCGUCGACGGGAUCCCGGAGGUGGCUGACUAUUUUUUGAUUCGUGGACUCUUUGGCCAGGUGGGGAGAUUACUGAAUGUCUUUGUGCAGCGCCAUUGUCGGUGGGGGAGGGCUUCACGCUUCGGGUUUGUGAGGUACCCGUCGAUGGAGCUCGCCGCUCUCGUUCUCCAUAUGUUCAAUGGAGCUCUGCUAGGGGGUUCACGGGUGCGGAGGAGCCUGCGUUGACGGUGCCGCGGAAGAGAGGAAGACCAAGGAAGGGUUCUACUGCUGUCAAGCAGGUGGGUCGAGGAGCUCCUCAGGAUGUGGUCGCCAUUACUCCGGCGGCCCAGGUUUCGCCUAUCUCGUCUCUGAUUCUUCCCCAAGCCCGUGGUGCCGUUGGGGCUUUGACAAGAGCUCGUAAGGAUUUUUUGCUUGCCAAAUCGAUUGGAGUCGUCGCCAUUGGUUCAGAGGAAAAUGUCAUUCAGAGCUAUGCUGAUCAUCUUUUAGCUAACCAUCCGCGGCUCUUUGGAGUUACUUAGUUGCUGAGGGGUUGGCAUGGUUUUUCUAGCGGGUUGUAUUUGGGUUGUUUCUAUUUUUGGCUGUGCUUUCUUUGUAGGCUUUUCCUGGCUUUUUGUCUUGGGUUUCCUUUGCUGAGUUUUUGGUUGUUUUAGGUCUUUGCGGUGUUUUUGCUGGGCGCUUUGGGUCUCCUUGCGGUUUUUUGUAGUCUUGCGGUUACCGCCGGCGCUGGUUGGAUUGUAGUCCCUGCUUGAGAGUCCUGCUCUCAAUCUUUUAAUUAAUACACCUUUUGUUUUCUAAAAAAAAAAAAUUGUUGUGCAACUUUAAUAAUAUUGAAAAUAUUUAUUUUAUUUCCUAGCUAAAAGGAAGAUUAAUAUUUAAUUUGUCUAUGAUUGUUACGUUCAUUUUAUAUUCAAAUUUUAUGAAUUCAAUGUGAAUUUAUUUAUGAAGAGAAUUAAUUUUUUUUAUUUAAUAGAUAAGGGGAGAAUUAUGGUGUUUGUUGUGGUGUCUUUAUUAUGGUGUUUAUGAUUGUUCAAAAGAUGGCAGUAGCAUUUGAGGAAAAAAAAUAAUGAGUAAUGAUUUAUUUAGACUUUUUUUUUGUCUCAUUCCUUUUAUUUUAUUUUUCUGCGUUUUUAUUGCAGUAUCUAUUAUAUCACAUGUUUUUUAUUCUUAUUUCACUAAUAUGUAAGUAGAAAUGAAAUGAACAAAAUUAGGAAAAAAAAGAAAUGUGAAAAAAGUAGAAUUCAAAAAUGACUGAUCGAUGGGAUUCUUUUGUUUUUUCUUUUCACCGAAACAAAAAUUCUUGUUGAUCGUUGCUUUGUGCGUGUAAGGACGUGAGAGACUAGGGAUUAAGGUUGUGACCAUCAUAUGAGUGUUCUUUUUGUCUUUUACUAAGUCAAAUCCUCACCAUUCUCAUGCCAAGUGUUAUUCCAAUCCUCGCCUUCAUGGUGUUUUGUCUCUUAAUUUACUAUUGCCUCAUUCUUUGCUUAUGCAUUUUUCUAUUUACUAAUGAACACCACUUGUGAUCUCUUUUGAUUAGUACCUAAGGUGUAGGUAAGUAAGAAGAAUCUUCCUUCUUCUAUAUGGGUAAAUAAAAUUUACACUAAUAAUGCAUGGAUUUUUCUUUUAAUCUAAAACCCCCACUAAACAUAAAAAAAAACCCGCAAAACAGAAAAUUUCUUGUAAUGUUCGUCCAGAAACAGAACUAUCGUGCCCUAAACAAGAGCUACCGUGGCAAGAGUCCAUUGUUGCUACCCGACAUCCAGACGUGUCGAGUCUAACAUGAGCGGUUUUUAAACCUUGCUAAAUGACCCGCAGGGUCAUAAACCCCCACUAAACAAAAAAAAACCCGCAAAACAGAAAAUUUCUUGUAGUGUUCGUCCAGAAACACAGCUAUCGUGCCCUAAACAAGAGCUACCGUGGCAAGAGUCCAUUGUUGCUGCCCGACAUCCAGACGUGUCGAGUCUAACAUGAGCGGUUUUUAAACCCUGCUAAACGACCCGCGGGGUAAAAAACCCCCACUAAACAUAAAAAAACCCGCGAAACAGAAAAUUUCUUGUAGUGUUCGUCCAGAAACAGAAACAAGUGCUACCAUGGCAAGAAUUCAUUGUUGCUGCCCGACAUCCAGACGAAGGGAGAAUUGUGAGGGUUUCAAGCGAGAACGGUGACAGUUUAGGGUGCGAGAUGUGCGAUUGAGAACGAUGAGGGUUGGAUUUGGGUGCGAGAGUGUGAGAACAAUGUAGAAAGGGGAAGGGAAAUAACAUUGAUGCAAAAAAAAAGAUAGAGUUUUUGAGUGAAAAAAUAAAUAAAUUGGGCAAUGGUUCCUUAACCGGUGCCUAACACUGAAAUUUUAAGUUGAGUAGCGUUUCUUUUAGCAUAUACUUAUUUUUCGUAACUUCUGCAAUUUUCAAAAACCAACCAUUCACUUUUGUGCUUUGGCGCUAUAGAGAAGGGCAUAUGGGUAAAUUGCUGCAAAAGAAUCAUAGUAAUCAUUACUCUUCAUCCUCGUCCCCUGCGUGACUUGCCGCAUUGUUCGUAUUGUGUUUUGAGCGUUUUGAGCUCGUUCCAUCCAUUUUUUCAUCGCUGGUUUCUCAUCCUCGUCCCCUGCGUGACUUGCCGCAUUGUUCGUUUGCGUGACUUGCCGCAUUGUUCGUUUGCACAUUUCUUUGCUCCUCAGCGUAACAGAAUUUCUUUCGUGUUAUUCACUUAUUCCAUUGUGUUUUGAGCGUUUUGAGCUCGUUCCAUCCAUUUUUUCAUCGCUGGUUUCUGUUGCAGAUGCAUCCAGAAGCUUCAGAUUCUCUUACAAUGGAGGAAGAUCCUGAAAUUUCUCUUCCUCCUUAGGUAUCUCCCUUGUCUAUCUCCCUUCUCCUUCAGAUUCUCAUUACUACACUAUAUAUAGAUUGUAAUUGAAAUCAUGUAGUAAUAUUAUGUCUCUUGUCUAUUGAAGCAUUCCUCUUGAAUAGUUUUGUAAUAACGUUUGCUGCUUAUGGGGUAUUGCUCUGUUUGUUUCUGCGGCAGAUGAAUGUCAUUGCUGCUCCUCCUCCUCAGAACACCGAAGAUCCGGAUGUUCCACAUGAGCAAUUCUUUUUAGUGCAAAUAUUUUAUGAUUUUAAUAUUUUCCUCGUUUCUCACUCGGGUAUUGAAGGAACUAAGAUUUCCUGGAUUGUAUAUAAACAUGUGACCAUAUAUAAACCCAUAAACAAGAGAAUUUCUGGAUUGUAUAAACACGUGACCAUAUAUAUACCCUUCUGAAACUAGAGUUUAAUAAUAACAUGAACAACACUUGUUUAUACAAAACGAUAUCUCUUGAAUUAAUAUAACAAAAAAUGUCAAUAAUGAGCAAGCACUUAUCUAUGUUUUUGUUGUUCCUAUCUUCACUUUUCCUACAUACUUUGUUUUUCUUGUUCGUAUUUAUUCUACUUCACUUUACUGUUUUAGAUCUUACAAGUUUGGGAGCUAGUUAACCGGCUUUGGCACAAUUUCAGAUUCAUACUAACUAAAUUGUUAACAAAUUAGUUGUAAGGAAACUGACCGACAUGUCAUUCACCAAACCGCUUUGGCACAAUUUCACAUACAAACGGUUAGGAAACUGGCUGACAUAACCAUUUUUUGGAACCAACAAAAAAAACUACAAUUUAGAUUAAAUAAAUUAUACAUCAAAGCUAAAUGAAAAUGUCUUACAGCCAAAAUAACACCGCAUAGUAAGAAGAUAGAAGCCUCUACAUUCCUCUACAUUACACCACUCCAUUCCCAAAUUACAGUUAAAGUAUGACCUAAAAUCAUCAUCGUUUCUUCACUUUCCGUGAACAAACUCAUGAAGAUACAUGAUAAGAUUCGGGAAGCAUUUUGUGAAGUAUGCAUCUAACUUAACUUGAGUCGAUCCAUCAUACCCAUGAAACUUCCCCAACAAGAACUUAUCUUCGUGUUGAAUGGUGUUUCGAAUAUAUCUCACUAGAUCUCUAACCAGACUUAAGUCAUAGAUUGCUCCCGUCUUCCCACCCUCCUCUUUCUUGACAGAAUUCUUCUCCUUCUCUUUCUUGACGAAAUUGAAGAGGUAAGUACAAUUCCGGUUCGAGUUGAUAAUGCCACCAUGUCUCAAUUACACAAUCACGUUUUAUCGCCUCUACAUCAUAGUUGUGGGGAAUUGUGUUCAACUUGUUUCCAACUUGUGUAAGAAAACCUAGUCUCAUCUCUAUAUUCCAGAAGAAAGGAUGAGAGACAACAAAUGAUAUAUCCGGCCUUUGUAGCGGAGAAUCCUUACCAAAAAAAAGCUAGACUCGACAUGAACCUAUUCGCUUUUCAUGUUACGCAAGACUCUAGAAAUGCAACACUCUUAGACUUAAAUUGAUUUUCCCUUGCCUAAUAAAAUGAUUACGGUUAAAUUAAAAUUCCACUGAUUAACAAUUAUAUUAAAUUAAAAUUACUAACUAAAAUUAUUAAUUAGAAACUAACAUAAAAAAUUCAAAAUUUAUAAUUAAUCUAAUUAACUCAUCUCCCUCAACUUCAUCAAUCUUCAACAUCAACAUCACCAUGACUAGACCCGUGAAAACUUUUCUUUUAAGGCUUCUUUUUACUAUCUUAAUUUUUUCUUCUUUUACCAACUUUUGUUAGGGAAAUUUAUUCGCCUUUAUACUUCUAAAGGGUAGUUGAUGUCACAAUAUAUAGAAUUAUCUCAUCUAUUCUUAUCUCUCAAUGGCUUAUCUUUCUCAUCACCAUUGUUUGCCUUUGUCUUUGGGACUUAAAUGGAAUAUAAUAUUAUAUAGACAAAAAAAUCCGAACCACUCUAAAAUAAAAUUAGGCACGGAAAAUUAAAGCAUUUGAAGGAAUAAACGGAGUUAGAGAAUUUACUGUGAUCAUUAUCUAGAACAUCUCAAUCUUCAGUGUAGAGAAUCUCAAUUUCAAGGUGGGUUAAGGCAAAAUGUGUCGGUAGUGAACACUUGUUUAUGGAUUUUAAAAACACGUGGCCAGAAAAUUUCUAGCCUCUAUGGAUUGUAUAAACACGUGACCAUAUCUAAACUCAUAAACAUGUGACUAUAUAUAAAACUAUGUGAAACUAGAGUUUAAUAAUAACAUGGAGAAUGUACAGUUGUUUAUAAAAAAACACUUGUUUAUACAAAAAAAUAUCUUUAGUUAAUAUAUCAAAAGAUGUCAAUAAUGACAAACACUUAUCUAUGUUUAGUUGUUUCUAUCUACAGUUUUCUCUGGUUCGUAUAUAUUUUGCUUCAUUUUCAGAUCUUACAAGUCUGAGAGCUCAUUAGUAGCAAGAAGAAUCGAGCAACAAGGUACAUGUAUUUGUUCAUUAAUUACUGUAGAUCAAUAGAAAUAUGCUUAGCUUAUAACAGAAUUUUCUAUGAUGCACUUGAUUUGUAACAAUAAAUGCUAUGAGAAUUUUCUAUUUCAACAAAUUAGUUUAGAAACGUUAUCAUAGCAACGCAUUUUAAGGAUGAUGGAAGAGUCCAUUAUAUGUUCCACAAUUUAAGACAUUGCUCCGCGUGACCUAUUUUAAGACAUUGUUCCGCAUUUUAAAUUUGUGACAUUGCUCCCCAUUUUAAGACAUUGCUCCGCAUCUUAAGGAAUUUGUCAUGUCUGGUUUGCCAUAUGCAUUUCCAAUUCCACGUGACCCAAUGAUAAACCAAGCAGAAAAGUAGAAAAUUGCUUGCUGAAAAGUUGCUGAGACACUUGGCAGUAGCUCCAUUGAACAUAGCAUGCAGCUUACAUUUGUUUGCCAAAUGCAUUUCCAAUUCCACGUGACCCAAUGAUAAACCAAGGUGAGUGCACUCCAAUUGAGUGUUGAAUUUUAUGACAAUUUCAUAGCUAAACUUAACUCCUGUGCUAAUACCAAAACAGUCUAAGUUGGAGGGGAUUGCACUAUUAUGGUCAGCAUGAAAAGUAGAGAGGUUGAUGUCUGGUUUAGUCUUCUUCUCAGUAAUAGUCAUAUCCGCCAAUUUCCAAAAAAUUUGGAUGUGAAAUUCUUCCAUAGUCUUUUACGAUUGACCCAAAUUUCUGACUUAUUAUCCCAGAUUAUUUCUUUUAACAUUUAAAAUCAUAAGAACUUAGUUACUCAGUUAGCCUUAUAACUAAAUUUCUAAGUAGUUUUAUUCAGUCAAGUAUUGUUACAAACAUAUAAAAAUCAAUAUCAAAUGUAUUUUUCAUUUUUCUGAGUAAGCCAAUUGUGUAUAUAUAUAAAAGCACAAGCAAUGCCAUCAAUGAACAAGAGACAGACCAAAGGGCCAAAAGGCAAAAAAAAAACAAAACAAAAAAAUAGAGGUACAGGGACAUAACAAAAAUAGGGGAAAAUAAACUAGGGAAGAAAACAACAAAUACCAAGACCACGUUAUAGCAGUAGCAUGACCAACAAUUACAACACUAGACAUUUCCCUGAAUAAACUAGGCUACAAAGACUACAUAAUUCCCCGGGAUCAAGAGCCUCAAGUCACCAACAAUUUCUUCUCAUUCAGUGAGUGCCCGGACCAUCAUUUUCUGCCCAAACCAGUGAAUUCGCUACAAUAUCCAUGAGAAUAUAUCAAAUGCAUUUUAUCAUAACUUUUAUAAACUAAAUUGCUCAAACAGAAAAUUCUCAUUCAUUGUCAGCUACACAUUAUUGCUUCAAUUUACAAAUCAGGCGCAUCAAAGUUGAUUUGAACUAAACAUAUUUCUACUAGAGUAAUUAAUGAUGCAGUGAAUAGGAAACUAUGCUUUAAUUCGUUGUUUCAGAUGCAUCGUACUAACUAAUUCAUGUACUUGUUGCUUGAUUAUACUACUGAGCUCUCAAAUAGUUAGCAUCUGAAAACACAGGGGUGAGGUAUAAUGAUUGAUGAUGUAGAAAACAGCAAAUUGUGCUCUAAUUCAUUGUUUCAAAUGUAUCAUAGUAACUAAUUCAUAUACCUCGUUGCUGGUUCUUCGUGAUACUACUGAGCUUUCAAAUGGUUAGAUCUGAAAACGAGAAGUGUGUUAGAAUAUAAAUCAACCAUGGAACAAAUUGCAGAGGAGAUCAAGUUGAGAAGGAUAUGAAUGCAAGCUUUAAACAUGAGCUUUCUGUUAGAGUCCCACAUUAGCUAGAGACUUUCCAUAGAGAGGGAAAAGAUAAUUACUGAUACUCCCCUUCUCCCCUACAUGACUUCAAAACCGCUCUGCACAUUCGGUUCUGCAAAUUUCGUUUGCACACAUUUUGCCUCAAACAGACUUGCUCUCUCUUACUAGGUAUGAAAGAAACACACAACAACAAUUACAUUAUACAACAACUACAUUAUACACUCACCGUCUUCAACAUUUUUGAAGCUUUGCUUGUUUCUUGAUGGAUCAAAAAGCCGAUUCUGCUCCUCCUCCUUAGGUAUCUGCGGUAAUUAAUGAACAAAUACAUGUACCUUGUUGCUCGAUUCUUGCUGCUACUAUUGAGCUCUCAAACUUUUAAGAUCCUAAAACAUAAAAGUGAAGUAGAAUAGAUACGAACAAGAAAAAACAAAGUACAUAGGAAAAUUGAAGAUAUAAACAACUAAAACAUAGAUAAGUGAUUGCUCAUUAUUGACAUUCUUUAUUAUAUUAAUUCAAGGUAUCCUUUUGUAUAAACGAGUGUUCAUUGUCCAUGUUAUUAUCAAACUCUAGUUUCACAAGGGUGUAUAUAUGAUCACGUGUUUAGACAAUCCAUAAACUCUCUUGUUUAUACAAUCCAGUGGGUUUGUAUAUAGUCACAUGUUUAUAAAAUCUAGAGAGGCUAGAAACUCUCUGGUCACAUGUUUAUACAACUCAUAAACAAGUGUUCAUUGGCCAUGCUUUGACGUUAAAUUUGUGAUAGAAAUAUAAAGAAAGCAAGUCUCUUAACAUAAAUUUAAGAAAAAAAUUGAAAAAAGUUAUAUCUACUACAUCUUAUUCUCCAGUUACUAUUCAUAAGAAACCUCCAAUGGCGUUGCGACAUCUGUCCUUCUUUUCUUUCUCUUUUUUCUUUUCUUUUCUGAAACGUGGGAAACGACAUCGUUCUCUCCAUCACUCUUUCUCUCCAGGCAACCCUAGCUGGCUAUUGUGUGUUUGCUCUCCCUUUCUACCCACUCUGCUGUACCUUCAUCACCUUCUGUCAUCGCAGCUGUUCGUUUCCGGAAAAGGUGGGAAAGAGAUUGAUGUUGUGAGGACACAGAGCAUAAUUUUCCUUUUCCUUCUCUUCCAAUUUUGCGGAUUGGUCAAGUACUUCGACCUUUUCCUUUUCCUUCUCCUCCAAUUUUGAGGAUUGGUCAAGUACUUCGCCCUCAAAGCUUGCUUUUCCAGAUUUUCCGCAAUCUUUCACCAUCUCCGCUCUCCAUGCUUUGUUCGUACGAGUAGGUGUUGUCAAGUCUUUGAUGAUGUGAAGUUUGGAGCUGAAUUUGAAAUUCAAAUUGCAAAGGUAUGGGCUUCAAUGUGUUUCUUAAGAUUUGAUUGUCUAUAAAUACUGGUGUUCAUUCUUGCCUCAGAGGUGGAAGAGCCAUAGCAACCAGCUUUGGACCCCUUCACUGUCACGCCACCUGCUAUGGAACAGGUUCUCAUUUAUUUUAUUCCCGACAUCUUGCUCUUUCCAUUGUAUAUAUCCAAUGUCAUCAAUUCUUGCUAAUGUAAUUGUUUGAAACACCAUAGAGUUCCUGGAUAACCAGUUUUAUUGUUUGUUCAUCAUGUUCAUGUUUAUUUUUAACUUCUUAUUAUCAUGAGAAAAGCUAAAGUCUUCUCAUUGUCUAAUGGCCUAUGAUAUUAAUAACCAACAUACCAAAUAUAAUCAAGAUUCACUGUUGCUGCUUUUGGAGUUUAGAAGGAAGGUUUCAUACAAUUGAUGGACCUCUCCAUCAUAUUCAACUAGUAGGAUAAGAUGAAAUUGUGAUUAUUUCUCUAUUUUGAGGAUGGGUACUUUGUUCCUCAUUUUAUUGAACAGUUUGGAAUGAAUUUUUAAUGUUUUGUGAUUUUGUAAACAUCUACAAAAUGGUAUUUUGUUUUAAAGCUUUGAUUUACAAAGUAUGCCUUUGACAAUAUGUGAACCUUUUCAUUUUGCAGGUUAUAAAGAUUAGAAAAAUUGUGAGGCUUAAAGUCAAAACAGAAAAAAAAGAUUAUGUGGUAACUAAUUAUACAUGUGAGUAUCAAUCUUGGCUUAAAGCUUGAGAAAAUAUACUUACUGCUAUUUCAUUUCUCAUUCAUCACCAGCAAGUAAAUCUUGGCUUUCAGAUUAGAAACAAUCACUAUUUUUCGUCUCAUUUUGAUAUAUUUAUUGGUCACACAGGUGCAAGUUUGAAGCUGUAGUGGAGGAGGUUGAUAGGAUGCUCAUAGGCUUGAGGGAAAAGUUAUUAUCCAGGACAUUUUGAGAUCAUCAACGAGCUUCAGAGCUUGGUCAAGUCUAUUCAGUGGGAGGUUCAUAAUAGGAUUGGAUGAAGUAAUAAUGGCAAGUGACAUUCUUACUUUCCCUCAAGGCUUGAUACCCUUUUACCCUGAGCUCUGUAUUUUCUUUUUAUUGUACUCACUAUAGGAUAUGUAGUUCACAGUGCUGGAAGUUACAGCUUGCUAGAGAUUAGAGAAUUAAAAGGGUAGAACAUUAGUCCCAAGAUAGAGGCUUAGAUGUAGGGUUUUCAUUGAGAACCCUUUUAUCCCAUAAAUUUACAAGAUACUGUUAAAACCUUUUUUGGAGAUCUGGCCAUCAAAACAGUAGAGUAGUGAAGGCUGAUCUGGUUUUAGGCAUUAUCGAUGCUUACUUUGUUUAUCAAAUGCUUUUAUGCUUAUAUCUCAGCCUCAUUCUAAAGUUUGAUGUAUUUUCAAUUGUACUAUUUGCAACUAAUGCACUCAACGUGGUUAGUUAUAUGUUUAAAUUGAGUUUCCAUACUUCAAUUUCAUGGCUACAAUUGUUCUAUUUUUUUCUCUAAUGAAUGUUUGUUUUGAUGUGUUGCACUUCUGGUGACAGAUUACUUUUUAACUUCUAAUAACAACUUCUACCUAAUAUCCAGCUCUACCUUCUUGACCUAUUAGGUGUUUGUGGAAUAAAGAGAGAAGAAAAUUGUGUAAGGUUACGGAUUGAAUGUUAUAACUUUCACUUAAUGCCAAAAUUGAUUAUAAAAUUAUUUUCUUUAGCUAACCUUUAAAUCAUUCACUCAAACCCAAAACUGAAACACCUUAAAGCCCUCAUUUUUUCCCCUCCCAAUGAGGAGGAUCUUGGCAAUGGAAAUAAAAACCUAAAGUUCUGCAUUAUUUCUAACUAUGGCUAAGUAUCUUGGAGAUAAAAAUAGCUCUCUUGAUAUGGCUGUUUUGGUACAACAGAAAGCUGUGGAAAAUAUUUUGAAUUUGGCUGCAUAUCAAAAGAAUUGUGUAACCUGAUUCUAUGCUAUGUUAUUAUGAAAGGUGUAGUGUUAGCAUGAGAACAACAUGUUUUUAAUUCUUUGACUAUCUAUCUAUAUAUCCAGUAGCUAAAAGAACAAUUCCAUGCUUAAAUAAUCCAGUUUGAGAGGUCUUUGUGGAUUUUGAUGAUGAGUUAUUCACAAGUGAGCUUUAAAAAGUAAUGAAGGAAGGACAUGUCUGCAAAUGUAAGUUUGUAUCUGCCAAAUCCUAUAUCUCUUUAGUUUACAAAUUUCAAUAUAAUGUUAUGUAUUUUCUCACUAACAUUUAAUAUCAGAAAGAUUAAAUGUAUCUUUUCCCCAAGUGAACUCAUUUAUUUGUCUAGAAAUCUGUUUUCUUUACCUGUAGAUGGUUGCCGAUGUAAUUUGGUGAUUUUAUUGUUAUUUUCUGAGAAAACUCAUUUGCUGCAUUAUUCUGCUGUUUAAUCUGAUUGUAUGAUUUUUUCUUUUCAUUUGGAGAAGUGCGGUGAGUUUUAUUGACAUAAGUUAGAGUAGUUACUGAUAAUUAUAACCCUAUCCUCUUUAUCAGGUAACUCUAUUACUAAGGGUAGAUUAAGAAGAAGUAUUAUGAAGAACAAUUUAAACUUACCUGUCCUGUUCAAAGUAGUAAUUCUGAUGUAGAUGUUUUUAGAGGAGCAUCCAUAAGGGAAAGUUUAAAUUGAAUUUAUAGUUUUAUACAUACCUAUCAUCAUUUUUAUUUUGCUUUACUAUCUCAAUAGUAGAAGAUUUUUUUAAUUAGUUCAUGGGAAUCACUCAUUCACCUAUAAAAUGAUAUAAUGGAAUUUUCUUCGGAAAAUGAAUUAGUUCUUUGACUCUUUUAUUCCAUUACAGAGAUUGUCUUUGAUGUCCUUGAUGGUCUUGCAGUUUUUUUGUGCCUAGGUGUGGAUUCUUCUUUCUCUUCAUAUUGAUGUCAAUCUGUUAUUAGUUAUGUUGUUUGCCAUUAAACAACUAAUAUUAGCAGGACUGGUAAUUAGUAAAUCAAUAUUGAGAGUAGGUUUAUUACAAGAAUCUCAUUCCCCUUUGAUUUUGGGAUGAAUCCUAACUGCUAAGAAUGUUAAACUUAUUGAUUUUCGCCGCUGCAACCGUUGAUUCUACUUUCAAGCCAAUCAACCAAGAAGUCUUAUGUUGUUCCGUUCAGGAUUUUUGCACAGUAUCAGAAUAUUUUUUUUCAUUGGUUUUGUGAAAUUGUCCUGGAUAAAGAUAACAUCGCUUGAAUUGAACUGAGGGUGUUUACGCUACAGAUUAUCAAGGAACUGGAGUUGAAUUAGAGGAUAAAGUGAUUGAAGUUAGUAAAGUUAUGGAAGUGGUGAAGAGAAAAGACAUUGAGGAUUAUGAGACUUGGAAACAUGGUGUUGAAGAUCAACAUGACUUCGGACAUUGUUGGGCCUUUACUCACUGGAAUUGCUGCAUGAAGUAAGAUUCUAUAUUUUGAGUAAUUAAUUGAUCACUUUUUAAGUAAUACACCUGACAUGUUAUGAUGUAGCAAGGAGCUCAAGGAAAAGCUCCUCGCUUCUUCUGAUGCUGCCAUGUAGUUUAUUCCUUUCCUCGGUGGCGAUGGUAGACCUAAUGUCGUUCUCUUGAGGUUUAUCAGAGCAAGGGACUUUAGGAUUGUUGAAGCUCACAACAUGCUUCUCAAGUGCUUGCCUUGGAGGAAAGAGUUUGGUGUUGAAAGCCUGACAACAUCUAAGAUUUUGGGGUUGAAUGAGCUGUAAGGAAUAUUUUGUAACAUUGAUGAAGUUAAUUUAAUAAAGUGUAAAACAGUGGAUUUCACCACCAACCAAACAUUCGUCAUGCUUUCGCCUCAGUAGACAAAGUUUUGGGUUCGAAUGCAUCUUCAAAGGUUGAUCUGUGAUCAAAUGGUUAGUAUCUAUCCAAAUCUCAAUUAAUUUUCGUACUACUUUUACACUUAUGUAUUCUGAUUACCUACAUGUGCUACUGGUAUGGUUCUGUCAGUAGUUUAUAAUUUUUGCUAUAAAUACCUCCUUGCUGUGAACUUCCAGUCAACACAUUUCCCCUCUCAUUCUGUAUGAAAAAUCCCCUUGAUUUCCACUGAAUUCACUGAUCUCUCUGUUUUCUUUGCACCAGUUUCUGGACACAUGAGUUCGAUUCGAAGCUUAUACUCUGGUAGAGAAGCCUGGAAGAUAAGAGCAAGAGUUAUUAGGAAAUGGUUAGCGAAAAUUAGAUUGUGUGUCUUAUUAAAUGUUAUAAUUAUCAUAUGUCAAAACUGUUCUGCAGACCUUUUGUGACUGAGUUUGUGUGUGCUUACAUGUUGUUUUAGGGUAAGUUCUCCUUUGAAUACCCCCCUGUGAUUAUGGACUUAGUUGGUAGGGAGUUGUUAUUGAAGGUUGAGGAGGCAGCUGAUCAUGCUGUACGAUUUGAUGAUUCUUUCGGCGUCAAGAAAAUAUGUGAUGAUUUUAGCAUUAUUGGAGCAUUUAAGGACAAGGCCAAGAUUCAGACUCCAGAAAAGGUUUGCAAUAUCUACAUUGUAUAAUUCUCAUAUGUUAAUUUUAUCUAAUGUGCCUACUUUUUUUUCAGCUUAAUUUUAUCCAAUGUCUUAUUUAAAUUGUGAAUGUUCUGUCAACCUUUAUGAAAUGGGCCCAAGUGUUCCAUCCCUAGAUGAUAUUUCACCACAUGAACCCUCCAUUAUUUUCUCAUCGGUUUUGGUAGUAUUAGCAGUGGAGAAACUAUCAGUAGCUCAAGGACUUCAAAGAGGCUGAAAAUAAGAAGUGUUAAAUUAGAUAGGUAGUCUUUGCAUAUUUGUACUGAAAUGAAUGGGACCUGGUCUGAUUUUAUCACAGGCUUUAUAUAAGUUGUGAAUUUUGUUGUGCUAUUGUUGUCAUGUUAAGUAAUUAUUGGGAUAUCUUGGCUAUGGUCAGUGCUACUAGAUUCAAGACCUUAUUUUCCUUUUGCUUAUGUGGGUUGUCAUGCCCUUUAUGUUGGAGUCUAUUUUAAAUCUACUCUAUGUUUGCCUCAAUGUUGUGUUACAUUACAUAUAUUUGUCUUAAAUUAUGAGCAUGUCUUUUGGGCAGACAUUUCAAAUUAUGAGAAUUUUCUUUUUCAUCCUAAUACACUGUCAGCUCUUGUCAUCAUGUUCACGAAUUCCUUCUUUUAUCCAAAAGUAAAAUGUGUGGGGGCUGAUAUCAUGAGUGGGGAUACAUGUGCUUCAGAAACAGUAACAGUUUGAACAAUGAAGACUAUGAGUUGUCUGAGUACUUUUGAUUUUUGCAUAAAUAAGCGUAUAGAAAAAGGCCUUUAUACUUCUACUUCUUUUAUGUUUGAAAUAUCAAUAUUGUGGUUGUAGUUGUGAUAGUAGCAUAAUAACUGAGAAAGACUAUUUGAUUUUGUAUAUAAUCUGAGAUAGUUUUAUGGAGUAAGAACUUUUAAUGCUCAACCAAAUUUAAGUUCCUUAAUGAAUCACAUUAAAUUAUGAAUUACUAAAAGGAAGCAUCCAGAUUAGUUCUCUGGAACUAUGUUUUUCAGGUACUAGUCACACUGUUUGACAUGCUUAUCUUUUAGAUGUAUUUUGAUCUUUGGAAGGGGUAAUCUAGGAUGAGGAUAAUCAAAAUGAUUUGUAGUCAUCUUGAUACUUAGUGCAUGUUCUGAUUUUACUGGACAACUUGAAACUUAUACUUCUAACUGCACAAAUCCUAUGGGUUAUUUCCUACUUCAUAUUUUAUAUGCAUAAGAUUAUUUUUUUCAAUUUACUAGAUGCUUCAUUUUCUAUGAUGACUUCAGAAGUGAAUAUAUAUGAUUAAUUGCAUUAAUUUAUGUAGAUUCUAAGGUUGGAGUUUGCUCAUUAUGACUACAAAGCUCGCAAAACCAUAUCAGCUAAGGACUUUGCACUUUCCAUGGUUGCUUCUGCAGACAUGAGUCAUAUAGGCAAGUAGCUUGAAUGGGUUGAUGAGUUGGGCAAUCCACGCUUUAAGGACUUCAAAAGCUUUGCAGAGCUAAGAAAGAAGUUAUCUCCACUGUCAUUGGCCCUUUUCAGUUUUGGAAAAUUAAAUGGCCUGCUGACGAGAGAUGAUUUUCAGAGAGCAGCAUCACAUGUAUGACAUCUCUCUUGAUUUCUUGCUUAACUUAAUAGUGAUGGUUAGGGGCAGUUACUACAUUUCCAUGAUGGUAGAGGUUUUGCAUCAAUACAAAGGCAGAGCAUGUGAAACAGGAAUGGAAUGGAUGUUUCUAUUAGUGAGGAUUCUGUUAGAAGGUCUGCAUCAAUACAAAGGCAGAGCAUGUGAAACAGGAAUGGAAUGGAUGCCUAUAUUAGUGAGGACUCUGUUAGAAGGUUUGUAGUUUGUACAAUUUGCAAGUGAAAGUCGCAUACAUGAAUUAUAGGCAGAUUUAGACACAUACAAACUUACAAAGGAAUUAUUUGAUGUUUGCUUUUAUACUUUUGUUGAUUUUAGGAGUGGACCAUGUUUAUCAUUUAGUUCCAAACCUUUCAAUUCCUCAUUUAAGCUAUUUUUCCUCAAGGUUAAUAGCUUUCUGCUGUCUAUCUUUGGUUUCGUAGAUAAGUUACAGAGGCAUGGACAAUAACUUUGCCCAAAAUCUCAAGGCCUACAUAUCACUGUUUUCAGCAUCAGGUAACUGCGUUUUUUAUCGAUAAGACCAAUUCAAAGUAAUAAUGUGAUUUUUCAAUGUUCACAACUUGAUAGGAAGAGAAAUAGGAUUUUGAUUCAUGCUUUUGUGCCACUCAAGGCACUGUGUACAGAGAUUCUUUUUCUAAAAACAUGAAAAGAUAUAUGUGGUUAAACAAUUAUUUUUUGUUAUGAGUCAAAUAUAAUUAUCUUCCAUUCAUAUGUUGGUCAUGAAUGUAAGUUAAUAGGUGACUAAGCAUGCUCAAAUUCAAAUUUAAAACAUUCAUGUAAUCACAAAGUUUAAUGUUUUUUCUUGAGGGAAAAAUAGCACUGUUUUAAAUUUAAGCUAAUAUGUUGGUCAUGAAUGUAAGCUAAUAGGUGACUAAUAUGUUUUUUCUUUAUUAAAGUUUUUUCCCUUAUUAAUCUAUUAUCUAAGUUUCUUGAUGAGCACUUGCUUAGAUUUGCCAUUACCAUUUUUUAUAUCUUAUCAACCUGCUGGUAAAUUUUGAUGCAUAAUUAACGUCAGCUAGCACUGUUUUAACCCAUGGUAUUGAAAUUGAGUGGUUUAGUCUAAUUAAACAGUAUUUCAACACAAUCAUUUUGAUAUUUUUCUUCGUUCCAGCACAGUUUUAAACCCAUAACCGUUGUUGAUUCAAAAAGCACUUUAAGAUCAACGGUUGAAAAUUAAAGAUAGAUAGUAACAGUAAAAUACACAAUCACACACAGGAGAUAAGCAUAUCUACACGCAAUCAUAACAGACUGUCACACGGGCACAAGGAAUUAUGCAUCAGAAAUUCUGACACACGUGUUGUUGUCUCAGCUUCAGAGUCAGUACCAGUGGGCACACACACUCUGAUUGAGUUACCUUCUGAACUAGACAUCUUCUGAUCAAGAAGUAUCAUAGUCAGAGGUUCUGAUCCAUCUUCACUCUGGACAAAAGUCCAUGUUUAGAUUUUUCAGAAUAAAAUUAAAUCUAUCUUCAGCUAAGGGCUUUGUAAAAGUCGCAUACAUGAAUUAUAGGCAGAUUUAGACACAUACAAACUUACAAAGGAAUUAUUUGAUGUUUGCUUUUAUACUUUUGUUGAUUUUAGGAGUGGACCAUGUUUAUCAUUUAGUUCCAAACCUUUCAAUUCCUCAUUUAAGCUAUUUUUCCUCAAGGUUAAUAGCUUUCUGCUGUCUAUCUUUGGUUUCGUAGAUAAGUUACAGAGGCAUGGACAAUAACUUUGCCCAAAAUCUCAAGGCCUACAUAUCACUGUUUUCAGCAUCAGGUAACUGCGUUUUUUAUCGAUAAGACCAAUUCAAAGUAAUAAUGUGAUUUUUCAAUGUUCACAACUUGAUAGGAAGAGAAAUAGGAUUUUGAUUCAUGCUUUUGUGCCACUCAAGGCACUGUGUACAGAGAUUCUUUUUCUAAAAACAUGAAAAGAUAUAUGUGGUUAAACAAUUAUUUUUUGUUAUGAGUCAAAUAUAAUUAUCUUCCAUUCAUAUGUUGGUCAUGAAUGUAAGUUAAUAGGUGACUAAGCAUGCUCAAAUUCAAAUUUAAAACAUUCAUGUAAUCACAAAGUUUAAUGUUUUUUCUUGAGGGAAAAAUAGCACUGUUUUAAAUUUAAGCUAAUAUGUUGGUCAUGAAUGUAAGCUAAUAGGUGACUAAUAUGUUUUUUCUUUAUUAAAGUUUUUUCCCUUAUUAAUCUAUUAUCUAAGUUUCUUGAUGAGCACUUGCUUAGAUUUGCCAUUACCAUUUUUUAUAUCUUAUCAACCUGCUGGUAAAUUUUGAUGCAUAAUUAACGUCAGCUAGCACUGUUUUAACCCAUGGUAUUGAAAUUGAGUGGUUUAGUCUAAUUAAACAGUAUUUCAACACAAUCAUUUUGAUAUUUUUCUUCGUUCCAGCACAGUNNNNNNNNNNNNNNNNNNNNNNNNNNNNNNNNNNNNNNNNNNNNNNNNNNNNNNNNNNNNNNNNNNNNNNNNNNNNNNNNNNNNNNNNNNNNNNNNNNNNNNNNNNNNNNNNNNNNNNNNNNNNNNNNNNNNNNNNNNNNNNNNNNNNNNNNNNNNNNNNNNNNNNNNNNNNNNNNNNNNNNNNNNNNNNNNNNNNNNNNNNNNNNNNNNNNNNNNNNNNNNNNNNNNNNNNNNNNNNNNNNNNNNNNNNNNNNNNNNNNNNNNNNNNNNNNNNNNNNNNNNNNNNNNNNNNNNNNNNNNNNNNNNNNNNNNNNNNNNNNNNNNNNNNNNNNNNNNNNNNNNNNNNNNNNNNNNNNNNNNNNNNNNNNNNNNNNNNNNNNNNNNNNNNNNNNNNNNNNNNNNNNNNNNNNNNNNNNNNNNNNNNNNNNNNNNNNNNNNNNNNNNNNNNNNNNNNNNNNNNNNNNNNNNNNNNNNNNNNNNNNNNNNNNNNNNNNNNNNNNNNNNNNNNNNNNNNNNNNNNNNNNNNNNNNNNNNNNNNNNNNNNNNNNNNNNNNNNNNNNNNNNNNNNNNNNNNNNNNNNNNNNNNNNNNNNNNNNNNNNNNNNNNNNNNNNNNNNNNNNNNNNNNNNNNNNNNNNNNNNNNNNNNNNNNNNNNNNNNNNNNNNNNNNNNNNNNNNNNNNNNNNNNNNNNNNNNNNNNNNNNNNNNNNNNNNNNNNNNNNNNNNNNNNNNNNNNNNNNNNNNNNNNNNNNNNNNNNNNNNNNNNNNNNNNNNNNNNNNNNNNNNNNNNNNNNNNNNNNNNNNNNNNNNNNNNNNNNNNNNNNNNNNNNNNNNNNNNNNNNNNNNNNNNNNNNNNNNNNNNNNNNNNNNNNNNNNNNNNNNNNNNNNNNNNNNNNNNNNNNNNNNNNNNNNNNNNNNNNNNNNNNNNNNNNNNNNNNNNNNNNNNNNNNNNNNNNNNNNNNNNNNNNNNNNNNNNNNNNNNNNNNNNNNNNNNNNNNNNNNGGCUUGACAAGAUUCUCACAUAAUGAGAUUGAACAAAAGAACACAAAGAUCAAAAGGACUUUCCAAGGUUGUAAUGGGGCUAAGGUAAAGGAAAGAUAUAUGAAAGAUAAACAUGGCUAAAACCUUAAGAAAAAUAAGAGCAAUGGGGGAUAAUUUAUAUUCUGAGCACAUUACGCAAGCCCAAGAUUAAUACUCUCCCCUCUGACUUUUGUCACAACCUUCGACUUGUUUUUUCCACCUGUGAACAUUUUUGGGCACCUUCUUCAGAUUUCUUUCUUUUGUAUGUUUUUUUUUCUUUUCAUUUUCAUUUUUUUUUCAACACGCAAGAGAGUAAUAAUAACAAGGAAGAAGGUACCAUUUUUCACCGCUUCACAACAUAGACCGUGCAUUAAAGUUUCUCACCCCCACACUUGUUCAUGAAUCAUUCCCAAAACAAUUCCAAAGCUCUUAAAUUCCAUAAGGUAGGGUGUCACUAUGGUUUUUCGUUUUAGGCUUGUAAUGAGCUAACGCAAAGAAUAGGAAAUUAGGCUCAAGGGGCUAAACAAAGGUCAAUUUGUGCAAGGUCGGCUUUUUAGGCUAGUAGCUCAUAGAACAAAACUGCCUUUAUCACUUCCAUGCAUACAUUUGAACAAUAGAAUUCAAAAAGAAUUCAACAAGAAUCAGGUCAAGUUCUGCAGUGCAUGUAAUAAUGAGGAAAUCACACAAGAAAGAAGAGAAAUGACAAAGAUUAAUCCAUUCUAUUAUUUGGCCCAAAACCUCACAAGGUAAAUCUCACAUGGUAGCACAUUUCACAUUGAAUCCAAUAAACAAUCAUAGUGAUUCAAAGUGUAAGCAACUUAGUUUCAAAAAUAUGAAUUUUGUAGCACAAAGGUGAUCAAUUACUCAAAAACACAAUAUCUCGAAAACUCAUUAGAAAAGUGUGCACUAUUUUAUUACCUAAAAGCAAGAAAACAAAGCAAAAACUUUUUUUUUUAUAAUGAAAAACAUAAUUGAAAACAAAAAAACAAAUUAAAAACUACUACUAUUAAGGUUUCCCACCCCCACACUGUAAUCACACAUUGUCCUCAAUGUGAGGCACAAAUCAGCAAAUAAAUUAGACAAGUGUAAUAAAAGAGAAGGGAUAGGAAAAACCAGGUAUCAAGGAAAGACCAAGGGAGGCAUGAAGCCUUGGAGUUUCCUGAAAUCUCUAUCACCUGGGUCUGGUGGAGGCCUUGCAUUAAGAGGAAGCUCAUAAUCUUGAGGCACAGCCGCAAUGCUCCACAAGUCAGGUGGCUUUGGUUCAACCGCUUUGCCAUAAAGUUCAGUGCCCCCAAUCUGGUUGUUUGCACCUUUAGCAUGUCCCUUGAAAACUCAUUUUUCACCCAAAUUCGCAUAGGUUAGCUUUGAAAAAUCCAUCAUCGGGACAAUAAUUCUCAAAUUUUCACAUGAAGCUCACGGGGGAACCUUGGCAUAAGGAAUCCAUUUGGGCAACGAGGCAUGCCAUGACAAACCAAGUUUCCCUUCCAACUUGAGACUUUUCAUUGAAACUCAUUUUCCACCCAAAUUCGCAUAGGUUAGCUUUGGGAAAUCCAUCAUCGGGGCAAAAAAUUCACAAAUUUUGACAUGGGAGCUCACGGGGGCACCUUGGCAUAGGGAAACUAUUUGGGCAAUGAGGCAAGCCAUGACAAUCCAAGAGUCCCUUACAACUAGAUAUAUUUCCUUGAAAACUCAUUUUCCACCCAAAUUCGCAUAGGUUAGCCUUGAGAAAUCCAUCAUUGGGGCAAGAAUUCUCAAUUUUUGACAUGGGAGCUCACGGGGGCACCUUGGCAUAGGGAAACUAUUUGGGCAACGAGGCAUGUCAUGGCAAACCAAGAGUCCCUUCCAACUUGAGACUUUUCCUUAAAAACUCGUUUUCCACCCAAAUUCGCAUAGGUUAGCCUUGGGUAAUCCAUCAUCGGGGCAAGAAUUAUCAAAUUUUGACUUGGGAGCUCACGGAGGCACCUUGGAAUAAGGAAAAAAUUUGGAAACGAGGCAAGGCAUGGCAAACAAAGAGUCCCUGCCAACUUGAAGUUUUCCCUUGAAAACGCUUUUUCCACCCAAAUUCGCAUAGGUUAGCCUUGAGAAAUCCAUCAUCGGGGCAAGAAUUCUCAAAUUUUGACAUGGGAGCUCACGGGGACACCUUGGCAUAGGGAAACUAUUUGGGCAACGAGGCAAGCCAUGAAAAACCAAGAGUCUCUUCCAACUUGAGAGUUUCACUUGAAAACUCAUUUUUCCACCCAAAUUCGCAGAGGUUAUUCUUGAGAAAUCCAUCAUCGGGCCAAUAAUUCUCAAAUUUUAACAUGGGUGCUCACGGGGGAACCUUGGAAUAGGGAAACUAUUUGGGCAACGAGGCAAUCCAUGACAAAUCAAGAUUCCCUUCCAACUUGAGAUUUUCCCGUGAAACUCAUUUUCCACACAAAUUUGCAUUGGCUAGCCUUGGGAAAUCCAUGAUCGGGACAAUAAUUCUCCAAUUUUGACAUGGCAGCUCACGGGGGAACCUUGGCAUAAGGAAUCCAUUUGGGCAACGAGGCAAGCCAUGGAAAACCAAGUCUCCCUUCCAACUUGAGACUUUUCCUUGAAACUCAUAUUCCACCCAAAUUCGCAAAGGUUAGUCUUGUGAAAUCCAUCAUCGGGGAAAGAAUUCUAAAAUUUUUACAUGAGAGCUCACGGGGGCACCUUGGCAUAGGGAAACUAUUUGGGAAAUGAGGCAAGCCAUGGAAACCCAAGUUUCCCUUCCAACUUGAGACCUUUCCUUGAAAAAUCAUUUUCCACCCAAAUUCGCAUAGGCUAGCUUUGGGAAAUCCAUCAUCGGGGCAAGAAUUCUCAAAUUUUAACAUGGGAGCUCACGAGGGUACCUUGGCAUAGGGAAACUAUUUGGGCAACGAGGCAAGUCAUGAAAAACCAAGAGUCAUUUCCAACUUGAGAUUUUAUCUUAAAAACUCAUUUUCCACACAAAUUUACAUUGGUUAGCCUGGGAAAUCCAUCAUCUGGACAAUAAUUCUCAAAUUAUGACAUGGGAGCUCACGGGGGAACCUUGGCAUAAGGAAUCCAUUUGGGCAACGAGGCAAGCCAAGGCAAACAAAGUUUCCCUUCCAACUUGAGACUUUUCCUUAAAAACUCAUUUUCCACCCAAAUUUGCAUAGGUUAGCCUUGAGAAAUUCAUCAUCGGUGCAAGAAUUCUCAAAUUUUGACUUGGGAGCUCACGGGGGCUCCUUGGCAUCGGGAAAAUAUUUGAGAAACGAGGAAAGUCAUGACAAACCAAGAGUCCCUUCCAACUUGAGAAUUUUCCUUGAAACUCAUUUUUCACCCAAAUUCGCAUAGGUUAGCCUUGAGAAAUUCAUCAUCGGUGCAAGAAUUCUCAAAUUUUGACAUGGGAGCUCACAGGGGAACCUUGGCUUAAGGAAUCCAUUUGUGCAACGAGGCAUGCCAUGGCAAACCAAGUUUCCCUUCCAACUUGAGAAUUUUCCUUGAAACUCAUUUUUCACCCAAAUUCGCAUAGGUUAGCCUUGAGAAAUCUAUUAUCGGGGUAAGAAUUUUCAAAUUUUGACAUGGGAGCUCACGGGGGCACCUUGACAUAGGGAAACUAUUUGGGCAACGAGACAAGCCCUCAAAAACCAAAAGUCCCUUCCAACUUAAGAUUUUCCCUUGAAAACUCAUUUUCCACCCAAUUUCGCAAAGGUUAGCCUUGAGAAAUCUAUUAUCGGGGUAAGAAUUUUCAAAUUUUGACAUGGGUGCUCACGGGGGAACCUAUGCAUAAGGAUUCCAUUUGGGCAAUGAGGCAUGCCUUGACAAACCAAGUUUCCCUUCCAAGUUGAGACUUUUCCUUGAAAACUCGUUUUCCACCCAAAUUCGCAUAGGUUAGCCUUGGGAAAUCCAUCAUCAGGGCUUGAAUUCUCAAAUUUUGACUUGGGAGCUCACGGGGGCACCUUGGAAUAAAGAAUCCAUUUGGAAACGAGGCAAACCAUGACAAAUAAAGAGUCCCUUCCAACUUGUGUUUUUCCCUUGAAAACACAUUUUCCACCCAAAUUCGCAUAGGUUAGCCUUGGGAAAUCCAUCAUCGGGGCAAGAAUUCUCAAAUUUUGACAUGGGAGCUCACUGGGGCACCUUGACAUAGGGAAACUAUUUGGGCAACGAGGCAAGCCAUCACAAACCAAAAGUCCCUUCCUACUUAAGAUUUUCCCUUGAAAACUCAUUUUCCACCCAAAUUCGCAGAGCUUAANNNNNNNNNNNNNNNNNNNNNNNNNNNNNNNNNNNNNNNNNNNNNNNNNNNNNNNNNNNNNNNNNNNNNNNNNNNNNNNNNNNNNNNNNNNNNNNNNNNNNNNNNNNNNNNNNNNNNNNNNNNNNNNNNNNNNNNNNNNNNNCAAAGGGUUAGCCUUGGGAAAUCCAUCAUCGUCGAAAGAAUUCUCAAAUUAUGACUUGGGAGCUCACGGGGGCACCUUGGAAUCAGGAAAAAAUUUGGAAAACAGACUCAUCUUCCACCCAAAUUCGCAUAGGUUAGCCUUGGGAAAUCCAUCAUCGGGGCACUAAUUCUCAAAUUUUAACAUGGGAGCUCACGGGGAAACCUUGGCAUAAGGAAUCCAUUUGGGCAAUGAGGUAUUCCAUGUCAAAACAAGUUUCCCUUCCAACUUGAGACUUUUCCUUGAAAACUCAUUUUCCAUCAAAUUCGCAUAGGUUAACCUUGAGAAAUCCAUCAUUGGGGCAAGAAUUCUAAAAUUUUGACAUGGGCGCUCACGGGGGAACCUUGGCAUAGGGAAAAUAUUUCGGCAACGAAAUAUGUCAUGGUAAAGAAAGAGUCUCUUCCAACUUGAGACUUUUCCUGUAAAACUUAUUUUCCACCCAAAUUCGCAUAGGUUAACCUUGAGAAAUCCAUCAUUGGGGCAAGAAUUCUAAAAUUUUGACAUGGGCGCUCACGGGGGAACCUUGGCAUAGGGAAAAUAUUUCGGCAACGAAAUAUGUCAUGGUAAAGAAAGAGUCUCUUCCAACUUGAGACUUUUCCUUGAAAACUCAUUUUCCACCAAAAUUCGCAUGGAAACUCACGGGGUCACCUGGGCAUAAGGAAUCCAUUUGAGCAACGAUGCAUGCCAUGUCAAACCAAGUUUCCCUUCCAACUUGAGACUUUUCCUUGAAACUCUCUUCCACCCAAAUUCGCAUAGGUUAGCCUUGGGAAAUCCAUCAUCGGGGUAAGAAUUCUCAAAUUUUGACAAGAGAGCUCACGGAGACACCUUUGCAUAGGGAAACUAUUUGGGAAACGAGGCAAGCCAUAGCAAACCAAUAGACCCUUCCAACUUGAGAUUUUAUCUUGAAAACUCAUUUUCCACCCAAAUUCGCAUAGGUUAGCCUUGGGAAAUCCAUCAUCGGGGUAAGAAUUCUCAAAUUUUGACAUGUGAGCUCACGGGGACACCUCGGUAUAGAGAAACUAUUUGGGCAACGAGGCAAGCUAUGACAAACCAAGGGUCCCUUCCAACUUGAGAUUUCAUCUUGAAAACACAUUUUCCACCCAAAUUUGCAUUGGUUAGCCUUGAGAAAUCUAUCCUUGGAUCAAGAAUUCUCAAAUUUUGACAUGGGAGCUCAUAGGGGCACCUUGGCAUAGGGAAGCUAUUUGGGCAACGAGCAGGGCCGACCCAAGGACCAAGCUACCCAAGCAAGGGCUUUAGACCUCCAAAAAAAAAUUAAUUUCUACUAAGUGAAAAAAGCCUCCAAUGCCCCAAAUAUUUUAAUAAAUAAAUAUUUCUUUGGGUAAAAUUGCCUUACUUCAAAAUUUGCUUUAGGCCUCAUUUUGCGUUGAGCAGACCGUGAAAACAAGGUAUUCUAUGUCAAACCCAGAGUCCAUUUCAACUUGAGAUUUUCCCUUGAAAACUUAUUUUCCACCCAAAUUCGCAUAGCUUAGCCUUGGGAAAUCCAUCAUCGGGACAAUAAUUCUCAAAUUUUGACAUGGGAGCUCACGGGGGAACCUGGGCAUAAGGAAUCCGUUUGGGCAACGAGGCAUGCCAUGGCAAACCAAGUUUCCGUUCCAACUUGAGACUUUUCCUUGAAACUCAUUUUCCAACCCAAGCAAGGGCUUUAGACCUCCAAAAAAAAAUUAAUUUCUACUAAGUGAAAAAAGCCUCCAAUGCCCCAAAUAUUUUAAUAAAUAAAUAUUUCUUUGGGUAAAAUUGCCUUACUUCAAAAUUUGCUUUAGGCCUCAUUUUGCGUUGAGCAGACCGUGAAAACAAGGUAUUCUAUGUCAAACCCAGAGUCCAUUUCAACUUGAGAUUUUCCCUUGAAAACUUAUUUUCCACCCAAAUUCGCAUAGCUUAGCCUUGGGAAAUCCAUCAUCGGGACAAUAAUUCUCAAAUUUUGACAUGGGAGCUCACGGGGGAACCUGGGCAUAAGGAAUCCGUUUGGGCAACGAGGCAUGCCAUGGCAAACCAAGUUUCCGUUCCAACUUGAGACUUUUCCUUGAAACUCAUUUUCCAACCAAAUUUGCUUAGGUUAGCCUUGGGAAAUCCAUCAUCGGGGCAUGAAUUCUCAAAUUUUGACAUGAGAGCUCUCGAGGGAACAUUGACAUAGGGAAACUAUUUAGGAAACGAGGCAAGCCAUGGCAAACCAAUAGUCCAUUCCAACUUGAGAUUUUCCCUUGAAAACUCAUUUUNNNNNNNNNNNNNNNNNNNNNNNNNNNNNNNNNNNNNNNNNNNNNNNNNNNNNNNNNNNNNNNNNNNNNNNNNNNNNNNNNNNNNNNNNNNNNNNNNNNNNNNNNNNNNNNNNNNNNNNNNNNNNNNNNNNNNNNNNNNNNNNNNNNNNNNNNNNNNNNNNNNNNNNNNNNNNNNNNNNNNNNNNNNNNNNNNNNNNNNNNNNNNNNNNNNNNNNNNNNNNNNNNNNNNNNNNNNNNNNNNNNNNNNNNNNNNNNNNNNNNNNNNNNNNNNNNNNNNNNNNNNNNNNNNNNNNNNNNNNNNNNNNNNNNNNNNNNNNNNNNNNNNNNNNNNNNNNNNNNNNNNNNNNNNNNNNNNNNNNNNNNNNNNNNNNNNNNNNNNNNNNNNNNNNNNNNNNNNNNNNNNNNNNNNNNNNNNNNNNNNNNNNNNNNNNNNNNNNNNNNNNNNNNNNNNNNNNNNNNNNNNNNNNNNNNNNNNNNNNNNNNNNNNNNNNNNNNNNNNNNNNNNNNNNNNNNNNNNNNNNNNNNNNNNNNNNNNNNNNNNNNNNNNNNNNNNNNNNNNNNNNNNNNNNNNNNNNNNNNNNNNNNNNNNNNNNNNNNNNNNNNNNNNNNNNNNNNNNNNNNNNNNNNNNNNNNNNNNNNNNNNNNNNNNNNNNNNNNNNNNNNNNNNNNNNNNNNNNNNNNNNNNNNNNNNNNNNNNNNNNNNNNNNNNNNNNNNNNNNNNNNNNNNNNNNNNNNNNNNNNNNNNNNNNNNNNNNNNNNNNNNNNNNNNNNNNNNNNNNNNNNNNNNNNNNNNNNNNNNNNNNNNNNNNNNNNNNNNNNNNNNNNNNNNNNNNNNNNNNNNNNNNNNNNNNNNNNNNNNNNNNNNNNNNNNNNNNNNNNNNNNNNNNNNNNNNNNNGAAAUCCAUCAUCGGGACAAUAAUUCUCAAAUUUUGACCUUACUUCAAAAUUUGCUUAAGGCCUCAUUUGCGUUGGGUCGUCCCUGGAUGCAGGAUCUAAUGUGAGUGUUGCCGUACAAAAGCAUGAAAAGCAUCGUUGGGAGGUAAUCGAUGUUGGCUCAUGUACACUCUUGAGGCCUCAAGUACCGCUCUAUGUUCACUCUUCCUUCGACACAUUUCCCUUUUUUUAUUCCUGUGUCCAACCCUACCAAUACGGCAAUACCAUUGAGUAUCCAAAAAUUCAAUUUAACUCCUUCCUCCUUAUAUUUAUAUACUUUUCCUUUUCUUCUUCGCUAUUUUAUAAUUAAGGCAAGGGUAGUAAACCACAAAGUAUACAUACUUAUUGACACAUUUUUUUUUUUGAAGAUGUCACCACUCGAGCAUUUACAAGUCGAAGACAAGACCUUGAAACACGAAGAUCCACUCAUCACUAUGUGUCAUUCUCUAUCCACCGAAAUACUCGUACGUACUAUAUUUAAUUUUAAUAUAAGACUCGUUCUUUUUAAAAGUUAUUAACUCAUGAGGUCAAGUGAACUCGAGUCGAGUUAACUCACUCAAUCCACUUUUCUUUUAGACAUGGUAUAUAUAUAUUUUAAAUUAUACAAAGUCAUAGUUUUUCCCAUAAUUUCAAUAAUUGUUUAUAACUUUAUAUUCUGAUAUUUUUUCAUUUUUUUUCAUUUUUAUAAAUUAGGCACAAUUCAUCCACCUAUAAUGGUUGGGCUUGGCCCUCCUUAUAAACAAAAAAAAAAAUCAACCUAUGAUGUGGUCGAGUCAGAUUUCAUUUUUUUUUGUGAAUCCACUCAACUAGGGAUCUCAAAAUUAUCACACCCGUGGAUAUCCGCGGAUAAAAACCCACUAUGAGUAAAAUUUUUCGCGCCCAUGGGUUUACGGAUUUAUUUAAUUGAUAUUUUCACUAUCCAUUUAUUAAUGGGGCGGGGAUGAAUAUUGAUGUACCCAUACCCGAAAUAAUAUUAUUAUAUAUUAUAAAUAUAAAAGCAAUUAAAUUAUUUAACGAUAUAAUCUUAUUUCUAAUAACUAUUUUGGAAAAAAUUGAAUUUUUUUAAUGACACUUUAUAUUAUUUAUUGUAUAUUUAAAAUUUCCUUGAGUUUUUUAUUCAUGAAUUGAUGAACAAUUCUUAAACAUCAAACUGAAUAGGGAGCUACUUCUCUAAACUGUUGGGAGUACUAACAGGGGAGCAAAAGGACAUCUUUCACAAAUUACAUCCAAUUUUCUUGACUGCUACUGCUAUUUUUUUGCCCUUAUUUUUGUUAGUAUAAUCUAAGGAAGCUGAAAUAUUUAUGUAGUGUAUAGAUUAUGCAGUAUGUGUUAUGUUUCAUAAAAAUAACAAUUAAUACAAAUAUGAUAUGUAAAUGUUUUAUUGAUUACUAAAUUUAACUUUAAAUAAUAUUCCAACAAUUUAUAUAUUUAGCUCUGCAAUCCGAGGCUUUUUGUUUUUUUUUUCUUUUGGUCAAAGUCUCAUUGUCAUUAAAAGGAGCCCAAGGGCACUCGAGCCAAACCGGCCCAUGCAUCCAAGAAAGGAAAACUGCCCAUUGUUGAACACCUCCUGAAGAUUAAAAAUUCAUGGUAUCCAUUUCAUUACUUUGGAGGUCUUUUUUGUUUUUUGGCCCAAUGUAAAUUCUGCAAUCUCUAUCAAAAAACAAUCUCCUACCAGCCAUCCCUAAUUGGCCCAAUAAAUUUUAUUUCAUAUGUUAUAUUUAUUUGUGACUUUACUUGCCAUGUACAUCCAAUAUUGUGCAUAAUAUCAUUCAUAUAGAGGGUGUAGCUAUUACAAACUUGAAAACUAUCCAAAUAAUCUCCACACCAAAGGUGAGAUGUAUAAACAUCGAUAGAAAAUAAUUACAAUCAGUAACUACGUUAUUACAACAUUCCAUAUAUAUCAAUACUCAUCUAAACUCAAUCAUAAUAAUUAGUAGUUAAUUCAAACAAAAAUUCCCCGUGCAUCGCACGGGUAAACGGGCUAAAUACUAGUUUGUAUAAUAAGUUGCAUGUAGUCCCAAAUGAGAAAAAUAUCAAUAAAGUAAAAAUUUGCACUCACAAUAAAAAUUGCUAGCAUAUAAAAGAAAAAGUCAUAUUUACUGCUCAAGUGUCAGAAGCCCUAUUAUACUGCUGUAAUUAGUCUUUCCCCAGCAAACUCUUAACUUGGUGCUUAUGUACUCUAUCUAAUUGUAUUUGAAAAAAAUCUUUCCUUGAAGCUGGCAGUUUUGGGUGGACCCACCCACGUUCAACUAGAUCCAUAAUCCGUAAAUAUUACUCACUCGUACCCCUAAUAUACACCAGAAUGGGAAACUUGGGUUUGAAACCAAAUCCCUAAUUUAGCUAAUGGAAACUCAAGCUUAAGGAUAAGUGUCGAGAACAAGGUGGGUGCUGGUGGCUGAGCUAAAUGUCUGGCGUUUCUAUUAAAUGAAAUAGUCCUUUAAGACAUUGCCCAUCUGUCAUCUUUGAUUAAACAAUAGAAAGGCAGUCUAGUAAUUUCCACAUACAUGGUGGAAGACAAAACCCAACAAACCUUCCUGCGUCAGAUAACCAACAAAUAAUUCUAUAAAAAGUUAGAUGGGUCGUAAGACAAAUAAUUGUUCAAUCCAUCCUAUGUUGCACCAUACUCUUGUGGUUAAAACUGAUGGGUCGUAAGACAAAUAAUUGAUCAAUCCAUCCUGAAAUUUAAUUUGGUAGAAUCGAUGAAAUGUAUGAGAAAGUGGAGUAUCAAGAGAGAGAAUUAAGAAAUAUGACGUGUGAUGUGAUAGAAAAAAUAAGUUGUAUGAAAUGAAAUAGAAAGUGAAGUAUAUAUAUAAUUGGAAAUAUAAGUUAUGUUCUGGGAUGUUCUUAAAUUUUUAGGCUGGAAAUGAAGACUUGAUCAUACCAAAGCCACCACAAAACAAACGUUAAAAGAGGACAUAAAUCUUGUUCAGAUCUGACAAAAUUUACCUAUAGUAUGGUCAUAUUAGACUUAUUGCCCAAAACCUGCGAGGCUUACUACCUUAUGCCUCCGCUAUAGAUAAAAAUAACAUAUCUGAACAUGACUUAAAUCCUUUUGUGUACUACCAGUAUAUAUACAUAUAUAUAUAUAUACCUUAUCUAGUAAAAAAUUGCUGCCUGCAAAAUUUGUGAGACAUGUGGUAGUGCCGCCAUUGGAAAAUGCAUGCAAGGUACAUUCAUUUGCUAAUUGCAUAUCCAAUUGUAAGUGGCUCAAGGACAAACCUAGCCGACUAGACUCAACAUGAGUACUUAAUCUUAUAGGAUGAAACUUAUUGACGAUUUCAUAGUUCAAUUUCACUACUGUGGUAAUGUCAAAACAAUCUAAGUCCAAGGGUGUUGCAUUUCUAGGGUCCUUCGUAACAUGAAAAGCGGACAAGUUCAUGUCUAGUCUAGUUUCCUUUAUGUUAAUGGUCAUGUCAAUUAGUUUCCUAACAAUCUGGAUGUGAAAUUGUGCCAAAGCAGUUUGCCCAAAUUUCAAAUCUAUUGUCCAAGAUAACCUCUUCUAACAUCUAAAAUAAUAACAAUCUUAAUUGUUCAAUCACUUAGAAUUUAGAAGCUUAUAAAAAAACUUAGAAUUUAUAAUUUGUGAAAAAACUUAAAUUAUCUUUUGGCUAAUUGGAGUGCUUCGAGCUGUUUGAAAUAUUGUUCCCCUAAUGAUCUAUAAGUGUUGCUUUCUUUUCUAUUGAAGUUAAGUUUGAACAACAACAAAAAGUCAAAAGCAGUAGCCAAGACUUAUUCUCACUGAUGAUUCUAGCACACGCCAAUACACUUGAUCACAUAUGAUGUGUUCAUGAAGCCCGAUGUAACUUAAAUCCUAUCUCUUUAGCCUUUUUUAAAGGGGAAUUACUUUAACUUUGUAUCUUCUUACACGCAUAUAUGGAUGUCCAUCUCAAGCAUCCUCAAAUAGUCAAAUGUAUGGGUUUUUAUCAUUUUCUUAAAGCAGAAAUUAUAUGAUAAAAAUGUGGAUUAUUAUGAUUUAGUUUUCCAUGUCUUUUGCAUGGAUAGGCUCCUUGCUCGUGAGAAUUUAAAUGCAGAGCAGCUUGUAAGGGAUGGUUCCUGCUUGUAACAUUUCUUGCAAGCUGCUCUGCAUUUAAAUUCUCACGAGCAAGGGAUGGUUCCUGCUUGUAACAUUUCUUGCACUAGGCCUGAUGAUUCCUGCUUGUAACAUUUCUUGCACUAACUUCUCUAACUCAUUUCUUGCAUUUUCUCUCCUUCGUUCUCCUUCGUUCUCCUUCAUUCUCGGCGAUCUCUCUCAGCCAUGCAUUGAAGCUUACUCGGUCAUGGAUUGAAGUCUCGAUCUCACUCUACCAUGGAUGGAACCUCACUCAAUCAUGGAUACAAGGUAAUCAUUGGUCUGGGGGUCUGUAUUUCCUCUGAAGUCUCAAUUUCGCGAUUUGUGUUUCCUCUGAAGUCUCAAUUUCACAAUUUGUGUUUUGUGAUUUGUGCCUCUUGGUUACAUUGACUUGUGGACCGGCCAAUACAUCACCACUUUGAACUCUGAGUUCGUUAUUCAAGUGGAAAACGCCAUCCUGGUAAGGACACCAAGGUUCUUGUGGCAUGUGGUGAAGGACUGAGGUAAUUAAUUGAAUUUGAUUUGAAGCAUUAUUAUCAAUUUGUCACUUUGUGUGGUGUAUGUGAUUUUCCCCAAUUUACAAUAUUGUGAUUUUCCCCGAUUUACAAUAUUAAAACCUAAAGCAAGUAGAACAAGUUGAUUAUGGGAAUAAAGCGAUUAAUUGGUUGGUUUUGCUGAGUGAGUCAGGUCAAUGGUAGCAGCUUCAAAGCUGUAUAAUGGUGGUUACAGAAAUCUGGGAUGGUAAAUACUGAACAAAAAUUUGGGAUUCGGUAAAUGCUGAUUACUGCCGGUAAGAAUCUAAAAUCCAAUUUUUUUAUUGUUAAGUGUAGUAUUUAAUAUUAUGCAUUGAAUAUUAUAUUUCCAAUAAAAGCUUCUAGAUGUUAAUUUCUUAAUCAGUGUUCUUAUUCUUAGGGUUUUUAUUUUGUAUCAGUAUCUAUCUAUUUUUUUCUUACAAGCCUUCCAUGUUAGAAUUAGGAGAGUACAAAAUUAUGAACGACUCCUACCUCUUACUUGGAGCAAAUGGAUUUCUUUGUGCUUUCUAAUCAAAUAUACACUUGUUUUUUGCUUUUAUUAUUGGGGUUGGGACUUGAGUUGAGAGUAAUUUGGAAAAAUUAGAUUGAAGAUUUUGAAAUUCUUAAUUACAGGGAGCUUCAAUUAUAUAUAAACAACCGUUUAUAAUUGAAAAAUUGUUCAUGCUUUGAAUUGUUCAAAGCAGCCCUGAGUUUAAUGUUUAGCCAUGAUCAUGAAUAGAGUGUGUCAUAGGUAUAAGCUUGUUCAUAUAUAUAUAUAUAUAUAUAUAUAUUUGAGCAGAUGUUCAUAUAUAUAAAGGACGCGUUUUGGCAUCAUGCGCUCACACAAACACAUAAUAUAUGCAUAGUUCAUUCAAAAUAAAAUAAAAUUAAAGGAGAGAAACUUCUCAAUAAUAUUCUUAUGAUAUUACUAAUUUUUUGCGGGGUUACAUAUAGCUAAUUAAUGAUAAUAGAAUAUUUUAGGAACAAAAUAAUAAAUUAAAUGAAAGAAAAUAGGAUGACAAGGGAAAUAAACUAAUGCAUUAAACUAGUGUCAAUCAGAAUCUGCAUGUCUCUUGUACUUGGCAAUGAUCUUUUUUGGCCGAGUGGAACUAGGACUUGUACGACCCAACUUAACACAUAUAAUGGAGUUUACAUUGUGUUUUCCGUCCUUCCAGACUAAACUCCCAAACACGUAAUCAUUAGUGUCGUUAGGUUCAGAGUCUAGAGUGAAUGUAAUUUUGUACUUCUCCUUUUGAUCCUUCUCCUUAAACUCUAGUUCUGUAGGAUCAACCUCAACUCUAACUUGUGGGGGAGCUUCAACUGUCACUUCAUAUUUUCCUGGUGAACCAACAUUUGUCAAGACGCGCGUUGCAGUUUGAGGAUGAUUAAACUGAAGGUUCGGUAUUGAAAUUGAAGGAUAGUUGUACUUGUAGUUCAAUAUAUUGAGCGUCGACUUAGAUUCAUCCUUGUCGUAGAUGCCACGAUGCCAAAAAUGGUCCAUGUGAUCUUUAAUAUCGAGUUCAUAUAUGAGAUCAGGGUCUACGGCGAGAUUAGGUUGAAUUACGCCAGCACCGUAGGCAAACGGAGUUGCGUCUUUCAAUUUUUUAAAAUCUGAUUCCUGCAUAGGAUUUCCACGAUAAUCUUUUGUGGUUGCUGCAAAAGGAAAAUGGUUUUUAUAAAUUAUAUUGCAAUGAAUUUAUAUAGUUAUAACUUAUAAGUGUAUAUAAAUAAUACUAUAUAUCAUUUACCAGUAGUCAUAAGUGCUGACUUGAUAGCAGCGGGACUCCACUCAGGAUGAAUGGACUUAAGCAAUCCGGCCACAGCGGCAACGUGAGGAGUAGCCAUUGAAGUUCCCGACAUGAAGACAAAAUUAGUUGACUUUGAUGAUGGAUUACCGGCGGCUAGAAUGUCAAUUCCUGGCGCAAUGACGUCCGGCUGAAACAGAAACAAAAUUACAUAUAGAUGAUCACUUAAUUAUUUUUAGAAUCAUCUAAAAAAGUGAUUGAUAAUCAAUUAAAAAAAAAACCUUUAAGAUUGCUGGGUCGACAAUAUUUGGCCCUUUUGAUGAUAUUCUAGCCACAAAAGGAGCGGGCUGUACAUCCGUCUGUAUUCUCACUUUCGAAAUGCUAGCCGUGGGUCUGCAUCAUAUGUGCAGGCAUAAUAUCAAAUAUCAAUAAAUGGAUAGGAUAAGGAAGAAAAUUAAAUUAAUUACUUUUCCGUGGUGUUGAUGUAAGCCAAGAGAGUACGAGUAUCUUCAUAACUUAAGUGUGACGUCGGAAGCUCAGGAAUUGUUCGAAGAUUAGUAUUAGUUUCAACUAGUUGGUCUCGGAUUCUUCACAAUUUGCUUCCACUCCCUUAUUAUAUUCUUCAUCAGCAUUAAAACCGUCAUUUAGGAAACCAAAUACUAUUUUCCCCUUUGCCUUGCUUGCGUCCAGAAUUUUAGUUUGGAUGCUAAAAAAAAAAAUGGUGCUUGCUGUGGUACCUUAAGCCAGACUAAGGUGUGAUACCCAAAAUGAGUCGGUUCAACAAUAAUGACUCAUGUACCGGUUAAAAUUUUGAUUGUGUUCUAUCAUAAUAAUGCAGCAUCCUAUUCUUAGAGACGUGAGAUUUGAAAGUUGUGUUUUCUGAGCUUUGUGCAUCCAUCAACCANNNNNNNNNNNNNNNNNNNNNNNNNNNNNNNNNNNNNNNNNNNNNNNNNNNNNNNNNNNNNNNNNNNNNNNNNNNNNNNNNNNNNNNNNNNNNNNNNNNNNNNNNNNNNNNNNNNNNNNNNNNNNNNNNNNNNNNNNNNNNNNNNNNNNNNNNNNNNNNNNNNNNNNNNNNNNNNNNNNNNNNNNNNNNNNNNNNNNNNNNNNNNNNNNNNNNNNNNNNNNNNNNNNNNNNNNNNNNNNNNNNNNNNNNNNNNNNNNNNNNNNNNNNNNNNNNNNNNNNNNNNNNNNNNNNNNNNNNNNNNNNNNNNNNNNNNNNNNNNNNNNNNNNNNNNNNNNNNNNNNNNNNNNNNNNNNNNNNNNNNNNNNNNNNNNNNNNNNNNNNNNNNNNNNNNNNNNNNNNNNNNNNNNNNNNNNNNNNNNNNNNNNNNNNNNNNNNNNNNNNNNNNNNNNNNNNNNNNNNNNNNNNNNNNNNNNNNNNNNNNNNNNNNNNNNNNNNNNNNNNNNNNNNNNNNNNNNNNNNNNNNNNNNNNNNNNNNNNNNNNNNNNNNNNNNNNNNNNNNNNNNNNNNNNNNNNNNNNNNNNNNNNNNNNNNNNNNNNNNNNNNNNNNNNNNNNNNNNNNNNNNNNNNNNNNNNNNNNNNNNNNNNNNNNNNNNNNNNNNNNNNNNNNNNNNNNNNNNNNNNNNNNNNNNNNUAAAUUUUGCCUUUAUUAAAAAUGGGGUGGAGUGUAGAUUUUUAAAAAGAAUGGGGUGGAGUGUCAUUCUUGCAAAUCUUGAGGGGGGUGAGUGUAUUUUACUCUAAAUAAAAAGUUAUUUGAGAAGUUUAAGUAUUCUUACGCGUCAUAGUCCUGAAUUUUUCUUCCUUCAUUAACUUUGGAGGCAGUGACUAUUUCGAAGUGCUCCUCAUUCAAGUCAAACUCAUGAAUGUUUUUUCUCUGAUGUUAUUUUUUGACAAAAAUGUUCUUAUUUAAUUGAAUUUCUCUCUCUUUCCACUUGCUAUAGCAUUAAUGAUGCAUAAAAAUUAAGAAUGAUGGGUGAAGGGCAACUUUGAAAAGUUGAUAUAAAUUGAGAACAAAUUUAAUGCUUUUAUCUAAAUUAGCUAAAUUUCUUAAAGGGUGUGAAGUGGUUGCUUGGUUCUUAUAUUAAGAAACGGAGGGAGUAAUAAAAGAAAGAUUAGAUCGUAUGCGUGUAAAGGUAGAUUUGUCACUUGCCAAUAAAUAUGAACGAGCUUGCGUCAUGCAUGCAUCUUUGGAAAUCACUAAAAACUUUAAAAAAAUGGUAAAAUAUAUUUAUUCACCAUGAAAAAUGGUUUAUGCAUUUAAGGGAUUAUCCGGACUCGUUACAGGUUUGGAGUGUGAUCGGUUUUGUGCUCCCGACAACCUUCUUCACACUCCAAGAUUUUCAGGAGGUGUUGCGCGGAUUUAAGGGGUUCAGCACUUCAGCCUGCUAGUGAUUUUAUCGACGACUUUGACAAUUUGAAAAGUUAGGUGUAGAGCUUUGUUUGGUGGUUCGAACCAUUGUGUGGAGCUCGAUAUCUUUGGGUGUUGGUGGAUUCUUCAUCGUUCGGCGGCUUCUGCAACAGAGCGUUGGGUUUGAUGGUUCCGCCUAGGCCGGGUUUCGUUUCGCUCAAUACCGAUGGCUGCUCUGUUGGGAACCUAGGUCCCUCUGAGUUUGGAGGCGUGGUGCGCUCUUCUUAGGGCAAUUGGAUUUGUGGCUUUGCUAGGUAUGCAGGUGUUGGUGAUAGUCUUCGAGCGGAACUUUUGGCAAUCCGACGAUGUUUGAGUUUGUGUUGGGAGCAUGGCUUUAGGAGUGUGGAGUUAUUUACAGAUUCAAUGCUUGCGUUGAGGCUUUUGACUUAAGGUCAUCCUCCAUUUCAUCAGUAUGCUUGCAUAAUUAGUAGCAUUAAGAGUCUUCUUCGUCAGAGUUAGGUUGUCUACUGUCACUGUUUGCUUCGCGAAGAAAAUGUUGCUUUUGAUUACUUGGCCAAACUUAGAGCUUCUACUAUGAGCACUACUUCACGUCUUCUCUGCACGUUGAUGUCCUUGGUGUUGCCUUCUUGAGGCAGUGGUUUUCUCUUGUUUUUUUUUCUUUCAUUUGCUCCUUUUAUCAACAAAAAAAUUACUCUAUUUCUCACAUAUUUCUCUUUACUAAACUUUUCUCUUUUUUACUCUCUCUUCUCUAUUUCCCUUCUUUACCAAAAGAAGUGUUAGAGAGGGGGAAUAAAACAUAAAUAAAUGAAUGAUGUGAUAGAAAUGAAGAAAAAUAUAAGAAAAAAAUCAAUAGAAAUGAGAUGUAAUAGAAACUAGAGCGUGAAUAUGUCGAAGUUAUUAUUGGAGAUAACUCACUCUGAGUUAUUAUUCAAAUUCAUAUUUCAAGAGGUGUUCAAAGAAAAAAGGAAGCAAAAGUUUUAAGAUGUUGAUGUAUAAGCAAAGCAUAGGCAAGGUGAAUGUGUUUGGACUUGCAAUUAUUAAGAUUUGUUCUCCAAAGUGAUAUGAAACUUAUCAAUUUUGUGCAGCCCAAAACAACGAAAAAUAACAAAAAUUUCAGUCGCUUGCUCACUGGGCUGAUUGACAAUGGAAGAACGACAGGACUGCUUUCUAUAGACCAUAAGAUUAAAACUUUCAGAAAUGUAAAUUUUAUUUCAGAAAGUUCAUGUUUUAAUAGUAAAAAAGAAAAAUCAAUUAUGAAACUUAGAAUUCCAGAAUUCAAGUACCAGAUUUAAUUUUAAAAAAAAAUUCAGUUUAUGGAAAAGCAAGUACACAUAUGAAACUUGUAGUUUUAGAUUUUUUUUAUUUAAAGUGUAAUUAUAUUUUAGAAAGUUCAAAUUUUGGAAUUAAUAAAGUAUAUUUGAAAAGAGGAGAUGAUUUUAGAGAUUUUAUAAACACAUUAUAAUAUAGAAAUUCAAAAUGGAUAGUUAUAUGGUGGAACCAUGUUUUUACAAGUAUGAUUCAGUACAUGUUUUUGUCAGCAUCUCAUCGCAUUGAUUCAUCGUAGGAAGAAGAAAUAAAUAUCAGACAUAUCCUCACUCACAUUAUCUGCAAUAUUUUUUUUAGCUACAAUAUUAUCUUCAACCAAAAUAUUAUUCAUGUCUAUCAACUAUUAUGUUCUAACCUCUCAUCCUCAAGUUGGCCAACAAAAUGGACCUACCAUGAUUAGAUUCCUGAACUAUAAAGUCCACAACCUCUUCCCCUGCUUUCCCACACCCUCUUCUCUACAAAGACCAUUUAGAGUAAGUGGUUAAGUACCUAAUCUAACUCGUGCUAAAUUUCAAAUCUCCAAUUGACAAUUACAUUCUCCUAAACCACGCAAUAAUUUAAUUCAAGAUUCUCAUAUUUCACCUAAAUUAGGAAAUCAAACUGACCAAAAUUCAAAACAAAAGAGAAACCAUAACAACCAUUACCUGUAAAGAAGGCUAAACAAAGUCAGUAAAAUUAUUCCUCCAAAGGUGCGUAUUCAAUUUUUGUUAUCGAUAUUAGAAUUGGAUUGGUAAGCAAUCUGUAAGUAUUCCUAUAAGUGAUAUGUAAUCUCAGAGACGUGUAAUUUCAUGUGGUGGUAACCGGAGUGAAACUCUCAAUUUAAAUAACAAACAAAUUAAUCAAAUAAUGGUCACAUUAAGGACCAACGCAUAUUCUUUAGUGAGUUUGGCACUUGCACAACAUGGCCGUUUUUAAUGAUAGGUUGUACGUGGCCUGUGGAGCAUGUUAGGCAACAACUUGCGUCUUCGAUUAUGGAGUGUGAUGAAUUCUUAAGUCCUUCUACCAUCUCAACUUCUUCUCGCUCUCUGAAGUUACUUUGGUUUUGCCCAAGUGGUUCUCUAGUUAAGCUUAACACAUAUGGUAAAAUAUGGUUUACGCAAGCAACUUAUUGGUUUGGGGGUAUUAUUCGCAAUGCUUAUGCUUCUUGGCCCGAUGGCUUUCUGAGCUUCUCCAACAAGUCUUGUGCUCUCUCGACUUAGCUAUUGCCAUCAAGCAUGGCAUUCUUUUAGCUGUUUGUGAGACUGACUCGCUUGAUAUAUACUAUUAUAAUGUUGGAGUAUCCUAUUUUGACUUCGUAUUUGGGAGCCUUAUUGGUGUUGAUAUUCAUACUCGUAUGUUUUCAGCAUGUUUUACAAGAGGCUAAAUAAGUGUACUGACAUAUUUGUUUCGUGAUCUUCAGAAUUGGUCUUUACGCCUGACAAAGUUGAUGCCGCUUGUUUUGGACUGAUAGAUGUUGUUGUGUUGGUCAUGUUUAGUUGUCAAUAAAAAUUAAAAACAUUAAGCCACUCUCCAUGUUACCAAAAUUAAUGAUCUCACAUUAUUAAAAUAUUAAGAAAAGUUAUGAACUCUCUAACUAACAAAAAAAACAACAGAAAAAUUAAUAGUAGUUAGCCAUAGAUAGCUUAAAGAAUGAACGUCAUGACAACAAAAGCACCAAAACCACACGGCGGUAACAUGGUUUGGUUCCAUCUUGGUCCAUGUUCUGUUACGCGGUGGGUCCACUACCCUUGUUUUCCAAUAUUUACUUAUUAAUCCUCAAUACGACGCCGCACACCUUAAUUCCCUUCACGUCUCCCUCCUCUCAAUCUCUCAAACAAACACCUUCUUCUCCUCUGUUUGUUUUCACUUUUCACGAUUCCAAACAGUCACUACAAUACAAGCUACUAAUCGCAUUUCUGAAAGUGAUUCUCCCAUUUUCACUCCUUUCACGAUCCAAUUUCCCUUUCUAGCUUCUAGAUUCCGCGUGUGUGAGUGAGAUUACUUACCAUUACCAUUCAUAAUUACUACUUGUUAUCACACUGAUUGCGACGGCGACGCCAAUCUCUAUCCGUUUCUCUUCACCAAUCAAUGACGCGUCCAUUUCACUUGCGUGAAUUUCCAAUUCCAUUGUGAUCUCUCUUUCUCCAUUGCACUCUGAAAAGUGAAAAAACCAAGUCUAAACAAAUAAGAACAAAGCAGCGAGCGAAGAUGAACGCCGCCGCCGUGGCUUUGGCGUUGUUCUAUCUAACCGCGGCGGUGGUGCCGUGGCGCGUUCUCUCGAAGGCAGAGCAGAGGCUUCAGGUGAACAUGACGCUGGUGAAGAACGCUCGUGAUACCGGUGCUUGUAAGUCAUUUUUUUCAAUUAUUAAUUAUCUUAUUAAAUUAUUAACAACAAUAAUAAUUGUUUAUUGAAAUUUGGAGAGUCUGAGAAAUUUGCAGUGUGUUUGGAUGGGAGUUUACCGGCGUAUCAUUUGCAUAGAGGAUAUGGAGCAGGACAAGAUAACUGGCUUCUUCAGUUUGAGGUACAAAUUGCUUUCUCACACUGUUUUGCUUUUUUCUUUAAUUGAAAAAAUAAAUGAAAAGAUUGGUUGCCAUGUGAAUAAAAUACUUCUAGUAUUAUUAUAUCCAAUUUAUAUGAUCUUGUCUUGUGCUUAUGAGUUGUUAUUUGCAUUUUUGCAAGGCUGACUAUUAUGUCGGGAAAGUAGAGAAUACAAAUUGAUGUCAAAUAGUGACAAAAAGAUGUUAGUAUUGCUAACCACAAAUUACCAACAACGUCUAGUAGAGAUACAAUAGUUGAGCUAGUAGUUUAAUUUUAGACGGUAUAUGUGAAAAAAUAAUUUGUAAAAAGAAAAUUUAUCCAUUUAUUGUGAUUUUCGAGCCAUGAAAUGUCAGUUUCAUGACUGCCGUUGUGAAAUAUCUUGAAAAACAAAAAAAGUUAAUUGUAGUUAUUCACCUAAGCUAUUAACCGCGAGGUUCGACCCUUGUUUGUAUAAUAGUACAUAUUUUUGGUCAGUCGUUUAUUGCUUGGUGUAAGCAAACAAUGUUUGAUAUCGUUUUCGUUAUGAUAGUGCCGAUGUGGUUGUGUUUUUCUUUUGUAAAGUUUGGAAAAAAUCGCAAAUCAACACACAAAAUCAAAACAAUGUAUAUGAAUAAAAAACUCAGUGUACAUUUAAAGAACUUAAUGUAUACUUUGAACGAUCAAAUUUUGAGUUUUUUAAUUAUUUAGUCCAAAUUUUGAUCAUUAAACAAUGUAUAUGAAAAAAUAUUUGACGAAAAAGAUCUCAACUAUUUAUUUUCAAACCAUGUGGAGAUUAAUCUAAUGCCCGCCCGUGAAAUACCUUUGUAAAAAAAAAAGUAAGUAGAGAUUAUGAAUGAUAUUUGAAAAAGUGAUUGAAAAAUAAAAUAUCAUAGAAGAGUAAAAAAAUAUGAAUGAAUGUGUACAAAAAUUCUUCUGGUGUUGGGCGUGGUGAUUAUGAACGACAGUGCUUUUCUGUUGCCUCUGCCUAGAGUUUUGCGCGUGCACUUGCGUUGGGAGCUAAAAUCCGCUGUUUCGCUUCCUCGCGCAGCGACACCAUCUAUGCUGACGUGGUUGCUCCCUAUUGGUGACUAAAAUGUUUUGGUAUUCAUCAUCUUUCAUCUCUAUAUAGAUUUUCAACCUUUUAAAGGACUUCUUAAUAAAAAUAUAACUAAAUAACAUAAAUAGGAGUAUCUAUUUGGCAUGUUAUUUCUCAAGACUUCUCAAUCCGUUCACAUUUUUGUACACUGUAAAACGUACAAGCAAUGAUUCACCUAACAGCAUUCAAAUUAAGAAAUCAUGUACCUGAUCAUGGCCACAGGGCCCAACUUACAUAAGCAGAGUGCUUCGAUAACGUGGAGUUAAAUUAAAGAAAGAAGGCAUUUGCAAUUUGACCCAUCAUGUGUCAUGUCAGAGAAUGAAGUAUCAUACCAAACUUUCAAUCCAAGCAAGGAAUUGGAAAUCUGACAUGAUGGAAUGAAAUGCCAAAGUGAAUAAACUAGCAACAAGUUAGUUCAGUUAGCUUGGUGGAGCCUGAAACCCCAAUUGAAGCAAUAAACACUUUAGUCCCACAUUCAGAAAUCAUUAAUGUUCAUCAAUUUAUGGUAUAUACCAGGGAGGUGGGUGGUGCAAUGACUUGACAUCAUGCUUGGAAAGAGCCAAUACUCGCAGGGGUUCAACACUUUACAUGACCAAGUGGGAGGUCUUCUCUGGUAUUUUAAGCAACAAUGCCACACUUAAUCCAGGUAAAACAACAACUUUUACAUUCUUUACUUUUUUUCUUCUUUCAUAUGAGAAAGUUUCUUUAAUAUAUGUCAAGAACUGCUAACAAUUUUCUAAUUGGAAACAUCUUUAUAUCAUAGUAGUAGGUAUUAGGGGGGACAUCAACUUAGAUCAACUCUCACUUUGCACUUUGGCUGUCACAACAUAUAUAUAAUUGUAACACAGCUGUCCUUUGAUUUUAGAAUCUACGGUUGACUGACAAACAGGGCAAUCCAAUUGUUCAUGUUCCUCAAGAUUCCUUUUCACGUGCUCUUGUUCCUCCAUUGUUCUUUCACCUUAAUUACUGCCAUUUUCUUCCACUAGAAACUGCUCUUGUUCUUCAGCAUAAUGCUUCCCAAUCCUCUCUGCUUCUGUUGGCAUUUAGUUAGACCCGUGACUGUUUGUUCUGUAAUGACAAAUAACACCAAUAUUCCAGUUUCAUAAACACCUGUGUCCUGUUUUCAUUUCUUCAUCCCCAGAUCCACAUUCUCCAUAGACAUACAACAUUUCUAAACUAGAGAUAAUGUUUCUCAUUCUAAUAUUUAAAAAUGAUCUAGACAAAAGUUAUUUUAAAAUAUUUAGUAAUUCUAAAGCGAGUAAUUUUAUAAAAAAGAACAGACAUUUUAACUACAAAUAAAAAAUUGAGAUUAUAGUUUAGUUAAAAGAUGUUUCAGUGUCUCACAUAGGUGGUUCAAGAGCAAAACAAUGGUUAUAAGUGUGAGACCUUUUUUUGGUCAAAUAAGUGUGAGACUUUGCGUCUGUUUGGUUUGGGGGAAGGGAAAGGAAAGAUUUAAUUGUGGAAAGAAAGCACACAAACCAAUGCACCUUCCCCCGUUUGGUAUGAAUAAAAGAAGGAAGGGAAGAAUGGUUUUUUGUGGACCCCUCCAGAAAAACUUUCAUCCUAAAAUGAAGAGAAAAGGACAGAAUGUGUAUGAUUUUUGCUCAAAAGACAAUUUUAUCCCUACCACUUUGCUUAUUCUAACUGCCAAUUUUUGUAUAAAUACGUUCUUUUACAAAACACAAAAGCUUUCAUUCUUUUAUAUAUAUUUUCCAUUUGAUUUAACUUAAAUUAUUUUACUUCUAAACUUUUAAUGCGUGGAACAAUUUAUUAAAAAAAUAUUUUUAAAAAGGUAAGUUUUACAUUAAUUUGGAAUAAUGAAUAUAAUAUAAAAAUGUUGAGGAUGUUUAUGUCAUUUUAUACAUACACACUUUUCUUUCCACCCACUUUUUCUAUUCCUUUCUCCCUAAACCAAACAACCUAAAAAAUCAUCUCACUUUCAUUUCUCUUUCUUUCCUUUUCCUUUCCUUUCUUUUCCUUUCUUUCCUUCUACUUUUCUUUCCGAACCAAACAUAGCCUUUGAGUGUUGGAAAUUGAUUGUUAAACUUUAUUUUUUUUUGUCAAAGAUUGUUAAACUUUUUAGACUAGACCACAUGUCACACACUCACACCCAUUCUGUUGAACCUUCUCCAAAGUUUUGGGCCACCGGCCCACGUGCAUCUAGCCCAAAAUAUUUAAGCCAUCCAAUAAUUCCUUUUAUUUUUACAAUUUCCUAUUAUUCUCUCCAAAAAAAAUUGUUCACUAUAAGAAAGAAUAGGGCCUAUUCCCCUAUAUCCUAUUUAUUUCUUGCUCUUUGCUUUUUGGAUUCUAUGGACUGUUUUAUUAUUAAGUUCCUGCAUUUGUCUGUGAAUGCUUUGCUAGACUUUUACAAUUGGAACCGAGUGAAGCUGAGAUAUUGUGAUGGAGCUUCAUUUACCGGAGAUAGGGUGUUCAAUAAUGGGGUAAUUUCCUGUUUUCUCAAUGCAUCUCCCAAAAAUCAUUUUAAAAAAGGAAAGAACUUGACAUAUUCCUUUUAUAUUUCUUCAAUACUGUAAAAAGAAAUUGUUAGUGAAUAAAAUCUUGAAAUUUGGAACUUUGCUUAUAUGUUCGGUUAUUUAGUAUAAUCUUUCUCUCACAGAUUCAAUUAGUUUUAAAAUUUAAAAAACUUGUGUUUAUAAUUAAAUUGUUUUAAUUAAUUCCUACUCUUUAAAUUUUGAGAAAAUAGUUGAUGCGCGGUUGCAAACUUCCUUUACACAUGUGUUCAAUUGAUUUUCAUCACGUAAUAAUUCUCUUAAUUAAAAUUAAAAAGAGAUGUAGUUUCUUGGUCCUAUGUGAUGGAAUGUUUAUGUAAAAUUUCCUUACACGACAAUGUAUCUAUUAUAUCUUGAAGUUUAUUAAACUUUUAUUUAAUAUUGAUUUGUAUAAUGAAUCAUGGCAUAAUCCUAAACCAGAACACCAUUACUAGUUUUCCAAAAUUACAAUGAAAUCAGGAGUGGAUUGGGUUGAUUCACGAUGAUCCCAAUACACCCACAAUUCAGAACAAAUGUUUAAAUUCCAUCUCACCAUACAUUAGACAAAGAACUUGAGAUUUGUAUAUAUAGUCUAGGACUCUCUCACCGCUUACUAUUUUAGACAAUGUAAGAUUUUUCCAGAUAUUUUCCUUAACUGUUUUCUUCCUUUAACAACAUUAGUAAAGUGUUACUUACAUUACAAUCAAUCACAACAAUCAACUUCACAAGCAUAAGUGUUUCAUCAACGUUUUUCAUAAUUUCCUUGCUCAAAGUAUAAAUUCAAGUUUACUGAAUAACCUGUUUUUAUUUGUGUACAACAGACAACAACGCUUUACUUCAAGGGGCAAAAAAUUUGGAAAGCCAUUAUUCGCGAUCUUCUACCAAAAGGUUUAGGAAAGGCACGCAAGGUAUAUAUACAUAUUUGUGGACUCUACUUAUUUUAAUAAGUUAUUCAUAAUUUCAUAUAUUAUCUUAUGAAUAAACGCUUAUAUUGCAUAUAGUCUAUUUUAGAUUUAUUUGAAUAAGUUUCUCAAAUUAGUUUAUUAAUAUAUGAUUAAUUAAAUUGGUUACACAAACUCUCUAAUAUAUGUCUCUUGUGUAGGCUUUGCUUUCAGGCUGUUCAGCAGGAGGUUUAGCAACCUUCCACCAUUGCGACAACUUUGCCAAGUAUUUGCCAGAGAAUGCUAAAGUGAAAUGUUUGAGUGAUGCCGGUUUUUUUCUUGACGAGUAUGUUAAAUGUUCGGAUUAGUUCCACUUUUAUCAGUAUCAAUUCUCGCACCAAAAGCUUCUUCCUACAAUAAGUUUUGACUUUAGAAACAAUUGUAUAAGGAUUCCUAAUCAUUCACUAGGUCUAUUUUGAGUCGUUACAACAUAAUGUCCAUCUCUUUUCUGUAUUUCUUUAAACUAUAAACAUUAACAUUUCCUUUACUCCCCUUUUUGCAGAAGAGAUGUAGGUUUGAAUCACACUAUGAGGUUCUUCGUCAAAAGUCUAGUAUCAUUACAGGUAACCCUUAGAAGUGUCACUUGCCUUUUGAAAAUUUAGUUAGUUAAUCAUCUGACAAGAGCUUAGUGUGCUUUCUGAUCAAAGAUAAACUUAGAAGUUAAAAUUCAAGCUGGAGAGCAAGUUUAUUUCUUCAUAAUUCAUACAUAUGCUAUCUGUUUAUCAUCUUCUAAGCUGCGAGAGGUCAGAAUAGUUGUAAUGUUGUAUGGUUAUGUGAACAAAUCUUAAUGAAAAGUAAAGCAUAGUGCUCAAUUAAUAGAUAUUCUUAACAUGGCAAAAUAAUGAUGAUUGAUAUUUCUUAAUCAUUACUUCUAACCCAUCACUUCAAUAUCUUAAUAAAAUAGACAAAGGAACCACAUGUUACAUUCAAUUUUCAAAUUGCAUCACAGAAAGUUACUUGACAAAGUCUUGUGCAACAGGGGAUAGAGCAGAAUCUGAACAGAAACUGCACAAGUGCCUUGUUCUUUCCAGACUUGGUAUGCUUUUUCAUGAACCUGCAUCAUUUUCUCAGGAAAGUUAUGCAAGAUAUUGACUUGUGUUAUGUUCCAUGCAGUGUUUCUUUCCGCAAUAUGCGAUACGAUACAUAUCAACACCAUAUUUUAUCUUGAACACCGCCUAUGAUGUGUACCAAGUAAUAUAUUGCGCACUAUCUUAUUCUUAUAGAUAGUUGAUGAAUUAUGAGAUGAAUACAAUUUCUUAAUGUCUGCAGUUUAACCAUAUAUUGGUGCCACCUACUGCUGAUAUGCAUGGACACUGGAAUCACUGUAAGCUGAACCCAGCAGCAUGCACACCAGACCAAAUUAAAACAUUGCAAGGUUCCUCCUUCAAUUUCUCUGCAUUCACUCUGCUUUUAUUGGAACAGCUUCCACCCAUUCAAUCUUUUAACAAGUUUCUUUGGUGUUUAUAAACAUGUUGGUAUUUUUUCAGGAGAACUAAUGUAGUUUAUAAACUAGAUAGAAUUUGAAUUGUGAAAAUGGAUGCUUUUUUAUUUGUUACACUCUAUUAACAAGGGAGUAUACGUUUAUACUAGGAUUAAAAAAAUCCUUUCCUCAACUAGUUGAUACUAUUCCAGGUAAGAAAUAUCAAAUUAAAUGAAGUAAUUACAAAUUGGAAGAGAUGAUUCUGAGUGAAGAUUUGCUCAGAUUGGCAAGACACGUUUCAUGUUAUAGUGAGGAUUUGAUGCAAUGAAAUCUCCUCAGAUUUUUACUCCAUACAUAUGAUCCUUCUUGUUGUAAAUAAGACCGAUUUUCCUCCCUUACUGCAUGUUUAUCAGGUUUUAGGCUCCACAUGCUUGCAGCUUUGAGACCAUUCACUAUAUACUCAGCAAGAGGGGGAAUGUUCAUAAAUUCAUGUUUUGCUCAUUGCCAAAGUGAAUCGCAAGAUACAUGGUUUGGGGAUGAUUCACCAAGAGUAAACAACAAGGUACCUAUUUAUAGUAUGUGGAGUGUUUAUGAAUUCAAUCUUGCUCAAUAAAAUCAAUGAAAUAAGAAAAGUGACUUCAGAUGAUUAAGAAAAUCUGUAAGAUAAGAAAAGGAGUUUGUUUGAAUUGUAAAAAAAAACUCUAAGAUCUAUGAACUGUGUCAAUGUGCUAGUCUUAUAUUGUUUGAUUUUCAUCCUAGCCUAGCAAUUUUCGUAGUAGCUACAUGGUUAAACUGCUCUAUCUUUUACAGACUAUUGCAGAAGCAGUUGGUGGUUGGUAUUUCAGCAGAAACAAAACCAAGGAAAUAGAUUGUGCAUAUCCAUGUGAUACAACUUGUCAUAAUCUUAUACCAUGACCUCAGGUAAUGCCUUAAAAACGAUUCUUAGUGUCUGGGAUAUCAUGGUGAAUUUAUAACCUAUUGGUCUUACUCAAUAUGAAAUGCAGGUAAAGAUUGACAGAGAUUUUUCAUACAAAGCAAUAUCAAUACAUAAUGAAUACUAGGCAGAUAGAAAAUUCUUUAUAGGAGCAAGAAAGGGUGUAAAAGGAACGAAAAGAGAAAAUGUGAUUGAAUGGUUGUUUUUCAAUUAUUUCUUAUUAAUUACUAGUUUUUUUUACCACUUAAUAAAAAUAAUUACAUUUGUUAUCAUGCAUUAUUUCUUGACUCUCUCUCCCAAGUCUCACCCCACCUCGGGUUGGUGGAUUAUCUGGGUGACUUACCUGAUUAAAAAAUUAGAGAAAAAUAUACCAAAACUAUUAAAAAAUUAGAGAAAAAUAUACCAAAACUUAAGAAAGCAUUGUCAAACUUACAUUUUUUGUUUUUUGAUUUUAGAACUUAGGCUUAAAUAACUUUUUGUCCUUAUGAUCUACCUUAGUUAUGAAUUUAGUCUUUGUAAAGAAAUUUGUUUUAAGUAUCUCCAAAAUUACAACUUUCAGGUCUGUUUGAUUAUGUUCUUGUUUUUUGUUUUUGAAAACUAUCUUAUCAAAUAAUUUUGAAACUUUUUUUCAAAACAGAAAAUUUAAUAAAUAAAUCUGUUUGGUGCUAUUGACUUAAAAAUAAUUUUAGAAAUCAGGCAAAAAGAAUUGAGCUGUUCGGAUUGUGAAAAUUAAAAAUUAGCUAAUAUCAGGAUUGUGUCAAAUCCUAUUGCAAUUAGCACCAUCGCUCUUUUAUUUUCUUCAACAAAUUCUAAGAGCUUUGUUACAGCCUUCUGCACAUCAUUAAAAGCAACAAAAAAAAACUCCUUCGUUCCAGAUAAACUUGCAUGGAUGUCAACAACAAUCCAGAAUAUAACCAGCCCCAAUAAAUACAUUGUCUGUACCGCAACAGAAAUUCCCAAUAAAUACAUUGAUUGUGUUUUUUUUUGAUAAGCAAUGAAUUAUAUAUAUUGAAUAGAAGUACAAUGGGUACUUCAACCCAAUACAAGUAGUAAUAUAAAAAGAUACAUAUAAAGAGGAUAAUUGUAAAGAGGAUCAUUACAUAAUCCUAAGAAUCAUAUGGCUAACGCUGUGAACCCACCCCCACCCUCACCUUGGAAGAAAGAUCAAAGAAAAGGGCCUCAUUAAAAUCUUACUAGGAAAAACCACCUUGGGAAAACCUAGAAAGGAAAAAGAGUACCCCUUACUAAGAUCAAAAUGUAACUUCCAAGGGGGAAAAAAAACACUACAGAUUAAGGUAUCAAAUUCAGUCCAAAUCUACUUGAAGUGUACAGAUUAAGGUAUCAAAAAAACACUACAUUGAUUGUGUUUUGUAUUUGGAUUUUUAUUAAGUUCUUAAUAUACAGUAAACCCAUACUACUUACCUUCUCAAGAAUGUUCCAAAAAAAAUAAGCUUCUCAAGAAAACAACAUACUCGAUUCCAUCAAGUCUAAUUCGUAAACAUAUUAUAACAAAUUUUUUCCUAUUUAAAUGAAUAAAUUAAACUACAUCAUGCUUGAGAUGGCAAAAUAAUUUGACAAAAAAAGAGAUGGCAAUAUAACAAAAUCAGGCAUUUAGGAAGAAACGCUAUAUAUAAGGGGAGAAAGAAAUGUUUAGUUGUUUAUAAUUUUUAAAUCCCGAUUCUUUGCUCCUCCAAUCAAUGAAGCAUUUGUUGUGUUUUGAAUUUGGAUUCUCUCUAGUUGUUGGAUGGUGCAACAAGCGUAAAUGUAAGAGAAACAUAAUUUACACUUGCUUUUUAGUUAAACUAAACAUUACUCUCGCUUCCUAGGUUCGUUGUGCUAAAAGGUUAUCCCGUGAAUCCUUUAGGUCAAAUGUUCUUCUUGUAAAUGAAUAGGCGGUGAAUUUUCGCUUUGCUUAUCCUCAUACGAAGUGUCCAACAUUGGGCUAAAGUUACAUCAGCGUUUGCAGUCAUCUAUAAGUCAACCCGGUCAAAUGAGGUAACUUGGCCUAGUGUAAGUCAGUUUGCAUGAAAGUCGUAACUCAGACUGUAUAAGUCAGCAUGGAUGCAGGUUGUAACUCGACCUAGUACAGUCUUUCAGGAUAUAUGGGGUAACUCAACUAGUGUGUAAGUUGGUCAAGAUGUGUAUAGGGUAAUCUGACCACUGUGUAAGUAGGUCUGGAUGUAUGAGGUGACUUCACCACGAGAAGUCGACCAAGAUGUACGUGCUAAGUUGCACACUAGAACACUAGCUCCUAACUCUGAGUUUCAUUAUGAAUGAUGGUCAAAUGUACAAAGUAUGUUGGGUGAGGUGCAAAGUGUUGAAUCGCACACUGAAAUACCAAUAUUUAUUUGUUUAAAGAAAAUAUUUAAAAACUAAUUUUAACAAAAAAAACUGAUCUGCGAAAACUAGUAGUAGGAGUUUGAGGGUCGAUUUAUGCAAAUGAAAAAAAUAAUGAAUAAAUUUCAUAAUAUCCUCAACAUAUUUGUCCUAAGAUUGUCGUGCAACUUUAAUAAUAUUGAAAAUAUUUAUUUUAUUUCCUAAAAGGAAGAUUAAUAUUUAAUUUGUUUAUGAUUGUUCAUUUUAUAUUCAAAUUUUAUGAAUUCAAUGUGAAUUUAUUUAUGAAGAGAAUUAAUUUUUUUAUUUAAUAGAUAAGGGAAGAAUUAUGGUGUUUGUUGUGGUUCCUUAAGGUUAAAUUAAGGCGUGCUACCUAGAAUAAUGUGUGCCAAUAAAUAUACAUGGUUUGGUUGAGCCAAUAUUCAUAUAUUUGUAUUGAACAUUAAUAUUAUCUUUUAUAAAUUUUAAAUAUUAAUAUUAUUAUCAUUAUUUGCAAAGUAAUCCUUCAUACACUUCUCAACUUUUUCUUCUCUACAUCACCGAAAUUUUAUUCCAAAGAAAAUAUGUCAAAACCUGCAUAAUCAUAUUCAUCGAUCACCGGCUAAGAUCUCCAAAUGUCGCAAUGUCUAUCGUCAAUAGGUCUCGAUGGCCAAAACUCUAUCGCACAUGAAAAUAAUCUACUGAGUCACUUAAUGCGGGCAUCACAUCCAAAAUAAUGUUUGGAUACCAUUUAGAAUUCACCUUUUAUUAUUGGAGAUGAGAUUUUUCCAUUUCGUUUAGAAUUUUGAUAUACACAUUUUACUUUCUCUUUCAUUUUAUUUUUCGCAUUCUCUUUUUAUCUUUACAUUGUUUUAUAAAAUUAUAUUUCACAUGAAAUUUGUAAUUUCUAACUUUUCUAUUGCUAUUUUUCUCCAAUGAGUGUGGGUGGAAUUGAUGUCCAACUUUUUUCUCCUUUCGUUUUAUAUUUGGAGGGAGAAAAUUUGUAUAAUUAUGAUUCAUACAUACCUCUACUCUUUUUUCAUCUUAUUUUUUAUCAAUUAAAUCAUAUCACAUCUUUAAUAUUUUUUCUCAUUUGGGGACUACAUACAUGUUAUUAUACAAAUAUAACUUUUUUCACUUUUUUUCUCAUUUGCUUCCUUUAUAUUUCUAUCACAAAUUUAGCGUCAAAGCAUGGACAGUGAACAUUUGUUUAUGAAUUGUAUAAACAUGUGACCAAAGAGUUUGUAGCCUCUCUGGAUUGUAUAAACAUGUGACUAUAUACAAACCUAUAAAAAAAGUUUCUGAAUUGUAUAAACCCGUGACCAUAUACAAGAGAGUUUCUAAAUUGUAUAAACACGAGAAUAUAUAUACCCUUGAAACUAGAGUUUAAUAAUAAUAUUGACAAUGAACACUUGUUUAUACAAAAUGAUAUCUUGAAUUAAUAUAACAAAGAAUGUCAAUAAUGAGCAAGCACUUAUCUAUGUUUUAGUUAUUUCUAUCUUCCAUUUUCAUAUGUACUUUGUUUUUCUUGUUCGUAUCUAUUCUACUUCACUUUUCUGUUUUCGGAUCUUAAAAGUUUGAGAGCUCAAUAGUAGCAGCAAGAAUCGAGCAACAAAGUACAUUUAUUUGUUCAUUGUAGAUCAAUAGGAAUAUGCUUAGCUUAGAACUGAAUUUUCAGUGAUGCACCUGGUUUGUAACAAUAAAUGGUAUGAGAAUUUUCUAUCUCAACAACUUAGUUUAGAAAGGUUAUCAUAACAAUGAAUUUGACAUUGAUUUCUAAAUGUUUGUAAAAAUGUAUCAGUGAAUAGAAUUAGUUAAUCGUAAAAGACUUUGGCACAAUUUCACAUCGAGUCCUUCCCAAAUCAGCCCAACCAGCCCCAUAAUAGAUCCCACAGUAGCAGAAAUCGAAUCCAUGAACCUGUGUGGGAAGGAGAAAGAAAGAGAAGAGAGAUACAUGAGGUGGAGGAGCAGCAGUGACAAUAUCUUCUUCCAUUCAUCUCACGUGUACAUGACAUGUGUAAAUUUUUUAUUGUCUAAAAUAUUCCAAAUCACCUUUCCCGCACCUCCAUCUCCACAUUUCCCCUUCAAUAUAGAGACAACCCUAACUAAAAAUCCCCCUAUUGAUCUUUGUGCACACGCACCCUUCCACUAUGUUAACUAGUUCUCAAAAUCAAAUAAAGAUGCUUUGUUACUGUAAAAUGAACCGAACCCAACACCAAUUUGGCAUUUCAACUGACUAAAUCCUUCCUAAGAGUGAGCAGUGUCAUUGUCGUAACAGAAGAAAAAAAGAGUAACUAGUGGUGCGAAUUUGCAUACCUACUGGAGCUGAUGAUGAACCACAGACAUUCUGAGGAAGAGGAGCAGCAAUGACAUCCAUCUGCCACCAGAAACAAACAGAGCAAUACCCCGGAAGCAGCAAACAUUAUUACAAAACUAUUCAAGAGGAAUGUUUCAAUAGACAAGAGACAUAAUAUUACUAUAUGAUUCCAAUUACAAUCUAUAUAUAGUUCACUAAUGAGAAUCUGAAGGAUUAGGGAGAUAGACAAGGGAGAUACCUGAGGAGGAAGAGGAGGAGCAAAAAUUUCAGGAUCUUCCUCCAUUGAAAGAGAAUCUGAAGCUUCUAGAUGUAUCUGCAGCAGAAACCAGCGAUGAAAAAAUGGAUGGAACGAGUUCAAAACACAGGGGAAUAAGUGAAUAACACGAAAGAAAUUCUGUGACACUGAGGGGCAAAGAAAUGGGCAAACGAGCAGUGCGGCAAGUCACGCAGGGGACGAGGAUGGAGAGUAAUGAUUACUAUGAUUCUUUUGCAGCAAUUUAGCCAUAUGCCCUUCUCUAUAGCGCCAAAGCACAAAAGUAUGGAGACUUGCUUCCUUUAUAUUUCUAUCACAAAUUUUGCGCCAAAGCAUGGACAAUGAACAUUUGUUUAUGAAUUGUAUAAACAUGUGACCAGAGAGUUUCUAGCCUCUCUAGAUUGUAUAAACAUGUGACUAUAUACAAACCCAUAAAAAAGAAAGUUUCUGGAUUGAAUAAACACGUGACCAUAAACAAGAGAGUUUCUAGAUUGUAUAAACACAUGACAAUAUAUACACCCUUGUGAAACUAGAGUUUAAUAAUAACAUGGACAAUGAACACUUGUUUAUACAAAAUGAUAUCUUGAAUUAAUAUAACAAAGAAUGUCAAUGAGCAAGCACUUAUCUAUAUUUUAGUUGUUUCUAUCUUCAAGUUUCCUAUGAACUUUGUUUUUCUUGUUCGUAUCUAUUCUACUUCACCAACCACCUAUUGGGUUGAUCAUGUUGAGUUUCUCCCAAUUGUUGUCGACCAACUAAGGCUUGUACUAGCCAUACAUGAUCAGCCAAUCAUGCGUGGAAGAUCUUUAUCACCUCACAUAUCCUAUCACUGACUCUACGACCUAGCUAUGAGAAGUAGCGAGAGACUCAAGGCCUAAUCCAUAAUAAAGAGAAGCCCCUUACCGUUGAAUCUUGCAAACGGUUGAAGAACAUGAAAAUCCAACGCUCCACACUCGCUCGAGCCCUAAGAAAUCAUCACACCUUAUUAGCAUACCCCUAACCUACAAAUGGGUAUAAAAGGCCAAGGAAAAAUGGAUACUAGUGUUAUGUGUAGUGGUGAUGAUCUACCCAUGUGGUUUGCUCAUUGUAGAAAUCACCUAGAAUUAGCGUGGCUAUUCAGUUCACGAUAGUGCUUUUGCACUAAACUAUAGAGGAAGGGCAUAUGAGUAAAUUGUUGUCAGCAAAAGAAUAAUAAUCAAUACACUUCCUCCUCCUCCCCUACGUGACUCAAAACCACACUGCACACUUCGUUCAUCACAUUCGUUUGCACAUUUCAUUUGCUCAGCGUAACAGAUUUUGGUUCCUUCCAAUCAACUCUCACUCACUCUCUUUCUGUAGGAAACAAACGCUCCAAAAUCACAUUUCACAAAAUCACUGAUUCAACCACACUCACCCUCAUCAAAACUUUUGCUGCAGAUGGAUCCAAAACCUUCCGAUUCUCUUCCAAUGGAGGAACAUACUGAUAUUUCUGCUCCUCCUCUUCCCCCUCAGGUAUCUCUUUACUUCUCCUUCUCUCAUACAAUCACUCAUGUGUUUGUUUCUCUUUCGUGUUAUUCCCCUAUUUUUGAGCGUUUAGAGCUCUAUUUCGGUUUAUUUAUUCUUCGUUGGUUUCAUUUGUAGGUCGAAAAAAUUGCUUCUGAUUAUGUUGCAAUGGAGGAAGAUGCUCUCACUGCUUCUCCCCCACCUCAGGUACUUAUGUGCUAUGUUUUCGUUUCCCCUAAUUUUGAACACUUAUUGAUUGGUGGUUUUUUCAACUUGCUAGAUUUACUUCAUUUUACAGGGUUUAGACCCCUUAAAGAAAUUUAUAUUAGCAAUUUAGCAUCUGUAACUAGUAUAAUAUGAUUAUGGUCAAUUUGGAUUUUUGUUGAGAGAUAAUAGUAAAUGAACAAAUGUGCAAAAAACUGCAGGAAAAAAUGUUUAAAAUAAGAUUUUCAAAUUAAAUUAAACAUAAUUCAAUUAGUAAAGAAUAAUUACAUUGAAUAUAUCGGUAUACCCUCAGAUUGAGGGAGGGCACAUCUAGACACCCUACAAAUCAACUUUUUGGUUAAAAUAAAUGGUUAAAUCAGUUUUUUGGUCAUCAACUUAUACACUAUAAUCAGAAAAUUUCAAAAAUUUGUUUAUUUUUUUCUUCUCCAAGGGACGUCAUAAAUGUGACGUGGAUUUUUCACCAAACCAAAGUAAAAUAUAAAUUCAUCAAUGACGUGACAAAUAAAAAAAAUAGAUUCCCACAUACAGUUAAACACAUUUCGAUGUAUAGUUAAUCAAUCACGUUUCUCAAAUCCUAAAUUAUAAUUUCAUUUUAGAAAAAUUAAUUCUCCAGAAAAAGUGAUGGAGACUAGAGCGAUGAGAUUUCGGUGUGGCACUAUUGUUGUUUGAUUAUUUCUUAUUAUAAACAUAUUUUACUCUAAAAUAAAAUUAAGCACGGGAAAUUAAAGCAUUUGAAGCAAUAAACAGAAUUAGAGAAUUUACGGUGAUCAUUAUCUAGGACAUCUCAAUCUUUAGCGUAGAGUAUCCCAAUUUCAAGGUGGGUUAAGGGAAAAUGUGUUAGUAGUGAACGUUUGUUUAUGGAUUGUAAAAACACGUGACCAGAUAAUUUCUAGCCUCUAUGGAUUGUAUAUACACGUGACCAUAUAUAAACUCUUAAACAAGAGAGUUUCUUGGGAUUGGACACCUGUACUUUCUUGUGAUAUAGCUCUAGAUUAUUAACACAUAGGAUUCUCUUAACUCUCAAACUAUAUAAUAGUAUAUUACAUAUUUAAUUAGAUUAGAUUUAUCCCUAAUUUAGGACGAAAUUUGGGAUAGAAAAAAAAAAACUACCAAAUUUUAGGAAUUAAAAAUCAAUCAAAUUUGAAAUCAGGAUAAUUUUUAUAAAUUGAAAAUAUAUCAAAAAAUUAUAAUAAGUUAUUAAGAGAAAUAUCCCAAUUAUCUUCAGUUUCCUAUGUAAAUUGUUUUUCUGGGUCGGAUCUAUUCUGCUUAACUUUUCUGUUUUUCAGAUCUUAAAAGUCUGAGAGCUCAUUAGUAGCAAUAAGUUAUUUUGUUGGUGCAUGUAAUUAUUGUAUGAUCACUCAUUUGUAUCUAUGGGUUCAUAUGAAUUCUUUUGCCUGCAGAGUGCAUUCUCAGCGAAGAAGACUCGUUUGUUUCAGCUAAUUACCACCGUAAUCUCUAAUUCCAUUUAUACCUUCAAUAAAUAUUUUAUGAUUUUAAUGUUUUCCUCUCUUAGAUAGUUAUACAUUUUUUUUUUGUUAAGAUAGUUAUACAUUGAAAUCGAAUAUUACUCCACAUGUGAAUUUAUUAGCAUAGAACUUAAUUAACUGUGUUUAUUUAUGCACAUGAAAUUUUUAAAAUUGUUAUAUCUAGAAUGUUAUAGGAAAUGUAUAGUAACUCAUGCAUCACAUAGGUAGAUAUUCUAUAUUACUUUUUUAUAUAUCUUUUUAAACACUUUUACAGUGUUUUUUAAAUAACAACUUAUAUACAUAAAAAAAAACAUAAAUUUGAAGAACUUAAAAUUCAAUUAGAAGACAAUGAAAAGAAUAUAAAAAGCUUGAGAUAUCCUGAACUGGCCUUUUCAUCAGCAGUAGACACAGCUUCAAACUAAGAUUUUACUUUCCAAAACUGUCAAAUAAGUUUUGUCCUCAUUCUCAUGCAAGUUAGUUGUCUCAACAGUAACAUGCUUCAGCUCAUUUCUUGUAGCAUCCACAAAAAAAUAAAUUUAAAGCUUUCUUCACUGAUCAAAGCUAGCUCUAUAUAUGUUGCCACAAAUUAUUCAAUUGUAGUAUUAAACAUGUAGAGAUUCAAUUUCCCACCCGAAACAUCUUUGUAGCUGCUUCAAGCUCUCAUCAAUGUACCGGUAUUUUCUCCAUUUCCUUAACAGGGUUGAACUCAUUCGACAUGAGUUUAACAACUGACACUGUCACGGGUAAUUUCAUUUCAAGCUCACUUGAAAUUCAUAAAAAAAAGACCAGGAUGACCCCUACAUCUCUAGCAUUAACCCUCACCUCAUCAGUGUAACUACUUCAUCAAAAUAUGACUCACCACGACCAAGACACCUUACACCAUGUUAAUCCAUAUGGAUAAGCCACCAAUGGAAACCAGAAGUGUCUUGCUAAUGACCUUCUCUCUGACAAAGAAAAUGUCUAGCUCCAUGUGUUAAGUGCGAGCAUGAAGCACAGGGUUAUCAGUAUCUAAUUGAAUUAAAAUGAGUAAAGAAUCUGAAGCUAUAACUCCCAUAUUAUCACAAUAGAUAUGACAUGUUGUGAAAGGAAUGUUCAGCUCUUGAAGAACGGACUAGAUUGAGAUCAGUUCUGAGGCUGUGUUGGUCAAGCUUCUGUACUCUGCUUCUAUGCUGGAGCGAACAACUAAAGAGCUCUCAGACUUGUAAGAUUUGAAAACAGAAAAGUGAAGCAGAAUAGAUACGAACCAGAAAAACAAAGUACAUAAGAAAAUGGAAGAUAGAAACAACUAAACAUAGAUGAAUGUUUGUCAUUAUUGACAUCUUUUGAUGUAUUAACUCAAGAUAUCCUUUUGUAUAAACAAGUGUUCAUUAUCCAUGUUAUUAUUACACUAUAGUUUCACAUGGUUUCAUAUAUAGUCACAUGUUUAUACAAUCAAUAAACUCUCUUGUUUAAGAGUUUAUAUAUGGUCACGUGUAUAUACAAUCCAUAGAUGCUAGAAAUUAUAUGGUCACGUGUUUUUACAAUCCAUAAACAAACGUUCACUACUAACACAUUUUCCCUUAACCUACCUUGAAAUUGGGAUACUCUACGCUAAAGAUUGAGAUGUCCUAGAUAAUGAUCACCGUAAAUUCUCUAAUUCUGUUUAUUCCUUCAAAUGCUUUAAUUUCCCGUGCUUAAUUUUAUUUUAGAGUGAAAUAUGUUUAUAAUAAGAAAUAAUCAAACAACAAUAGUGCCACACCGAAAUCUCAUCGCUCUAGUCUCCAUCACUUUUCUGGAGAAUUAAUUUUUCUAAAAUGAAAUUAUAGUUUGGGAUUUGAGAAACGUGAUUGAUUAACUAUACAUCGAAAUGUGUUUAACUGUAUGUGGGAAUCUAUAUUUUACCUUGGGUUUUUUUAUUUUGGGUUUGGUGAAAAAGCAACGUCACAUUUAUGAUGUCCCUUGAAGAAGAAAAAAAUAAACAAAUUUUUGAAAUUUUCUGAUUAUAGUGUAUAAGUUGAUGACCAAAAACUUAUUUAACAAUUUAUUUUAUUGUCUACAAUGAUCUAUAGGGUGGCUAGAUGUGCCCGCUCUCAAUUUGAGGGUAUGUUGAUAUAUUCAAUGUAAUUAUUCUUUACUUAUUGAAUUUUGUUUAAUUUAAUUUGAAAAUCUUAUUUUAAACAUUUUUUUCCUACAGUUUUUUGCACGUUUGUUCAUUUACUAUUAUCUCUCAACAAAAAUCCAAAUUGACCAUAAUCAUAUUAUACAAGUUACAGAUGUUAAAUUGCUAAUAUAAAUUUCUUUAAGUGGUCUAACCCCUAUAAAAUGAAGAAAUCUAGCAAGUUGAAAAAACCACCUAUCAAUUCCCUCUUUGGGUUUUUCCUAAGGGGUUUUAAUGAGUUUCUGAAUAAGUUGUCUUUCACACCAAAUUAGUUCAUAGGUUGGUAAGGCUUUUUGCUUUGUUUUCCUGGGUGGGGAUGAUUGUAUUUUCUAGAUUAUACUCUCUAUCAUCCAAUCUACAUGAGAUGAUUGUUCUCAUGAAUUAUCCUUAUAAUUAAUAAAAUUUGUUUGCUCUCAAAAAAAAAUUCCAAAACGCUCAAAAUUAGGGGAAACGAAAACAGAGCACAUAAGUACCUGAGGUGGAUGAGAAGCAAUGAGAGCAUCUCCCUCCAUUGCAACAUAAUCAGAAGCUUUUUGUUCCACCUACAAAUGAAACCAACGAAGAAAAAAUGAACCCAACAGAGCUCAAAAACAGGGGAAUAACACGAAAGAGAAACAAACACAUGAGUGAGUGUGUGAGAGAAGGAGAAGGAAAGAGAUACCUGAGGGAGAAGAGGAGGAGCAGAAAUGUCAGUAUGUUCCUCCAUUGGAAGAGAAUCGGAAGGUUUUGGAUCCAUCUGCAGCAAAAGUUUUGAAGACGGUGAGUGUGGUUGAAUAAGUGAUUUUGUGAAAUGUGGUUUUGGAGCGUUUGUUUCUUACAGAAAGAGAGUGAGUGAGAGUUGAUUGGAAGGAACCAAAAUUUGUUACGCUGAGCAGAGGAGAGCCAUUUGGUACCCACUUAUGUUGCCAAACAUUGACACUCAGCCCAUUACCAAUCCUCCAAAUACAUCCUUUCUCAAAGAUCUAGCUCGUUUUUAACAUGCUAGCCCAAGCGUUGCUAGGCCGAUAACCUUUUUUCGCACCACAAAUGCUCCCCUUUGGGAAAUAAAUAGCUUUAUAAACCUUGGCCAAAAGCGACCCAGGUUGUGUGUGAAUCCUCCACCAGUUCUUCCCUACCAACGCUAAGUUAAAAGAUUUAAAGUCUCUAAAUCCCANNNNNNNNNNNNNNNNNNNNNNNNNNNNNNNNNNNNNNNNNNNNNNNNNNNNNNNNNNNNNNNNNNNNNNNNNNNNNNNNNNNNNNNNNNNNNNNNNNNNNNNNNNNNNNNNNNNNNNNNNNNNNNNNNNNNNNNNNNNNNNNNNNNNNNNNNNNNNNNNNNNNNNNNNNNNNNNNNNNNNNNNNNNNNNNNNNNNNNNNNNNNNNNNNNNNNNNNNNNNNNNNNNNNNNNNNNNNNNNNNNNNNNNNNNNNNNNNNNNNNNNNNNNNNNNNNNNNNNNNNNNNNNNNNNNNNNNNNNNNNNNNNNNNNNNNNNNNNNNNNNNNNNNNNNNNNNNNNNNNNNNNNNNNNNNNNNNNNNNNNNNNNNNNNNNNNNNNNNNNNNNNNNNNNNNNNNNNNNNNNNNNNNNNNNNNNNNNNNNNNNNNNNNNNNNNNNNNNNNNNNNNNNNNNNNNNNNNNNNNNNNNNNNNNNNNNNNNNNNNNNNNNNNNNNNNNNNNNNNNNNNNNNNNNNNNNNNNNNNNNNNNNNNNNNNNNNNNNNNNNNNNNNNNNNNNNNNNNNNNNNNNNNNNNNNNNNNNNNNNNNNNNNNNNNNNNNNNNNNNNNNNNNNNNNNNNNNNNNNNNNNNNNNNNNNNNNNNNNNNNNNNNNNNNNNNNNNNNNNNNNNNNNNNNNNNNNNNNNNNNNNNNNNNNNNNNNNNNNNNNNNNNNNNNNNNNNNNNNNNNNNNNNNNNNNNNNNNNNNNNNNNNNNNNNNNNNNNNNNNNNNNNNNNNNNNNNNNNNNNNNNNNNNNNNNNNNNNNNNNNNNNNNNNNNNNNNNNNNNNNNNNNNNNNNNNNNNNNNNNNNNNNNNNNNNNNNNNNNNNNNNNNNNNNNNNNNNNNNNNNNNNNNNNNNNNNNNNNNNNNNNNNNNNNNNNNNNNNNNNNNNNNNNNNNNNNNNNNNNNNNNNNNNNNNNNNNNNNNNNNNNNNNNNNNNNNNNNNNNNNNNNNNNNNNNNNNNNNNNNUAUAUAUAUAUAUAUAUAUAUAACUAAUAUAACUAUAACUAUAUAACAUUUAACAACCACAUUUAUUUUAUUUGGAGUUGAUGAAAGUUGAAACCACGCCACUCAAAUUACAUCCAACUAUCCUAACCGCUCCUCCACCGCCACCGCCGCCGCCACCACCACCAUAACACCACCACACCACACAUUACGUUAUGCAUAAUCAACACACGCUCUUACUCAGAUUCCCCACAUUGCCCUCUCCCUCUGUCAUCGUCCUUCAUCUCACAGAGGCAAAGCUCAGCUUCAACACGAGAAGAAUACACACUGCGAGAACCUUCUUCAGAAGAAGCAACUGGGUUCUCCCCAAGGCAAUGUCUACUAGCUCUUCCUUCAGCUCUCGCUUUGGUGGCGGCGAUGAUGACACCACCACCACCACCACCAACAACAACAACAACAACAACAAUAACGGUGCUUCUUUCCGCAACUUCAAGCUGAACGAGUCAACAUUCUUGGCUUCGCUCAUGCCCAAGACAGAGAUUGGCGUUGACCGGUUUCUCCAUUCUCACCCAUACUAUGAUGGACGCGGUGCUCUCAUCGCUAUCUUCGGUACCCAUUUCGUAAAGCUCUUCAUUUUUUGUUGUUGAUGUUGAUAUUGAACAUGGGUAGGUGUUGGUUUCCAAUUUGAGUACUGGGAGUGGAUGAUUAGGUGAUUCUGCAGCUUUAGCUGAUAGUUUUAUGGGAAUCAGUAAUUUGAAAUUGAAGGAGGGUUGGGUGGGGCAGGAAUCAGUUGGUUUAAAAAUUUAAAUAUCUAAUUGUACCCUUUGGUUUUGAUCAUUGAUUCAAUAUGUGUACUUGGUUGGAGUCUGAAUCCAAGUGGGCAAGUGGUAAUCUUUCACUUGGUUUGGGUGGUUUAUGUUUCAUGAUAUCAGUGGUGCUGGAUUCCUUCCUGAAUAUGGUUGCGGUGAAGCUAGAUUAAAAUAUAAGCAUUAACACGCAACAGAACUCGUACAGGCGAGCUUGGAAUUAUUGGAUGUCAUAGUAUUAUGGAGCUGAAAUGCUAGUCGAAUUUGAAUACUCUCAACCAAUAAAGAGUUCAGUUGCAUUGUUUGAAACAUUGUUUCUCGAUAAGUUUUUAUGUUAAUUCAGUUAAUUGUGUAGUCUUUUGUCAAGUAAAAUUAUUGAACUUAUAAGUUAUCAGGAGUGUAAAAGCACUAAGUAACAUUAAGUUCUGAGAUUUGAAAUAGCAAGUCUAGUGGUUUGGGUUUGUCUCACAGUUAUUCAAGUGGGAAGGGAAUAUCUAGACAAAGACAAAACUAAAAGAUCAGUUUUCUUUUGAAAAGGGAUUUUUUUUCCUGUUGUUUUGAAAUAUGUUGUGAGGUAAAAUUUGUUAGAGUGCCAAGUAGUUGUUAGAAAGUAACACAGUAUCUCUGUUUCAAGCACAUUGUUUGCUAUUGAUGCAAACACAUGGAAUCAGUACAGUAAUUACAAUGAACUUGGAAAAAUAUAACCUGCUGACCAGAUAAUUGGUUGGAAAUCAAUUGGUUAGAGUAAUGUUAUUUAAUGCUUUAGAAAGUUUAUUUGGUUGGAGUCUGAAAUUUAAAUAUCUAAUUGGACCCUUUGCUUUUGAUCAUUGAUUAAAUAUGUGUACUUGGUUGGAGUCUGAAUCCAAGUGAGCAAGUGGUAAUCUUUCACUUGGUUUGGGUGGUUUAUGUUUCAUGAUAUCAGUGGUGCUGGAUUCCUUCCUGAAUAUGGUUGUGGUGAAGCUAGAUUAAAAUAUAAGCAUUAACAUGUAACAGAACUCGUACAUGCAAGCUUGGAAUUAUUGGAUGUCAUAGUAUUAUGGAGCUGAAAUGCUAGUCGAAUUUGAAUACUCUCAAACAACACGCUUGCCCUUUCUGAGCAUUAUUAGUGAUUAGCAUUUUGUGUUGUGUCAAUAUUUCGCUGUCUGGGAUUUGGUACAUCUUGACAUAUGCAAUCAUUACUAAGUUCGCACUCUUGUUUUCUUAGUCUUAGCACUGUCUAUUCUCUUGUUUUUAAGAGGGGGGUGGGGUUAAAAUCGACCCUGCUCCCAUUUUAUCAAUUGUAAAUUUUGCAUAGAUGCAAUUUCCACCACUUGUUAUGUUGGUCUUGGUUCCCAUCUACUUUUCCCUUUCCACAAGUUUCAUAGACUAAUAUCUAUUGUGCAGUUGUGCUUGUCUUCUGAUUUCUGAUAUGUUUAGUGUUAUGCUGUAAUUGGUAGUGCCCUGCUGGUUAAUAUUACAAAUUAAUCAUUACUUCAUAAGAUAUGUGUUGUUUCAGAUUCUGGUGUAGACCCGGCUGCUACGGGAUUACAGGUUACCUCAGAUGGGAAGCCGAAAAUUCUUGAUAUUCUUGAUUGGUAGAAGCAACUUGGCACUGUGAAUUUUAACUGUUAUAUGUAUCCUGGUUUGCCAAUCAAUGAGAUGCCUUUUUUUAAUCUUCAGCACUGGGAGCGGUGAUAUUGAUACCUCAAAGGUGGUGAACGCAGAUGCUGAUGGUUGUAUUUCUGGGGCAUCAGGUUAGUGCAAGGGAAUAAAUUAUGGUUAGAAGAAAUUGAUCAGUAUAUUGUUGUAUUUGCAACUUGCAAGUAACUUCACUAAUAAAUAAUAGAACAACAAAACUUCAUGUCUCUAGUCUCUACAUGCACAGCUUGUGAUGACUGCAAGCUGCUUAUUAUCCAUCUUUGAUGAAUCAGUGGUGUCACAAUUGCUCGCUUUUCACACCUCAUUUUUUAAUGCAAAAAGGAUAGCUAUAAUAAACUUAAGCAGUUAUCCUGAUUAGGGAAAUCUGAAGUCAAAUUGAUACCCGAAUUAUAUGUGCAGUAAAUACUUGAUUUCAAUUAGCUCAAUGUAGUAGCAAAAAUGAAGCAUUUUUUUCCUUUUCCUUCUGCCCGCUGGGUGCUCCCUUAGGAUUAAAAUACAUGUAAACAUUGUUACAUAUUUUCCCUUCCUUCUUCCAAGUCAAAGAAUGUGCACCACACGUUAAGCUUGUCUGUGCUUAAACUUUCAUGUGAUAUUUGUACAGGGGCAUCUUUGGUUAUCAAUACUUCAUGGAAAAAUCCUUCUUGUGAAUGGCAUGUGGGUUAUAAAUUGGUUUAUGAGCUCUUCACUGAAAAAUUAACUUCUCGUAUGAAGGUAGCAUUAUAAUUUUUUCAAAUAUCAUGGUUUGUCUCUUGACUUCAUACAUGUGGUUAAUAGGUCUAAAUCUAAUCCCUCCUUUUCUCCUCCUAAAUUUUUUUUGGCAGAAAGAAAGAAGGAAAAAGUGGGACAAGAAAAACCAGGAGGAAAUUGCUAAGGCUGUAAAACAACUUAAUGAUUUUGAUCAGGUUAACUUGAAAAUUUACUUGAUUCUUCAUAUUUAUGCCAUUAUGUUAAUUCACAUAUGAAUAUACUGGAAAAAAUGUAAUAUUUUAUUCAGUAGAAUUUUGGCAUCACAUUAUAGAGCAAGCUGCUGCAUGUGUCGUUGUGUUAUUCCUUUUUAAUUCUUAGUAUAUUAUUUCUUGUCUAUCUUUUUCAUUUUCAUGCAUAAUUUAACACUUUCUGGAAUAAAAAAGCGAAGUUCUUAUCUUCUUUUGGGUUCCCUUGUACCUUUUCUGUCAUAUUUCGGCAUGGUACAAUGUUCUAGUUUCUUUCUGCAGAUACUUGAGAGUAAAAUUGUUCACUCUUAAGAGAAGAAGAGAACAAAAAAAACGAGAAAGAAAGGAUCAAAUGGAGCCUAUGAAUAUAAAUUAGCUUCCUGAGAUGUGUGCUUGGUUCCUUCUGGCUACUCAUGUAUAAAGCUGAAAUUUAUAUUUGAUUUAUUUUGAAUUGAAGUUACCAGAUGAAGUUGCAAUUUAUGUUUCUUGAAAUUUUGUGAAUAAUAUUAUACUUGUCUAGAUAUAAUGUGCUUGUGUGCAUUACAUUAUAUCUUCUUUUCCAUGCAUCUCAUAAUUUGAUGCAUUUUUUAGCAACACAUGAAGGUGGAGAAUGUUAAACUCAAAAAGGCUCGCGGAGAUCUACAGAGUAGGCUUGAUCUUCUUAAAAAGCAAUUUGAGGUGGGUGCUGAAGAUGUUACAUACUUUUGUUGUUCUGUAUAUUUAUGCCUUUUCCAUUCCUUGAAACAAGAAACAAGCAAAUAAUGGCUAUAUCCAUUUAAUUAUAUGACAUUCAGAAUUUCUUUAUUACCCAACAUAUUUUGUAUGUCUGAAUAAAAUUCUGUGCGUAGAAUGGUUGAAUUUUAGUUGUUAGUGAUGUACUACAAACCUUUAGUUUACGGGAUUCAGUUGUUCUCUUGCUUUACCUGUGGGUGUCGGCUUAUGGACUGUGGUUUUUUUGGAGUUUCUAUAAUGGGUAUGAAGAGGAAUUGAGGGGUAGAAAUGAAGUUUAAGUGACUCCACACUGAUCACUUUUUAUACUGUGAUUACAACCAAGUCCAUAAAGUAAAAAAGGCUAACUAGGAGCAAAUCAUAACUACAGAAACUAGUAGCCUAAUUGCUAGCUUAAUUGCAGAAAUCAGCAUAAUUGCUCUUGACCUUGGCAUGCUAAUGACAUGUGUGCUAAUAUUAACAGAACUAAGGAUUUCUUUUGGUUUCUUUUUCUUGGUGUUUCAAGGGUUGUUUAGGGGAUUAUUUUGCUCUCCUGCCAAGCUAAUCCCUGUCACUUUAAUAUAUUAUUUAUUUUAUAGAACUUAUGACUGAAGAAAAUCCAAUGGAUAGUGUGGUGAUGAUCAGAUGCCGUGAUUUCAUGUAUAGUAUGUUUGGAUAAUCUAGCUUAGUCCAAAAUUGCAUCCCGCCCAUAAGCUACUUUAGGUAGCUUUUGAUAUUUACGUGAUUUUGAGUCUAUGUGAAAUAAUAAUGUUUUGCAAUAAUAAUUUGAUAAAACGGUUGACACUGUGAAAUAAUGUUGGAUGCACUUCAUUCCCGGCAAAAACACACAAUUCCCGUUUCUUCCUUCUCUCACAUUAAAAUAAGGCGUCUAUACUUUAUUGUGGUUAUUUCCCUACGUCCUGGUCCCACUCAGUAUUUAUUUAAUUGGGUUUUCUUACUCAGAUGGCAGUGAUGUUUUAUGUUUUAGAGCUAUGAUGAUAAGGGGCCUGCCAUAGAUGCUGUCGUCUGGUAUGAUGGAGAAGUUUGGAGGGUUGCUCUUGACACACAGAGUCUUCAGGAUGAUCCAGAUUGUGGGAAGCUUGCUAACUUUGUACCCUUAACUAACUAUAGGUAAUCUUGGUUGUUGGUGUUAGCCUAAGUUUUACUGUGAAAUUAGCAGAUACUCAUUUUUGGACAGUGGAUUUCCUACUUCAGCAGGGGGCUGAAAAUUUCACACUAAGUAAAAUUAAUAAUGACUAAGUGAACAAGACAAUAUAAAUAAUUUUAGGGUGGGGGGAUACUACAUUUAAAUACUACUUUAUUGAGAAUUUUUUUCUCGAGGGGGGGGGCAACCCCUUCUUUAUAUGCCUGGGCCCGCCCCCGUACUUUAGAUUCCCCAUGUCCUAUAGACAUAAAACAUCAAUCAACCUUCUCUUUUUUUGCCAUGGGCUUAUAAUCCUCAAAUAGGUACUUUGUGUUGUUACUUAGUUAGAGGGUUAAGGGUUAGUAUUGUCAGAUUUUCACAACAUCUUUUUAGUAGUUUCUCUUAAUGUUUAUGAGGUCUUCCUCUACCCCAUUUAAUUGGAUUAUCUUCUCAUUGAUCCACUUUUUUGAGCUAUCUUGCUGAAGCCUCUAUUGAUCUCCUUCUCACAUGACCAAACCACCUAGUUAAGUUCCCAUUAUCUUCUUCUAUUCAAUAGGUGCUAUUCCAAAGCACCUCAACAUUCUUUUCUCGUCAUCAUGAAUAAUGCUGGGAAAAAUACAAAUAAUGAAAAUUAUUAUCUUCGAGCAAGUAACAACCUGAUAAUCAUGCAAUAAAGCUCAAUGAAUCCCCCAUCUUUAUUUUAGUUGAGAGAUAUUUCUGAAUUGAGUACCCAAUUGGUGUUGUAGUUGUACAUAUUGAUGGGGUUUAGAUAUUGAAACACUUACCAGCCGUUUUAGUUCUAACUAUUAAAAAUGAUUCAAGUGCUAACUAUUAAGGUCUAUUUUCCAGGACAGAGAGGAAGUAUGGUGUCUUCAGCAAACUAGAUGCUUGUACAUUUGUUGUGAAUGUCUAUAAUGAUGGGAAUGUCUUAAGUAUUGUAACAGACAGCUCUCCUCACGGCACCCAUGUUGCUGGUAUAGCUACUGCAUUCCACCCAGAGGUACAUACAUAAUUUCAUCUAUAGUGCAAUUCCUAUGAAAAGCAGUAUUCAUUGUAUGAUAUGGUAUUGUUGUUAGGAACCUUUGUUAAAUGGAGUUGCACCUGGAGCACAAUUAAUUUCUUGUAAAAUUGGGGACUCUCGCUUAGGUUCAAUGGAAACUGGAACUGGUUUGACUCGGGCAUUGAUAGCUGCUGUUGAGGUACUUCAAAUUAGUAUUUUCUGAUGUUUUACUCAAAUAACACAUUUUAUGACUGUAGUGAUGGUCUGUCUCGGUUCUUUUACAGCAUAAAUGCGACCUUAUCAACAUGAGUUAUGGUGAGCCAACACUACUGCCAGACUAUGGACGCUUUGUUGACCUUGUGAACGAAGUAUCUUCUUAGACCUACAAUUUUAAUGGGCCAAUUAAAUAUUCUCUUUGUUAUUUUUCAUUCUCUAAGCUCAAGAUGCUUUCUGUGAUUUUUAUCUAGGCAGUAAACAAGCACCGUCUGAUAUUUGUGAGCAGUGCUGGUAAUAGUGGGCCAGCAUUGAGCACUGUUGGUGCACCUGGCGGUACAUCUUCAAGUAUCAUAGGUGUUGGCGCUUAUGUUUCUCCUGCUAUGGCAGCAGGUGCUCACUGUGUUGUUGAACCUCCUUCUGAAGGGCUUGAAUACACUUGGUAUAUUUGCUUCUCUCUGGAAACCUUAAAAUUGGAUGUCAUCGUAUACUUUUUGUAUUUUCACUUCGUUGCUCUGGGUUUGCAUAUCAUUGCAUGAUUUAUGGAAAAUUAUUUGCAGGUCUAGCCGAGGACCAACAGCUGAUGGAGAUCUUGGUGUCUGUGUGAGUGCUCCUGGUGGUGCUAUUGCUUCUGUCCCUACUUGGACUCUUCAACGGCGCAUGCUCAUGAAUGGGACAUCAAUGGCAUCUCCGUCAGCUUGUGGUGGAAUUGCAUUGCUCAUAAGUGCAAUGAAGGUUCUCGCAUGUUGUUCUUAUUUAUAUUGUAUUCGUAUGAUGUAGUGGGUUGUACUUUGCGGUUUGCAGACAUAUGCAUAAUUUUCUGAUGUGUAUGAUCUGCUUGUAGGCUGAAGGAAUUCCUGUGAGUCCAUAUAUUGUGAGGAAGGCCCUUGAGAAUACAUCUGUUCCCAUAGGCAAUUCACCUGAGGAUAAAUUAUCUACUGGGCAAGGGCUGAUGCAAGUUGACAAGUUCGAUUUUUUUCCCAGUCUUUUAUCUUCAGGAAAAAAAAAUAGUAAAUGGUAAUUUUGUAAGAUUUGGUAUUGAUCUGAAUCAAAUACUCAAUUGACAGGUGUUAUGAAUAUAUACAGCAGUCUCAAAAUAUUCCAUAUGUUUGGUAUCAAAUAAACGUCAAGCAAUCUGGAAAAUCAAGUGAGUUUACAUUCUUUUCUUUCCUGGAAAAUGCCUUCCCAUUUUGAGAAACAAUAGAUAGGAAAUCUUUCGGCUUCCCUUUAUGUGUUUUUUCAUGUUUAUACAAUUAUAAAGCAUGUUAUAUACUACAGAUAAUUAAAAUAUUUGAGGAUUUUUCAAUUUGUUAUAUAUAUAUAUAUAUAUAUUUCAAAUUAGAAUUUUUGAUGCACUUAAUUUGAAAUGAACUUUGUCUUGCCUAAAUUGUCUUGUAACCCAUGAUUAGAGUGAAAAUGAAUUGGCUUCUAAAACAAAAUUGUGAACCCUUUUUUUUGUAAGGUGAAAGUGUUUUUGACUUAUAGGUAGUUUAGAAAGUUCCAUUUUGGCACAUGGAUGAAAACCUCAUAAAAUUUUUGUAUGCUAAAAGGAAUAUAAUAACACCAUUCUCCUCUUGAGAUUAAUAUAAUAACACCAUUUAUUAGCAAAAAAAUAAUUUAAUUAUUGGUAAAAACUAUCUUGUAAUGACUACAAUCCAAAUCCUGCACUGCACCUAUAGUAAAGAGGUCUCUUAAAUAAUGUGAUUAAUCUGACGAGUUUCAGACUUUGUGCUUAAUUAAAGUGAGAAAAAUAAAAAAAUGACAUAAAAUGAAGGUUUAUAUGAAACUUGGAGGAAAAUAAUUUGUAUUGAUCUUAGUAAAAUAUUAUAAUAACGUAGGAGCAUGUAUUGAAAAUUGACAAAAUUAUGUCCCUCUAUGAUUGUUGAUGGCAGAUCCUUCAUCACGGGGCAUCUACUUGAGAGAGGCUGCUGCUUGCCAACAAGCUACUGAGGUGAGAGCAUUCUUUUGGUGUGCCUUGAUGAUCCGAGCAUAUUUUUGCCUCAGAUCCUUGAAAUCUUUAAUUUGUAAAAUGGAUUAAAGAUUGGAUUGUGGGAAAACAAAUAACUGAUGACCCAUAGUUGUAUCACUCUCAUGCUUGGAUAGAAUGAUAAGAAGUUGUUGAUAUGAGUAACAAGAUUAAUUUACCUUGCUUUUUAGGGUGAUGAAUUGACAAUAAAAUAAAAGUAGUAUUUGCUGAAAUUUUGCUUGUUAGAAAAGUUUUCAAGGAGAUAUAUAACUCUUACAAUUGCUCUUAGGCUGCCGUGUUUAGGAACCCAAAAUUCAGAAUUGAAAGAAUCUAUUAUUAUUGAAUAAAAAAAUAGGAGAGUAAUCUCCUCCAAGGGUUUCCCCUUACAACUGAGUCAAUGCUCUGUUUUCCCAAAUCUAAAUGUCUCCCCCUCCAAUCUCACAUUGCCCUAAUUAUAUAUCUAUCUAAUCCCCUCCUAGUAACUACUAACUAAAACAGCCAUAAGUCAGACUAACUACCAAGUCCAAUCAGGCCCAUUAACAUUGAACUGUCAGAUUAUAUCCGAACACAAUUGGUCCUGACUGCUGAUAGAUGCUUUUAGUUUUCCACGUUGUGUAUAUAUAUUAUCAAAUCUAUCCAUAUACUAAUCUUCUUAUCAGUUAAAAGUAAAUUUUAGUGUUACCAGUAUCACUCUGUGCUCUCAAUUGGUAAAAUUUCUUUAUAAUUUGUGGUCCUUAUUGACAGUGGAUGGUGCAAGUUGAUCCAAUAUUUCACGAAGAUGCCGACAAGUUUGAAGAAUUAGUUGUGUUUGAGGAGUGCAUUGAGUUACACUCAUCAGAUAGGACAGUAAUUAAAGCCCCCGAGUAUCUACUGCUCACUCACAAUGGUCGUACCUUCAAGUUAGUCAGCUUUCCUUCAUCAUUAUCCUUUCAUUCUUUGUGUAAGAUGUAAUGCCUAAUUUUUUUAUAAUUAUGGAAUUUUAGAAAAUAAUUAGGCCUUACCAUAUGGUGUAAUUUUUUAAUAGGACCAUAACAACAUAUUUAUUGAAAUUUUAUGAUAAUGAAUAAAAGAACAUUCAUGUAUAGUUUAGCCGCAUUAUUUUUUAGGUUUUGAAAGUUGACUUUACAUCCAUGAUUACAUGGAAAUAUUAGUUGUAUGGAGAAAUACUCUUGAUGAAUUAAGUAAAAUCUGAUGACCUUAUUAAUAUAACCUUAAUAAAUUAAGAUAAAUUGACAUAAAUAAAUCACGUAUGUUCUGACAGGUUUUGGAGAGCUAGGAAUGUGUGUGUGUGUGAAGUGAAGUGCUCUUUAUUUUAUGGUUUAGAUUACACGUAUAAUCAGAUUACUCAUGAUCUCAACUGGUAUAUGAACUUCCCAUUUCCAGUAAUGAAACUAGGCAUAGUUUUGUGAAAAAGAGGUCCCCACGGCACUCUCAAGAGCAUAUAUAUCAUCCCGACAUCUAUUUAUCCUUGGAAUUGUUUUACUAUAAUCUCUGAUCUUCCACAUUGAUCUUUAAACUUUUAUUCUUGAAUGUAGUUCUUCCUUCAAUCUUUCCUUUAUAUUUCAAGUUUCAACUAAGUUGCUGUUCAGUGAUGCUAAUUUGUAGUUUUGUUUAUUUUGACUUACAUGUUGUUUUCUACUUUCAGCAUAUUAGUGGAUCCUACCAAUUUAUGUGAUGGUCUGCAUUAUUAUGAGGUCUAUGGUAUUGACUGCAAAGCACCAUGGCGUGGCCCUCUUUUCAGAAUUCCAAUUACUAUAACCAAGCCUAUGGCUCUUACUAACAGAUCUCCACAAGUUUCAUUUUCAAAGAUGUUAUUCCAGCCAGGUGUGUUUUAGUCAAUCAAGCUAAUCUCUUGGCUUCUUUUUCUGGGGGCAUAUUGAUGUUGGAAUUUGGGAUCUACGUUAAUACAUUCCAAGCGUGUUGUUUGAGCUAUUUGCGAGGGGGGCCUCCUAUUUUACCUAAUCACUCAUACUGAAAAUGUUUUUUUUUUGAAAUCUUAGAAUGUUUUAAUUUUUUUAUCACAUUGCAUUGGGAUAUCUGGUCUAGUUUAUAUUCUUUAAUCCUAAAACCAAUGCUUAUUGUCUUCAUUUUUCACUUAUUAGGCCAUAUAGAAAGGAAAUACAUAGAAGUGCCACAUGGUGCAUCUUGGGUUGAAGCAACCAUAAACGCAUCCAGUUUUGAUACUGCUCGAAGAUUUUUUGUGGACGCAGUUCAGGUAUAAUGUGCAGCUUGAAACUAUGUAUAUGGACUUUCUAUUAACAUGCCUGCUAUGUCCAGAUAUGUCCACUGCAAAGACCUUUUAAAUGGAGGAAUGUGAUAUCCUUUUCAUCCCCGGCUGCCAAAAGCUUCACCUUUAGGGUAAUAGGUGGUCAGACAUUGGAACUAGUCAUAGCUCAGCUUUGGUCAAGUGGAAUCGGGAGUCAUGAGACUACCAAUGUGGAUCUUGAGGUAACAGAAUUCAUGAUUGUAUAUGAUCUCUCUUUGCCCUCCCAGAUAUUUGGUGAUAGGAACAUAAUUUAUUAUAAAAUAAUCAUACAGGUCUGGUUUUCGAGAGCCUCUCUCCUAUAGAUUUUGGAAUUUAGAGAGUCCCUAAGACAACCACCGAAUUUCUGAAUGAUCACCCAUGUGGUUUGAACUCCCUAUUUAUAACUUUCUAACAUCAAUAAACUGCUCCUAACAGCUAUAAAUUGCUCCUAACAGUAAUAAACUGACUUAAUAACUAAUAAUAUUACUUAAUAACUUCCCCUGUUCCAGAAUCUGAUGGGUAUCUCCCUAUCAUUUGGGCAAUUUUUACUUUCUUUAAUAAAUUUAAGCUUAAUCUCCUCUUUUUUGCACUGCCCAAUCCACAUAAUGAUCGCCUCAUUCAUUUAACGGGUGAUAUUUAGUUUUUUUUUCAAUUCCUUUAUUACAGUAGCCUGUUUUUUUGUUAAAGGUUCCCAAGAGCUUGUUGCACUUGUACGGCGGCACUGUUAGAAUUGUAGAGAGAGUGAGAAAAGAGAGAAAGAUCAGAGAAACUGAACUGUAAUUGUAUUGUUAUUUCUGAAUAGAAUGAAUGAGCUGUGUCUUGAACAGUACCUCUGUGAUAUGUAUGACUAUAUGAAGCUUCCACUGACCCAUUAAUUCAAUUUAAUUCUCAAACUGAGCAUAAUUUCUGAUCAUUUAAACAUAAUGAUGCUUUGGGUUGCAUAUUUCCCCCUUUUUAUUCUUCCUGUAUAGUUCAAAUUGAUUUCCAUUAACUAAUGGAAAAAGAAAGCAUGGCCUUAUUUAGCAUGCAAAUGAACUUUCUAUGUAAUCCAUAUUGGAACAAAAUUUGUACCAGCAUUUAGCUGUGGAAGCAUCAUAUUUUAUGAAGGCAUACACACUCCUCCAUGGCUUAGAACUUAUAUUCUUUACCUUGCAUAUAAUUGUAAUUUGACUGUGAUUUUUCUCUCAAACAACUUUUGGUAAACGAAGCAUUAAGAAAAUGGGAGUGAAGCCCAUUUAGUCUAUCUCUGGUCAUUGAAGAUGCAACCUUUCUAAUUUAUAUAAAAUGCCAGGUUGUGUUUCAUGGUGUACAAGUCAAUCAAGAGGAAAUUGUACUUGAUGGGAGUGAAGCCCCACUCAGAAUUGAUGCUGAAGCACUACUGGCAUCUGAGAAACUUGCUCCUGUAGCAAUUCUAAAUAAGGUUAGCUUGUAAAAUUUGCUUCUUUGUGUGCUAUUCCUUUAUUCUUGUGAUGUGGGACAAUAAUGAGGUUAGCCCAUUCUCCCAAUUUUUGAUAAACUUGCAGAUAAGGAUCCCAUAUCGACCAAUAGAUGCUAAGAUUAGUUCACUUUCAACUGAUCGUGACAAACUCCCCUCUGGAAAGCAGAUACUUGCAUUGACAUUAACGUGAGUAAUUAAAAUUCCAUUAUCCAUUUCCUCUAUCUUUGCGAAAUCUAGAUGGCUUGUUCUCAGUAUUCUGAUUUCAGAUACAAGAUCAAAUUGGAAGAUGGAGCUGAAAUCAAACCUCAAAUACCAUUUCUAAAUGGUCGGAUGUAUGAUACUAAAUUUGAGUCUCAAUUUUAUAUGAUUUCUGAUUCAAAUAAGGUAUUAUGAUAUUUAAUUUCCUUUUUUGCUUUUUAUUAGAAAUUGGGAUGCCUAUACUCAACCACAAAAGCUAGCUCAAGAGUUGAGGUUUGCACAACCCUUAUAAACACUUGAUUGGCCUUAUCUCUAGCCAAUGUGGGACUUCUAACACACCCCCUCACGUCCAGGAUUGAACAGACUGGAACGUGGGAACAACAACGGGUGGCCCAAAUAUGGGAGGUCUCCACACAACAAAUGGAUCUAGGAUAGGCUCUGAUACCAUAUUAGAAAUUGGGAUGCCUAUACUCAACCACAAAAGCUAGCUCAAGAGUUGAGGUUUGCACAACCCUUAUAAACACUUGAUUGGCCUUAUCUCUAGCCAAUGUGGGACUUCUAACACUUUUAAUAAUGAAGGGGGGUAUAGCUUGUCGCUUCAGAUAGUAUUUCUCAGCCAUGUGAACAGUAAGCUUUUUAUAAUUCAGUUUCAUAUUUCUACAUUCUGAUAAUAGAAAGUACAUUCAAGUGGAGAUGCCUAUCCGAACCCUACAAAACUUCCCAAGGGCGAAUAUAAUUUACAGUUAUAUUUGAGGUACGACUCUUUCUUAGUACAUAUGCUAGAUGGCCUCAUAUCCUUGAUUUUUCCUUGUGCUGUCCCAUAUAGCUGUUCAUAGUUAUUCUGCUUUUCUGUAUUUCCAAAAUUCUGCUUAUACUAAUUGUUGUCUAUUGUUUCAGGCAUGACAACUUGCAGAUUUUGGAAAAGUUGAAGCAGCUAGUGUUAUUCAUUGAGCGAAAUUUGGAAGAGAAGGUAGUAUAUCUUAUUCUCAAAGGCAACUUUAUACUAUCUCUUGUAUCUUUGCUUUAACUGCUGUGUCAUUUGUCAUUAUAUGAUUGUAAGUCUUUUCAAUGGAUUUCAUCUAUUGAAUACCAAAUCUCUGUUUAGAGGCUUCUUAGUGCUCAAUGGUUAUGCAUUGUACAACUUUUGAACUUUGUUGCUGGCAUAUUAUUUGUACAAAUGAAAAUUCUAAAUUUUACUCGUGAUAUUUUGACUUCAUCAAACACAAUAUUAGUCAAACAAAUGUGAAAUGGAAAUAAUUUAAGUAGUAAUUGUAUAUUAAAUUUAAAACUAAGGUCAUACAUUCCAUUCCUUCUAUAUAUUGAUUUGAUUAGCUUUAUAUGUUUGUCUUUAUUUCCAGGACAUCAUUAGGUUGUGCUUUUUCUCUCAACCAGAUGGUCCACUGAUAGGAAAUGGUUCCUUUAAGUCUUCGACAUUAAUUCCAGGGUAUGUGACUAGGUUAUAAUCCCUAAAUACCUAUCAUCUUGUAUUGUGGUGCUGACAUUGCUUAUUGAUAGGAUAAAAGAAGGCUUUUAUCUUGGCCCUCCACCAAAAUACAAGCUUCCCAAGGUAUACUGUUCUCUUUUCUGAAUCCUAUAGGUUUUUCUAUUGGACCAUUGUUAGUAUGUAAUAACAUUUGUAGCAUUUUGACAGAACUCUCCACAAGGAUCUGUAUUGGUGGGAUCUAUAUCAUAUGGGAAACUAUCAUUAGCCAGUCACGGGGAGCAUAAAAAUCCAGAAAAGCACCCUGUAUCAUAUCGGAUUUCUUAUAUAGUUCCGCCAAAUAAGGUUAUUCUCUACCUUAUGCAGUUACCUGCCUUGAGGUCUUUUUGUAUGCUCUAUAAUUACACAUACAUAUAUGUGCUGGUUUAAGCAUGCUCCAAUCUGUGCUGAUAUAUGAACUACCAUGACAUAUAACCUAUAAGUUAAUAUCUAACUAACAUUGUCCCAUUUACCUUUUGAUGAAAGAUUGAUGAGGACAAGGGAAAAACUUCCUCCUCAUCUCCCAAGAAGACAGUUUCUGAACGUUUAGAAGAAGAGGUACGCGAAACAUAUUCAGCAGAAGAUAUUCCUUGUUCUUUUGUUCUACAAUAUAUUUAACAUGAGUUUUGUUUUUGGCGACAGAAUAUGCACUCUUUUGCAACUAUUUUUGCUUAGGACAAAACUUAGACACAGUUUUACACAUGCUGUUUUUGUUUUUGUUCAAUUACAACAAGACACUUGGGUUGAAAAAUGGGAAAUUAAGGGAAGUUAUAAAUUAAUAAAAUAUUAAGAAAGUGGGUGCUUGAGUUUUUGUUUGUGCAACAACACCUACAGUAUUGUGGAUAAGUUGUCCUUGUGCUUAAACGUGUUUCAAAAAAAUUCAUUUUGUAUUGCUACCUACUUUACAUUUACAAUUUUUUAAAUAUUUUUAAAAUGGGCAUAUGUAUCUCUUCAUCGUGAUAUUUUUACCUUGUCAAAAAAACUCUUAAUCUGUACCAUCUAUUUAUAAUUGUACUUUCACGGUUUAUUCCUCCCUUAAGAUUUAUCACCCUCACUUUUUCAUCUCUCUGUAUCCAAAAACAUUUUUUUACAGAUCUGUCGUCACAAUGUUGAUUAGAUACUAUAGAUUUCAGAUUCUGUAUCUUAUGUACUGAUUAUCCUUUAAACUCGCCUUGAACUGUCCAUCAGGUACGAGAUGCAAAAAUAAAAGUGAUUGGAGGUCUAAAACCAGAAAGUGAUGAAGAGUUCUUGGAAUGGAAUAAAUUGUCUGCCUUACUCAAAGUUAGUAUAGAAUUUUAUCUGACCUCCUAGCUUUGUUAGUUGACUAUCUUAUCAUGAUUAAUUUGUUGCUUUCCUCUUCAAUUUUUUUGAUUUGGUUUUCUUUUCGUAAGAUAUUAUAUAUAUUAUAUGGUUUACUGUUAUUCAAAACUAUAUUCAGCUGUUUAUUCUCCACAUUCUAAAUUAUAAUUAAUAAUAGCAAAACUUCUUAUGUUUCAUUACAGACUGAAUAUCCAAAGUACACUCCGUUGCUUGUGAAGAUUUUAGAAGGUUUAGUUUCUAGGAGUAAUAUCAAGGACAAGUUCCAUCAUGAUGAAGAGGUACAUAUUGUUGGAAUCAAGUAGUACUAUUUCCCCUUUCCCCUCUCUGAUUUUCCAUCCUAACCACAAUUUAUUAUUAUCAUACUCUUUUGGAAACUUGCAAUAGUUGUUUGAUUUAAUAGUUUGUAAAUGAUAUAAAAGGAUGACUAUGUGGAAAUUAUGAAUACACUUUGCAGGUAAUUGAUGCAGCAAAUGAGGUGAUCGACAGUAUAGAUAGAGAAGAGUUAGCAAGAUUUUUCGCACUAAAAAAUGAUCCUGAAGAUGAGGAUGCAGAGGUGCUUAUCCCGGUUCCCAAUGCUUUAGUUAUCCUAUCACGCAUUUCUGAAUUAGUUGUCUAUCUGUACAAUUUCAAAUUGACAUGGCAUGUUAGUGAUAUUUGUUCAGAAAAUUUUGCAAUCUUACAUGAUGAUAGAACCAGCUAAGAAUGUUAACAGACAGAGUAUUAUUAUGCAAGAUGAACCCUAAUCCCAAAUAGGAAUUAGAAUGUACACAGGUGUAAAGCAUUCGAGAGGCUCCACUCUCUCGCAAUUACUCAAAUGAUUUAAAGGAUACCCAAACCCUCUUAACACUCCCUUAUUUAUAGGCUAACCCUCUACGAACUAAUUAACUCUUCGAACUAACCCAAGCACGCAGUUACCUAUCAGGAACUAGCGAUCUGGCGUUCCUUAUACCACUCAAUGAAGUCAUUGAAGAUGGAAAAGUUGUCGAAAGGAGACUCAAGAGUGUGGGUAGUGGCUCCACCUUGUAAUCACAGAUUAUGAUUAGGGCUUCCUCUUGUUAGGCUCUUGAUACCAUUAUAAAUGAGAAGAAAACAAGAGGUAUUGGACUAUCUGUGUGUCUCAACUGGAAAACGAAGUGUAUUAUAUAUAAUAGGUACAAUAAAGUCAUAACAUCGUUGUUUCCCUGUUUACAAUGAUUACGCUAUCUAAUUACAAUUAAUUCAGGAUAUUCUACCUACUUAGAAGAUAUAACAAUGACUAACUAUGAUUUUGGUACUUGGCUUAUAGAAAUUAUAGAAGUUGGUUAUGUAAUUGUUCAACUGGAAACUAUGGCAUGAUGGUGUAAACGUCUUUAAAUGCUUAGAGUAGUGUGUAAAAUAAAAUGUAAAUCAAUCGUUUGCUAAAUUUAUUAAACACAAGUUCAUUCUAGCAAAAUGAAUUUUGGGACUGUGGAUUUUCAGUUUGCAAUUUGUUUGCAUUGAUGAUAUAAUCUUACUAUAGAAAAUCAAGAAAAAGAUGGAAUCAACCAGGGAUCAGUUAGCGGUUGCACUUUAUCAAAAGGGGCUUGCACUGGCAGAAAUUGAGUCUUUAAAGGUUAGAGCUUUUAUUUCUAAAAUAUUGAUAAAUUCUAUUUAAAUUUUGUAGAUACAAAUGUGUUUUCAGGUAAUCAUAAUUUUAGAUUUUUAGUUGAUUUUGAACUCUUGCCAAUUUUAGUUGAAUAUCAAAUAUUUUAUUUAAAGUCUGAAAUAGAUCGUAAAGUAAUAAAAGUAAAUAAUUAUAUAUUAAAAAAAACUAAAAAAUUAAUAUGAUAAUUAAUAUAAAUCUUUACGAUCCUACUAAUUGCAUUUUAUUUAGGGAUUUGCAGCGUGAGUCAUUUUUAAAUAAGAAGGGAUAAAUGAGAAAUUUUAUUACUAUAUUUAGGUUAAAAGAGGAGCAUAAUCUGUUAUGGUAUAGGUUAUUAAAAUAUAAUAAGCUAACAAGGGAAAAGUGCUUAUGAGAGAGAAGCUAUAAGUUACUGAAAUAAACUCGUACUUGUCUACCAAACACAUCCAUUUUGGUCAAACAAGCAUAUAAGUUAAUCAAAUAAGUUAGAAGUUUGCUUAAAUGUGAUAAAAAACACACUCUAACUUGAACACUUGUUUUGACCUAGUAGGUUUUCAAAUUCAAAUCAAUGUUUGAUCUUGCAAAAUAUAACUUAUAUUAAACUUCAAAAUUAGAAAAUAUUCCUGCACACAAAGGCAAAUUUUGUUUUCCUCUCGAGUUCAAACCAUGGAUGUAUGUCUUCCUCUUGUAACAAAAAAAAAAAACCAUGGAUGUCAUGUGGCAUGAAUGUGACCCUUUUUUCGAGUUUGGUAUUACAAUAAUUUUCAUGAUUUUGCCUGCUUGUGCUAUGUAGAAUAUAGAAGACUGUUUUGUUGUUAUGCACGGUGUUACAGUGUUAGAACAAAUCAAUGUUUCUCAUGAUGAUAUUAGUGAAGCUUAAUUAUUGUUUGUCAAAUAAAAGUUACUUGUAUUUUGUUAAAGCAGGUAGAUGAUUCCCUGGAUUCGGCGGCAACAGAAGGUGCAAAACAAGAUGUAGAAAAAACUGACGAGAAAUCCAAGGAUGAUGGUGAUCCAGAUAUGUUUGAAGAGAACUUUAAUGAACUGAAGAAAUGGGUUGAUGUUAAGUGCACAAAAUAUGGAACCCUCUUGGUCACAAACGAGAGGCGUAGUAAAAGGCUUGGGACUGCAUUGAAGGUAUUUUCUUUUUCUCAGUCUUGUAUUGGUUUUAUUUGUUAGUCACACAUUAAUGUUAUCUGUGUGAUUAUGGAUUAAACUCCUGGCAUGGUUAGAAUAGAUUCGUUGUUGUAUUCAACCAGACCGUAGUUGUGAAGCAGCUCUAUUCUUUUCUACCUUUUCUGGAAAGUGUCUUUCCUUUUGGUGAUCAUAGACUUAUCUUAAAUUUUAAGAUUAAUCUUAUCUGAACCUUUGCUCGCCUGGAUUCAGGUACUGACUGACAUAAUUCAAGAAGAUACCGGGCCAGCGAAGAAGAAAAUGUAUGAACUAAAACUCUCUUUGGUUGAGGAAAUUGGAUGGACUCAUUUGGCUACAUAUGAGAGACAGUGGAUGCUUGUGCGUUUCCCCCCUAACUUGCCCCUUUUCUAGAAUCCGAGACACUGAGAGGUACGCGAGGGUGAGGACGUGAAUUAGUCUAAAAGAUGACCCUGGUCUAAGGGGUCGCCUGAAUGAUUUAUAUUAUUAUUUGUAACAGCUAUGAUCUUGAUCUUGAUCUUGAUGUUGAUGUUGAUGUUGGUGUUGGUGUUGGUGUUGGUGUUGAAGUUUAAUUCUCUAGGAAGGAAGCUACCCUUAUGAGAUGAAAAAAUAAGAAGGGUAUUGCUAUCUAGUUUCUAGGUUGGGUCAAAUAAAGUUUUUAAGAAUUUCAACAUUCUAUAUAUUGGAAACAUUGUAGNNNNNNNNNNNNNNNNNNNNNNNAAUAAUUUCAUUUGAUUUUUUAACUAGUGCUUUUAAGAUAUUUGUUAGAAUAAAAUAUGAAAAAGAAAAUGACCAUUUUAUACAUCUUGACAAGCCUUUAAUCGAGAGCUAGAUUUGCCACCCCAAUCAUUAGAUUUCACACCCCUCAUUUUCAGAUUUUUAAGUUCCGAAUUAUUUCGGAAUCUUAGAUUCCGAAAUUAAUUCGUGAUUUGUAGUGCAAAAUACAUGUAACACCCCAUUUUUGAGUGAAAAAAUGCUUCGGAAACCUUAUUUCCGAAAUAUUUUGGAAACUAAGUGUCCGUAAGUGGGGUGUCAUUUCUAAUGAGUGGGGGUGCCAAAUCUAAUGAUCCCUUUAAUCUUUUUUGGGGGGUCAAGGAUAGGCCUUUAAAAUGGCUUCGAAUAUAUGGCUUGGGUUCUAUAAAACUUACAUAUAUAGUAUUAAACUUAAUUUUAUCUAACUGUAUAACAAACCCCCCUUAAACUAACAAGUUAAGGGAUUUCUUUUCCAUUAUUUUAUAUGUUGCUUUGGUUGCUUUCCCAUAAAAAUAUAUGUAUGAACAUUUUUAUGUUGCUUUUGUUCUUAUGCCAUAAUCAAACGCUUACCUAAAAAAAUGCCAUAAUCAAACUAAGUUUUAUGUACAAAGCAAGUUAUACACAUCACACGAGUUAUUUUGAAUUUAGAUGUGAAAUUAUCUUAAGAAGAGAUAUAUGAAGAGAGUUAAUGGUAAUAGAGCGAUGAAAAACUUGAUUGUAAAUAAAUCAAAACUCUUUUACUAAUCAAAACGGAAAACAUACUUUAACCAAAGCACCAAACUUCCAAUUCCAAUGGACUAGCUAUAGUUCCUAGCAUUUGGCAUAGUGGGGUGCUUUAUUUUUUUUCUAUAAGCAAAAGAAAUAUUAUAAAAAAAUACAAAUUCUAUUAACAACAAGAUAUACUCAAACUUGUUCAUUUGUAUAAAUCUAGGGAGUGCUACAAAACUCCCAGCGAAUUGACAGAAAUAUCGAGUCAAUGAGUCAUCGAUAUAACUAAUGAAUCAUUGGUUGAGUAAGUUAAUUAAAUGUGUUUUUUUCUUGUGAUAUAGUGGUUGAUUACAAAAUUGAACUUUUAGGGGUCUAGUAUUCGAACCACAAUCAUUGUGAUCAUUUUUUUCCGCAAGCUAUUAAUUAAAGUGGAUCUAGCUCUAGAGUAAGCAUUAGUGGUUGUUAACAUCAUUGCAUGGGUGGUGUGAGGUCAAACUAGAUAAAAUGCAUUAAAUUUGUCUUGAAUUAAAAUACACUUCUAAAAUUACCCUGAAGAGUGAGAAAGAGAUUAAAUAAUUAAUGAGACACAUUUUACAAGUUAGAACUAAUAAGGACAUCAUUGGGAAAAAAAUAAUUAAUAUAGCUCAAACUUUCAUUUGGUUCUUAUAAAAAUGACCAAGAUUUUUCUUCUCUUUCAUGCUUAUAAAUAGGACCGGAGGGAGUAAUUUUUUAUGUAUAUAGUAUAAAUUUGGAGUGAUUCAUUGCAUAUAUAUUUUUACAUUCACUUGAUAUUUUUCUUUGGUUUAAAUAUGGUUUUAGUCUACUGGUGAAUAGGUUCCCGAAACUUUUUUGCAUAGCUUUAGAUCUCUAAAAUAAAUUUAUUUGAAAUAAGUCCUUAAAAUGUGACAUUAUUUACAUGGCUUAAUUUUUGUUCUGUUGCGUGUUAAUAUCCUAAUCUUAGUUAGAUGAUGACUGUUUACGUAGACAUUUUACAUCAGUUUUGGUUGGUGAAAAAAAAAUCAUUAGUGCCAAUUCUCUUAUCAUUCUUCUACCUCUAACACCACUUCUAGAGGUGGAGGUGGUGGAGGUCAUAGCUUCAUAAAAGAAAGAUAAAAAAAAAAAGUAAAAAUAGAAGAGAGAAUAAUGAACUCUUGAGAUAUGUAUAAUAACUCUUUUAUUAAAGGUAACUCCAUCAUGUACAAUCCAAUCAAACAAAGCUAGGGAUGCUAAAAAGCUUGGCUCCUCAAGAGCCAAAAAGGGGGGCGGGGUUGGAACAUGCCCUUUCCGGUAAACAUAUCUACUUGUACAAUUGAGUUGUACAUUCGUGAAGGGGUUAAUUAAACAAACUAUAACAUAUCUUCUUAAUUAAUUUGUAAAUAUUAUUAGUUGAAUUAAAUAAUAUUCUAAAUUAAUUAAAGAGGCUGAACUAUGAGUUGGAGUCCAUGAGUUGGCCUUAGGGAAAGCAUGGUAGCUGGAGAAUGGUGGUAACCUGGUGAAACCUUGAAGCUAAACUUAGAGAGAAGCUGUGUCAACACAAUCUUGUACUCCAUAAAAGUCAAGUUCCUACCAACACACAUUCUCCCUCCAAAACCAAAAGGCAAGUAACCCAUCUUGUGGUUGCACCCACCAUUCACAUCAUCCAUGAACCUCUCUGGCUUGAACUCAUUAGCAUCCUCUCCCCAGAACUCAGGGUCAUGGUGUAUCGCUACCAAAUCAAUCCAUAAGUUGGUUCCAUUAGGAACUGUUAAAUCAUCAACUUUAAUGUCCUCUCUUGCCUGUCUUUGUACGUUUGGUGCUGGCGGGUAUAGUCGCAGAACUUCAUUCAUCACACAUUUCAUCUGAUGAUUCACAAAUUAAAAGAGCUUCUCAGUAAAUUAAUUUUAACACAAAAAACAUUGUAAAUAACAUGUACAAUUGAAUUAUAGACGUACCUUUUUCAAACCGGCAAGCAUAGAGAUAUCAAGUUCGUUCUCUCCCACCACAUCUCUAAUCUCAUCUCUCAGCUGAUUUUGCCAAUCUUCAUGCGUAGCAAGAAGCAGCAAGGUCCAAGUGAUGGCAAGUGCGGUGGUUUCAUGGCCUCCAAAGAAGAAAGUCUUGCACUCAUCCACCACUUCUCGCGUCGUCAACGGUUUCCCUGACCGGCCUUCAAGGGUAUUCCGUUGAAGCAACAACCCUAACAAAUCUUGUUUAGAAUUAUUUUUUGACGAUUUCAUCCUCGCUUCAAUGAUGGAUAACAAGAGUUCAUCGAUUUCCUUCCCAAGCUUCUUGGCUUCCAAAGUUUUCUUCACACUCAUAUACUUGCCAAAGGGAACACCUACAUAGCGAUUGGUUUUGAAGAGAGUCAUUUGUAAAGCUCUUAGUUUGUGAAACACCUCUCUAGCAUUUUCAUCUUCCAUGCUAAAAUUAGUCUUUGCUAUGAUCUCUCCGGCGGUUGCUAUGAUCUCUUUCUCCACGUCAAUUUCGGGGUUGCCGGAGCUUAUUUGAGUAGUCCAUCUUUCGAUCAUUUGAUUUGUGGAAUCAACCAUCAUGCUUCCCAUGACCUGAAUAUCAAGUUGCACAAGAAUAGUUAGAGAUGAUAAAAGAAAUGUAAAAGUAAUUAGAAUGUUAAUUAUGAGUAUGACCAAAACAUUCAAAGCGUUUAACGUCAAGGAAAGAAAGAACACUAUAAUUGAAUUUGCUUGAUGAGCCAUUUCGUAGUACUUUCCUAUAGGAUAAUGUACGGAAUUGGUUAGUAGAAAGCUAAACAUUCACAACCUGUCCUCAAGUUUUAUAAUCUGGAAUAAAAAAUCAUUUUUUGACAAUAGCCCAUAUGUACUUUUAUUUUUAUUAUAUAUAAAUAAAUAAAAAAACUUAUAUGAUGAAUGAAAUUUAAAAUUGGUAUACCCAUGAACCAUACUAUUAUUUGUUCUAAAAAAUACUAAUAUUUAGUAUACAUUAUUCACAAUAUAAUUCUUAUAUGUUAAAAUGAAUUUGCAAAGAAACUAAAUUUUUAAAAUCUAAAAUAUUGUAAAAGGAUAGAGUAAAAAUUUGAAAAUGUGAUUUUUGUGUCUAACACAUGAAAAACAUGUACGUGAACUAUAUAUAAAACAAAAAGUGCAAAGCACAUUCCGACAUGAUGCUCUAUAUGUGGAUAGAUCUUUUUUCCCUUAACUAAACCUUGAGGUUAAGGGGAUUAAAUGCAGGGGCGAUAAUGUGCCUGUGACGAACCCAAUCGUUGCCUUCAACCAUGACCAAACCACUUCCAAACAUUGGGUCUCUGUCAUUUCUAAACACACUUGGUUUUCCCCAUCUCUUUGCCAUAACCUCUGUGGACAUUUUCUUCAAAAACUCAGGAUCUGCAAUGUACAAAAAUGGCUCCGUACCAAGCCAGUACACAAACACCUUACCUACACAAACAUAUACAAGCAAUCAUGUGUGAGUGAACAUCAUCUUUUGAAAAAUAUUCUUCAAUAUAUGAACAUACACUUGAUUAUGUGCAUGUUUGGAUAGACAGUAAAAAAACACAAUGAAUCAAAAUUGCGAUCAACAGAAGCAACUUCAUUUAGUUUUUUAGGAUUAUCCGAUGUGAAUCUGAUUUUAUUGUAAUUCUACACGUUUAUCCAAACAUACAUUAUAUAGGUUUAUAGGAGGACUUACCAUGUGAUUUCUGCCAGCAAGAAAAGUAGGGAAACACGUGUGAGUGAAUAUCAUGUUGGAUCAUAUUAGAGGAGGAUGAAACUGAAGAUUGAGUAAUGCUGCUAUUUUUUCUUUUCAUCUCUUUAAUGUUUCCAAGUGGAAAACUUGGGGUUGGUCCUCCAAACCCACAUAACUUAAGCUUCUUGUGGGUUUGAUUAGGAAAAACCCACCAGUAAAGUGUUAGUAUGAAGAGCAAAAACAGGCAAAGUACUGCCAUGAAGGCAAUAAAAACUCCAAAUAGCUUUAGGAACUCCAUCUCUCUAUCUCUCUCACAAAGUGUGUGUAUAUAUAUACAUAUAUGUGUGAGUUAUAUAUAUGUGCUUCUAUAUCUCUAUGACUCUUUCUUAAGCUUCUGUAUAUUUCUUGGUUGUGACUUGUGAUGUUGGAAUGAAGCAAAAUGGUGUUGGUAUUUAUAGACGAAGGUGACGAGUAUUAGAAUACGUGGAUUUGACUUUUGACUAAAAACAAGUAGGUGAUUUUGGACAUUAUAUUUAUUCAUUAUUUAUUGUUUGUGAGUCUGCUGAACCUUUUGACCCUCAUAUUAGACUUGAAUCGUUUCCUUUUCUGGUCCAACUUUUGAAUAUUUUUGUAAUUCCAAAUAUUUUUCCAUGGAACCAAAGAAUUUUAGUUUAAAGCCAAGAGGUUUAGUUGAUUGGUGAAUAGUUGCAGCUACAUUUCACACAUACUUUAGAAUAGUUUAUUUGUGUUUUAACUUUUCAUAAGUGUUAUACAAGUGUUUGAGAAAAUUUAUAUAAAUUAUUGAAGAUUUACCAAUAAAUUAUAUGAACUUGUUUAAUUUUUAAGUUUAAAUUAACUUUUGAAUAAAAGCUUGUAAUUUAAUUCUUUAAAUUUCUUAAACUAGCUUAUGAAUUAUUUAUGUUAAGCCUUAUUGCGAUAAGUGUUUAGUUAAGCAGUUUAAACAAACACACCAUAUAUAUCAUGCUUUUAUAUUAAUAUAUUUUAUCUCCAAAUAAUGUCUAUUUUUAUAUUCUAUCAAUAAAAUUAUAUCAUCUCAAAUAAAAAUAAAUGUAAGUUUAUAAUUUCCAUUUUUUUCAAUUGACCUAAAAUGUUUUCAUUUGUGGGAUUGGAAAUAAAACACCAUUGAGUUGCUUUUUAUGCACCCAAAAUUACUAAUAAUACACUCAAUUUAUUUUCAAAGUUUUACAAUUCCAAAAAUACCCUUUAAUUUAAAAAGUAAACACACUUUUAAUGAAAAAAAACUAAACCCAAAAUUACUAUAUAUUAUAGCUAAUGCGUUAAUUCUUUAUCCAAAAAAAAAAAAUCUCCAUCCUUUCAUUUUUUCAGGAAUUUUCAGUACUCCCAUAAUAGUUCGGAUUUCUAUUUACAACAUAAUUUUUUCAAGUUAUCAUUUAAUUAUAUGUGGAAAAAAAUCUAUAGAUCUUCUAUAAAAAAUUAUCAUUGAGAACGAAUGCAACAAAAGUUUUCUGUUCCGAAACUAAAAUUUCUAAUCGCUAGUUUUUGUAUUAAAAUAUUUAAGACCAAAAAGUGCAAAGAAAAUACAUUUUCGGUAAGUUGAACUUCCAAAAUAAAAUUAUGAAUUUUUGGAAGUGUUGCUUAGUAUUUACACUUUCAAAAACUAACUUUAUUUUAAAAAAUUUUCAAAUUUUGGAAGUGCGAAAUCACAAAAAUUGAAUUUUUGAAAGUGUGUUUUUUGCACUUUCGGACAUGAACUUGAACUUUCAGAAUGCAAACAAGAAACAAAUUCAUUUUUAGAAGUUUAACUUCUAACUCCCGAAAGUGUUCGAAAUCACUGAAAGGUAUUUUAGAAGAGAAAAAAAAUUUCGUUUUGGGUGUGCACAUAUCACUUGGAGUGUGUGUAAUUACAAAAAAUUAUCCCCAUAUUAUUUAAGGAUAGAAGAUCUCAAUCCUAUUUAAUUUCUGCCAAUUUUUUCUUCGCAUCUCUUUCUUUCUUUUUCCAUCACAUUAAUGUAAUAUCUUUUUUUUCUAUUUUCCGAUGUACCAAAAAAAAAUAUCUUUUUUUUCUCUCUUUCCUUUUCUUUUCUUAUCGCAUUAUUUUUCAUUUUUUUCCUAUUAAUAUUCUUAUCCUUUAUGCAUGUGAUCAAGUUAUUUUCCGUUUUCAAAAAAAAAAGUUAUUUUCCGUUGUAGUACGGAUGGAUAAAACUUUAAAAGAAAAAAAAAUAAAGGGUUGACGAAAUAAAUAAAAAAAUCAUGGUACAAUGGAUUGACCAUUUUGUGUUUGGUCAACUCAACAUACUACACACGAGAAUGAGAGUUGCCGUGUUUUUUUGGCUCAAAUCAAAACAAGUAAUAAAAUGUGUACUUCGUGUAUUGUGAACACGACCCCUACGCGCACACACGAGGAGCAGCAUCACUAUAUAUAUUUUUACAACAAUAAUACAUCCAUACAUACAUGUAUUGAAAAUUCUAUUCUUAAUUAUAUAUACACCAUCCGGCCACAAAUAUAAGCAAAAAAUAAUAUUUUAGGUUCAUUCAAUAAAUGCAUGUGACUAGAUACAUGCAUUUAUUGAAUGAACCUAAAAUGUUGUUUUUUGCUUAUAUUUGUGAUCAGAGGGUGUAUGUCAUUUCCUUGAAUUCUUUUUCAGUGUAAGGCUGCUAAUUUUAUUUAGCUGGGUUGGUAAAAAGUUAGAAAGGAAAGAUGGCUUUGAAGAACAUUCUUUGUGGUUUCAUGCAUUUGCAUGCAAAAACAUUUCAACUGUGCGGAAUCACCUCAUCUUCGUGGAAACUCUAUUAAGAAAGGAAAAAUAGUUAUAAUAAUAUUUUAUAAAAAGCUAACUCAAUAUGUGCCACUUGCAGUACUACUACUGAUUGAAAAUAGUUAUUUAAACUUUUAAUGUUGAUAGUUUAAUAUUUAUGAACCACAUUUUUUUAGAGAUCAUUAACCUUUAUCAUACUGAGUCGAACACAAUUGUCUCAUAGUAUAUACUUGUGUUAAAAAAGACACAAAUAUAAAAGCAACACACUAAUCCGAGUUUCAGAUCAAAAUCAGUUUUUCUUCCUCCUACUAGUUGUAUUUUUUUUUCCACUUCAUCCUUAUGAUGAGCAUAGGAAAAAGUCUUAUCACUCUAGAUCAUGCAUCACAUUUAAGAUGACUAAAAAUUUUACACCAUAAAAGUUAGACAAAAUUCAAUGUCAGGAAAAUCAUUUGUUGAAAGACAAAAUCCUACAAAAAAAAUUCUGAACGGAUACAUCAGUUAAAGGAAAAAAAUAUUAAGACCGACAUAUACUAAAGAAACUCAGGCAAAUACAAAUUAAGUUGCACGAACGGUAGACUAUAAUUAACUCCUCUUAACUCAAAUUUGUUUCUCAUCUAGAAGUGAGUAUAUAAAGGAAAAAAUAAUUUGUACUUUUGUAGGCCUACUUGGUUUACCGCUAGAUAAAACUAUAUUUGAUAAAAUUAAGUUUAAUAAAACUAAGUUUAAAAAAUGAAUUUGUGUUUGAGAAUGAUAUGUAAAAUAUUAAAUUUAAAAGAGUUGAAUACUGUUUUGGUAGAAUAAAGUUAAAUCACUUAUAAGGAUAAAAUCACUAAAAUGGACAUAAAUGAUAAUAUAAUAUAAAUGUGUAGUUUUAAAAUGCUAAUAUUGUAAAUGAAGAUCUAACACACUUUUUUUAAUUGAACAGUAGUAUUUAAAACAUACUUUUGUUAAACACAUUUUCUAAAGCUUAAAAGCACACUUUUAUUUGAUGACAAAUACCCAAGUGAAACGGUAUAUGUUAUAAUGUACGGUAACACACUUUAUUAUUUUAUAUGAAAACGAAAAAAAAUGGUAAUCAAACGGAAUUUAUAUGAUAAAAAUGUCAUUUUUAAAGGGCAAUAAAGUAAAUAUACAAUCUCUCCAUAAAAAAAAUAGUUAUUUGAUUAUUUCAACUUGUCUUCACUCAUGAAAUUUGAAGAGAAAAGAAAAUGUAUAAAGAAACACAAAUUUCAAAAUUGUUUUUCCUCUUUUGGUACAUAUGAAAAUAUGAUCACAAGAGAAUAAUUAUGGUGGGGCCACACAAACUUUGUUCUCCUCUGAUCGGUGAGAAAACAUGUUUAUUAAAUUGGUAAUUCCAAUUUCUGCUGAACCCCUUCACAUCCUGUUCAUUAUAAACCAUCAAUUCAUGGGUACCAUUAUUGCUAAUUCACAUCCUGUUCAAUAUAAUAAAAUGAUAACGAAUCAUAGAUCUUCUCAUAUUACUUAACACCGUCAUGUGUGAAACUUGGUGUAUCUCACUUUUUAUCAAAGAAUCUCACUUUUUGAUUUUAAUAUAAGUAUGAAUAGAGUGGUAUACACAAAAUUUUAAGUAACACAUCAAUAUUAUGUAAAUUUCACACAUAAAAUGAUCAUAAAUCAUUACCUAUAAAUAGGCAUGCUGAUUUACUUGGCUAUUUUUCUAACAAAUAGUUAAACAAUAAUGCGGUCGGUCAUUCACCUCUUUCCCUGGAGUGCAAGAGUGAGAGUUUUCUUCAGAUCUAUGCCUACUGCCUAUUACAAAGCAUUGCAAACGUGCAUCUUCUGCUUCUUCACAUGUUACCUUAGGCAAAAUCAAAAGGUGCUUUCUAUUUAUUUAUGGAAUGGUGUGCUCAAGUUGUGUUGAUAUAAUUGACCUCAUCCCAUUCUACAUUGUUUUUCCUUUUAUUCUAAACAUAAACAAGACAGAAAAGGAUAAUUUUUUUAUUCCCCUUCUGUCCGACCAAACAAACAUUAAGGACUUGUUUCAUUCAAUUCUCAAUUUUCUUGAUUUAAAAAUUAAUUUCAGAAAUAAAUUUUAUUUUUAUUAAAAUAAAAUCCGUUUUAACAAAAUAAAAUCCGCAAGUUAAAAAAUAUAUGUUUAAAAGGAAACAGAAAUCAUUGUCAAAAGAUGUUGUGCAAUUUUUAGUUUUAAAAAGUAAAAAACAGUAUUUAUCUUUCUUCCUUUCAUACCAUAAAACAGGUUCCUUUUAUAAGACUAGAAAAAACCUGAAACUGAAAUUACAAAAACUAUAAACUAAUUUGUAUUUUUAACAUUAAAAGUUGCAGUGAUUGGAUUUAGGCCCUCCAAAUAACCAACAAAAAAAGUUGCACUAAUCGGCCCGGCCCUUAUAUCAGAAUCUAGUGCAGAUGGAGGCCCAAAUGUCACUAGAACAUAUCCAAAAACCAAGUUUGGAAAGCAUUUGACGAAGAAAAUAAAGAGUUGGGAAAGCACUCUAAAGGAUCACGAAUUCCAAAUAUCUAUUCUGGAAAGUAAUGAUGUUACUUUCAUAGAAAGCUACGUUUGGUAAUUAUCUAGCUAACUGGGAAACUAACACAGUAUUAGUAGCAAUUAGCAAAACAGUGAUCCUUGUAUUUCUCACACCAUAAAAAUGAGCAAUCAAUGUAUAGGGAAUCUUACAAAGAUGGGCACAACCAGUUUGGAUAGGAUCUUUGAAGGUUCUGUAGGAAUACCUGAUAUUUUUGUUUAGUUUAUUUUGCUUUCUCCAAACAUGUAUUUAAAAAAUAUUAGUAGUCAAUUAUAAAGGCUAAAUUAUAAAUAUAUGUUUUUCACAUCUAUUAUAAUAUAUAAUUUCUUAAGCGCGAGAUAAUAUGGUGACAUAUUAACCAUUUGACUCCAAAUACUAUUUCCACAUAAGCUUUUUAGGGGCGGUGUCAAUUUGAACAUUAUCCCAACCUUUCAAAUACCUUUGAUAUUCUACCACUCUUGUUAUUUUAGCUUGUGUAAUCCAUGGGAAAUAUUUUUUUAAAACAACUCAAAUUUUAUUUUGUAAUAAAUUAUUUUAAAUAUAAUCUAUAUGAUAGGUUUAAAAUGAAAUAGACAAAUAUAUUAUAAAUAUAAAAUAUUAUUAGAUUAAAUUUAAUUUGUAACAAUAAUUGAUACGAAAGCAAUUUAAUAUUAUAUUGAGAAGAACUAAAAUAAUAAUAAAAAAAAUGUAAUGUUAUCAUAUAUGUUUAUAUUACAGUGAUAUAUUUAAAUCAUUGAAUCGUUAUCAUUAUACAAUAUAUUUCAAAAUUAGUUAAUGUUUUAUGUAAAAUAGUCAAUAAAAUAAGACUUCAAGAUUAAAAAUCAUUUUACUAAUUAUAUAACACUACAGAAUAGGAGAAAACAUGAAAAUAAUAUGACUAUCAUUUAACAUCAAAUUCAUUUUCUACUUCAUAAUGUAAUUGAGAGUUGUUCACUUGUAAAAAAAUUUGAAUUUCAUUAUAAUAUUUCAUUUAGUAUGACUAAAAAAUAUUCAAUUUUUGACAUACAUGAACUGUAAUAAUAAAAAUAACAAUUGCAUUUUAAUUAACCACCAACAUAUCAUGAGUGCACAAAAUAAGGAUGACAAUAAUAUAUAAAUUGGCAUAAAAUACAAGUAGCUCUAUUGUGGACUAUGCUAAAAUCGAUCCACCCACGAUCACAAACCUAAUUUUUUUCUUGGCGCAUAGUAGACAGUCAUAAGAUAGUCAAAAGUACUUUCGAGAGGGACGUUUUAAGAAAAAAAAAUUAUUCAUGCCAAUUUUUUCAUUAUUAAAAAUUAUACUACAGUAAAAAUUUAUUUUUUAAUUAUACUACAUUUUAUUUAGCCAAACAAAUGUAUAUUAGUAUCUGUCUGCGCAACGCGCGGGUCAACAUCUAGUUUCUUUUAUUUUUUGUAACUUCUUAUCCGUGCAAUCAACCAACCGCAAAGUCUUAUAUCUCAAACAUGUAAACAUGUUUUCCCCUUUGUAUCUAAAAUAUCUCAGGAUAACACAUGUUAUGGGUAUAGGUAAUCCAGAAGUCAUGGAAAAGCAUCAGAGCAUCGUCAAGUUUCAUCAAUGAUGAUCCUAGAAGUAACAAGCCAUUUUUAACCGUUUGUAACUCUAUAGUUGUGUCCCCUUAAGCUUGUCUUGAUGGACAUUUAUAACCUGAAACAAUUAGCAACAUUUCAGUAGAAUAAAUCAAAUCAUACAUGAUACAUGACAUUACCACCAACUAACAAUCAUGUCAAACAUUUCACGUAUAGUUGUGCUAAUAGUAUAGCAACUACGAGCCUACGAAUACUUACUACUUAAUGAUAAGUUUCUCUUCAGAUAACAUAGCAAAAAGAAAUAUAAACUCUACAGUCACUUAGAUGAAAAAUAAUUUUACGCAUGGUUGUUAGACAUCAGCUGCAUAUUAUGCCUUAAUAUAAACGUGAGAUAGCAAGCAGUUAUGCUGGUUUCAUUUUCAUACGUACCUCCUAUGCUGCAGACUACCCUUCUGCUUAAAACCAGUGGCCCAUCAGAGAAAUAACUGCUCAAUCCAUCAUGUGAGUAGAUAUGAAAUAAAAAGAAAAAGUGGAGUAUUAAUAAGAAAUCUAAUGUGUAAUAUGAUUGAAAAUGUAAUUGAGUAGAUAUGAAAUUAUAUAGAAAUUGGACACCUUAUCAAGUGAAAUUUGCUUGCUGAAAAGUUGGCGAGACACUUGGCAGUAGCUCCAUUGAACAUAGCAUGCAGCUUACAUUUGUUUGCCAAAUGCAUUUCUAAUUCCACAUGUCCCAAUGAUAAACCAAGGUGAGUGCACUCCAAUUGAGUGUUGAAUUUUAUCGGAUGAAAUUGAUUUACAAUUUCAUAGCUAAGGUUAACCCCUGUGUUAAUACCGAAACACUUUGGAGGGGGUUGCACUAAGGUCAGCAUGGAAAGUAGAGAUGUUGAUCUCUAGUUUACUCUUCUUCUCAGCAAUACUCAUAUCCACCAUUUUUCCAAAAAGUCUGGAUGCGAAGUUCUCCCAUAAUCUUUUACGGUUUGCCCAAAUUUGUGACCUAUUAUCCCAUAUGAUUUCUUUUGACAUCUAAAUUAACAUACAAAAAUCAAUAUCAAAUCAGUGAAUACUCCACAAUAUCAAAUCAGUGAAUGCUCCAAAUUAGAUUAGAAGAAGUACUAGGUGUCAAAGGAAAAAAAAAAGUCCUACAAGCAACACAAAACGGCAUCAUAAUGCAAGAGAAGCAAAGUUACAACAACAUGCUAAAACGAGCAUAAUGCAAGAGAAGCAGAGUUACAACAACAUGCUAAAACGUGCAAACAACCUGAGGAAUAUUCAAUGUAAAAACAGAGAACAACAAUGGAGGAGUGUAGCUUACACUGCAGUAGUAUGCUUGAGGAAGAAAGUGUGAAGGAAGAGACCUAGAAAUUUUUGAAUUAGUAAGAGCAGAUAUAUAGGAAGCGGGAAAUGGGAGGGAGAAAGAGAUGGACAUGUGCAAGUUUCGCGUUCCCUCUAUUUUCAACCAUUAUGGCGUGACUUUUUUUUUUAACGAAUGACGUGACCUUAAAAGUGAAUUAAUAUUUUUAACAAUUUUAAUACAAACACACUUUAUAUAUAAGCACAUUAACAACCACAUUAAUCAACACACACUCUUACUUCAGCUCUCGCUUUCACCCAGAGGUACAUACAUAAUUUCAUCUGUAGUUCAAUUCCUAUGAAAAGCAGUAUUAAUUGUAUUAUAUGGUAUUGUUGUUAGGAACCUUUGUUAAAUGGAGUUGCGCCUGAAGCGCAAUUAAUUUCUUGUAAAAUUGGGGACUCUCGCUUAGGUUCAAUGGAAACUCGAACUGGCUUGACUCGGGCAUUGAUAGCUGUUGUGGACUGUAGUGAAUAGUGAUGACCUGUCUCGGUUCUAUGGGUUAUGGUGAGCCAACAUUGCUGCCGGACUAUGGACGCUUUGUUGACCUUGUGAACAAAGUACCUUUUUAGACUUACAAUUUUAAUGGGCCACUUAUAUCUUCCCUUUGUUAUUUUUCACUCUCUAAGCUCUAGAUGCUUUCGGUGAUUUUUAUCUAGGCAGUAAACAAGCACCGUCUGAUAAACUAAUUUGUAUUUUUAACAUUAAAAGUUACACUAAUUGGAUUUAGGCCCUCCAAAUAACCAACAACAAAAAGUUGCACUAAUCGGCCCGGCCCUUAUAUCAGAAUCUAGUGCAGAUGGAGGCCCAAAUGUCACUAGAACAUAUCCAGAAACCUAGUUUGGAAAGCAUCUGACGAAGAAAAUAGAGUUGGGAAAGCACUCUAAAGGGUCACGAAUUCCAAAUAUCUAUUUUCUGAAAAGUAAUGAUGUUACUUUCAUAGAAAGCUACGUUUGGUAAUUAUCUAACUGGGAAACUAACACAGUAUUAGUAGCAAAACAGUGAUCCAUUUCUCACACCAUAAAAAUGGGUAAUCUAUGUAUUGAGAAUCUUACAAAGAUGAGAACAACCAGUUUGGAUAGGAUCUUUGAAGAGUUUAGUUUCUUUUGCUUUCUCCAAAGUCCAAACAUGUAUUAAAAAAAUAUUAAUAGUCAAUUAUAAAGGCUAAAUUAUAAAUAUAAGUUUUUCACAUUUCUUUUAUUUUUGUAACUUCUUAUCCGUGCAAUCAACCAACCGCAAAGUCUUUUAUCUCAAACAUGUAAACAUGUUUUCCCCUUGUAUCUAAAAGAAUCCCAGAUAACACAUGUUAUGGGUAUAGGUAAUUCAAAAGUCAUGGAAAAGCAUCAGAGCAUCGUCAAGUUUCAUCAACGAUGAUCCCAGAAGCAACAAGCCAUUUUUUAACCGUUUGUAACUCUGCAGUUGUGUCCCCUUAAACUUGUCUUGAUGAACAUUUAUAACCUGAAACAAUUAGCAACAUUUGAGUAGAAUAAAUCAAAUCAUACAUGAUACAUGGCAUUACCACCAACUAACAAUCAUGUAAUCAGAGAACGUCAAGAAAGAGAAAACUAUGUCAAAAAUUCAUGGAAACAGCUGUGCUAUUAGUAUAGCAACUACGAGCCUACGAAUACUUACUACUGAUAAGUUUCUUCAGAUAAAAGAGCAAAAAGAAAUGUAAACUCUACCCUCAUUUAGAUGGAAAAUAGUUUUAGGCAUGGCUGUUAGACAUCAGUUGCAUAUCAGAAGAUGCCUUAAAAAUCCUAGAGGGAACUGGAACCAUAAAUCCAAUCUUGCCAGAUUGAGUUUUGCACAACAAGCAACACAUACUUCAGAGUUAUACUUGUAUUAACUUAAUUUAAUUGAGGUCAAGUUAUGAACAAAUUUAGAGGGUUACUAACCCCUUCACCCCUUUCCUGCUCAUAAGCCAUUCGUAGGCUCAAAUUUAAGGCAGCUUUGAACAUCUCGUCCAGUACAAGUCCCCAAAUCUGAGGCUUAUUAACUUUCCACACUGAAAUCUGUGAUUGCCUGGAUCCUGGCACAGUUACUCUCUGCAAGGAAGAAUAAGAUGCAGAAAGAUUAAAUAUCGACUGAUUUCUAAGGAGUUUGUAAAUGUUAAAAAGGAGUUUAGUCACCUCCAUAUACAAGUAGUUAUCCGUCCAUAACUUGUUAAGUAACCUAGGAGCUUCCUUUUUCUCAAGAAGAAUAGACUCUGCUAUCUACCAAAAAAGGGAAGCAUUCAAAGGUCAUAAGAGUAAUAUAGUAUUUGACUUAUCUGAAUUUCAUUGUUUUCAGUUUAAAAGGAGGAAUUCGUAAUCACUACAUAUAAUACCAAUUUAGCAAUCUAUUUGAUAGGUUUUCUGGCACAUGCGAAGCAUCAUAGAAUGCCAAUGUGGACAAAUGUUAAUAGACAUCCUACUAUAGCAGCUUAUACAUGAUACUAGUGGUCAUUUGAUUAGGUUUUUAUUUGAAAAUAAAAUAUCACAUGUAAGCUUGUCACUCAAUUGGCAGUGCUCAAGUCUUUCUUAAGACCACUUGUGGAUUUACUUUGUCUAACUUUUCACUUAUAUCAAACAUACCCUAAAUGCAUUACUCUAAUGGUUCAUCCUUCAAAAAUCAAGUGGCCACUACUGCAGCUAACAAUAAUCCAGAAGCAUCGAAUUAACUGGAUGGGAAUCUCAAACUGCCUACAUUCAAGAAGUUCCAUAGAGCUCCUUUUGUUUAUCAGCAAAACUAAUGUUUGACGAUUUUGUCAACAAGAGUUUCUCACCUUAUCUGUUGGGCAAAACAUAUCUUCUUUUGACAGAUGCCUGAACAUUCUGUAGGCAUCCAUUCCAUACCUUUUUAACACAAUUGACUCAACCUGCAGUAUAGUACACAAAAAUGAGACAGUUCAGUGUGUGUGUGUGGGUGAGAGAGAGCGUGAAAGGGGUAAAUCUUGAUCAUACAACCAUACAUAGGUGGUCAAAGGUAAAUGUUAUUCAAGGCUCACAUGACCACUUAAAAAUGUCAAGUGACUUAAAAAGGUCAUAUGACUUCAUGUUUUAAUCUCAACCACUCAUGGUUGGAUCUAAUGGUUAAGAUUUACCCCUCUCAUUUGAUACACCCUCUAUAGUGUGUGUGUGUGAAAGACAUAAAGAUGAUAAAACCUCCUCAUUCCGAGCCCAUUGGAUAAUUCCCUUCAAAUCUGGAAAGUAAUAGAAAAAAUUUCAGAGUUACAAACUAUUAAAGUAACCAUAAACCUGAACUAGGAUAGGGUUGUUUGACAUAAACAAAUGAUAAAAAAAAAGACGGGCAUUCUAUAUCAAAAAUAUAUCCUAAAUGAGGAUAAGAGAUAAUUGGUACCAAUUCUACAGUGAUCGUCCAACACCAUGCUUUUUGGAUAACCCAACUGAUGAAGAUAAUCUUUGACACGUUCCAUGGUCAUAGUACGACCAUUUCCAGUCUUAAUCACCUCGUCGUAAAUUAUAUCCAUUGAUAGGGGAACUGAAACACAAGAUAAUAGUGUAAACCACGAGUGGUCGAGUGCCAUGAGAUACUAGUUGUGGAAGUCUUUCUUUCUUUCUUUUCAAUAAAAGAAGGCAUUCACUAAUACAGAAAAAAAUCUCAAAAGAAAGGGAGGACAAGGAACCCCCUCCUUAUGAAAUGAAUAAAACAGAAAAUAAAAAAGACAGAGGGACCAAUGGAGCAAAGCUGCCGAACCCUUCGAUAAAUCUACUAUGGAAACCCCGAUUAAAAAGGCCAUGUGCCUUAGACCAAAUAGAAGCCCACUGACUAAUUUAAUCCGAGGUUUAAGGGGUGGGCCAUAGAAACCUCCUUAAACUACAAGAGUCAUGCUCAAACCAAACUUCCUUGUGUCAUGUGUCCUCACCUAACAUCUUAAACUUAUGGGGUAGUUGGUUCAUGGAUCAAUCUCAGCCAGAUCAAGUAUGAGAAGUUGUCUUUUGUGGGCCCAUGGAUUUAGCAGAAAUUCGAAAGGUUGACCUAUUCAAUUCAGAUAUUCGCCAAGAGCGUCAUUAUUAAGAGAUGCCUAUUAGGAUAUAUCUUGUCAAGAUAGAUUUGCUACAAGCUUAAAGCUAAGUAAGCUUUAGCUUGAAGGGGAGUGUUGAAUAUCUCUUAAGAUUGAGUUUGUUAUUAGUCUUAUCUCAUAGAAAUAAAGAUAAGCUUUAGAUAUAGUUUCUCUAUUUUAGAUUGGUAUUAGUUUUUAUAUCUUUGAUAUGUCUAUAAAUUGUACAAGUAUAUUGAUGAAAUACACUGGGAAAUAUUUUCAUCAGAUUCUUAGUGCAUGGCACAAACAUUCAUCAACUUCAUAAUUUAUAUCACUAAAAUAGUUAUUACUAUCUAAAUAUUAAUCGACAAAGAGACAUUAUUACAAACAUCGUAGGCUUAUCAAAAAAAAAAACAGACAUUGUAGGUUCCCAAAUUCACAAAACAAGGAUCACCUGAGUAUUCCAUUUUCACUUUUUCCUCUGCAGUUUUUUUUGCCUCUAAUAUUGCACUUAAGACUGUAGCAGCACCAUCAUCCAUUCGUGCUCUUACAUUCUCAAUCAAUGCCUAGUAUAAGCAUAAAAUAUUUCAAGUGUACUUUCCAAUAAUUAAUAUCAAGAAAGCUAACAGACGACGAAGAAAAAAACCAUCUCACUCAGUCAAGCACAAUAAUAAUAAAUUAUAAAUGUAAGAUCCAUGAAAAUGUUUUGCUCAUAUGAUUAAAAAGAAAACCAAGAUCAAGAAACAAUAGUAUGAUUCAGACUUAACACAAAAGCAAGAGAAAAUACAAUAAAAUCAACAAGGAAAAGUAAAUAAACGUUGAACUUCUUUACGAGAAGCACUACACAAUGAUUCAGUGAUGUGAAUAAAAUCCCCCACCCUACCCAUUCCCGCUUGUUUCUUUAGCUGACUCUGUAAAACAAUUUUUUGUAAGUUUGUAGACUAGUAUAGAGAACAUGUGAAUCUAAUUGAUGCUAGUUUAUUUCAAAGUUAUCCAUUGAACGUAGCUUCAUAGACAUUGUCAACUUCAAACUGACCAAGCCCACUGUUAUGUCACAGUUUCAAUCAGUAAGUAAUAUUUGUAAUUCAUGCUGUUCAUAUCCACCUUUACAUUCUAUCAUUACUAGUAUGUAUUUGACAAAUUGCAAACAGCAUUUUGGAUUUUGAAAGACCAGGAGGAGAUUUAAAAUUAACUUCCAUCAGUUAUAUAACUCACACUAGAAUAUAGCUUCUGCAAAAAAAUCAUCUGUAAUUUUCAUUCAAAAUUGGCAAGGUAGUUCGCUUGUUAGGACUAUCAAGUUCAAAUCCCUGUCUCUGUUUUCUUAAUAAUAAAGAAAAUGAAAUAUUUCACAGGAAAAACUGGAAAUGGGUAGCAAUAGCGCUAAGUUCAAAUAAGAAACUUAUAGUAAAACAAACCUUAUGUCUAAGAUAACGUAUAAACUCCUCGAAAUUCGCACGCCAAAGAGUAUGCUCCUCUUCUGCUGCAACAAAUUUUGCAUCCAAGUUAAAAUAUUGAACUUAUUCUUAAAAAAAUUGUCAGUGGUAAAUUAGCAAUAAGGCUGUGCUCACAUGAGAUGAGAAUAGUCUUACCAACAUCAACUUCAACACUUAUCAUUUUGGAAUCAUCAGAAUUUGUUUCUCUGUCAGCAUUACAUCCUGUAUCUGCAGUGAGCGAAAACCUUAUCACUUCCUUAGGCACUGCUGCUUCUAUGACACGUUGCUCUAAGGUCUUUGGUGCUACAAAUACCUAUAAGCCAUAAAUUAUCAAAAAGAACAGCAUUAACAAAGUUCUUGUUCAGGUUACAACAGUGAACACUAUGCCGCUGCGACUUAAACCAAAAUGAUCACACUAAAGGCUCAUUAUUUAACCACUUUCAAGAACUCAUUUACUUUUUCAUAUAUGUAACUGAUGAACUAGAAUUUUAAAUGUAAACAUCCUAAACAGGAAGCAAUAAAAGAAGGUCAUCUAUGCAUAUACAUAAUCCAAUAGUUAAUUAGUAAAUUGAACUCAUUGUUCAAAUUAUCAUACCCUAACUCUGUGUCUAGUUGAUGCUAACAUAGAAUUGGAUCUCAAACUUCAGUUAUUAGCAGGAAUAUAGCCUUGUUCAAAAGUCAAAAGAAAAAUAAAUAAAAGAGUAAAAUAAACUCAGUUUCUUUUUUUAAUGACGAAGAAAUACAACAAGAUAAAGUGCAAAAAUAAUAGAGAGAAAGGAGGAUAAAGAAUCCUCUGAAACAAAAGAGCAAGGCAUAAAACUAAAGAAAAAGAUAAAAUCAAUGGAUCCAAGUUUCCCAAUCCCUCAACAUAGCUGUUAGAGAAACACCAAUAGAAAAGUCAUGUUAUUUAUACCAAAUGCCAAAUCUUACCCCAAAUCAUUGAUCAAAGAUCAAUGAACAACCUAUGGAAUUUAUCAUGAGUGAAAGAUUACCUUGGCAGCCUUAGCACCACGCUUCCUAGUAGUAGUUUCUUCUGUAGAAUCUGUAGAAACACCAACCUCACGAGCAGGGCAGCGUUCAACAUAUCGAGCAUUCAGAAGUUUACGUAGGCUCUCUCGUACAUCUGUAGCCACUGAAUUUUCUGAAAGUGAAACCACAUGAUUUCAUUUGAGAUGGACAAAUUUGAGAGGAUUCAUGACAUGAAGGGGAGCUGCAGCAUGUUUUAAAUACAGUACCUUCAACAAAUUAUUGCUAGCAAGUAGCAAGUAAAUGUUUGAUUAAAUUGAAUAUACUGUUCAGUCAUAGGUUCAGUAAAAUCUUUCUCUUUAGCAUAAUUUAGAACGACUACUGAUAUUCCCUGACGGUAUUAUUACCUUCUACUGCAAACCAACCAAGCCCUCUCCAUAUGUAAAACAAAUUUAGUAAGCAAUAUUUCCUUUAUUAUUCCGAUAAUCCGGACCAAAGUAUACCAACCACACUCCUAUCUUCACCCUUCCCAAACAAAUUCUUUUCAUAGUUUUAAAAUUCAAUUAUAGUUCUAUCACCAGAUUAAAAAACUAAUUAUGAUUAAACCAUGUACUGUUUUGUUGCUUAAAACAUGCAUUUUCGGAACUAAUAUAAGCAAAACAAUGCUCAACAGGGCACAUGCAUUUCAAAAAAAUAAAAAACUUGCCUUUUCCUUGACUUGCUCUAUCGAUCAUUUGUUUAAGGGUAAGCCUACCAUCACGAAGCAACCCUUCGAGAAGAUACACACACUGCAAAACAAAAAGUGGAAAACACUUUCAGCCUUUUAAGCCUUAAAAACAUUUUUUUUUUAAAAAGGCUUCAAAGAGACACAAGGAUGAAGUUGAAGCAGACCUUCUUGUCAAGCUCCCGCGACACAAUAUCGACGAACUUGGGAAAUCUUAACCGGUGGAUUAUGUUAUCAAACAAUGCCAAGUACUGUAUUCCUACUUUCGACCCAUUGUCAUCAUCACCACCUGCAUUAACAAAUCCAGAACCCCAUCAUUCAUCACCAAUAAACUUCAAUUUUUUCACAUAUAAUUUCAUUAUACUCCAAUCCAACAUGUUCAUCGCGACCACAUAAUCAAUAAAAAAAAUAAAAAAUUGUCUUCCCAGGAAACGCGUAAGUGAGGACAAAGUGCAUUGAAAAGACUAUGUUAUUAGCGAGAGGUCAGUCGUGUUGUUAGCGUGAGGUCAGUGGUCAGAUCAGGAUGUUACAAUAAAACUAUUGCUUGCUAUUCACCUAGAUAAACAAAAGGUUGAACGCAAUUGUGUUGAAUCAGGACUAAUAGCGAGUUCUUGACAUCCUUGUGGUUAAGCUCCGUGUAGCGAAUCAACAGUUCCAAUGGGAGUGGUCCUUUGCGAAGUAGAUUUUCGCAUACUUUCUGCACACACAAACAUACAAAUUUCAAUUUCAACAUUCGUCAUAGCAAUCAAAUUAGGGCAGAGAGAGAGAGGAAGAGAGAGAGUUACAGCGACGGUGGUGCCGAAGUGGUUGGUGAUGAAGUGCACGGCGAGCUUGAUGCCGUUCUGGGAAACCAUAUUCUGCAGAGAAAACGGGUUCGAAUCGAAGGAGAGGAGGCGCGGGAAAAGGACUUAGGGAUUUUUGGUUCAGUUCGGUGAGAUACUGAGAUUGUUAUUGAGUUAAACCUAGAGGGCGAAAGCUAGUUUGGGCUGUGUUGGUUCUAUGGUUUUGGGAAAGAAGGUUAAGGUUUUUUCGAACUGAUGAUCACGAGUUCGAUUCCAACUUGUUUACUUUUUAUUAUGGAUAUAUUUUUUUCGGAUAUGAACCCUAAAAUUAAAUGUUUUUUUUAUUAUGAAUAUAUUUAAUUUUUUUUUUGAAAAUGAUGAAUAUAUUUUUUUCAGAUUUGAUUGAGAGAAUAAAAUUGAUUCAGUUAAUAAAACCAAACCAUGUAAAUAGUUUGGAAGAUUCUUUAUCCUUUAGAAAUUUAAACCGAAACAUCAUGUGACUGUCUUUAUUGUUUUACACGUGGCUUUUGUUGUUCCUUCAAAUAUUAAUUAAUGCACAAAUUGCAACUUUUUUUUAACGUUCGGAAGAUAAUUCGUAUGAUAUUUUUCAGAGGAUAUAGAAACGCUCGAAUAGUUUUAAACUGGAUAUGAUUUGCUAUUUAAAAAAACCAAACCAUAGUCACCGCUAAAGUCGAUAGCUAGCUACAUCAAGGGGGUUUAGUGUUUUGAUCCUCUCCUUGAGGGUGUUAAUACCGGAUAGUUCGGUAUAUAUGUAUACAAGUCUUCAAGUUUUAAGCAUUUUGCUUAAUGGAUUUGUGAAUUUCAUCUCUUUUUUUUUUUACCACAUCAAUAUCAAUAGCUCAAAUAUGUAGAGUGGAAAUACGCUAUAAAGAAUAUGGUACCUCUAAAAUACCUCAUGAGUCUAACAACUACAUCAUAAUACAAUAAGUUGGACAUGGGUAGCAAAACGUUCAAUUUUCUUGAUUGUUAAUAUUAUCAAGAUAAAUUUUGAAGUUUCUUCAGAAUUAAGAUGUGGUCUUUUCUAAAAACAGAGGUGAUAGACUGUUAUUGAAAUUAUUGUCACAACCUCAGUGACCACUAAAAACAUGUACCCGUGUGCUUAAUUUAACAAAAAUACAUGUGUUUUUCAAUAUGAUGUUUGUAAUUGAUCUGCAUUUUUAGCCAAUUAGGAGAAUUGAAUAAUAUCAGGAUCACCGAGCUUCCAACACGUGUAUGGUACUAAAUUUCUAUUAGGUUUUGAAUUUAACAUAGAGGAAAUAAACCUGUAAAGCAAAACCAAAAAAUGAAUGGAAGUUCUAAUCAUAGGAGUUAUAUAUGUCAUUAUCAACAAAUAGGCUAUAUGUCUAGCUUCGCCCCAGCAGCAUUUGCUGUUUGAUUGCAACUUUUGUAACACCCCCUUUUUCCCAUUGUUUUAUUUAAAAACGUUUAUCAGAGUUUAAAAACAUAUCAAGGGAGUAUUACACUUCUUCACGAAAACUCAUUAAAAUUAACACUGAUUGUGUUUGAAAAUUUAUAAGUUCAUAUGCUUUUCAAAGAAUGAAUUAUUCCUGCCAAUGAAAUUUCUAAACCAGUCAGAUAAUCCUAAGAUGCAUAAAAUCACUUAUUUAAAUAGGUUUAUCUUCCAUGAUAUUCCAAUAAAAUUCAUCAUACUCAGAACUGAAUUUCAUAAGCACUUCGGCCGUCAACAGUACGACAUCGCCAUCAUUUAGAAAAUUAUUCAACAACUUCCAUAAGAAGAGAUUAUAAAAUCCUCUCAACAUAAAUGUAAAAGUAACGUAAAAUAUCUAACCAGUGUUACAUUACAGAGCAAGACACUUAUUUUAUAAUAAUAAUAAUAAUAAUAACAUAAGCUAAGACUCUCCGAAGCUACUCCUCAUGAGCCACAUCUCUACCUCCUGUACCUGAGCGAUGUCGCAUAGAACAUCAUUCCAACAGAAGGGUAAGAACUUACAUUGUAUAAAAUAUAACAUAACAAAGAGCAAGUAAACAAUUCAGAUUCUGCUUUAUAAACUCUUCACCUUUACUUUAAAAUCUGAGUGAUUAUAAUAUUUUCUCUCAAGACAGUUUCACAAUUCUUAUUAAUGUUUCGAAAAAUUAUAAGCUUAAAGAAGAAUAAUAAUUCGACUUUACCACAACAGCAAAACAAUUCACCAACAAAUCACCAAACACAUAAAACCACUGAAAACGUGAAACUUAGUUGUGUGAGACUCUAAUGUAUGCAUGUGGUACCAAUUGUUAACCUUAGCGGUAUCACCGCGUCCACUUCAGACAGUUAACCACCAAUGAAGUCCACUCCAGACUUCCAGAACCACGCCAGUUCUGGGACAAACCUCAGUUUUCCGAUGAAAACCGACACGUUGCCUCUUGACUAAAUGAAGUGUAUUUCGUGCAAAAACUCAUAAAUUAAAACAUGCAAUUUUGAGACCACUCCAGCCCCAAAUAUAUAACAUAUUUUCUCACCAAAUUCCAUAACGGAAAUCACACCAAAAUUGCACAAAAUAACACUUCAAUACAAUUAUCAAAUCAUUCACUAUUCCACUGACAAAAUAGCAACACAAAAUCAUCAAAUGUCUCAUAUCAAUUACUAGAAUCAGUUUCAGAAUCAAUCUCAGAAAUAAGCAGAAACAUAGCAAACUUGCAUAUAAUCCUGGUACUAAAUGAGCAGUCCAAAAAUUAUGAAAAUUUUACCAAACAUAGCCUUAUACGUUAGCUUUCAUAUAAAAUUGGUUUCACCUAAUUUGGAAUUCUGUAGAGAGAGUUAUGGUCUCUACAGCACAGGCUGUUAGGGUUUCUGCGAGCAGAAACAGAGUGAACUUGCAGAUAAUUCUGGUAUUGAACCAGCAAUCUAAAAAUUAUGAUAAUAUUACCCAAUAUAGCCCUAUGAGUUUGCUUUCAUACAAAAUUGGUUUCACUCAAUUCGGAAUUCUGUAGAGAGAGUUAUGCUCUCUAUAACACAGGCUGCUAGGGUGUCUGCGGGCAGAAACAGAAUAAACUUGCAAAUAAUUCUGGUAUUGAACCAGCAAUCGAAAAAUUAUGAAAAUAUUACCCAACAUAGCCCUAUGAGUUAGCUUUCAUACAAAAUUGGUUUCACUCAAUUUGGAAUUCUGUAGAGAGAGUUAUGCUCUCUACAACACAGACUGUUAGGGUAUCUGCGGGCAAAACAUAACAGAACCCAAUUUUCCCCGGAACCUCAAUUUCGCUCAAAAUCAAUUUUUCUCACCACAUGUUAACACUCAACACAGUCUCUCAGUUCUGAAUUUUCAAAAAAGAUGAGGGUUCCUUCAUGUUAAACUCAACCUCUGUUAUUCUACAAUUAUACAAGAUAAAUUCAAACCCUUACCUCUUGAAGAUCAAAUUCUAGGUUUUUUUCUUCUCUUUUCUCCCCUUCUCUCUUUCACGCUUCUUUUCUUCUCCUAUGCUAACUUCUCCAAUUCUCAAAUUCUGAUUUCUCUCUUUCUAAUUCACUCAUAUCCCUUAAAUAGUCAUACUAAUGGGCCCCACUCUCAAUUACUCACACAAAAACCUAACAAACUUAUUUAUCUAAAUCUUAUUCUAUAUCACAUGAGAUUUAAAUUAUAAUCACAUAAUUCAUCAAAUUACCAUAUAGCAUAAUAAUAAUUAAGAUAAAAUAAUAAAUAACCUAAUAACGAAAAGUGGGGUGUUACAACUUUCACCUGCUUAAGACCAAAUUAUAUUGCAUUAUUAUGUUGGUUACAUAUAUAAUCAUUAAUACAAGUCACUGCAGAUUAAAUGGACUCAUCUUUUGUGAACAAACGUCUAUAUAUUAAACUAUAUAAAGUUUACUUUUCUAUAUUCAAAUAUAUAAAUAUAUUUCUGUUUCAAAGUAUACCUGAAUACUCAUGAAGAAAGCUACAUCAGUAAUUUCACAAAUCAAGCAGUUUCGUCUGCAUCUAAAUUUCAGGUCUGUCCCAAUGCCAUGUGACAAUUGAUUUUAAAGGUAAAAUCAAUUUUGAAAGAGAAACUUCUGUGAGUAGUUUCUGAGUGAUAUAAUCAAUUCAAAGCAGAAGCUUCAUUUAGCAGCUUCUUGAUCACGAAUUCAAUUCCGGAAGAAGCUUCUCUGAGUAGCUUAUGUGUGACAUUAUUGGGGAAAGAGAUGUUAAACCAAACAUACUAAAAGUCAUAAACAGUAACCCAUUGCCUCUAGGACCACCAUAUAUACAAAUCAUUCAAUAGAAGCUGCUGUGUUCUGGUCCUGAAUCAUGGAAGCUCUUUGACAACAAAGGAUUUUGAUGGGGUACAACUUAGUGUAGGUGGAGAGUUCCAAAGGGAUCGCAUUGAUCUAAUUCUUCUCCUUCCUCCACUUACAUGUGGUUCUGAUUUUGAGCUUUGUUUUGCUGGUUCACUGAUUUGGAUCAUGCGAUCCCUUAGGAAUUAUCCAUCAACUCUAAUUAAAUUUGUCCUGAUUCAACACCCUCCUGAGUGAAACUAGCUACUCCAAGUAAAUCUUCUCCUCUUUAUCUAUUGUAAAUUUCUCUUGUUAUCUUGAUGAGUGUUGUAGCAUAUAAUUUUCUGAUACUGCUUGGUUUAGUUAGUUUUAUGUAUAUGCUAAUGACUGCUUAAUUCAAGCGACACUUGCUAGCAUGAAAUCUUAUCAAAACUAUGGCAUUCCAAGAAGAUAAAUCUUUGGUUAUGUAAAUCUAAAUUAAGUGUGGUACUUUGCUUGAGAUAAGAAAAAGAGAUUUAAUUCAUGAAUUUUUAGUGAACUGACAGGAACACAGUCAAGUUCAUUAAUCUUUACACUUUUAGUUACUCACCAAAAUUCAUUAGUGAUAAAAGUAAGGCUUAAAUAAGUUUUUGGUCCCUAACCUUUACCAAAUGCUUGGUUUUCAUCCCUCGCCGGAGCAAAGGUGGGUUUUAGUCCCUAACAUUUGCCACAAGAUUUGGUUUUGGUCCCUCCGGAGCUCUGGGUCAACGCCGGAGCUCCGGUGGCCCAUGUGGCAUGACCACGUGGGAUUAAUGAGCUGACGUGGAAUUUCUUUUUCUUUUUCAUUUAAAAUAUUAUUAAUUUUAAAAAAUGAAAAUGUUUAAAAUUCUAAAAAAAAAAAAAAAAACUUAAUUUAUUUAACUUUAAUCCCUAAUAAAAUCUUUAAGCUAGUCCUAAAUUUUUUAACUCUAAUCCUUCUUCAUCAUCUUCAACCAUCAUCUUCACCAUCUGCUUAAAAAAUCACCUACACCAUCUUCAUCCACCAUCUUCAACAAAACCCAGAAAAUAAAUUCUAAUCCUCAAAAGUUAAAACUCAAAUCUUUAUUAUAGUGCAUCAAAUUGAUACCUUUUUUUUGAAAUAUCAAAAUUUCAUUAAGAAAGGUCCAAGACCACAUUACACAGCAUCAUACUAAGUUAUCUAAUAAAUCCAAAAGCAUAGCAGCUAAAAGAGUCCCCUAACGAGCAUCGCCUCAAAAACCCAAGAAAAGAUACCAAAUCUCACAAUGUCCUCUGUAAUGAGCAAACAACCAAAUUCACUGAAAAAAGCCAAGAGUCCCAAAUUUAAUGUUGGAAAAUCUUGCAAAUUUAGAGAGAGGAAUGGAAAAGAGUGAGUGGUGGGGGAUCAAAACCAGCAAACCCAAAUUGAAAAAGCAAACCCAGAAACCCAAAUGAAGAACCCAGAUGAAGAACCCAGCAAAUCCAGAUGAAGAAAACCCAGAAACCCAAAUGAAGAACCCAGCAAAUCAUUUUAACCAGCAAACCUAGAAACCCAAGAACUACCAAAACCCCAACUUAGAAAACCCAGAUCGGGAGAGGUAGAGUGAAGAAAAAUGGCACUGAUUUCCUUCAAUUCUGAAACCCCAAUUUUCUCUCAUCUCCUCAUUCAUUCCCCUUCCAUCCACCAUCGCCGUUUCUCAAGAUCGAGCCCCUGUCUGUCAAGGUCGUGGCUGUCGGGGUUGAGUUCGUGGUCGCCGAGAGAGGAUGAUGAAUCGGAGGAAAGCUGGAGGCUUUGGGGGUUAGAUUCAUUGGAGGUUGCAGGCACUGACGGAGAAUGGUGAGAUGAAGGUUGAAUUCCCAUUUUUAAUGUUUUUAUUUAAAUAAUAUAUGCAAUUAAUUAGGGAGGUUAUUUAGGGACAUUAAAUAUUGAGGUUUAAUUAUUUUUUAAUAUUUUAAAUGAAAAAUAAAAAGAAAUUCCACGUCAGCUCACUAAUCCCACGUGGCCAUGCCACAUGGGCCACCGGAGCUCCGGCGUUGACCCAGAGCUCCGGAGGGACUAAAACCAAAUCUUGUGGCAAAGGUUAGGGACUAAAACCCACCUUUGCUCCGGCGAGGGACGAAAACCAAGCAUUUGGUAAAGGUUAGGGACCAAAAACUUAUUUAAGCCUAAAAGUAAUGCUCUGUUGAUACAGUCUUAUAAUAGUAUACAAGUUUGAAAGCUCUCAUAUGCUAAACUAUAUAAAAAAAAACGUAAAUUAUAAAGAGGAUAUAUGAUGAAUAUAAACCUUAAAGAAAAGUGAGACAUUGAACAAAAUUGUUGAAUAGGUUGCUGGAUGCCAAGAAAACUAGUGUAUGUUGUGAAAGUAUGGAAACUCUUGACUGUUGCUAUUAUUGUCCUAACUAGAAUUUAUCAUCAUCCUCUAGAACAAAAUUGAUGACUGAACAUUGUAAAUUGAUGACUGAACAUUGUCAGAAAGAUGAAUUGGAUCAGUUAACUCCAGGUACAGUGCUGAUAUUUUUCAUAAAAAUGAGUCCUGUAACAUAUUAUGCAACUUAAUUUGCUCUUUGUUAUUUGCUUUACUAAAUUUGUGGUUGUUGUAUGUGAACUAAGUAAUUGGCUGGACUAAAUUGUUUGUUUUGAACUAAGUUUUCCUCUUUAAUUUAAACCUAACUUCUCUUCUUAUUAAAACCUUUAUAUUAAAUCAGAUUUCAAUUAAAUUUAUAAUUCUCCAUUCUAAAACCAUUUCACAUUUUAAAAUUAUUAUAGUCUCCAUAAACAUUGAAAUAAAAAAGAACAAUGGAGAGUUCUAGAUUGAACAAAAUUUAUAUGGUCUUGAUUUUCUUAAUUUUAAAAUAAAGAGACUGAUUUGUUUAAAAUAAAUUCAAAAACUAAAAUCACACAUAAUUUAAACUAAAAUAAUCCAAAGAUCAUUUAGAUACAAAUAAAAAUAGUUUAGUCAACUUGGGUUGGCACAACUGACCACAGAUUCCGGGUUUAACUCUCACCUCCCCAUAAAUCAAGGUUUAAAUCCUCUUGUGACUUUCUAAUUUAGCUGUUGUGUUGAACUUGUUGCCAUCAGCUUCAUCAUCCUAGUAUGUAUCGGGUUGGGGCACUCCUUAUGCUCCUAAUUAAUUUGAUUUGGCCUUUCAAAAAAAGUCAAUGUUCAAAUCCUCAUGCGUCCAAUAGAAUCUUAGUUGCCCCUUCUUCUGAUAGCCUAGGUAUUUUCUUUCCGUUACCACUUUCAACCAAAUAAAUAAAAAAAGUUUAGAAUGAUGAAGUUGAUAAAUGAGUGGGUAGUGAGUGAUUCAGCAAUUCGUCGGAUAAGUAAACUUCUUUUCUCCUUGGGCAGCCUCAUGAUGCUUAUUGCCUUGAUCAUAGGUGAGAGAUGAAUUAGUUUCACAACUAUUAGAUGUGAGAAUAUCUUCCUACAAUAAAAAGUAUGAUGGAGUUGAACAUCUUAUGUAACUUUUCACAUGAUCAAAAUUUAAAAUUACUUUUCAAUAUUGAAAAAUGCUAACAACUUCAACACUACUAUUUUUACUAUAAAAAUUCAUUGAUUGGUUGAGAUUCAUGUAUAGUCCACUUAAUUAUGAAUCUCACUUCAAAUUUAAUGAGACUAACAUGAAUUUGAACAAAUCAAUGCGAGUGUGUUGGAAAUAGAAUGUUAAAGUGAUCAAUGUUGCUAGCACCUCCACAAUACAAUAUGUAUUCAAAUCAACAAUUGCUUUAUUUUUCAGAUAAGAAAGUCAAGACGAUAAUUAAUAUAAAUUUUGAAUAGUUAAAUACUUAGGUUGCAAGUUAUCUUGUUAUUCAUAAUUGUUUUGAGUAUAUGGUCACUUGUAAUCGUCUAAUUAAUCACUUACUUUAUGAAGUUUGAUCAAUGUAAGUUAAGCUUAUGAAAACAAAUUGAUGGCAUGCAGUUGCAGUGACUGGGUGAGAAGACUUACAUGGACAACCCCAUCAACCUCCAACAAGAGUGCCCCAGCUAACAAAGACAACCCCAUCAAUCAAACAUGUCGAUUUUUGUUCAACUCUGCUGAAUCAUACUUCAACAAACAUUUGCUGCUUAUUUAUGUACUAUGUCUCCACUCUGUAUAUGCACGUGUGGUGAUGCUACUUAAUGACAUAAUAUAAGUUGGAAAAUAAUCAUUUAAAGGAAUAUUUGUUUAUAAUUAAGUAAACGAAAAAAAUGUGAUUAUUCUAAAGCUUAAAAUAGUGUGUUAUAGACUUAUAUUGUAUCCUUAAAAAACGUGUAUGUGUUGUUAUCACUUUUCGGUGGUGAAGGAUAAGGUGCAAUAGGUUGUGGGUCUUGCACCGGUGCAUGAUGUGCUAUUAACCACAGAAAUAGAAUAUUCCAUAAAGAUGCUGAAUUUGUAACUUGGUGAACCUAUAAUAUUAUAUUUGUAAAUUUUUAAAACUUUAUUUCUCUUUUACUGAAAUGCCCCCACCCUUUCCCUUCUCUCUCCCUUGUCUUUUCUUCUUCUCUCCAUCACCUCUUGCAGUGGUCGUUUAUUUCAGAAGAAGAAACGCAGAUAACUUUAAAUCUUCAAUUCAAUUUGAUAGUUUAUUUCUCUUUCACAUUGCAUGUUAUAGCAGGUUCUGCAUUUGAAGAACACGAGUCCAUGACAUGAUCACUAUGUGUGCUUGUAAAGCAACUAAUUUGAAGAGUGAAAUCCUAGAUGACCCAGAACUCUAAAAACUUUAACCCAUAACCCAGGAAAUUGAACAAGGAUUUGGAGCGUAAAAGAGAUUUGAGAGAGGGCUAUUUAUGUGCUGUAACAACCCACAUAACAAAAUUGAGAUUUGAGAUCAGACCUCCAUGUGCUAUACUAUACAAAUUUAUAUGGUAAUCCCUUUCUGUGCAGUCACCACCGCGCCGAACCACCUCCCUGCUCUACUGCGAACACGAAUAUUGUUGCUGAACCAUUAGUGCUUCUCCGUCGUGAGCUUCCACUUGGGACCAACAACACCACAUCCAGAUCCAGAUCUGAUAUGAAUCAAGUUCAACAACAUCACCCCGCCUUUGGAUUUCUCCGUCAUUCUCCGCCGCCGGAAACCCCACUGAUACAAAUACACGAUGGAGGUGCAAAAAGAGAGGGAAGGAGAGGUAGAGAGAUAAGGAAAAAGGGUUCUUUCGUAAUCUUGUUUUUUUAAAGAGCAGGUCACUAGACUCACUAUUAUAGGUCACUUUUGGUCUUGCAUGGGUGCACUUGCACCCUAACAACCAUCUCACUUUUCAGCAAUAAAUUUAUUUAAACUGACUAAAUACCAACAUAUUGUUAUUUUAAUGAUGCUAAUCUUACUGUAACAAAAAAUUAGGUAAGGAUAAAACUCAGAACAAAAAGAUAGUUCAUAUAUAAUUUUACACUUUUUAUUACAUUCAUUAUCAAAUUUACUUCCCUAUAUAUAAAAUGAUAUUUAGCAGAACUUCCAAUGGCAUACCACAUAUACUAAAUUAGAAAGGCAUAAAUUAUUGUAUUAGGACAGGGCACAUCUCAAUAAUGGUGGUGGUUAAAAUUGCAUGCAUCAACUACUGUAUUGGAUCUUACAAGUUGCAUAUAUAGCCACAGAGAGAAAAGGAUCGAGGGACUGAGUACAGCAUACGUUUAAAUCAAUUUGGAUCAUUAUAUUUUUGUCAAAAUUUGGAUCAUCUUAAUUAAGCAUACUUUCUCUAUGGCUGAUUUUUUUUGGAAAGCCAAUAAAGUUGGGGAGCACAAGGGGUGUCCCAAUGUUACAUAAUGGCUGGUUUUUUUUAAUAACCCGUCUGGGCUUAAACAAAGGUGGGCUGGCCCAAUUCCUUAGGUCUACCACAUUCUAUUACUAGUGAAUGUUUCUUAGCUAUUGUUUGGUUAGAUUCAGGCAUUCAGCCAAGUUUAUGACUCUCCUUAAAUAAAUUCUGAGAAUGUGAUGAGAAAGGAAGUAGGAAAAUGAGCAAUUGCUCUAAAUAUUUCAUUUGAACUUUUAUGCUCUCAGAGUUUAUUCUUAAUUUUUCUUAGUAUUUGCUAUCGAACCAGGCUUUAAACAAGCAGGGGUUGGUUGGAUAUUGGAUAGGAUAUCUUGCAUUCAAGGUUUUCCCUUUUAUCAUCAUCUAACCAAAUUGCAUUGAACCGAUAAUUUUAUAAUUGCUUUCAUUUCUCUCUGUUAAUUUUGUUGCUUAGAGAUACAAGCUCACUUUUAUUGUACAAAGAAGUAAGAGCCUCCUUUAACAAGGGUUAAUUUAUGUUCUGCUCACCUUCCUUAAUAGGGUUUGGGAAAGCAAAAAGAGUCUUUUUUUUUACUCUUUCCACUCUCUCAUUCUCUUCUAUCAAGUUUGAAACGGAAUGAAAUGCAUCAAGUAGAAAUAAUGGGGGCAUAGACCACUACAUCAACCUGGAUUAAGGAAACAAGUUUCGUUAAAACUUCCUCAAUCCAAACAAAAUCAGCAAACAAAAAUGUAAAUUUGGGUCAUCCUCCAAAUAAUUCCAAUUUUACAAAUAAAAGAUAAAUCAAUAAAAUCAAAAGACAAAACUAAAUGAGGACAAUUACUAAUAGUGGCAGAUAAAUAAUAGCGUCAUCGGAAUGUCUCCCCCAAACCUCAAACAGGAGUUGAUCACAUCUUUUAGUAGAUCUGCCUUGAUUGGAGUUUUUCAUAACAUAAUAAUGCAUGUGUAUAGAGACAUUUAUAUUAAAAAGAAGUUUUUAAAUAUGGUUUUGGUUCAUUCAUAUUUUCCUCCUUCCUUUAUCUCAUUUCCACCUUAUCUUUUUAUAUAUAUCUUUUUUUUUCUUUUAUGGUACAUGAGAAAUAUAAACUGCACCCUCUUAGAAUUGAUCCAUUAAUCUCAUCAUCUCAACUCAUAUUACCUCAACUUUUUUUUUUCUCUUAUACAUAAUUCAUCACAUUUCUUAUUUACCUCAUUUCUUUUUUUACAUCUCACUAGCUGUGAGUGGAAUUUUACAGAAGUUUGACAUUUAAUCUAUGAUUGUGGGUGGUGGGAUAUAAAAAAAUGUGAAAAGGGGACAAAAGGAGCCAAGAUCUUCUCCUUAAUCGUGGGAGGAGGUUCAGACCAAAUUCUCUUCUCUUGUGGUCAAGGCAUGAGCAAAUCCGCUGCCGCAGACUGUGCCAUGACAUAGAAUUUCUUCCGCAAACAGCGCUAUCAAAUUAAAAAUACUAAAUACUAUACUACAUUAGUCAUCUUUUGUCCUUGGAAUGUUUACAGUUACCAUGAAAAUGAUGGCAAACUAGCAUAAUGUUUAAAAUAUUUCUUACUUUUGCCACAUACAUCUGGUUUAAUCAAAGCAUUGGAAAAUUGUAAAAUAUAAGUAUUUUAACUGAAAAUUCUAUUACUUAUCAGGACAAAUUACUUACUAAGAUUAAACAUUAUUGAAAAUCUAAUAUAAUAUGUUCAAUUUCCACAUGAACCUAGUAACGAGAAAUCUGUUUUUUUCUAUGUUCUAACAUGGACGGUGAAGGGCAAGUGGUAAAUUGUGGAGCCACAGGGUCCGCCACUAAUGACGGUAUUGGUUCACUAUUUUCCAAACUUAAUUGCUUGACUAUUCAGUUCCACCAUGAAUAUGUUUCGCAUGAAAUGAAGACCAUGAUUUUUCAAGAUUAGGUUCUUUUGACGGAUAAAUUCAGUCAAAUCAGUACUAAAAUGUUGAUUGAGGAGAAAGAAUAAGCUUUUUGAUGGUUUGAGCUUCGGUGGAAAUGAAAUUAUCGUGAUUCGUCGUCUUUAAUGCCUUAAAAGGAUUCAUGUGAAAACACUUUGAUGCAUAAAUUAGUGGCGGAGAAAAGAAGGCGAUAUCACAUAUUAGGGUUGGAAAAGAGUUUUCAUCUCUUUAAACUUGACGUUAAUGUAGCGAGUUUUUUUUUAUAUCAAUGAAGUAAUGAGGGCGAGGUACGACCUCGCUUGUGAGCUUUUGCCCAUCAUCUGACUCGGUUGGCUACGGUCAGCUGGUGCGUGUUCUAGUGUCUCAAGCUUAACAUUUGUGCCUAGGGAUAUAAGGAAAGGACGAUAACCUAGGGAAAUGCAUAAACGUCAUUGGUCAAGAGACCGGUGAAGUCAUGGGUGGGGAUGGUAAUGUUCAUCUCUUUGGCAAAAUGAAGUCAGUUCACAAUUGGGACUAUAAAGUUAUAUGAUCGAAAGUGCGUGAUAAUUAAAUCGAUCGUCGGAAUAGUUCUUUCAAUUUUUUCUGUCACCUCCUUCUACUAAUUAAAUAGCAGCAUAUAAAUAAAAUUUUCACUAAAUUAUUAUUUUUUUCAAUUGAAAAAACUAGAAAAUAAUGAGUAAAAUGGGAGGUCAUACAACUGGUAUAACGUAAACAAGUUACACCUCGUAAAUAUGAGAAUACACGGUUUAAACUCUUAGUAAAGUCAUAUACUUGAAGAUGUUGAUAUAGUUUUCAAACCACACUUGUGAAAGAUAAAAAUAAUUUUGAAAAAAAAAACCAUAAAGAUUACGGCAUAAGAAAAGCUAUUUCGAGCCACCAAAAAUGAAGAGAGGCUCCUUGGCGGGACGUCCCAAAUUGUCAAAAUGAGAAAUCAUAAUUGAGUAUGAAUAAUAGUACUCUUUAUUUUUAUUUCUAUGUCAGUUUUACCUAAUUCACAUAGAUUAAGAAAAUUAGUUAAUAAGGUAUGACUCAUUCACACCUCAACUUCAUUUUCACUUCACUUUUUAUCUAUCUCUUCUCUUUCAAUCAUAUCACCAAUCACAUCUUUAGUUUCUUUAUUUUUUAAUAUGAUCUCUCUUUUUUCUUCAUUUCAUUUACACUUUUAAUGAAAAGUGUGAAACAAUAUUAGGUUAUUAGUAUUAAUGAAUGAGUCAUACCUUAUUAACCUUAUUAACUAGUUACGAGUAGGUUAUUAGUAUUGAAAUUUGGUGCUGACUACCAAUAUUAGUAGGCAGGGAUCCACUAUAACUGCCAUUGUAAAACCAUUAUAAAAACACAAGCCCCAUCAAACCUCAUAACAUCCAUUCCUCCAAACUCAAACACAAGUUACCAAAGCCUCUUCUUCUGCUUGAAGCCAUGGCCUCUAACUUUAGCUUGAUGAGUUUGGCAAUACUUGCCCUCACAUUUUCUCUCGCCGUGCAAGGCACUCUUGGUAAGUCUCCAAAACCUCUCAAAUAAUCUCUUAAACAAGCACACACAUGACACAUAUGACUAAUGAAAUUCUUAAUUCUUGUUCUUACAAUCUAAACAUCAUAGUUAAUGUUGAAAUUAACAUUGUUGCAGGAGGGAUAGAAUGUGAGAAUCUGAGCGAGGAAACGUGCUCAUUUGCCGUGUCAUCUGGUGGAAAACGCUGUGUGCUUGAGAAGCGUGUGAAGAGAACAGGGGAGGAAGCAUACACAUGCAGGACAUCUGAGAUUGAAGCUGAUAAAUUGAAGGAUCACAUUGAAACUGAGCAGUGCGUCAAGGCUUGUGGAUUGGACAGAAAAUCCCUUGGAAUCUCAUCAGAUUCUCUUCUUGAGUCCCGCUUCACUCACCAGCUUUGUUCCCCUCAGUGCUACCAGAGUUGCCCAAAUGUUGUUGACUUAUACUUCAAUCUUGCAGCUGGUGAAGGUAACCAAAACAAAACAUUUAUGUUAAAAGGUCUUGCAUUGAUCAGAGAAAUGGUCAAAAAACGAUUAAGUCUACUUGAAAACUCAUUUGAAAAACACACUAAAGCCAAAAGCAUGGAAGUUUGUUUUUAUUCACCACUAUGUGUUGCCUUCAAACAAGUUUUCAAAGAUGCAUUUAGGACAACUUUUCAUUUAUGAGCUAACUUUUGAUAUUAAGUUAGACUCAUUUGGAAGAACUUAUCAUAUGACUAUGCAUAAGCGCUUAUAGAAGUGUUGAAGAGCUUAUGUAGAUUGUUUUAGAUAAGCAAGAGCUUAUGUAGAUAGGUUUUUUUUUUUUGAAAUUUUAUGUAGAUAGAUUACAACCUACCUAUAAGUUGUUUUGAACUUAUUUUCGUAAUUUAUUCAGAUUAAUUCAUGAGUGAGAGCUUAUGCCUACUUAUAACUUAAUUUCACUUAUUUCAAAAAGUUUCUCAAAUUAACUAAUAAAGAAGUUUUAUAAGCACUUAAUUAAGUUAUUUACCCAAAAUCACUUCAAAGCCCAAUUGGGACAUAGAUGUGAGAUAUGUCAAAGUAAAAAGGGUAGAGAGGUAAUUUCCUCAUGAAUAACCUUUUUAAGGUUUAAUUAGGGUAAACUUGAUUAAAUUCUCAAGACAUGUGCACAUUCAACAUAUAGAAUAUGGUUGAUUAUGUAAACAAUAUAAGUGUCAUGCCUCACAAGAUAAUUUCCAAUAAAUUGUUCCAAAUAUGUUAUAUAGGUGUUGAGCAUGAGCAUUUUGUUGUGUGUUUGUAGGUGUGUUUCUUCCUAUGUUGUGUGAAGCAGAAGGUGGGAAUGCUCGUCGAGGAAUGGCUGAACUCAAAAGCUCUGGCAUUGUGGCACCAGGACCUGUUCACUUUGUGCAGUUUUUAGCUACACCUCCAGAGCCAUUUAACCCUGUGGAGUUCGCAGCUGAGCCUGCGGCUACCCCAUCAUACCCACCAUACUAAGUUGUAGUUUUUAGAGCAUGCAAAAAAAUUGAGUGGCAUAAUAAACAACUCAACGUCUUAUUAUUAAACAGGUUGAGUUCAGAGGCACACCAUGUUUAGUUUGUAAUAGCUAAUGAAGUUGUUCCUACAUAUUUUGCUGGCAGUGGUGGAUCUUCUCAUAGUACCAAUAAGGUGUGGCAUCCACAAUAUUAGAGAAAUAAAAUUGCUGGUUAUAAUUAGAGACGUGUCUCUUAUUCUGAUCACAUUGAGAUAGCCCCUAAUGAAAACGGCUUCUCGAAUAAAUUUCAAUAAAUAAGGGUCACCAGAAAACAGAAAGAAAAUUUGAAUUCGGAUUUUAGCAAACCUCGCAUGAACUUCAAUAAUUCAAUGAGUGAAUGUUGUAACAGGAUUUUUCGAUUCAAAUUAACCGCAAUUAAAACACCAAAAUCACCACAGCUAUAUGAAUUACUAGUCCUCUUUUGGUGCAAACUUUCCAGAGCAAAAACAUAUAAAAUGUUGGAUUGAAGUUAAUGGGAAUCUCAUUAAACCCGCAAAAAAAUGUAACUUAGUACUACUAAGCAUAAAAAAACAUAAGCAGCAACUGAUUCAAUCCAAGAGCUGAAUAUAUCCAAGUCAUCAUUUUAAUAUCUAGGUCAAUCCAGAAAUUAAAACUGCAUCAUCAUCUUAACAAUUAUAACAGAAACAUGCAGAAAAAUAAAGACCCACCCUACAAACUAACAUAUCAGAAACCCCCUGAAAAAGGUAUUCAGGUUGAGGGAGAAAAAGACAACAUAUGGCAAAAGUCUCAUCAUAACACACACACAGACAAAAACACCAUUCAAAACAUUACAACUAAGAAUCCUCCUCCUGAACUUCAUCCUCAUCUUCAUAGUCAUACCCCUCAUCAUCUGCAGUUGCAUCCUGGUACUGCUGGUACUCCGAGACAAGGUCGUUCAUGUUGCUCUCUGCCUCAGUGAACUCCAUCUCAUCCAUACCCUCUCCGGUGUACCAAUGCAAGAAAGCCUUCCUGCGGAACAUAGCUGUGAACUGCUCACUCACCCUCCGGAACAUCUCUUGAAUGGAUGUGGAGUUGCCAAUGAAGGUGGAAGCCAUUUUGAGACCAGUUGGAGGGAUGUCACAGACAGUGGACUUAACAUUGUUGGGGAUCCACUCGACAAAGUAGGAGGAAUUCUUGUUCUGGACAUUGAUCAUCUGCUCAUCAACCUCCUUGGUGCUCAUCUUCCCACGGAACAUGGCAGAAGCUGUCAAGUAACGACCGUGUCGAGGAUCAGCUGCGCACAUCAUGUUCUUGGCAUCCCACAUUUGUUGGGUCAACUCAGGCACAGUGAGGGCCCUGUACUGCUGUGAUCCACGUGAUGUGAGUGGGGCAAAUCCCACCAUGAAGAAAUGCAGACGAGGGAAGGGAAUGAGAUUCACGGCCAGCUUCCGCAGAUCAGAAUUGAGUUGACCAGGGAAUCGAAGACAGCAUGUCACACCACUCAUGGUGGCUGAAAUGAGAUGGUUCAAAUCUCCAACUGCAACCAAACAACAAAAACAAAAAACCCAAUUAGUUGAUUUUAAUCACAAAGCAAUGCAAGCAAAUAUAGAAAUAGUGCAAACAUGAGUUGAUGUGAACAUACAGCUUGGAGUAGUGAGCUUAAGGGUUCGGAAGCAGAUAUCAUAAAGAGCUUCAUUAUCCAACACCAUGCAUUCAUCAGCGUUCUCAACAAGCUGGUGCACAGAGAGUGUGGCAUUGUAAGGCUCAACAACAGUGUCAGAUACCUUAGGCGAUGGGAACACAGAGAAAGUGAGCAUCAUUCGAUCAGGGUACUCUUCUCUGAUCUUGGAAAUCAAAAGUGUUCCCAUUCCGGAACCAGUUCCACCACCAAGAGAGUGGCAAACCUGAAACCCUGAAAGAGUAAACCAGAAAUGUUAAGAACCCUAUUUACAAGCCAAUAAAACAGUGAAUAACUCAAUCAAUGCAUGCAUGGAACAUUUCUACAAACUGUGAAAUAAAUUCACAUAUCAACAAAUAUGGUAGUUCAUCCUGAUUUCACAAAUCUCACACCAACUUCAAUUGAAAAAUAACUGUUCAUACAGUAGCAUAAUCAAGUUUGAAAGAACUACCAAACUUCAAAAUCAGCACAAACAAACGCUAUUCACCAGAUCAAGGUCCCAUACUCUACGAUUUAACUUCAAAACUUGAUAACACAGCGAGAUUUGCAACUCAGAGUUCAUCAUUUUCAUUCAAAACGCAGAGAUCACUAAAUCGUUAACAAACAAACAAGAAAAUCAUCAACAACUAAAAAUCAAAUUGAAAAAUAAACCGUAAACACAGAGUAUACAACAUUGUGGAGAAACAAACUGCAGAAAAAAUUCAAAAAACAAAACCCUAAAAUCUCAAAAAAACUUGGAUCAGAAAUUGAAGUGAAGUAGUAAACAAUACCUUGAAGGCAAUCACAGUUCUCAGCCUCCUUUCUGACCACAUCGAGGACCGAGUCAAUCAACUCAGCCCCCUCGGUGUAGUGACCCUUAGCCCAGUUGUUUCCGGCGCCGGACUGUCCGAAAACGAAGUUAUCCGGCCGGAAAAUCUGGCCGUAAGGACCAGAUCUGACACUGUCCAUGGUGCCAGGCUCCAGAUCCAUGAGCACCGCCCUAGGCACGAACCUCCCGCAACUGGCCUCAUUGUAGUAGACAUUGACUCGCUCGAGUUGCAUGUCCGUGUUCCCCUGGUACCUUCCGGUGGAGUCGAUCCCGUGCUCCGCGCACACCACCUCCCAGAACUUUGCUCCGAUCUGGUUCCCGCAUUGUCCUCCCUGGAUGUGAAGAAUCUCACGCAUUUUGACUGAGUUCGGAGAACGAGUUUUAGAGAGAGAGAGAGGUGAGUGACGGAGCGAGUUCUAGAGAGAGAAAAGCAGAAAAUGAUGUCAGCGGGUCUGUGAAGUGAGAGGGAACAAGAAUGACUGAAAGAGGUUCUUUAUAGAUGGGAUGUGACGGGACCGUGACGGCGUUAGGCGGUUUACGGGGGAUUUGACGGUGCCGUUAGAUUUAAGGGGGAAUUUAAAAUUUGAAAAGCGAACGGAUGCUAAUCGUAUGCGAUCAUCCCUAUUUGGUUGGACACGUGGACGGUUUUGAUUACGUGUGAUUUCGGCCGUUAAUGCCUUGGAGGGUGUGAGAGCAGCGAGGUUUAGGAAUGAGGUGGUGACGCGCGUUGUUGGCAGGUGAAGAAGACGCGCGGGUGCAUGUGGCGUUGGGAAUAAGUUGGUGGGUUUUUUUCAGGCUUUGGGCCACGCUGCACAUGACAAAGCUGGCAAGAGUUACACGUGAUUACGGGCUGGGUCAUGUCAUGUGAGCUGCACUUGUUAUUCUAGGCUUCUAGUAAAAGCAUGCAACGUGACUAUACUUUAUUUUUUGGGUUAAAUAUAGCUAUUGAGCUAAUCUUAUUCGAGACAAGACGAGGUUUGAGAAAUACCAAAAUUUUCUCUAAUAGUGCGGUGUGUCUUGUUAAUAGAACUUUAGACAUUAGAGGUCAAACAAUCACUUCCACAGUCGACUAUGAGACUAAUUCUUUGAGGCUCUUAGAUCACGUUAAGUGGGUAAAUCUCUUCCAACAAAUGUUUCUUCAUACGCACCGCUCAAAAACCGAACCGUGGAUUGGAUGUUUAAGGAGCCUAACUAUAUAUCAUGUGUGCCACACUUUGUUGGUAUAUCCUACAUGUUAUUCAAUUGAUUGUUUCGGGGACAUAAGGGUUUUGGAGAUUAAAGGGUGAAAAGUUUAGAGUUUAAACUAUGAUGAAGACUAAUUUAUUAACAAUUAACAUUUACCUAUAAAAAAAUACUUAUAAACAAUUAGGAUUUGUACAUUUUAAUACAAUCCAUGUUUCCUGUGUUCCUAGCUAUCAUCAAAAUGGGCAGUUAGGUGUCCUGAAAGAUCCACCGUGGUGUGCAAACCUGUCUUUCACUCUAGGAAUAGAUUAAUGGUGGACCCAGCAAAAAACCACAUAGCAAGCAGGAGGGUCCUUCUUUUUUUUGCUAAUGCAAGCAGUAGGGUCCUUCAUCCAUGGCUAAAAAUAGAAGCAAAAUAAAGUAGUCAUCCAACAUCCAAGAGUGACAUGAAGUGAGAGCAGAUGUAGUGAUCACAAAAACCCUUCAUGACAAAGUAAUCUCCUUUCAUUAUGAUUCCUUUGUUACGGAUCCAAUGUCUCACUCUCAGCUAUAAAAUAAUGAUCAAUUAUAAAAGUAAGUUGGUACUUGUUGUGGUUUUAUGACUUUAUGCUCCUAAGUUGCAUACUUAAGCCUUCUUUGAUAUAAAUGUUUCUUUAAUUAUUGUUACCAGAUAUAUUGUUGGAAAUUUGGGUAUGAUAAUCCUUGAUAACUUCGAAGAUUCGUGUUCGUACACUUUCCGAACAAAGUAUUUCGACUCUAUUCUUGCCUGGGUUCACGAAAUCCUUGUUGGGAUAAUUCUUGAAGAACAACUUGUUUCUGGCAAUAGAGAACAUAUCAGGAAUGUAGAGAGAAUGUAUGUUUUGUUUUCUGUGUGUCAAAUCUGAGGCCAAAUGACUCUUUAUAUUUGAGUUUGUUUCAGAAACCGAAAAACAGUUAAUUCUAACAGUUUUCAAAAUUAGGGGUCGUUUGGGAAAAUUAUAACUUUUCAGCCAGGGGCGGAGCCCCUUGGAACCCUGUUUUGUAUUCGCGGUCAAUUAUACGUUGGCUCAACGAGCGUGCACUCCGCACUACCCUAACUCGUUUUCGAGCUUAACGCGUAAUCGCAUCGGCCUAUAGUAAAUCACAUUACUACUAAAAUCCAUUGAUGAUACUAAAAUCACCAACAUAUAUGUGAUGAAUGAUAAAUGAACGAGGGAAUAUGGUUAAACUUUCAAUUCUCAUCAUCAUCAACAACAAUUAUGUCAUCUAACCUUUUUGGUAGAUAAAAAUUUAGAUGAAGGGAUAUGUAGUGUCUUAGUCAAUGAUAAACAAAACUGUACUGUUAGGCUUAAAAAACAUCCAAAGGAGUUGGUUAGGGCUUAAACCUACAAUUUGAACCCUAUCAUCAUAGCAAUAUCUUAGAGUUAUGUAAAGUACUCCCUCUGUUCCUAUUUAUAAGUCACAAAAAACUAAUUCUCUUAGAUUAAGAAAAGUAUUUAGUAAUAAUAAAUUUGUAAAGGAAAUGAUUAGCUUUCCUAGACUACCCUUAUUUACUUUUCUAUGAUUUUCUCUCUCCAAGUUAAUAUUCCAAAAGUUCAUUAUCUCUUUCAUAUUAAAUAUGAGGGUGAAUUUGGAAAAAAUUAUUUAAUGCUUCCUAGAUAUUAGAAAGUGACUUAUAUUUAAGAACAACUUUUUUUCAAAAAAUGUGACUUAUAAUAAGGAACGGAAGAAGUAAUAUAUUGUGUUUAUAUCUCUGCUGAACAAAAAAGUAUGUGACUAUGCUUGGGUAACAAGCAACGAUAGACAAUGGGAUUUUCAAGUACAAAACAUGGGGCAUUAUAUUAUAAAUUGGAGAAAAUGUAAGUGUAACGUUUGAUAUACUCAUUAUUUUAAGAUGUGGUGUUGUUGUACCAGUAAUGAUAUAUACACACCUCAUAUGUUAUACACUUCAUUUUCACCUAUUUUUAUUUCUAUCUCUCUCCUCUUAUCAUCUAUCAUAUCUUAUACUUUCUCUCUCUUACUUUUUCUUUUCUUCCUAUCUCUCUCAUCCUCCACCUCUUUCCACCUCAAAGAUGAGGUGUGGACAAAUAAUUAUCCGUCGUUGUACUAUGGUCUACGGUGCUCUAUUUUUAUUUAUUUUUUAACUAUUAGAGCUUUUCCUUUCUCAAUUUGAGAUUAUAUCUAGUCUAGGCUUGGUCCAUAAGUGUAUAUGUUGUACUUUAUUGCAAACGUUGCUUACAACUUACAAAUGAGUUUAUACAGCACAAUAUGUAGGGGUCGGAAAAUUUUUCAAAGACUAGAAAAUACAUUAUUUAUCAUCAGAUUUUAAUUUUAUCAGUUGCCAAAUUAUUACAUACUGAAAAACAAACAACUUCAGCUUGUUGAAAUUUGGUUAAUUUUCUUUUGUACGAUGAUACAUGGAGAGCUGGAUUUGCCACCCCAACCAUUAGAUUUCACAUCCCCUAUUUUCGAAUUUUCAAGUUUCGAAUUAUUUCGGAAUCUAAGAUUCCGAAAUUAAUUCGUGAUUUGUAGUGCAAAAUACAUGUAACACUCAACUUUUGAGUGAAAAAUGCUUCGGAAACCUUAUUUCCGAAAUAUUUCGGAAACUAAGUUUCCGUAUGUGGGGUGACAUUUCUAAUGAAUGGGGUGCCAAAUCUAAUGAUUUGAUACAUGGUGUCUCUCAUGCGACUCUCUCUUCUGUGCUCACAACACCUAUCUAUAUAGUGUCCACACACAUCUCACACACACAAGUAAUCAAUUCUUACAUUUUUUUGUUGUCUCUUAUGAAAUGCAUAACAAUUGUCUACAACCUCUCAUAUUUAUAAGACUCACAAGUGGUUUAUUGCCAUCAAUUAGCAUCACUAAUUCUAGCUGGACAUUGAACAUUAGGUCCAAUAUUUGAAUUUUAGGGGUUCGCAAUAUGUAUUCAGCGGCGGUUUUUGGAUUGCUGCUAAAUACAAAGAUUAAAAAAAAUUAGUUGUGGUGAUUAGGGCAGGGGGUUUGAAAUCGCCAAAAACAUAUUUUUCUUAAUUUUUAUAUACUUAACAAAUUACGGUGGUCUAAACUGUUACGACAUGUGUUUGUCAAUUGGAUGACUAGUAUGAAUUCAAAAAACCACUUUCCUUUAACAUUUUAAAUAACUCAUUUUUCUUUACAAUCUAGUAGAUUUAUUAAAGCUUACUCAUUACAUAAAAUAAUGCUUGUUACCGAUGGCUAAAAAGUCGUGGUAUUUGUUUGGCCGAUAAUUUUUUUUCCGACGACAUUCAAAAACUUUUGGUAAUCACCGAUGUACUUUUCCGUGGAUGAUUAAUUUGGUACGCACAAGAAAACUCAUUUUGUUGCGAAUAAAAAUGUCGAAGAGACAUUCUUAUAUAUAUAAGAAGAUGACGAAGAACGACUAAAAAAGUUGUGGUAUUUGUCUCGUUGAUAAUUUUUUCCGACGACUUUCAAAAACUUUUGGUAAUCACCGAUGAAUUUUUCCGUGGGUGAUUAAUUUGGCAUGAACAAGAAAACUCAUUUUGUUGCGAAGUGACAUUCUUAUUUGCAAGAAGAUGAGGAUGAGGUAGAUGAAGUAAAACCGUAACUAAUUUUUUAAAGUCUGCAUUAGGCAAAAAUUUCAAAUUUUAACAUGAAUAAUAAUGACUUUGACCAUCUGUAACUAAUUUUGAAAUUACUGACGCCUUUUAAGGUUACCGAUGUCAAAAGCCAUUAGUAACUAAAUUUUAAAAUUUUAAAGCCUGCCAAGUUAUUAGUAGACGACAAUUUCAAAAUUUCAAAUUAUAAAUAAUUAAAAUUGUCAUUAACUAAUGCUCUAAGAAAAAAUUUACCAUUAGAUUAUCGAUUAUUCCUUUUUUUUAUACAUCAGAAAACAUUAUCGAUUAUUACUUUUUUUUUUUCAAAACACUUUACCCAUGAAAUAUCUUUAAAAAAACAUGAAAUAUGCACAAAUUUUUCGCCCUAUUUUGACCCUAUUAUUUUAUUAUUUAAAAUUAUGAGUAAACAAAUAAAGGAGAAAACAAUGGGGGUAAAAAGGAAAAGAAGAAGAAAAACCCUUUGGAUUUGUCUUGCGGCCGCACUCAGCACCAGUUCCUUCGAAAAACGGUGGCGGGGAUAGAGAAACCCUUGCACUUGCUUGCUCGUUAUCAGAGAUGGUGAGCCAACGGCAGCGACUCGCUCGGAAGCGGUUCAAAGCAGAGAACCCUGAACUCUUCCCCAAACCAGAACCCACACCCCCAAAAGACCCUGACAAGAAGAAGAAGAAGAAGAGAAAAACCACCCCGUUCAAGCGCACAAAGGAUGAUUCAAAGGGAGUCAAAAGCAAUUCCAGAAAACACCCUCUUCGUGUUCCCGGUAUGAGGCCCGGCGAGACCUGUUUCAUCUGCAAGGCUAGAGACCAUAUCGCCAAGCUCUGUCCUGAAAAAGCUGAAUGGGAAAAGAACAAGGUUUGGUUCUGAUCAAUGCUGUAUUGUUAGUUGAUAUGUUGCGGAGUGUUUUGGUCACUGGAGUUGUUAGAAACAGUUAAGAAAUAAUGGGCAUGCUCUAUUUGAUGAAAUUAGUUGAUAGGUUUGUUGAUGAUGUAACUGGAUUACUGGAUUUUUUGUGAUUUGAUGGAAUGGUGUUUGGUAUUUUCAGAUAUGUUUGCGGUGUCGGCGACGUGGUCAUAGAGCUCAGAACUGUCCUGAGGUGAAAGAUGGCCCCAAGGAUGGGAAAUUCUGCUAUAACUGUGGGGAAACUGGGCACCCGCUUUCGAAUUGUCCGCAGCCUCUUCAAGAAGGUUUGUUAAUAUAUGUCUUUUGUAUGCUCUCUGUGAUGUUUGAGUGUCAGUUUGGAAACCUGGUAGGUUUACUUGCUGGGGGUAUAAGUGAUUAUGAGAGGUUUUUUGGUUGAGUGGUUGUCGCAAAAGCUAAUGCACGUAUCCUCAAGUGAUUCUGCGAGGUUUAGUGUGUCUUUGGUUGAGUGUUUGGCAGUUGGCACAAAAGCUACACUGUGGAGCUUCUAGCUAGAAUUGAUUUUCAAUAGCUAAAACAAAUGCAUAUUAAACAUUAAUUGUGUGUCAAAACAUGCUGUUUGUGUUAUAUCUAAGCAUGGUAUGUUGAAACUUGAAAGCUAUCAAGUUAGAUAUGUUAUAGCAUGCACAUUGUUGGUUUUGGAGUUUCCAAUUGAAAUUUUGAAUUUAAUAUGUAGCAGUUCUUUAAUUUCCUUUAUCAUGAUAUAGUAAAGGGUUUUAUUGGUGAUGCAGGAGGGACAAAGUUUGCUGAAUGCUUUGUCUGUAAACAACGUGGACACUUGAGUAAAAACUGCCCUCAAAAUGCUCAUGGCAUUUACCCAAAGGUAAUCAUUUCUCUUUCCAGUUGACCUUGUCCCUUGCAAGCUGUGUCUAAUCUGUUACAGCUAUUUAUUUGUGAUAGGGUGGUUCUUGUAAAAUAUGUGGUGGUGUGACACAUUUGGCCAAGGAUUGUCCUGACAAAGGGAACAGAGGAUCUGUUGCUGCUAAUAGGCCUCUUCGUAUAUGUAAGCUUUUUCAGAAGAAACUUCAUGGAUUUUCUACUGCUAUAUUUCUGGUUUUGAAAUCAAAUGCUGUUUUUGUUUACUUGUUUGCAUCCAUGUUCCUUUCUGCAUUUGCUUCUCUAAACCUAUGGACUAUGGUUGACACUGGCCCCAUUUUUCCUCUAUUGAGCUGCAUUGUCUAAAAGUAUAGUAAUGUCUGAGUUCUGACCUUAAAUGUCAAUUAACUUCAAGUACUGGAUGUUCCCUGUUUUUGGUCCAAUGCCAUGUGAUACUUUUGCGCGAUGACCUAAAUUAGAACAGUUAAACCUUAAACGUGUGAUACUUUUGCCAGGAUGACCUAAAUUAGAACAGUUAAACGUGCUACAAAUUAGUGAUACUUUUGCUCGAAAGUCUAUUAGUUUAGUUCGAAGCAAAUGCUAUUGAGUAAUGGCAUAUCAUGUAGUGGCUGAUUGAGCUGAAUAAGGGUUCUUUAUAUUUGAGAUGUUUGAGAUUACUCAAGUCUUGUCGUGAUACACUGAUAGAUUUUGGUUGAUUGCAUAUCAUGUUAAACUUGGGAUUCAUUAAAUAUCAGAUAUUAGGGAACAUAGUUUGUCAGUUAUUAUAGGCUUCAAACUUGAUAGUCACGAGGACAUAUAAAAGCUUCUUGAUUUUAUUGGUUGCUGAUCUCAUUUUAAAAAGGGCAAUCUAAUGCUAUGAAGCUUCCAUCAUGACUGGAUCCAGGGAAGGUUUGGCUCAUUGCGAGUCUAUUCCCGUUUGGAUGUGGAUCAAACAACACUUACUGGAGCUUAUCUACUAAAAACAAGCACUAGAUAAGCUCAAAUAAGUGCUCUUUGGUCUUGCAUCCAAAUGGGCACAACACAACCUUACUUUGCAUUUUUAAGAGAGUGAUCCCACAACUUAAACAUAUGAACUCUUACUCUCUUAGCCACAUGGCAGUAACUCCGACUAUUUACAUCAAGCCUCCCCCUUUUUAGCUAACUUUAUUUUGCCUAAUUUGUUUAGGUGCACCGUUCUUAUUUCAAAGUAAUGACUACCUUUGUUUUAAUCCUUGUUUGAGAUGUCACCCAUGAAGAGAUGGUGUUGUAUUGUAAUCAAGCAAGGGGAGUAAUAUGCACCUCUUUUAAAUACUUGGACUCGUGCCAAGCAUGGGUUGAAGUCUUUCUUUGAACACAAAUGUUCAUCAUAGAAAUCCAAAUGAACUAAAUUAUUUGGAAUGAAGUAUGUACGCUAAAUGUAACUUCUUGCAAGUGAUCUCUUGCUCCUCUUGCCUUAGCCGGAGCUCUUUCUAUAUAUGUCCAAUUUAAUUGCUUUCACAAUAUAAAAUAUCUCAGUCACUACACUAGUUAUUAAAUAUGGCUGAUAAUUCUAUUCUUUCUUUCAGCAUCGAGAACUGAAGAGAGGCCCAGUAGUCAUACCAGAUUUGUGAGCGGGGAUGACAUGGAGGACGACUUCAUGGCAGAUGACAUAAAUAGUGGUGACAAGAACACGUCCUCAAACUCAAAAGAUGGCCAUGUAAAACCGAAGAAGGGUCCUAAAGUUGUUAACUUUUAACCAAGGAUAUUACCUGUCAAUGCAUUUAAUGGAUUUGAUUUCUACUCUCCAUUUGCUUUCUUCUUCUAUACUUAAGCCUGUACUCUGCAGAAUCUCAUCCAGAAUGAAGGCUGCAUCUGCAAAUCUUGGGUUGCCUUGAAGUUUGGAGAGUUGGCUUGAAAAUUUUGCUCCUUAUUGGUCAUUUAUCCUAGAGUUCUCUAAAAAAGGAAACUAAAAAUGUACCAAUAUAUUCUUGGGUACAUUUACUAGGUCACUGUAUUUGCUUUUUAGUCUUUUUAUUUACUUAUUAAGGUUCAUUUUGUUGCAUUAUUUCUAAAUACUUUAUCUUUGAAAAAGGUUGAUGUUAUAUGAACAACCUUUAGAUGCAAAAACUCACAGUUGUCAAAUUUCACCCUUUAAUGAUUGAUUUUAAUUUUUUAAUUAUUAAAUACACAAAAAUCAAUGGUUAGAUGUGUAAUCUUUACAUGGUCAAUAUAUAUAUAUUUUUACAAUUGAGAGGAUCAUUUCCAAAACUCACUUAUGCAUGUAUUAGAAUUGUCUCUAGAUUGAGGUUUCACUUUCUGCAAAUUAUUUUUGUAGAACUUAUACUUUUUCAGUAAAAGCAACUGUUGGUUCCGGCUUAAGUACAUAAAUCAGUUCUUAAAUUUCAUCAAUUAAAGAAUAUAAAAGAUAUCACUUACAUUACUUAGAAUAUGUUUUGAGAUGUUUAAAAAUUGAAAAUUUUAAUUAUCCACAUGUUUAUAUUUUGUAUUUUGUUAUUAUUAUUAAAAUAUAUUUUACUAAUUACAUAAGCUAUUAUAUUUUUAGUUUAUAUCCUUGUAUAGAUUCACAUGUCAACCAUUUUCUCUAAAUUAUAUUUAAAAUUUUGCAUUAUACAAGUGAAACUUUUUGUUACGUAGACAAAACGAACUCAAGUAUCCCGCCGACAACAAUGACUAAUUCUCUUGCCGCAUGUGCUUGCAGUAAGCGGUACACAACUUUGUCUAUACUAUUUUUUGAAAGUGAAUUUCAUAGUUAGUUUAUUUCUCUUCAAAUAACCCACUUUAUAUUAUUUUACACGACUACUAAUCGAGUUAAUACACGAUCAUUGAAAUAAAUGAUUCAUUAUCCCCAACAUAAAAAUUUUAACUUUUCUUUUUGAAGGCAUUCCUAACUUUAUAUUCUAAAUAAAACAAACAUUAUUAUUUUUUGGUCUGCAAUACGAAAUUAGACGGCUCAGAACAGAAGUGAGUAGUGACUGAAAACAAAACAAAGCAAACAACCUUCAAUAACCCUAAUUCCCUUCACCAAUCAGGACGGAUGCAGUAGCAUUGCCUAUGCAGGCUCGCCGUUCUUUUGCCUCCUCCGCCGCCGCCUCCGCCACCGCCACUGCCACCCGUUCUGUUCAUCAAUUCUAAUCACAUAGAAGAUGGAUAGCCAUAGCCAGAGCGAGUUAUUGCACUCGAAGAAGAGGCGCAGAGAGGAAAAGCCUGAACCCUUGCCUUCUCCGGAACAGGAUCAGGAACAGAGUUGCAGCAAGAAGAAGAGGAGAAAGAAGAAGAAAAUCAAGGAAGAGGGGAUUGAAUCACAUGAACACGAUCAGGUAUUGCUCCCUGAACCCGUAGUAGUGGCCACAGCAAUCCCCAUAACCCUAGAAACCCCUAAGGAACAAGGUGCAGAACCAAUUGAAGCCACUGUAGUGCAUCCUGUACCUGAUCAGAGACCUGCAAAGACGCAUAGGAAGAAGAAGAAAAAGGAGACUGUGCUGGAACCCCAACCGGAACCCGAACCGGAACCGAAGGAAACUAGCAAUACUGAUCACUCUGAACCUACUCAAUUGUGUUCUGUUAAGAAAAAGAAGAAGAGAAAAGGAGCAGAAUCGAAUGAAGCUGUUGCUGAACUUGCUACUGUGUGUACUGAACCCCCUGCAGUGCAAGGGGGAGUACUGCCAGAACCGAAACCGAAGGAACCUUGCAGUACAGAGCAUCCUCGAGUGUGUCCUGAACCCCCAUUAGGCUUAGCAAUCCCCAUAGACCCAGAAAAGAAUAGAAAAGAGGCAGAACCUAAUGAAUCUAAUGCAGAGCAUCCUCGAGCGUGUCCUGAACCCCCAUUAGGCUUAGCAAUCCCGAUAGACCCAGAAAAGAACAAAGGGGAAAAUCUAACUCCAACUGAUGAGAACGAAUUGGACAGGAGAAAUAGAAGAGAAGAACUAGUGGCACUUGUGACCUCGGACGAGAAGAUAGUCAACCCAAGGGAUCAUCUAGUUCCUUUGAAGAGUAUCCCGGGCUUUGUCCUGGAGCAGCAGACUCAACCGGGUCCAGUAAUCCCAGUUUGCCCAAAUUCAGCAUCACUGAUUGGCCAAAGCCAAACAAUCCCAGUAGUAGACACAGAACAGAAGAUAAACAAGAGAAGUAGGAUGUCGAAGAUGAAGAGGAAGAGGAUGAAUAGCAUGCCAGAUAAACACAAUACAGAACCGCCUGAAACGAAGAAGAGGGUGCUAGACAGGGAAGAACCCAAUAAAUGCAAUGCAAAACUGCCUGAAACCCUGAUGCUGGCAUCUAACUGCCAUAUAGACCAAGCAAUCCCAUCGGAUUCUAAUCCUGCAGUUCCAACCAACCCGGAGCACAAGACCCCAAAGAAAUGGAAGAAGAGGGCAAAGAAGAAGAAUGUCCUCUUAAGUGAAGGGGGGAAAUCCAAUGAACACAAUGGACAGCCAACUGAAACCCCUGUUCAGAAAUCUGUAAGCCCAAUAAAUGCACCCUCAAUAGACCCAACACUCCCCACAGACCAGCCGGUCCCAAUAGACCUAGCAACUCCAAAACACUCAGAAGGAAAGAUGUCAAAUGCACAGAGGAAUAAUGUCCUCUUAAGUGAAGGGGUGAAAUCCAAUGAGCAGCCAACUGAAACCCCUGUUCAGAAAUCUGUGAACCCCAUAAAAGCACCAUCAAUAGACCCAACACUCCCCACAGACCAGCCGGUCCCAAUAGACCUGGCAACUCCAAAACACUCAGAAGGAAAGAUGUCAAAGGCACAGAGGAGGAAGAAAAAUAAGAGGGCACUCAAAAGUGCCUGGUCAGAGUCUGUCCACCACAGUUCUGAUCAAAAUGCUAAAACCCCAGUUCAGAGAACUGAAUCACUCAAACUCGUUGAAGCUAAAUCCGUUAAAGCUAAAAGUUUUAUGGUAUGUUAGCUGGAUUCAUCGAUAUAGUUUCAGUAGUUGUAUUCUAUGUUGCUCUAGUUCCGCAAGACUGCCCCCUCCCCCCUUUUGAAAUCUAGAAUUUCCUUAUUGUAUAUUUGUAUUAUAUAAAUGGUAACUGUGUGUUUCCGGACCUGCCAGGCGUCCCGGCAGCAUGGUCACAAGCUGAAAUAUCCCUCCAAGGAUGUGGAAAUUUGUUUCUUUUGUGGGGAAAUUGGGCACUCACUUGGACGUUGCUCAGUGUCUCGAGCAGGUAUGCUAAACUUAUUUUGCUUGUCUUUUUAAUAUGAGAACCAUAUGAAAGUUGUCUGUUGCUUGAAGUUUGUUAAUUUUACAGUUUUUGAUUGAAAUUUACGUAACAACAAUUUCGGUCUUGCCUAAACUUAGUUCUUGACUUAAUAUUGUUGGUAACCGGCAAUAUCAUAUUGGAGAGAUAAAUAUUUUAAUAUUGUACCAUUAUCUAAGAAUUUUAGCCGUUCUCAUAGUAUAAGUACCGUAUUGAAUAUAUUUAUAGCAUAGCUAGCGAAUGUAUAUUCCAUCUUUUUAUCUGCUUGUAUGGGUCUUGUAUGAAAGAGGUGAUCUUCUUGUAAAUUUGUAAUGAUUUAUAGUUAAAUAAUUAACGGUUGUUAUUCUUUUGUAGAUUUUUUUUACAGAAUAAUAUGAUGUGAUAGGAAGAUUGGGUCUUUGUGCUCCAUAAAAAAUAUGCUAUUGUUCAUACAAGCACCAUGUUUCAAAUUGAUCCUUUUAUCUUUGAAGUUUAUAUAUGUUGUGGUUGAAAAUGUAAAGAACUUAUUGUGGCAAUAAAAGCUCCCUUGACUUCAGUUUUUUCUUGUGGCAAUAAUGAAAAGAAUUUAUUAUUGUUAUUUUUUUGUUUUUGAUAUUUUCAUUAUUAUUUAUUGGCUUUUGUUGAUUGGAAGGGUUUUUCAGAGGGUAAGGAAGGGAAGGGCAAAUUUUGAAUUAAGAGAAUUAUAUAAUGUUUAUGGUAAUAAAUAAAGCAUUAGAGUAUUAAGUUUAUUCUAAUCUACCAUUUUAUAUCUUUUAUUUGAAAAAAUGAAUCAAAUUGAAAAAAAAAUUACAAUGGAGAAUUUUGCCCUCCCUUCCAAAACCCAUGUCCCAAACAAAGGUCCUAUCCAAUCCUCUGAUUAUAUACUCUUUUCCUUAUUUUUCAGUAGGAGACUUUUAUCCUUUUAUGAAUUGAAAGUAUAUAAAUACAGUAUCCCUCUUGAAAUAGUAUACUACUCCUUAUAGUAAUUGUGGAAACUGAAAGUUGUAUCAUUUGUUGAACUAGCAGAAGAGGCUAGUUACAUACUCCUUAAGGAACUUAAGUUUGUCCUCUGUUACAAUGUAAACUUCACAAUUCAUUAAUGGAAACAGGCUUCACUUUAUGUUCUUUCCCUUUUUUAAAAAUUCAAAAUUGUUUGUUGGUGAUGCAGGGGGAGGACUAAGCAGGUUUGCCAAGUGCUUAAUAUGUCAUGCGCAAGGACACUUCAGCUAUAACUGCACUCGACAUGGUCAUGGAUUGAUCCAAAGGUAUUCUUAUCUUUUAUGUGCGUUUUAUGACUUUUACCAAAUUUGUUAAACAGUAAACACCUCCUAGAGCUGCAAUCUGGUAUACAUGUUCCCAUACGCGGUGCAUUUUCACUCCUAUUUGUUGUUGAACAUGUAUUGGGAUACAACUGCAAGCUGUCUUUUCUCUCUGUUCGUGCCUUGGUGCAUUCUCUAAAUAAAUGUAAGGAAACGGGGAAGGGAGAACCUAAACUCAGAAAAUAGAGCGUGCUUCUUUGCAAUUCAAUUAAAAGUAGGAAAAGGGGGGAGGGUAGACUUAUUCUUUGGAAUUCUAAUAAAGAGCAAAAGGUAGAGGUGAAGAACCCAUGUUAUGCAAUACAUAUAAAGAGGGGGGGGGGGGGGGGAGGGUACAGUUUUGUGACUCUCUGAGCGUUGGAUUAGGAAGAAUUUUUUUUUAAAUGUUUAAUCAAUGCAACUUGAUCUAAUUUUACAUUUUGUUUUUAACUUUUGUAUUAGUUGAGUAUAAUCUGUCUAUAUAGUCCUUAAAACAUUACACUGCUAAUCCCUGUCGUGUGGUUAUGUAGCUGCAGUUACAUCCACUCGGGACUCCAAAGGUAAACUAAUGUGUUAUAUGCUUUGGAUAACAUUUCAUUCAAAUGAUCUUAUCCUGAGUGAUGCCUUCAUAAUUCUCCUAUUUAAUUUCUUCUGAUCUACUCACUAAAAGCAUUCUGUUGAUGCCUGCCUUCAUAAUUCUCCUGAGUGAUCUUCAUAAUUAUUUUUUGGUUAUUAGGAGGGAGUGGGACAAAGCCCAAUCUUAAUAAUUAUUAUAUGUCUGAAAAUUGUUUGUUACAUUAUUUGUAGCCAGCAGUGGUAGCUGAAAGGAUAGUCUGAAGUUACAAGUAUGUGAGCAGUGUGAGCAGGGACGAUAUUUAGGAUGACUUGAAGUCAAUUUUCAUAUGUUAUUGUCGAUCUUGGUUCCUUGGCCUUGUGAUCUUAUGAUUAGGUGGGCAUGGUUUCCCAAUUUUGUUGGUUCAAAUUCCCUAUGUUGUAGAAACGGUAAUAUAUUUGUACACCUUGUUGAGGUUCCACAUUCCAUUUUCAUUUUAUGUUACUUUUUCUACAUUGGGAUUAGUUGAUCAAAAUUAAAGGAGUUAGUGAAUUUUUUUUUGAUAAGCAAAGGUUGUAUUAAUGGAGUUAGUGAUUUGGAAGUCGAUUACCCUGAAUAUAAUAAUAUUUGAAAAUGUUAUUUAUAGUUGCUUUUUUGUGUGUAUAAGAAUUUUAGGUUAAGUGGAUGACACUUGAAUGCAACGCCUCUGAAUUUGAACUAGUAGGGUUCACUUAAGGUACACAAGUGACAAGCCAGAAUUGUGUACCGAGACUCAAAGGACUUUCAACAUCGAUUCAACUAUUUUUAAUAAAGAAUGAAUGAGAUUAUUCUAAGAGUUAAAAACUGGACCGGUCAAUGAAUCGAUAUAGGUACUGAUUUUAGUAGCUCAAGUGCUUAGAAUUGAGAGAUAUAUAGGUGUAGGGAUCGAUCCCGGUAAAGGGGAACCUCCUUGAGAAAAAUGGCCGAUAAAGUAAAGUAGCGUCAAUUUAAAGUUUUUAUUGGUUUUGACUAGUACGAUCCAUUCUUGAUAGUUUUGAGAUUUAGUGGUUUUUUCUUUUAGAUGGUUUGUCAUUUUACUAGUUCACACCCUACUGGUUGAACCAACGAGAUUAGAUUAUAUAAAAUUAGAAUGUCCCAGAAGGUUAGCUCAAGUGGUAAGAGCUAGGGGACAUAAGGGUUUGUGAGGGUGAAGGGUCCAUGGUUCGAAUCUUGACUAAUUUACUAACAUUACUAACAACUAACAUUUGCCUAUACAAAAAUAUAAAAUUAGAAUAAGGUAAAGACUAAAAUAAGUUAAAAGGAAAAAAAACAAAUUAGUCAUUUGAAGUUUGAGUCACGUACGACUUAGACUCCGACGUUUCAAACGGUGCAUUUGUGUCUUUAAAGUUUUUAAUAUGUAUAAAAUGACCCUUAUGUUAAUAUUAAGAGAAGGGCUAUUUCACACACUUUCCAUAUAUGAGAUUAUGGCAUAGCAAUUUGAAAGUUGAUCGCCAAGUAUUAUUUUUUGAACAGAAAAAAAAAUCGGCUUUCAUUUUUAUACGAUAAAAUGAAAAUAAAAUUUUAUUUCUAAAAGAAAUCAAAUUUAGUGUCUAAAAUGAAUGAAAUGCAAACCACUUUCUAAUUACUAUUAACAGAUAUAUUUGUGCAAACAAUGUUAUUUCUCCUAGAACAUAGACAUGCAAUCUAUGUGUAUACAUGGUUGGUUCUACCUUAGUGGACAUCAUAACCUAUUGAAGUUUUGAGAGAUUUCAACCUUUGUUUCUUUCCUCUAAAUUCUCUUGCUCUCCGUUUUUGUCUCCAAGUUCUCAUUGCCUUCCCACAAAAUAAGGAUCUGUUCCUCUGUUUCUCUCAUUUCCUUGUUUGUGUCUCAACUUCUUUCUUUCUCAUUUCUCCAUCAUCCGCAACAACAUGGUAUGUUCUCUCUGUCUCUCACUCUCUACAAUGCUAAGGAUACAUUUUUUUAGCACAAACCAUAUCUGUCCCUUUUCUCAUUUGAUGGAAUUUACAUAAUUAUUUGCUAAAUCUUGAGAGAAUUUUCUGAUUUUGGGAUUUCAUUUCUGUAGAAUCAUUGAAUUAAUUGAUGCAGAACUCUAUACGAUUUUUGGUAGAUGUGUUGUGUAGUACAAGUUUUAAAAGAAAGAAUAAAUUUAAUCCUAAUGAAAGGCAUGCCUAAGGAAAUUUUGUAUGUUGCAAACUUGAAUGCUUCUAGUAGUCUAUUACAUAAUGUAUGGAUUCACGUUCCUUUCCUCAAUAUCAAUUCUGACAUUCAGAAGAAUGAUUCAAUUUGAUAUUAAUGAAAGACAUGCCAAAGGAAAUUUUGUAUGUUGCAAACUUGAAUGCUUCUAGUAGUUUUCAUAUAACAUAGCAUUUUGAAUCACUUUACUUUCCUCAUAAUCAAUUAUGACAUUCAGAAGCUUAGGUAAGUUUCUUUCGAAAAUUGAAUUUGUUUUUAGAAUAAAUUGAAGAAGAAUUUUCAAACAUACAAAUAUUACAUCACGAACAUGUUAUUCUUGUCUUUGAAAAUGUGUUCAUAGGCGAACGCGGCAUCUGGAAUGGCUGUUGAUGAUGAAUGUAAAUUGAAGUUCGUGGAGCUAAAGGCAAAGAGGAACUACCGUUUCAUUGUGUUUAAGAUUGAGAGUCAGGAUGUGGUGGUGGAAAAACUUGGAAGUCCAGAAGAAACCUAUGAUGACUUUGCUGCUUCUCUGCCUCCUGAUGAGUGCCGAUAUGCUGUCUUUGAUUUUGAUUUCACCACUAAUGAGAACUGCCAGAAAAGCAAGAUUUUCUUCAUUGCAUGGUAAUUUCAUAUUCCUCACCAGCCAUUUUUACUGUAGAAAAGCUAAUACCAUAAUGAAGUAUAGCAUGCUUAUUUUAUUUGGAUUCACUUCAAAAUCUGUUUGAAUAACUUUUUAGUAUAUGUUUGGAUAUGUAGCUGGAAAAUCACGGUGAAACUAAAAUCAUGAUAUGAAUGAACAACCCGAAAAGCUAAAAGAAGUUGUUUAUGCCCACCAUAAUUUUAUCUCACUUUGAUUUCCCACCGUGUAUCCAAACAUGCACUUAGAAAAUGAAGUUACAAUACAUAGCCUCUGCCCUUAAUGUGUCUGGGUGUGUCUGUCUGUUACACUAACAAUUAAUAAUGUAGAUGCUUGAGUGUCAUUUUGGACAGUUAAUUUUGGCACUAAAAUCAGUUCUGCUAGAAACUAGAGAGAGUAGCUUCUGCAUUGAACAUAAUCAAUUCGUAAAUUCUAUAUAUAAAUCACUUCACUUUCAAGUCACUCUUAUUAUCAAAAUCAAAUUUUCUCAAAAUCACAAACGUUGAUCCAAACAUGCACUUAUUAAGAUUAAGGUUGAGGUUGGAGAGGGGGUUACUCUCAGUUACUACUCACGUGCAUACAUUUUAUCUUUCCUAUCAUGUAUUGCCGGAUACUUCCAUUUUAGAGGUGAAAAAACUGUUUAUUGACAUUGCUAAUUUGCUAUCAUGUAUGUGCUUGUUUUUUCUGAUAUUUAGGGCUCCUGAUAUAGCAAAGGUGAGACACAAGAUGGUGUAUGCUAGCUCUAAGGACAGGUUCAAGAGGGAACUUGAUGGCGUUCAAGUUGAGUUGCAAGCAACAGAUCCUAGCGAGAUGAGCCUUGAUAUCAUAAAAUCAAGAGCACUAUAAAUGUGUCACACCCAGCUAAUCACAUUUCAUCCUUUUCCAGUACAGCUAGCUUUUGCAGCAGUAUAAUACUCAUUUUAUUUUCUUUUUUCUCUGUUUUGUUGUUGCUGUUUUUUCAUUCUUUUUACUGAAUGGUCUACAUUCUAGACCCAUAGUUUUUCAAUACAAUGCUAAGAAAAUCACACUGCCUUGCAUUUCAAACUAUCUAUAAUUAGAUGGCUUGGCUUAUUGUAUACAUAUACAUUCUUUGACUUCUUAUAAAAUUGCACUCUGAGUAUAUUGGUGUGUUUGGUUCCAAAUUUUAGAUUCUUAAAAUUAAUUCUCAUUGAUUGGAAUUACUUUUAGGCGGUUAUAUAGAUGUUUGCUAAAAGACUUAGAGUAUCGAUAUUAGUCCCAAAAAUUAACCAUGUAGAAGAGUUAGAGAGAAUGACUUCUACCUUAGACAUAAUCAAAUGUGAAAUUUCAUAUCACAAUGUUACCAUACAUAAAUCAUUUUCUUGAUUUGUCAUAAACGUAUCUAAAAAUAAAUUACUCCAUCCACCAUCAACUCGUCUUAACUCACUUUUACUACAAUCAAUUUUAUCAAAAUCAAAUGUACCUAAAAUCAAUUCUGAGAACAUUUAUCCAAACACACACUUUGAUCUAGUGUUUAUGUAGUUUUUUUGAGUUUGCAAAGGCUCACUGUUCAUAGACACUCGAGAAGUUAAUGAAAACUGUGUAAUUGGUUGGCUUGUAGUUUUAAUCAUAUAAUGAAUUGCUGAUGCUAACCAAAGGUUGAAGUUAAAUUCUUUAUCCUGGCAGGGCAUUAUUAUGAAUGAAAAAGCAGAAAAGGAUCUCCAAGAUUUCAACACUCCCACAAUAUUUUCAAACCUGUAAAAUACUCUAAAGUGCUCGUUUUAAAACCGGUAUCAAAUAUGUAUGUACUUUAACACUAUAUUCGAAUAUCAAAAGAGAUAGGAAGUGGAGAAACUGAAAGAAAGAAAUGACUUGAAAGAGAAGGAUUAGAUAAAGAUUAUAAAUUGUUUAGAUAGGUAGAAAUAAGAAAACAAAAGAUAUCAAAAUUUCUCUUUGCUUCUUUAAACAAAUAGAGAAAUUAAUUAAAUUUGGAUAAGAAGUCGACUUUAUCCUCUAGAUUUAAUGUUUAGGAAGAAAAUAAGGGUAACAAUGACAAAAGAUUCAUUUCUUUCUUAUUAUUUUGGUCAAAAUUUGGUUUUUCUUAAUCUUCUAUUAACCAAAUGAGUGUCAGACUUAUUACUCUUUCAUUUCUUAUUUCUUAUGUUCUUAAGUACUCUUAUCUAUAAAUAUGGGGUUGGAUGGUUAGAGCGGUCCAUUGAAAUACCCGCCCUAAGUACACUUCACGUUGAUACUUCAGGAAGACGAGACAAAAGGUAUCAUGGCAAGAGAUUGGAAAAGACACAUUUGGCCUUUGCGCUUUAGACUCGAUGUCUUUUUAUGGUUUUUUGACUAGUCAAGGGUGACAAGGCUAAGAGGUUUUCCAAAUUAUGUGCAAAUUAGGGCAUUAUCUUCUUUUGGUUGCCUCUAUUAGGCCCUGGCGGGUGGAGGAUCCGUUGAAAGGCUUGAGGCGAUCGUGUGAAGCUAAGGAGCAUUUGGAGAUUUACUUCAUCAUGUGAGCGACCAUCCACCGACGUCUUCCUCAUCCAACUAGAGAUUUCUUCUUGCAACAUGUAGUGUCCUUAUUGGACGAGCUACAACAUCUUGUAGUGGUUCAUGUAGGCUUGGGCAGUUGGACCGCAUUUGUUAAGACCAAACCUUAGGAGGAUUUAGGGUUAGGGUUAUAUGCUCCUUACUAUAAAAUGAAAACAUUUAUUGUAAUUAAGGAUGUUUAGUUGAUAUACUAAAAUGACCGCUAGGUUUAGAACCCCUAUUUCAGCAGAUUUUGACAUGAUCAUCUCCUCCCUUUACACAACUUGAACAAGAGUAAGUCUAAUUUCAACACAAGAUGCAAGUGAAUAUUUUAUUACAUUAGAGUAAACAACUUAAUGAAGCGCUUAUAAUAAUAAGCGUGUAUCCCAUAAAUGUUUAUUGAUAAAUUAAUUUGAUAAAAUUAUUGAAAUAAACUGAAAAUAAGUUAUAAGUAAACAAAAAUUCUUAUCCAAUAAGAUAAUCCGAACAACUUAUGAAAAUAAAAUCAAAAUAAGUUAUAGAAAUUUAAUUACUUCAUAACCUUAAUUUAUUAUUGGAAAUGAACUUGAUUCUCUCUGGAAUUUUCCCUUCCAUAUAAACUUGUGUUGUUGCACUGUGCAUUUCUUCUUCCUUAUUCUCUCCCUUGAUCAUCAACCCAAAACGCUGUCGUUUCGAUCUCUGCAGCGUUCCUCUCUUCCUCUCACGCGCGACGCCACACCAACCUCUCUCUGAAUCUCUGCUUCUUCUGGACACCAAGGUUUUCCCUCUUCCUCUAACCUAUUUCAUCAUUCGUUUCUUCGAAUUAGGUUUUCAAGCGCUGAAAUAGGGUUCAGUUUUGAUAAGGGUUUCAAUUUCUCUGCAAAUUCUGUUUUGAUCGAUUUUUAAUUUUCUUUUUGUGUAUCAAGAAUGUUAUAAGGAUUGGAAAUGGUGUUUAUUACUUGGUUUGUGAUUAAAGGUCUCUGCUUUAUUUUAGUUUUAGGUUUUGGUACUUGUAUUUUGUUCCUUCUUCAAGUUUGGAUUAACUGUAUUGGUGAAAUGUGUUUGGAGAAAAUGUAAAUUAGGUAUGGGCAUGAAUUCCCUAAUUUUCUCCUUAGGUUUAUCUAGGUGAUUGGAUUUAGAGGAUUGUUGUUUUUAGAGUAGGAAAUAGAAAAGUAGACAUAUGGGUAGACAUUCAUCUUUACCACAUUCAACCCUAAUGCUUGCUUCCCUUUCAUAAAUCGAUGUAGUAGUAUUCCCAUUUGUACAACAGAAUGUUUGGAAACUCGUUCAGAAAUUACGGUGAAGGCAAAAUCAUGGUGAACACAAGUUACUUCCCUUAGCUUGUCCAAUAGUAGAAUCGAGUCUAGCCAGGUCUCCAAGACAUACAACCAAACAUACACUAGGUUUGCAUGAAUGCGGAUGAAAAUAUUUUGAAAUUAUCUAAAAAAAACGGUAGUUAUUAGGUUAGUACAAAAAGGGGAAAUUUUGGAAAGGAAAAAUGAAGAGAAUAAGUUAUAGUCACAUAAUUCUGUGGUGCUCUACUAAUGUGUGCGAUGUUUGUAACGCAUGUUAAGGACAAAGAAUGUACCACAUGAUAACAGAACUUGAUUACGCAAGCUGAAAACCAUCUCUAAAUAGAUUAAACAAAAAAAAGGGUACGAUGGACAAAGAUUCAAUUUUAAAAAUCCAAGUGAUGUGAAAUCCUUUGCAAGUAAGGCAUCAUGUUUUAAACUUCAAGAGCAUAACAGACCCUCAAAUUCUUCCAAAACAAGACUCAAUUUUGAAUCUGGGAUAUGAAGAACUAACUAAGAGUUAAAUGCAUCUGAAGCUAAAUUCUCAAUUUCUUAUUUAACAACUAACCAGGAAAAAAAAAGGACAUGGAAAGAGAGAUAUACAGGGUAUUGGCAUACUGAAUAUCAGCUUCCAGAGCUUUCAAAGAUUCUCAAAAUAGAGGUUGGUUGUAAGAAAUACAGGUUCUUGUUUCGGUUGAUGACCAUCCCACAAAUAUGUGGAAGUCACUCUCUCGGAGUGUUAGGCUAUGUUUGAGAGUUUUAGAGGGAGGGGAUGGGAUGGGACGGCUUCUAGGGGAGGGAAAGGAGUAAUGAUAUAUACACACCUCAUCUUUUAAACACUUCAUUUCCACCUAUUUUUGUUUCUACCUCUCUCAUCUUAUCAUCUAUCACAUCUAAGUUUUGGGUAGUUUAAGGAGGUGAAGAUACUGUCUGUUGUAGGUAAUUUCCCAUUUCCCUGGACAAAUGAAAAAAGUAUUUAUGGAUAAACCUUUGGUAUGCACAUGGAGUUCCCUUAUGGAUAAGAAUUUGAUCCUUUAACCAUUUUUGCAUUCCCUUUUAAUGAUCUAAUUGAGGUGCUGGUUAAUGAGUCUAAAUAAUGAUGCUUAUGUUUCUGUUUUGUUUUUGUCUGCCCAUGUUCAGAUCUUCUUGCUUAAUACGUUGCCUACAUGUUUUACAUUCAGAAACUGCUGAGAAUCUUCAGCUUUGCAUCCACUCAAGAUGUCUCUCUUCUUCAUUAUCAUUACCUUUAUAAAUGCAGCUUGAUCAUAUACAUUAUGCCUAAAAAUAAUAAAAGAGUAACUACACAUGUGAAUAUUAUGUAAGUUUUAUCAAACCAAACCUUGGUUAUUAAUCUCUAACGUUUUUUAAAUUGCUUUCUUGAAAUCAGAAUUAAGGGGAGUAAAAGAGGACACAGAGAGCAACCUACAAAAGCACUAUAGUCAAGAUCCCAUAAACUUGCUAGUUCUGUUUUGCCAACGAUGGACAGACGAAGAAACUCCACCAGGCCAGUAGCCUUGUCCCCCCCUUCUAUCACUGCCACCACCACCAUAACAAUUCAAAACUCUGAUGCGUCGUCCUCUUCAUCUCAGCAUGAGCAACAGCAACCAGAAGUCCUUUACCUCCCCCUCAAUCGCAAGAAGAAGAAGGUCUCGUGGAAAGAGGGCACCGUAGACAAUGAGUUCAUGCAGAAGAAGAGUUCCAAGAAGUGCUGUAUCUUCCAUAAAGAGAAGCCCUUUGAUGAAGAUGAUAGUGAUGAGGAUGACAUACCGCAUCACUCUGAUCAUCAUCCCCAUGAUCAUGGUGACGGUGGGUUUUGUUGCAAGAAUCAUGAUGAAGCUGGCCCAAGCAGUUAGGGUUCUGAUUGAUCAGAGUGGCUAUUAUUGAACCAACAAAUGCAUACAUUUUGCAGUGUAAAUGUUUCUAUAAGUGGAAGGAAUUACUUAAUUUUGGUUGUAAGGAAAUUAUUUCAUCAUGACAUCGGGAUUAGAGGAAUGUUUAGCUUAAGUAUUGAUAUGAACUACUAUCUUUUAUACUUUCAGUGUUUCAUAUUCUAUUUUAGUCAUCUUGUUAUUGCUAGUAUUGUUUCACCACCAUAUAGAAGAAAAUAAGGUGUACUUCAUUUAUUGGGUUCUUUGUCCCCAUAAAAUUAAUAUUUAAUUGAUCAUUUCCUCUAACGCAGAAUGAAACACUUUCCUACUGAAUUAUCUUUACAUCCCAGAUAAUUCUUGCGUCCUCUGUCUUACUGUGGCUGCUCUUCAGUUACCAGAUGCUUAUUCCUCGUCUUGUUGAUUGAUUAUGAUCAAAUUUUAUCCCUUUUGGAAGCAUUCAAUUUAAAAAUUACACUUGCACAGUGAUACAUACUCUAAGACACUACCCUUAGAAUAUGUAAAUGUAUUAUACAUAGUAAUUAAUAUGUAAAAUAAUACUCUUCAGAUCAAAUUUCCAAUACAAUUUCAACUUAAAUUUAUUGUCAUAACAUUUUUUUAUGUUAUGACAAGAAUUGUGAGCUAGUAAUAGAUAUAUAAGUUUCAUAUUAUCAUGACAUAAAAACUGUCAUGAUAAUAGUACCAUUUUCUCGAAAUUGUAUUAGAAAUUUCAUCUUAAGGUAAAUAUUCUACAUGUAUACUACAUUUGCACUUUCUAAGGAUAAUAUGUAAAGUGUGUUUUUUUUGGGUACAUAUCUAAAGUGUGUAGUUUUUUUUUUUGGUAAAUAGGAAAAUUAAACAACGAAACUACAAGCUAAACAAAUCCUCCUGAAGAAACGGCAACAGCGCCGCCGGAGGAGAAUCUAAAUCAGUCGCCACACAUUGCAAUCUCGCCUCCUGACCUGCUAGCCAAUUUGUUGGUACAUUCCCUUCACGAGGAACAUGCAAAUCUUCACCUCCCAACUUCGCGAAAGCAAGAAAUGAAUAUCCAUCAACAAACUACCAUAUUGAUGAAAAUCAUAGUGACCUUUCUCCACUGCUCGAACUAACUCUAGGCAAUCAACACCACAAACAACCUUCUUCCAAUUGUGACGCCAGAGAAACUUCAAACCCAAUAACAGAGCUUGUAUUUCCGCAUAAAAGGGAUCCCCACCAGCAGCAGCCGCAUAAAAACCUCCAAGCCAGGCCCUUGUGGAAUCACGAACAAGACCCCCCAUUCCAAUCUGACGCUGAACAUGAUUGAAACCCCCAUCCACCAUACACGAACAAACCCACUUGGAGGUGGCUUCCAGCUAGCCCGUGUCCGCAACUCAUUGAGUUUACUACUUAAUUUGUAAGUUUAUUUUAAAUUUUAAUCAUUGGUUUUCAAACACCUCACACGCUAAGGUGAACCAAAAUCACAUAAAAAAUUUAGCAUUAAUCUCACAAGUCACAAUUAAUCUUCUUUUGGCAUCACACGCUAUGUCUAUGUUCACUUAUGCCCCAUUUUUAGUGGCAUACUGAAUUCUCCACCCAAAAGGCACGCAACUUUAAUUUGUGUCUAUUUCAUGUCCUUGGAAGACCAUUAAGUCAACAUUAUUUGAUUGAAUUUAAGAGCACCCCUCCGGUCUUCGUCUUCGUCCACUCCUUGUUUGUAUAUGCAUAUUGCAUAUAUGCAUGGCUCCCUUCCUUCCACACGCUAUAUCAAAAUUACGUUCUGGUUUCCUAUGUUUUUCUCCAAUCAAGGACAAUAUUGAUAAUGACAAUUGAGAAUCAAUAAUUUUUCAUUUUUUAAAGAACUAUAUAUUUAAUUAUUUAUUAUUUAACACGAAAAUUAUUAUCAAAUAUGGGUGAAAUUCAUUCUUUCACGAUAUGGAUUUAAAAAUAAGAAGAUAGAUGAGAACUUUUCAAUUUUGGUAAACAUUUCAUUUUAUUUGAUAAUUUUUACUAAAUAAAAUAAGAAUUUUACAUAUAAACUAAAAUGAUUUAUCCCGAAUGAUAGCUCAAUUUAUGUUUUCAAUGUAAAAAAAAAAAAAAACUUUAGUAAUUUUUUUUAAUAAAAGUCGGUACCUCAUUGAUGUGCUUGAAGAAGAAGGGUCGGGCUACCGAAGUUAAUGCAAAAAAAUAAAAGAAAAUAAUUAAAUGUAUAUUUGAAAAUUUUUAUAUAAUUAAUUUUAAAUUUAAAAAAUUCUUAUACAAUUAGUUUCUAUAUAGCCAAAUUCAUUAUAUGAAAAAAGAAGUUUGUUGAGUAGAGGUCUUAGACAGUGUCAAGUGGGCAAUGGGUCGUGGUCCGCGGAAGAAGUUUGUUGGGUACGAUUUAGGGGUAUUAUUGUAAACUGGAUCAUUAGUAUCCCUAUAUAUGUUUGUAACACUGAAACCCUAAUUAUUGUAUUUAGAAUGAAUCAAUAAACAGAACUAUAGCUGCUCUAUAGUCGCAGACGUAGGCAGUUUGGCCGAACAACGUGACCAAAGCUUUUGUAUGUUUCUCUCUACUAUGUUCUGUAUUCGUGUUGUUGUUCUAACAAAGUUAAUGAGUUUUGUCACAAAGGCAUCUCAAAACAUUAUCGAGAAUGUGAUGUUUGAAAGGUGAUAUUUGAUCUCAGGUUUAGUACAAGUUUUAAAAAUUCAAUUUUCGGGUAUAAUGAAUUCUUGGACAUGCAUGUAAUUAAGUUACACAUAUUUUUUAUAAACUUAUUCUCAUGUCAAAGAGUAGGAAUCUUUCAUUCUCAUCUAACAUUUCCUCCACAUCAAUAAUUUAUUAAUUUACUAAUUAAAAUUAAAAAGAUUUGCAACUAGUUAGUCCUAUGUGACAUAAUGUGAUUGGACAUCGGUGUAAAACUUCUUUACAAUGACGAUGGAUAUCCAUUAAUCUAAUAUAUAAAUAUCAAACAUGUUUUUCAUUCUGCUCCGUAAUGACCUUAUAGUGAGAUUCUUGAUAAACAUCAUCCAUGAUUUCUUGCAAUAUCAUUCCAAAACUUGUAACAAAACGCUUGUUCAUUGAUGUUUGUUCCAACUUUUUUUUUUGAGCAAAUUCCAACUUUCUUUAUCAUUUGAUUGAAUUUAGCGGCCUAACCAUCGAGCUCAAGUUUGCGUCCACUCCUUGAAGGCAUAUGGAUCAUUCCCACAUACUAUAAAUCGAAUUAAUUAGUUAUGACAGUUAGAAUGUAAUAUAUAAUUCGACAUACUAUUAAUUGAAUUAGUUAUUAGUUAUGACAGUUAGAAUGUAAUACUCCCUCCGUUUCUAUUUAUAAGAAUCAAAUAGAAAAUGCCCUUGAUCUUUUUUAUAAGAACCAAAUUGAAAUUUGUGGAGAAUUAAUUAUUUUUGGCAAGAAUGCCCUUAUUUAAUUGAAUUUCUCUCUCUUUCCACUUGCUAUAGUAUUAAUGAUGCAUAAAAAUUAAAAAUAAUGGGGGGAGGAUAACUUUGGAAAGUUGAUAUAAAUUGAAAACAAAUUUAAUGCAAUUAUCUUGAUUAGCUAAAUUUUUUAAAGAGUGUGAAGGGGUUGCUUGGUUCUUAUAUUAAGGAACGGAGGGAGUAUAAAAUUAUGGGUAAAUUGCACUCAUCUUCUUUGAGGUUUAUCAUUGUAUCUUUCUUUUAUUAUUUAGCAAGACACUAACCACCCUUAUUUUAUUGCGAACAUUGCACUAACCUCCUUGAGGUUUAUCAUUAUUGCACUAGCAUGUUCUAAGAUUUAUAAUUAUAACACUCGGCCGUCUUUUAUUAUUCAAAAUAGGAUAUGAAGUAAGAGAGGUGAAUGCAUUUUGCGAACUAGAUAAGAAGUCUGUGCAAUAAUGUUAAACUUCAAUGGAGGUGAGCGUAAUUUUUCCUAAAAUCAUUUAUGUGAUCCUAACAGGUUAAGUUAUUGAAAUAAUUAGGUGUUUAACAUGAUAUCAUAGAUAUUUAAUAUAAUAUCAGAGUUUUACUAAGGUUAGUUAGUUGUUUAAAUGUAUGUUUUUGUCCGAUUAAAUGAUUAAUGACUAUAUAAUUAACAUGAGUCAAUGGUUUUUUUAUUUAACUUAACAAAAAAAAUUAAACUAUACUAUUAAAGAAAAUAAAGUACCAAUUUUAAUUUGCGUCAACAAUACGUCAAUCUUUAAAAAAAAAAAAAAAAAUACGUCAACCUUAAUUGAAAAUCCAAAAGCUCGAGUUGAUUACUGAUUCCAGUUGGAUGGUUCCACGAAAUUCAUCUACUAAUCCUUACAAGUGAAAAUGGUGUGAGUCUAUAUAUAUGUAAGGUUUGCGUGAGGGAAUUAUAGUGAAAGACACCAUCAAAAUACAAUACAAUUCUUCCUAAUUAACAUGGGAAGAUACGUGAGUGGUGCUGCUGCAUGUUUAGUCCUUCUCUUCCUGGCUGAAAUUGCACAAGUGUGUUUCUUCUUGUGUGCAAAUUCAAGCAGUGUCGUUGUCCCUCCUUGCAUAGGACGAGAGAGGCAAGCUCUUCUUGAGUUCAAAGCUUCCCUUCAAAAAAAUCCAUCAAACAGGCUUUCCUCAUGGAAAGGCACUACUAAUUGUUGCGAAUGGGAAGGCAUAGGCUGUGACAAUAUCACCGGACAUGUUGUCAAGCUUGAUCUCAGCAAUCCUUGCUUCCUGUCACCACCAUAUUGUGACUUUGAGUUGCAGGAAGAACAUGGUGUAGACGCUCCAAAUGUGAAUCCAUCUUUACUGCAGUUGGAAUACUUGGCUUAUUUGGACUUGAGCGGAAAUCAUUUCAAUUCAAGUCCAAUACCAAGCUUCAUUGGUUCUAUGCAACGUUUGAGGUAUCUUUCUCUCAGGUACUCUUCUUUUGGUGGGAGGAUUCCGAAUAGCCUUAGAAAUCUCAAGAACCUGCACCUACUUGAUCUCGGUGGAAAUCAUUUUGAAGCCAAUAACAUCACUUGGCUUUCUCAACUUCACUCACUCAAACACCUUGACUUGAACGAAGUUGACUUGGGGAACACACGUGAUUUGUUCCAGGUACUCAACAUGCUUCCUUCCUUGUUAAAUCUUAGCUUGUCGGACUGUGGACUUGAAAACUCCCUCAUUCCUCUCGGUGCUAAUUUCCAAAACUUGACAUCUCUUGUCCAUCUUGAUCUUUCAUUUAAUGAGCUUCAUGGUCCACUCCUUGAUGCUUUCAGAAACUUGUCUUCCAUUGAAUACCUCUGUCUUUCAUACAAUGGGAUCCACGGUCCAAUUCCUGAUGGUGUGUUUCAGAGCAUGCCAUCACUCGAGUAUCUUGGUCUUGAGGGUAAUGAGCUAAGUGGUCCAAUUCCGUCCUGGUUUCGUAACUUUGAGAAGCUUACAUUUCUUGAUCUUUCAUACAAUGGGCUUCAUGGUCCAAUUCCUGAUGGUGUGUUUCAGAGCAUGCCAUCACUCGAGUAUCUUGAUCUUGCGGAUAAUGAGCUAAGUGGUCCAAUUCCUGAUGGUGCACUACAAAACAUGUCAUCACUUGUAUUUCUUCAUCUUUCAAGGAAUAGGCUCAGCGGUCCGAUUCCUGAGGCUUUUCGAACCAUGACUUCCAUUAAAUACCUUUACCUUAAGGACAACAAUAUCACUUCAAUUCCAUCAUGGUUUGUUGAGUUAAAGACACUUCUCUACCUUGGCCUUUCAUCAAAUGAAUUUACUCCAACCAAAUGUUCGCUUUCAUCAAUUCUCAGUAACAUGUGUCAUCUAAAGCGGUUAUAUUUCUCAGGGAACAAGUUCCGAGAAGAAUCAAUUGCAAAGUACCAAUUAUCUGGAUGCAACAAAUAUGAUCUAGAGGUAUUGGAUUUGUAUAAUAAUGAGAUCAGUGGUCGCUUGCCAACUUGGUUGGGGCAACUUGUGAAUUUAGAAUAUCUUGAUCUCAGUUCAAAUUUUUUCUCUGGACCCAUUCCCUUAUCUCUAGGAAAACUAUCAAAGUUGAGAUACCUAGACCUUUCAAACAAUUCUUUUCAUGGUCUCGUUCCUCAAAGUCUCAAUCAACUUGUCAAUUUAACACACUUAGAUCUUUCUUCAAACAAGUUGGAUGGCUUAUUUUCUACAAAAGACGAUUGGUCUUCAAUUAUGCCCUAUUUGUGGGAUUUGAAUCUCGCCAACAACCAAAUCAGCGGUUCACUUCCAAAAAAUAUUGGAUAUACAAUGCCUUCUUUGAUGCAGUUACUUCUUGGAAAUAACCACUUAAAUGGUUCAAUACCAAUCUCUUUAUGUGAAACUAUGUUGUUGAUCCUUGACCUUUCAAAGAACAACUUAUCUGGUGAAAUCCCAAAUUGUUGGAAUAAUCAUCGAAUAUAUAGGGAAGAAAUAAAUUUGUCAUCAAACAAAUUAUCUGGCGUGUUUCCAAGCUCAUUUGGGAAUCUUUCCGCAUUGAAAUGGUUGCAUUUAGACAAUAACAUGCUUCAAGGUGAACUUCCAGUGUCUUUGAGAAAUUUGAAGAAUUUGUUGAUUUUGGAUCUUGGUGAGAAUCAAUUUUCAGGGAGCAUACCACCAUGGACUACAAACACAUUUCCUUCACUGCAGAUUCUUAGACUGCGGCAAAACAUGUUGAGUGGUAGCAUUCCUUCACAAUUAUGCCAACUUACAUCACUGCAAAUUUUGGACCUUUCUCGUAACAAAUUAGAAGGUUCAAUUCCUCGGUGCAUAGGAAAUCUUCAAGGAAUGGUGGCAAUGGGCACGGCUCCCGGUCCCAUAGGAAUGGUCGCAGCUGGACCUGGAGCUGGAUGGUCCUCUGAAGCUGUAAAAGAAGUCAUGAAAGGAGUUGAACGCGAGUACAUCAAAAUCUUGGAGCUUGUAGUCAACAUGGACUUGUCAGAAAACAAUUUGGUUGGAUCCAUUCCUAAUGGAAUAACCAGGCUCACAGGAUUGCAUGGCUUGAAUCUGUCAAACAAUCAUUUGAAAGGAGAGAUCCCUGAGAUGAUAGGGGAGAUGAAAUCAAUUGAGUCUUUGGACCUAUCUAAUAACCAUCUGUCAGGCACAAUUCCAAAUAGCAUGUCUGCUUUGACUUCAUUGAGCCAUUUAAACUUAUCACACAAUAAUCUUUCAGGACCAAUUCCUAAAGGUAACCAACUUUUAACUCUGGAUGACCCAUCUAUUUAUGAUGAAAACCCUUAUCUUUGUGGAUCCCCACUACCAAAUGAAUGUCCUGGUGAUACUUCGCAUCAAGCUCCUAAAAGCAAAAAUAAUGAAGAUGAAGAUGACAAGAAAGAUAAGGUGGAAAAAGUAUGGUUCUACUUUGUCAUAGCAGUUGGCUUUGCAACUGGUUUUUGGGGAGUUAUUGGAACUUUAUUGUUCAAGAAGAAAUGGAGGCAUGCUUACUUCAGAUGGGUGGAAGAUGUAGCUGAUAAGAUUUAUGUGGCAGUUGUGAUCAAAGUUGCAAAGCCAAUGAUGAGAAACCACAGUCACGGGUAACGUUAUGUUUCUUCUAUAUAUGUCCAUUUCAUUUUCUAAAACUGAUUAUGAAUACAUAGAUUCUUUUAUUGAAUGGUUCUGGUGUCCUCAUAUGCUCAUUAUAUUCAACAUUAUUUGAUGUCAAUUGCAUAGCUAAUGAAUCAAAUUUCUUUGGCAGAUGAUAGUGAAGAAAGUUGCAUACCAGACGAUGUUGGCAAGCUGGCUCAGGAUUGCUUUUGUGUUUGUUGUUUUGUUUUUCCUCUUUAUGUGCUUUUGUCCUUUCUGUUUUUGCCUUGGUGGUCGGGUCUCUGUUGCUUGGCCCCUUGUGCGAUGUGUGUAUCUACUAUCUAGGCAUGAGAUUUUAUCUCAUGGAACCUACCUUUAUUCAAUAAUAUGUUCCUCUUUAAAAAAAAACGUGAUCUGGAGAAGGAGGCAAACACAUAAAUAACCAUUGUGUGGGAAAUUAAAGCCCUUUGAAAGAAAAAGAAAAGCAUAUCCUUCACUGGAUUUGUACUAUACAGUAUAGGGGCUCAAAAUCCCUGCAUAUGAAUUUAAGUUUGAGUUAACCUGGACGAUGUCUUCGGUGGUUCAGUUUGAAACUGAACCACCAUGGUGCAGGUACUGUUCCACACUUAAAGUACCAAAAUGCCCAUUUAUUUUUUUCACCUCCGUUCCUUCUCCUCUACUCCCACAGUCUCUCCUAGAUUGUCUCCUGCGACAUGUGUCGUUGUCACCCUCCACGACGUCCGCCCCUCCACCACCUCCUCCGAUCCAAUCUUUCCUCUUUCACUGUCAGCGAAAAUGCCUGAAGAGGUUUAUACCCUCUGACCAGUCAUGGAAUUGGUCCAUUACCUCAACAAACACAUCCCAUGGACUAGACCCACCAUUCGUGUCUUCAGUUCAUUUUUCUCCUGCUCACUCUCUUAUCCGCACCUUCCGUCAAAAUCUAUUCUUUUUUUGUUCAGAUCCACAUCAAUUUAUGGGCUUCCUUCAAAAUCUUCUUCUUUUUGUUCACAUCCGCACCACCUCACCAUCUCUUUUCCUUUCACCUCCCUUCGUUCUAUGUCCUCCAAACUAUGUCGAACCCCGGCCCUCUCUUCAGCUUCCUUUAUCUUCUCCACACGAAGAUCUUCAGGAACUUGACAUGCAAAGUGAAAUCUUAUCCCAAGAAGCUCUGAUAUGGGAAGAACAAAGGCCUUCUGAAGAACCUAACAAUAAAUCCAUAACCACCAUCUAAAAAAAUGGAAAAAAAUCAGAGAGCCAAACACACUUCUUCUAUUGGACUUUCUAUGUCCUGGGUUUGCAAUUCAACGAUGCUUGCUUCAAUAAUUAACUAGUUAAGUGCUUCAAUCAUUCGGUACCAAUUUGGGAUUAGAGUUAUGAUUUUGAGUAAUUUCAAUAUAAUAACAUUUGGGGGUAAAAGAAGAGGCAAAUUCAUGGAUGAAAGAGAUGAACCGGAAGAGAUGGAGUGGUGGCUUAGGUGGGAAGCACAGUGGUAUGCCUUGAGCUUGGUGGCAGAGAUGGAGUGAGAACGGAAGAGGGGUUCACUGUACCAGUGAGGAAGUAGAUCAAGGGUAUUUUUGUUAUUGUGAUUAUUUUAAACCUUCAAUCUGAAUCACCUAAUAUUUAACCAAUAAAUCCAACGGUGGAGAAUAGAAUGUACCACGAUGGGUCAGUUUCCAACUGUCCCACCGAAGCCAAAACCGUUAACCAGGGUCAUUUUGGCUUUCUUCAUUAAUAAUGUUUUACUAUGGAGCAUUGUGAUUUUGUUUUCUUAAUGCUCUUAUUAUAAGGUUUCUUUUUUCUUCAUGGAUGUUCCAUUUAGCAAUGUUUAAAUUAGACUGGUCAUUGAAUCAGCUGAGACUCCAGUCUAAAGUUUAAUGAUCUAACUGUGGUUGAAUUGAAAUUAAUUAAAUAAUAUACUUUAAAAAUAUAUAAUAUAUAAAAUCAUAAUGAAUAUAAAAUAAAGCAUUUAUAAUGGAAAAUAAAAAAUUACAUAACAUAAUAUUGCGUUAUCUAGGUACAAAUAUAUAUUCCAAUACAUAAUUUAUCUUACGAGAAUAAUUUUUUUUAUAUGAAAACAUAUGAAAUUAUAAUUGUUAAAUCUAAUAAUGAAUGAUCAAAGUUAAAACAUUAAGUCAUAAGCUUUGUAAGUGGUCACGUGAUUAUCACAAGACUAUUAAAUUAUUUAAUCCUUAAUUAUUUAUGAUUAAAUAACGAUCAUGAUUUGAGUAUGAUAACUUUCAUAUAAGAAUGUUUUGAUAAAUAAAUGUUUUCAUUUUAAAUUAAUAUAUAAAAUUAUUAAAUUUUAUUUCCUUCUUUUUUUCUUUUUCUUUUUAGUUAAAAAGUAAUAAUAGUAGUUUUCUAUUGAUGAUAUUUGUUUAGACUCUUUAAAUUCAUAAGAUUAGAGUAGAAAGGAUAAAACCAAGAAGAAUUGGAGAACAAAGUAGAAUGAAAAUCAUAGUGACCUUUCCCCACUGCUCGAACCAACUCUAGACAAUCAACUCCACAAACAACCUUCUUCCAAUUGUGACGUCAGAGAAACUUCAAACCCAAUAACAAAGCUUGUAUUUCCGCAUAAAAGGGAUCCCCACCAGCAGCACCCGCAUAAAAACCUCCAAGUCAGGCCCCUGUGGAAUCACGAACAAGACCCCCCAUUCCCAUUUGAUGUUGAACAUGAUUGAAACCCCCAUCCACCAUACACGAAACAAACCCACUUGGAGAUGGCUUCCCGCUAGCCCGUGUCCGCAACUCAUUGAGUUUACUACUUAAUUUUUUUUUUUUUUUUUUUGAUAUGCAAAGAAUAUAUUGAUUAAGCACAAGGGGUGCUAACCCAUAUGCAUAGAGAGAAAAGAAAGAAGGAAGCUAGUGUAAAGUUCCCACAAAAAUUGACUAGCCAAACCCCACCCUACAAUGAAAACAAACUAAGUCUGGGUACCGUAAGUAAUCAAAUUAGCAAAGCUCCCCCCACAACAUGACUAUACUAGCCAAUAAUUGCUGCAACAUUGAAUAUGGACCUGACAUACUCCUAAACACACCCAGCUCACAACAGACAUUGGAACUAAACUAUCACAGCAACCUCUACGGCCCUGGCAUGACAGCAUCUCCCCAAGAUAUCUGUCCCCAAGACACUACAGGGAGUGAAUACAAGCAUCUAGGCAAUUUUUUCAUUCAAAUAACGAGAACCCCACCCCCUUCAUCUUAUGCCGGAUCCAAUUCCAAGAGCGAAACUGAAUUAUAUCUAACAAAUAAUCCUUAUCAAACACUGCAUCUCUAAAAAUUAGGCUUAAUUCCACUUUGGGCCCCUGAUCUUUUAAAAAUGAGCGAUCGGGGCCCCCCGUGUUUAAACGUAGCGGUCAGGCCCCCUGAUAUCUCUAAAACGUGCGAUCCAAGCCCUUCCGUCUGUUUCCGUUAGUUGACCAAACGGAGCUUCAUUUCUCAUUCUUCUACUCAAUAACAACAAUUAAACACAAAUCAAAGCCCAGAACAAAAACACGAUGAUUCUGUCAUUCUGUGCAACAAUUAUAAUCUAGUGAGGAACCCAGAAAUCAAAGCCCACAGAUCCCCAUCUUCUUCUUCCUCUCUAUUCUUCUAUGCAAGCACCUCCAGAUUUCUUCCGCUUUUCUUCUUCUUCUUCUUCUUCUGAUCCAGAAAAACCAUUCAACCCAUAAAUCGAUCUGCCCCAAACCUAGAAACCCAAACCCAAAAAAUCAACCCAUUAACCGUUGAACCCCAAAACCCCAAAUCCAGAGAAAACUGAAACUCCAAUUUAAAACCCCGAAUCCAGAGAAGUACUGAAGAAGGGUCUAAAGGGUUGUUGAUUUGGGGAUUUUCCAAGAGAGAAGAUGGAUCGAGCAAGGUGGAGGUGGUGGCUGAAAUUAGGGUUGUUUCUCAUCAUGUUGGUGAUGAUGAUGCUCGCGGGACUGAAGGAGGUGGCGGCGUCAUCGUGGCUGCUGGCGGUGGUGGCUAGCUUGGGUGAUGCCAGGGUGGUUUGCACAUGGAAGGAGAAGAAGAGAAAGAUCAGGACAGGAACGGUGGUGAUGGUGUAGCCUCUGGAAGGAGAGUGACCAAGCGGUGGUGGUUGUCAUCAGGAGGAGAAGAAGGUGUUGGUAGUGCUGCAACCUUAGGGAAAAUAAUCAGAAGAAGAAGAAAAUGGGUCUUGGAGAGGAAGAGAGAAAGAGUCGAGAGGUUGAGGGAGAGCGUGAGUGAGUGAACG
rnacentral:lncRNA from 1 species